UCCAACCGGCCUAAGAUUUGCUAAGUCCACUAAGACUCAACCCUAGGCUCUGAUACCAAAAUAAUCUGUCACGCCCCGGGACCCAGCGGAAGCCCGCCCGGUGCGUGUCCAGACCCGCCAUACGUCUAAAACAUAUAAGGCAUCUAAAAUAAAAGAUAAAUGAAGCAAUAAUAGAAGAAUAUCUAGAAGUAUCAGAGCAAAGUACAACUAGAUUCUACAAUAGAGAAGAUAAACAAAAGGCUAAAAUUCACUAAAUAAAACAAUAAAAUAGUACAUCAAAAAUCCAAAUACAAAAGCUAAGAAUAAUAUAAAGGUGGUCUCUAUACAUGGUACCAAAACUCUCCUUACCAAAAUACAAAAAGGAGAGUAAACCACCUAGGAGCGAAAGCAAGCUCCACUAUCUAGCUAUGCGACUCCCUUGCCGCGAUCCCGUGCCUCCGCCGGUACUGAAGGCUCUGAAAAAGAACAUCAAACAGAGGGCGUGAGAACUAUUAAAUAAUAGUUCCCAGUGGACAAUUACUGACUUCAGCGAAGUGCGCCACUAGGCCGAAAACUGAAAAGGGGGGUAAGUACAAGUAUGCAAUAAAUCAUAGGCUACUAACAUAAAACUUGCUAUAACAUGAUAGGUCUAGUCAACAUGAAUUUGCAUAAGUAUGAAAGCUACUCUAACAUGAGUGCAUAAGAGUAAAACUAGCAUAUGUCCACAAGCUAAAUAGUAAAAUAUCAUUGUUUACUAUUCUAGUCAAAGUCCACUCGGUAUACUAAGUCAACAAUAUCCAAUCCUGGAGGAUCUACCCAUAGGUAAUCUGGCAUGUGCCGUACCUGAUGGCCCCGUGGUAGUCAACAUCCCCACUCUAGGAAUGAGCCUCCCCCACGGCAUCCCACUUCGGCGCCCAAUUCCGCACGGGCGAGCAUUUGUCGCGAUGGCUAUCUCCGGAGUGCCGGCUUGUGGGGAGCGACCCUCACAAGUAUGUGCGAAUGAGCACAAUGGCAUGCAAGCAUAAAAUCCGUCUCAAAUACCAAGUCAUCAUGUCUAAAAUAUGGAAUGUGGCAAAUAUCUCAAUGGCCUAUCACUAUGUCAUCAUGUCUAAAACAUGAAAUAUAGUCGAUGUCACAAUGGCCUAUCACUUGUCUCUAUGUUGCAGUUUAAUAGUUUACUAGUUCGGGUGCCCCUUUAUGGCACUUUUGCUCACUAUAUCCAAACAUGAGUUUAAUGUUCCAAAGUAUACAUUUCUAGUUCUCUUCAUCCCAAGAGACAUGUUUCCAACUUAUAAGGUAGAAUACUAUUUAUAUGCAUGAGUAUCCAACAUAGACCUCUACUACAUGGAGUCAAAUUUUCAUGAAACAUAACACAUGUAUUUAAAGUAUUCUAAAAUUCAUAAAAAUUCUAUCUAACAAGGAUAUGUAUGCAUUUCAAUGAAACAACAACAUUUAAUCACUUAGGAGAGGUUUUCUCCUAUUCCAUUAAAGCCAAACCCACCGUGACUUUACGAAACCCUUCGUUUACGUCGACGAAGGUGCCUACUACCUUCCUAGUACCCUAAAGGUAAUAUUAGAAGGGUUAAACAAACGAAACAAACAACUAUAGCAACAAACUUUAAUCAACCCAACAAAUAGGGUGAAAACUCAUCGAAUACGAAGGAAACUCUCUCGAUCUCCAAAUAGGAGUUAGAGUCCUUCAAAACUAAUCUAAACAAAGGUUCUAAGUCAAUCAAUUGAGAUAAAAAAGCCUCAAAUCAAAAAUCCCCAUUACUAACCCUAAUAUGCUCAAUUUAGGGUUUCAACUUGUAAAAUCCACUAAAACAUGGAUUAAAGAAGAGAUUGAGCUUACUAACCUCACAAGGUGCCCCAAACCAAGCUCCAAGCAAGCUAGAGUUGGAGUUCACCCUCCAAACAAGCUCCAACAAAAGCUCCAAAGCUUCUCCAAUGGUGAAGAACCAACAUAGAGCAAGGAGUAGAAGGAAAAAGAGAUCAAAACCAACUAAAAUCAUCAAAAAAAUAGAGAAGAAAUCAAAAGGAGAAGGGCUCACCUUGUUCUCCCUUGGUUUGAGCUCAAGAGAGCUCUCCAAGGGGGCUGGGGUAGUAUAUAAAGAGUUGCAACAAUUGCAAACACACCCCUCAACAAAAUCAGCUCGCAAAGCAAAGUGUAUCGGUACACGAAAAAGUGUAUCGGUACAAGUCCUGCGGGACAGCAAACCCGAGCCUCGGGUUGGCAGAAAAUCUCAUCUGUACCGAUACACAGCCCUGCUGAGGCAACCCGAGAGGAGCCUAAGUCCAUCAUUUUGGCGACCUUAGCACUAUUUUAAAUACUACAAUUCUCGAGAUACGAGCCAUAGGUCGGACCACUGUCAACGACUCUCCAGAAUAUCUGGUAAAACUCGAAACAUUGAUCAAACACUCAAGCCUUGCAACUUGCAAAGGUCUAGUGUGUUACACUUAAUUCUAGGGAUAGUAGAGAUCCCUACCGUUGAUUAUGCAUUUGGCAUCCGUGCAGCAGAGGCACGUGGACCCUUGUAGAUGGGGUAUCCUCUUGUGAGGAUUGGAUCAUACUCACUAGUCUGUUUUCGCUUGUCGGUGGUCGCUCCACUGAAGUAGUGGUCUCCGGAGUACUUCACAUUAGGGACAGACGUAGUUGUCCCGCAGGCGGUCUCGGUGUGCGAGUGCAGCUUCUCUUCACCUAUGAGAUUGAGAGUGAGUCGUGGCGAACCUUCGGGCAAGCCAAGUGGAUUGUGUAAAGAACAUGAAUAGCAAAGUAGAAUUGCAUUCAUUUCCUGAUUAGACAUAGUGUAUGUUGUAGCUUGCAUAACUAUGUGACAUGAUACUAGUAUGAUAGAAGAACUGAUGCAUAUUGACACUGCAUAUUCAUUGAUUUCAAAGGCAUGGUAGAAUAGUUGUUAUUUCUAUCUAUCUAUCUAUCUAUCUAUCUGCUUAUGCUUGCUUAGACCUAGUGGGAAGAUCGGCGGAGUUGGCGGCCGAACCCACUGAGAACUAUAUUUAUAUAGUUCUCACCCCACUUUAUUGCAGGGCCGAGUACCAGUUUGCCAGGCGAGGACCGCGGCAAGGGCAUAGAGCCCUAGUAGAUAGCGACUACCUACUGCACUAGAGUACCCCGGGUACUAGAGGAUUUUGGGUGUAUAUCGAAUCAUCGUUUAUGUUUAAAAGAAAAACAUGUAAAUAUUUUGGAAGAUGUAAAUGUAAUAACUUGUGAAUGUGUAUGAUUGUAAUAGCUAGAAUUCCUCUCUUUGUUUACUUGUAUGCUUACUUUUGCUCUUGUAUCUGCAUGUAUGUUUACUUGCUAGUUCAUCCUUGUGGAUGCUUCGUGUAUGUUGUAUGUCUACCUGGGCGACUGAAAUGUACACGAUUGUUGUUGCGAGCCUUGGGCAGAUAGGGGAAACUAUGUCCGUACGGCGUCUGUUCGACGUGCCCGAACUGGACCAAAUUGGUAGCGGUCUCGGGGUGUGACAGUUUAAAUGGUACCAGAGCAAGUAAAGAGCAAGUGAGUGCAAGUAAAGAGAGAAGUCUAGGAUGGACCUAGGAGACCCUAGGUUGGUAACUCUAGGACUAUAGGUACUUGAGUGAGACGUGGACCUAAGCCGUGUGCAGAAGUGAUUCGAUUGGGUCGAAAGUGUAGUAUGUCUCUACUUGUUGUUAGAGAUGGAUUCAAGUAGUAUUGUUUCUUGACUCAAAGUGGUUUGUGUCGGCGGCCGACGACAUGACGCUAAGAGCAUAGGUUUCGGACCAAUAGAGUCUAGGAGUUUCCUACAGGGUCAGGUUGUCAGAGAAGAUCCAAACCACUAUGCCACAGAGGGGAGGGCCCAGGUCCAAGUACAGGCGAGGAGAGCAUUAGGCCCAAAUCUGAAUAGGGCAUUGAUUCAAAGGCUUAGAAGCCUACUUAUAUUUCAAUUCUCAGUUUAGUACCAUAAGGUUUAACAAUUUACAUUUUAGCAUAUUGUUAAGGAAAUAAGAAGGCAGGAUGUAACUGAACAAAACUCAAAUUUUAUGGAAAUUAUUUUUCUAUUCUCAUCUCCUCCUUUCCUACUCAACCCUAAUUAUUUCUCUAUCUCUUCUCUCUCUCUCCAAUUCUUCAAUCCUUACUCUUUCCUUCUUAUCCUCUUAAUCACAUCACGAUUAUCCGAAUGAAGCAAUUCUUUUGGAUUGUGUGUUAAUUGAGACCCAUCAUCCUCGAAACCAUCCUCGACUCAACGAAAUCUCAUCAUAGACAGGUUGCAUUGAGUCAGGUACGUAACAAAUAGUAUCAAAGAUGUCCAAUCUUAGGGCAUUGUGUGGUGGAAUCGCUUACUAACUCCAAUGUCAGCAUAUUUGAGUUGAACCACGAAUAAAAUUCCUAUGCCGCUCGAUAUGAUCUCAAGUUAGAUCUAGGCAAAAGGAAUCACCACAGUAAUAAUCCUAGUCUUUGAACCACCGAUCUGAGGUCUAAGGACACCCCCUCUAUCCUCAGAUCUAUAGGAUCCCAAAUUGGCACGAUGACUCUUAGCCAAUAGGAUUCACUCUUAGGGAACCAUCACAAAGCAAUACACACACACACACACACACACACACACACACACACACACACACACGAGGCGGCCGCUCAUUAAACCUAUAGCUGCAUUUUAAGGCAUAUCUUUUGGAGUCAAGAUUAGGGGCAAAAGAGGUAAUAAGUUCAAAUUCAAUCAACAAGACUAUUUGGAAGGAAAAAUAUGGCGGAAAAGGACUAGAUUAAGAGAUUGUGAACAUAUCCAUUCUUUAGAAGAGAGAUUUCAGAAGUUGGGAACGGAGCACCAAACUAAGAUGGAAGUAUUUACUCAUCAAAUUUCGGAGGUGCGGGAAAUUGGACAGAAAUAAUAUAAUGCAUUACAGGUCGAGGCUACAAGACGGCAUGAAGAGCUGCUGAAGCUUUUAACAGCUCAGCCACCUGCAUUCAAGACCCAAGGCAUGGCGACCUCUCCUGAAAGCAAAAUACCACAUUACGGCAAACCUAGGAGCAGCACUACCCCACUAACAAUUAAGAAGAAAGAGGCAAGGGACUUUUACCUACUCUAGUGAGGCAACUAGAAGUAGAAGAGUACCACACUUCACCAUGGACUAAUAGGAAUCACAAUAAUCAUCGACAACUACCCUAUCCCAGGUUACAUUUUCCUUCUUUUGUUGGUGAAGACCCUAGAAGUUGAAUUGAGAACUGUGAGCAAUAUUUCGAGUUAUACCAGAUACCCGAGCACCAAUGGUUAAGUGUGGCAACUAUGCAUUUGAUUGGUAAGGUGAAAACAUGGAAGCAAGGAUAUUUCAUCAAUAAACAGGUGGUUUUGCAGGACGAAUUCUGUAAUAUACCAAAAAUUCGGAAAAUAAAUAUCGAACUUUAGUCAAAUUGACCAAAGUGCGAGGAUGGUACACUUCGGAAGGUCCGAAGGAGUUAAAAUGACCAAAAGUGAGUUACGGGAGGUUUUCGAGAGCUAAAAUUGUGAAAUCUGCAUUCUGCAGGUUUUCAGCUCUCGGGGACCGGUCCCUGGUGGGAGAGAUUGGUCCCCGAACGCGUAUGAUUUGAAACAGCCGAAAAAUCGGCUAAGUCCUGAGAAAGUAGCUCUCGGGAACCGGUCCCUGUCCGAGAGACCGGUCCCCGAGAGACCGGUCCCCUAAAGAGAGACCGGUUGCCCCGCGCGCAGCAGCUCUGGCUGCGCGGGGAGAGCCUUCGGGAACCGGUCCCUGAAGGAGAGACCGGUCCCCGGCUGCGCGAACUACCCAAUUCGGGCAGUGUAUUAAAGUAAAAGUUGAGGGGUUUAUUAGCAAUUUUGCAACCCAUGGGUUAUGUAGAGGGCUGAGAGAGCCUUUUCUCUCAUUCUCUCCCUCUCAAACACUCUCUUCUCUCCCUCUCUCUCUCUAGAAGAAAAAGGAGAAGAAGAAGAAAGGAAGAAAAGAAGGAAAAGAAGGAAAAGAAGGUGAAGGAGAAGAUCAAGGAGCAAAGAGGCAUCAUCUUCUUCCUCUCUAGGGCAAGAAAGGAGCAAGUUUAGAGGUAAGCCUUGCCUCUUCUCAUGUUAUAUUCCAAACUAGGGUUUGGAUUAGAGCAAAGAUGGUUUUUAUAGAGCAUUUUGAGUCUUUGAAGCUUUUCUUUUGCUUCAUUUGAGAUCAAGACCAUGAGGUUGGUGUUGGAGGUAAAGCUUGAAGGAGAGCUUGACCCCUUUCAUGGUGAAAUCCAAACUAGGGUUUGGAAUGAGCUAGGAAUGGUUCUAAUGGGCUAUUUAGAGUAUAAUGAAGCUACUUUUGCUUCCCAAUGAGAUCAAACCCUAGGUUACACAUGCAAUAGAGCUAGGGCACCCAAAUUGGAGCUUUUGCUCAUGGGGAUUUCUAAGUGAAAUUGACCCUUCAAAAACCUAAUUGGGGGUAUUUCCGACGCAUUGGUGUGCUCGGAAUAGCGUUUCGAAAAGUGUAUGUAAAGUUAUGGCCCAAUAAGCCUAAUUUGGCUUCGUUAAGUCGUGUGUGUUGGCAAGUUUCGUGAAGUGAGUCGGAGUCUUGAAGAAUCGGUGCGUGUUGUCGAAGAUCGAAGAAUUCAAGAUUUCGAAGAAGUUGGAAAAUAACUCACACCGUGAAUCACGAUGUCCAGGUAAAGUGUUAAUUCAUGAUCAUGGUGAUUCAUACUUAGUUGUAGACAUUAGAAUCAUAAUAUCAUUGUCUAACGGAUUAGAAAGUGCAUUGGAACUUUGCAAAACCCGAAACGGCGAAAAUUUGCAAAGUGUACCGGUACAGCAUCAGAAGUGUACCGGUACAAAAUGUGUACCGGUACGACCAUCAAGGGUGUAACCGGUUUCACUGUUUCGUCUGGUUUUUCGUUCCGUCAUUGUGUAACCGGUGACAGCCUAAAGUGUACCGGUACACAAUGUAAAAUCGUGAAAUCUUUCUAAUCCGACUCCAAUUGAUUCUAAAGUCUAUAAAUAAGCUAUUGGGCUUCUCUAACACAUCAAGCAUCAUAAGAAUACAUGUUUGAGAAACCCUAGAGGCUCGGAUUUCAUCUUAAACCUAUUUUCUACAAAAAGCCUCUUUUAGAUCAAAUCGAGAUAUUGAAAUUUGAUAUUAAUAUGUCGAUUUGAUCUCCGCUUCGCUUGGAGUUCUAUUCCCUGGUUUUCUACGAUACUCCUAAGCGAAGGAUCACCAUACUCAUGAUGCUCUUCAUGAACGGCGUCGUGGAUUCGGCGUGAACAAAGGCGGUUCGUGGAUUCGGAUCGUUGGCUCGUGGAUUCGAGUGGCGUCGUGGAUUCGGCGUGAUUGAAGCUUCGUGGAUUCGAAGUGGAGGCGUUCGUGGAUUCGGACGUGAGGGCGUGGACAACCCGGAGGGUAGCGCGAAGAUUCAUAGGAGGUUAAGAGAGGUAGAGUCCGUGGAGUCGGUAAUCACCUUGUAAUCUUUUCUCUUAGUGAAUUAUUUUUUCGCGUGUUGGUCCCGUGGGUUUUUCUCCAAGUUGGAGUUUUCCCACGUAAAUCUCGAUGUGCUUUUUAUUUUCAGCAUUUAUUUUUAUUGCAUCGAGAUUUGUGAUUUUUGGCCGUUCACCUAUUCACCCCCCUCUAGGUGAUAGAUACAAUCUAGAUAGAUCCUUGGGCUCCUCAAAACUUUCAGGGACCCAGCGGAAGCCCGCUCGGCACGUGCACAGACCCGCCGCGUACACCAGACAACCACGAUGCACACAAGGCGUCUACCAAAAACUAUAAAUGAACAAGAUAAAGUCCUAACAAGGCUAUCAGAGCGAGUAAUAUAAAAUCACUAAUGUUCUAGCAUAAAGAGAUCCACAAUAUGUACAAAGUGUAUACAAGUAAAUCCAAAAGUCUAACAUAAUCUCUAAACCAAAAUACAAUAAUACAUCUUUCCACAAAGUAUAAAAGAAAGAUGAUGUCGGGUCCCUCUAAAAUAACUCCGUAGGGGCUCUAGCUAGUCGCUAACCCGUUGUCACGAUCCCUAGCCACUCCUGAUGCGGAUUGCUCUGAAACAAACAACAAAACAGAGGGCGUGAGAACUAUUAAAUAAUAGUUUCCAGUGGGCAAGUCGCUGACCUCAGCGAAAUACACCACGGCUAACAUAGGCAUGCUAUAAAGGAAGGUAAUUAAGCAAUUAUAUAAAAGCAAGUACUUAAACGAGAUUAAACAUGGACAUGCCUCUACUAUAAUUUUAACUAUCAUGUAUAUGAUGUUCUACUUUCACUUGAUCAACUAUAUGUCAAUGAUGAUUAACAUGCCAAAUCAGAUGUAUGCCAUUGUCUAUAACAUGCAUAAUCAUAAUGUCCAUAAUGCUACAUAGAGUAAAUUAUGCUUUUCAUUGUUAUUCUAUUCAUGCAUCCAUACAAUCGAUGUAGAUGUAAAAAUACUACCACUAGAGUGUCAAUGCUAUGAAUGACUAACACAAGGUCCACAAUAUGCACUAUCAUGCAUGUCCACUAGACCAACUAAUGUGCACCAUCUAGUAGUAGUUUCCACAUUACGCUUUAAGUACCAUAGUUCAAUCCUCGUCAUGGAUUUACACGUGUGUAGUUCGGCUUGCGCCGUGCCAAAAAUGGCUCCGUAGUAGUCAACAUUCCCACUCUAGGAAUGAGCCUCCCCCACGGCAUCCCAUUUCGGCGCCCAAUCCCGCCCGGGCGAGCUUGUGUUGCGUAGGCUAUCUCCGGAGUGCCGGCUUGUGGGGAGCGACCCUCACAAGUAUGUGCGAAUGAGCACAAUGGCAAGCAAGCAUGGUCAAUAGUAUCCAGCUCCCGGUCAUCAUGUCUAAAACAUAGAAUAAGUACCAACGACCCAAAGGUCCAAUAAAGUAUCCCAUUGUGAAGGUUUAGUCAUUUACUAAUCCAAAUGUCACUGCAUGAUGUUCACGUUUACUAUGUCAAGUAUAAGUCACCAGUUUAUAAGCACAUAACACUUGUCAUUAUCCUAUCUAGGAUAGUUCACAAUUUCAUGCAAGUCUCCAACUAGGUUCAUGACAUGCAAUUCCAAUAAUUGUUCAAAGAAAUGUUUACUAUGCCAUAUGCAAAAGAACUAUGAAAUGUCCACAAGUAGCCCAAUGCAUAUUAUGCACAUGCCUUUCCACUAACAUUCCCACUGUCACGCCCCGAGCCCCCGCCUAUUUGGCCAGAAUUGGGCACGUCGAGAGACUGCCGAACGGACAGAGUCUCUCCUGUACGUCCUAGGCGUCGCAAUCAAUAUAAUACAAGAAGUUCCAACCAGGAACAGUAUUCAACAUACAGAUUGCAUAAGGAAGUAUCAAACAACAUAAACAGCUAGACUAUUACAAGCAUUCCCACAACAUGCAUUUUACAUCCCAUUUACAAUUCAUUUUACAAUCAACUUCCAAAUACAAUCAAGGUUAUUACAACUUUUACUUAUUUACAAAUUUGAUACAUCUUGUUCUUUUCAUUUUCCCUCUACCCCUAAGCUAUGCCAACUCGGGAUACCGCUAUCUCUGGUCUCUAGGUAGGGCACUAUCAAUGGAGCGAUGCCCUUGCCUCGCGCUGCCGCACCGCUCACGUGCAAACCUGUAACCCCCAAAACCACACGAGGGUGAGAACUAUAUAAAUAUAGUUCCCAGUGGGUACAGCCACCCAAGGGAAAAGCUCGACCAAUAGGUCCAAGGAGGCACUACAAUAUGUUAGUCCAACAAUAUCCAACAGAUAUAUAUAUAUUCAAAUUAAAAUAUAUGUCAUGCCUCACAAUAUGCAAUAUAAAAUCAUGCAACUAUGCAACUACGGAGUUCACUAGUAGAUCCAUGGAUACUACUUUCGAUCUUGCCAAUCAUAGCUCAUGCCAUCUAGCUGUAAGGUUCUACUUACCUUAGCUCCACAGCUCAACCUCAACUAGUGUCUAAGGUCUCUACUGCCUUAGAUCAUAUCAUAAAUCACUAGCCUUUAAGGUUUCUACUAUCCACCCGACUCGGCCUUGAGUCAAUUAUCGCGGACUAUCGCGCACUAGCUGCAUCUCUACCACAGCCUGGCUACCGUCACAGCCUACCGCAUCUCUUGACUUAGCUAUCUGGUGGCGAACGCGUUGUCUUUACCCAGCAAGGUCUCAAGUCAUGACUUAGCCAUCUGGCGGCGAACUAAUCGCAUCUCACCAAACAAUGGUUCAGGUCACGACUCAGCCAUCUUGCGACGCACGCAUUGCCCUUACCCAGCAAUGGUUCAAGUCAAUCCAGGCUGUUAAGGAUUUUCUAUGUUGGCGGAUUUCGUAAAGUCAAAUGGAGUCUUGCAAAUCAUAGCUCAUGCCAUCUAGCUCUAAGGUUCUACUUACCUUAGCUCCACAGCUCAACCUCAACUAGUGUCUAAGGUCUCUACUGCCUUAGAUCAUAUCAUAAAUCACUAGCCUUUAAGGUUUCUACUAUCCACCCGACUCGGCCUUGAGUCAAUUAUCGCGGACUAUCGCGCACUAGCUGCAUCUCUACUACAGCCUGGCUGCCGUCACAGCCUACCGCAUCUCUUGACUUAGCUAUCUGGUGGCGAACACGUUGUCUUUACCCAGCAAGGUAUCAAGUCAUGACUUAGCUAUCUGGUGGCGAUGUGACGCCCCGACUUCCCACGGGGUCACCCAUCCUAGGACUACUCCCGUCCUAGCACGCUUAACUCUCUUAACCUCUUGGGUCUAGCCACCACCCAAAAUGCUUAAGCCGGGUUAAGAGUUUAGCCCUAUUAUAUCUCAUAUAUAGGACUAUCUGGGAUCUCACAGGCGAACUAAUCGCAUCUCACGAAACAAUAGUUCAGGUCACGACUCAGCCAUCUGGCGACGCACGCAUUGCCCUUACCCAGCAAUGGUUCAAGUCAAUCCAGGCUGUUAAGGAUUUUCUAGGUUGGCGGAUUUCGUAAAGUCAAAUGGAGUCUUGAAGAGUUGAUCGCGGUAGUUUGAAGAGAAGAUUCAACUUGAAGAGCAAAGACUCAUUUGAAAAGCUCGGCACCUCAGGUAUAAAGAAUAGAUUAUUUUUGGUGAUUUUAUCUAACUACAAUAAGUUUAGAAGACUUGGAUUGCAAUAGAAAACACAAACUGAGGUUUUCAAUAUGCUGGGACCGGUCCCCUUAGAUGAGAGACCGAUUCCCGAGAGUUCUCUCUGCGUGGAUGUCUAAUGCAACCGGUCUCCUAAUCUGAGGGACCGGUCUCCUGGUCGGUGCAACCGGUCUUUGUCAUGAGAGACCGGUUCCCGAACGUUGGGAUUUUUGACUCGCAGGGAGAGACCGGCCUCUGGCAUGAGAGACCGGUUCCCGAACAUUGUGUUUUCUGUCACGCAGCGAGAGACCGGUCUCCCAUUCAAGGCACCGGUCUCUGACAGACCGGUCUCCUCGAGAGGACCGGUCCUUGAGGAUGACACCAGUUUUUAAAAUAGACUUUUUGCAAUCCUAGUCUACUUCUAAGUCUUCUAAACUUAUAAAUAAGCCAUGGGGGUUAUCAUAUGGGUUGAGGAUUUGAAUUUCUACUGUUCAAAAACCCUAGAAACUUAUUUUCAUGUUCCAAUGAUUCUAUUCAUAUAACAAGUUUCAUAUAAUCAUUGAUCGACUUGAUUCUUCAAUUUUAACUCAAGAUAUUCGUUGAGAAUCAAGUAGAUGUUUGAUUAGAAAGUGAACCCUCAUUGCUUAUGGGAUUCUAAGUCUUAAUCACCACAAAUCAUCAAUUCUACAAACUCCGGAAGGAGAUUCGGCGCGUGGAUCUCGCGUGGAGCCGAGGACUCGGUGGACGCUUCGAGGAGCUGAGGCGUUGACGCAGCAAGGAGUUGCAGCGGGGUCGAUUGGAGGAUUCCUAUCGAUCGAGGACCGGCGAAGAACAUCAACAACAGGAAUUCGGUAAAUUGAGUCUUGUAUUUUGGUUAAAUCACUUGUACUCAAGUUUUCUUAGUGAAUUUUCUUCGCGUGAUCGGUCCCGUGGGUUUUUCACUCCGGAUUGGAGUUUUCCUACGUUAAAAUCUCGGUGUUUUGUUUUUAUUUUCCGCUAUUCUUUUUAUUUGCAUCGAGAAGUUUUGUUUGUGCCGUUUUACACCUAUUCACCCCCCUCUAGGUGUUAUUUAUCUUUUAGAUCCUCGGGAUCCAUAUCUUACAAGUGGUAUCAGAGCGGGUAUAGGUUGUAAAUCAUGGCCGAAGGCGAUAACAUCAAUCGACCCCCUCUUUUCGAUGGCACUAAUUACGCUCAUUGGAAAGUCCGUAUGAGGGCGUUUCUUAUUGCCAUCGACGAGCGGGUAUGGCAAGCCAUUGAAUUUGGUUGGAAACAUCCUACCGAAAUUGUCAAGAAUGUUACCGGUCCGAAACCUAGAAAUAAAUGGACGAAAGAGAAAAACGAACUAUCUUCAUUCAACGGGAAAGGUAUCAAUGCUUUAUUUAAUGCCUUAAAUCAAACUGAAUUUUUUCGUGUCUCGGCGUGUGAAACCGCCAAAGAGAUUUGGUACACUUUACAAGUUACACACGAGGGUACAAGCUUGGUAAAGAUUCAAAAAUUACAAAUGCUUACUAGUAGAUUUGAUUCUAUCCGUAUGAAAGAACAUGAAUCUUUUACCGAGUAUUAUACUCGUUUGCAAGACAUUGUAAACACGUGUGCUAACUUAGGCGAGAAGAUUCCGGAUUCCAAAAUUGUUAGAAAAAUUUUGAGGACCCUUCCCUAACGAUUUCGUCCUAAGGUUGCGGCCAUUGAAACGGUAAAACAUCCGGAUGAACUUAAGGUAGAAGAAUUAGUAGGUGCACUUCAAAUGUAUAAUAUGACUUUUCCUUCUAAUUCGUCUUCUUCCAAAUCUUCUUCUAAAGCUUCAGGGAUGGCUCUAAAAUCAACAAAAAGAGAUGACACUACAACUUCAUCGGACUCGGCGUCGGAGCAAACAUUGGAGGAGUUUGAAAAGCAACUAGCGCUUCUAACGAAGAAGUUCCGUCGGAACUUUAGAAAGAAGUUUCCUCCCAAGGCUACUUCCUCCAAGUCAAGCAAAUCAAAAGGGAGUUCUUCUUCAUCUUCUUAUUCUAAGAAUAAAAAGUCCAAAAGCUCUUCUAAAGAUUUUUCAAAAGAGAAGAAAACUAAUGAAGGUCAAAUCCAAUGCUAUAAGUGUAGAGGAUUUGGUCAUAUUGCAUCGGAUUGCCCUAAUAAAAAAUCUUUGAAAAAGAAAGCAAUGCAAGCUAUCACUUGGGAUGACUCGUCUUCGAGUGAGACAUCUUCAAGUGAUGAGGAUGUUAACGCUAUGGCACUUAUUGCACAUGACUUUUUUAUGUGUUUAGCAUCUACAGAUUCUAUCUCUAUGUCAUCCCUGCAUGAAAAAUCUUAUUCGGAGAACUCAUCGGAUGAAGAAUCGGAUGAAGAUGACAUGGUCGCAGCAUAUCAACAAUUGGUAGUCGAAUCAAAGAAGGUGGCAAAACAUAACAAGAAGUUGCGGCGAAGUCUACAUGACUUAGAACAAGAGAAUUCAAGAUUGGCCUCAUUGUCAAAGGAUCUAGAACAAGAAAGAGAUGGUUUGACUAAGGCCUACAAUUCUUUAUUUGAGAAGUGUACAUUACUUGAAAAGGAAAAGGAGACUCAUGUUGAAAACAUCAAUUUUCUUACCAAGCAAUACUCGGAAGCUAGAGAAGCAAAUAUGGAAUUCACCAAGACGAUUAUUCAACUUAAAUCAGAUUUAAAUCAAUUCUUGUCUGGCUCUAGCAAACUUGAUAAGAUGCUUGGACUUGGUCAAACAAAUAAACUUGGACUUGGAUACGAACAGACGUAUAUUGAUCAAGCAAUGAAGAAAGAUGACGAACACUCGACAAAAGCAGUUCCUAAGCUUUAUGGUAAGUUCGUCCCUCCUAAAAACACUUUGGCUAACAAAACUUGUCAUCUUUGUGGUGUUUUAGGACAUAUAAAGAAAUUUUGCAAACAAAAGGGUAAGAGCUCCACAACACCCUUGAAUCAAAGAACAUCUUUAAUGCCCAUGAAGAAUGAUCCUAAAUCAAAAGGGAAGUCAACUUGGACUCUAAAGAAGGAUGAUCAUAUGAAGAAACAAAUAUGGACACCAAAGAAGAAUAUUCCGAAAUCAAAGGCAAAACAAGCAUGAAAACCAAAGAAGGAGGAUCUGAAGAAGAAGUUAAUUCAAAUCGUCGACAAGCCACGAUCACCAAAAGCAAGUGAACCGACGCAACCCAAAACACGUAAGGUUUGGGUGCGCAAAGGUGAACUCUUCCUAUGCCUUGUCAUUCACACUUCGCUUCUUGCUUACGAUAAUACUUCUUGGUAUCUGGAUAGUGGUUGUUCCUGUCACAUGACCGGUGAUAAAAAUUGGUUUACUUCUUUAAAUAAAAUCUCCGGAGGACUUGUUGUUUUUGGAGACGGUCGAUCGUCAAAAAUCGUCGGAAAAGGAACAGUGACUAUCUCAGAUCGCCCUACUUUGAAUGAUGUUUUUUAUGUUGAGGGGCUAAAAUCUAAUCUCGUAAGCAUAAGUCAAUUGUGUGAUGAUGGGUAUUCUGUGACGUUUUCUGAUAAAGAAUGCUAUGUGACUCGAGAUGAUAAUCUUUUCUUAAAAGGAGUUAGAUCUCAGAAUAACAUAACACUGUUAUGUAGUUCCUAGUUCUUCAACUGAACAUUGUAACCUAGCGUCAUUAGAGACUGAAACUUUAUGGCAUGAACGACUAGGUCACAUGAACUUUAAGGAACUAUCCAAGAUAACUAAGAAGGAGGUUGUUAGAGAUGUACCUAAGAUAGACUUCAAAGAGAACACUGUGUGUGAGGGUUGUCAAUUGGGGAAACAAACUAGAUCCGCACAUAAGAAUGUGAACCACUUAGGGACAUCUAAACCGUUAGAAUUACUUCACAUGGACUUGAUGGGACCAUCUAGGAUUCAAAGUUUGGGUGGAAAACGUUAUAUCCUGCUUAUUGUUGAUGAUUUUACUCGAUUUGUAUAGAGUGCCUUCUUACAUGAAAAAGCUGAUACUUUUAAUUCUUUUUCUGAGAUUUGUCUUCGUCUUAUGAAUGAGCGUAAUGAUAAAAUUGUAUGUAUUCGAAGUGAUCAAGUGGAAGAAUUCAAAAUUCAAAAUUUGUUGAUUUUUGUGUUUCAGAUGGCAUAAAAUAUAAAUUCUCGGCUCUUUAUACACCUCAACAAAACGGAGUGGUAGAACGUAAAAAUCAGUUUGUACAAGAGAUGGCACGUGUUAUGCUUCAUAGUAAGAAAAUUGCUUUACAUUUUUGGGCCGAAGCGGUUAACACGGUAGUCUAUGUUAUCAAUCGGAUUUAUGUGUGUCCGGGUACUUUGAAUACUCCGUAUGAACUUUGGCUUGGUAGGAAACCUAAUAUUAAAUACUUUCUUGUCUUCGGGAGUAAAUGUUUUAUCCUUCGGGAUCGUGAAAAUCUUGAAAAAUUUGACUCCCGAAGUGACAAGGGGAUCUUUCUUGGUUAUUCUACUACAAGUCGUGCUUAUCGUGCGUACAAUUUUCGAUCUAAGACGGUGAUAGAAUCUAUCAAUAUAAAAGUAGAUGAAGCUUCUUCUGUAAGUUCUUUUAUAAAUGGUUCUUCUAAUUCUCUGGUGAAUGAUGAUGAUAAUGAUUCUCCAUUUGUAUUGCCUGUGAAUGAUGAUGUUUCUGCAUUUGAUUAUCCUAUUGCAUCUUCUGAAAAUGUUGCAUCAAAUGAUUUAUCUAAGCCUCAAAGCACCUCAUCUGAAAUCCCUAGCACAUCACCUGAGACUACAUCCCUGACAGAGUCAAGAGAUCAUCCUUUAUCGAAUGUUAUUGGGGAUCCUAAUGUUGGUGUACGAACUAGAAGUCAACUUCAAUGUGAAUUUGCAUGUUAUGUAUCUCUAAUUGAACCAAAGAAUAUUGACGAAGCUCUUCUUGAUGAAUAUUGGAUAAAUGCCAUGCAAGAAGAACUUGGUCAAUUCAUCCGCAAUGAUGUAUGGGAAUUAGUGCCACGCCCUGAGCAACAAAAUGUUAUUGGUACUAAAUGGAUUUUUAAAAAUAAGAAAAAUAAGGAUGGUACAAUUGUUCGAAAUAAAGCUAGACUUGUUGCUCAAGGUUACUCACAAAUUGAAGGGAUUGAUUUUGAUGAAACCUUCGCCCCAGUUGCUCGACUCGAAUCUAUUUGUAUUCUGUUCGCGAUAGCUUGUCAUUUUAAAAUUACUCUUUAUCAAAUGGAUAUCAAAAGUGCAUUUUUGAAUGAUUUUCUAAAAGAGGAAGUUUAUGUGGAACAACCAAAAGAUUUUAUAGAUUCUAAAUUUCUAAAUCAUUUUUUUCGUCUUAAAAAGGCACUUUAUGGACUCAAACAAGCACCGCGAGCAUGGUAUGAACGAUUAACCAAAUAUCUUUUAGAAAAGGGGUACAACCGAGGGGUAGCGGAUAGAACUCUUUUACUAAACACACUAAAAUGACUUUAUUGUGGCACAAAUUUAUGUGGAUGACAUUAUCUUUGGUGCAACUAAAGAUACUGUUGCGACUGAAUUUGCAAAGUUGAUGACUAGUGAGUUUGAGAUGUCUAUGAUGGGAGAGCUUUCAUACUUCCUUGCUCUUCAAGUUAAACAAUCAAAGGAAGGAAUUCAUUUGUCUCAAACCAAGUACGCAAAGGAAUUGGUUAAGAAAUUUGGUUUGGAUGGAGCAAAGGAUUUUGAUACACCGAUGGGAGCAAGUAAUAAAGGACUUGGAGUAAAUGUUGAAGGACAGAGUGUGGAGGAGAAAUAGUACAGAAGCAUGAUUGGGAGCCUAUUGUACUUGACUGCGAGUAGACCAGAUAUUGCUUUUAGUGUUGAACUUUGUGCUCGCUAUCAAGCUAAUCCUAAGGAAGUUCAUCUGAAAGCGGUUAAACGGAUCAUUCAGUACGUUAAUGGUACAACUGCAUAUGGCCUCUGGUAUCCUAUGGAACAUCUCUUGAUCUGAUUGGAUACUCAGAUGCUGACUGGGCUGGCUCUGCGGAUGAUCGGAAAAGCACUAGUGGAGCUUGUUUUUACCUUGGACAUUGUUUUGUUGCGUGGCAUAGUAAGAAACAGAACUGUAUUGCUCUUUCCACUGCCUAGGCUGAGUAUAUUUCUGCCGGCAGUUGCUCUACACAGUUACUGUGGAUGAAAAGCUUAUUGAGUAACUAUCGGAUCUCCUCCACCACUUUUACAAUUCUUUGUGACAACACGAGUGCUAUUAAUAUUUUCAAAAAUCCUGUUUUACACUCACGAACAAAGCAUAUUGAACUAAGAUAUCACUUUUUGAGAGAAUUGGUUGAAUCAAACGUUCUUCAACUUGAAUAUAUUUCAACUAAAAAUCAACUCGCAGAUAUUUUAACAAAACCUUUGGAUCAAAAACUUUUUCUACAUUUAAGAAAUGCUAUUGGUAUAAAUCCUUCAAACUAGACAUAUUCCAUUGGGCCAUAGAUCAUGUGCAUGUUGGAUUUUGUUUCUGUGCAUUUUUUCGUUUUUUCCUGAUUAUUCUUGAGAGACGAUUGAAUUUCAUGAAUGAUGUCGCUGUUUUUGUGAGAUAAAUUGGUUUCUGUUAGCUCUAUCUUAUGACUUUAAUUGUUUCAUAUUAAGUUUCUGAUUGAUCACUGUCAAUGUUAUUCUCUACUGUCAUAAUUUUUGAACGAUCAAAUCAUUGAAAUCCUGUUCAGUAUACUGAAUUAAAUUCAACACCUCAUGAUUAGAACUUUGAAUGUUGCAAUUGUUUGUUUGAUUAUUAGUUGUGAGAUGAAUAACUCUUUGUCUAUUUUUGAAAUUGCAAUAAUAUUUUUGACUUGAGGGUUGCACUAAUUUAGGGCGAGUCUUUCCGACUAUGGUUAUGAAAGUAUCUUAAAUUCAAAAAAAUGUGGAAAGAGUUACAUCCCUGUUGGGAGUGUAAAAACUACCACCACAUGGAGGAAAGAGCUACCACCCCGGUCGUCCGGUCAGUGUGUGCAGCUACCACAUGAUGAUCAAUAUAUCUCUAUGUGCUAAAAGCCAAUAAAGAAUAAAUAAAUAUGAGAUGUUAUGGAAAUGGUAAAAUUCUAAUACUAUAUUUAAGACAUCUCUUAGGGGAUAUAAGGUGGUUUGUUAAAAGAUGCUCAAAGAGCCACUCCUAUCUCGAUUUAUGUGCAUAACUCAAAUUGAAAAUAUUCUUUUAAUUUCAUGAUUAUGAGAUUUAUUUAUUCAAUUUCUUAACAAAUAUGAUGAUAAAACGAUACAAUUAAUCCCUAGAUCUUGCAUGAUGUGUGGAAUUUUAUUUGAUACUUAUCAAGAAUUUUAUUUGAUUUUCGGAUCAACAGUGUUUGACAAAUUGAAUAUCUUUGAGAUUGAUUUUUCAAAAUUUAUUUAUGAAAUUUUAUUGGAAGUCUUUGGGGAUAGAUAUUAUGUAUUCUUGAUGUUGGACAUGUUGAGGAUAUUAUAUAAAAUUUUUGAAAAUUAUGAACGAAGAUUUCAUUUUUUUUGGUUUUGGCUCUGGGACCGGUCCCCGAUUUGGAGAGACCGAUCUCUCCGCCCGAACCGGAUUUAAGGGUUUGCGGUCUGUUAUUUUUUCACUUUACCAAUUUCGUUCAAACUCCUCUUCUGAGCUUCUAAUAUCCCCAGGGCAUUUUUGGUUGCUUUCUUCAUCAUUUUACACUUGAUUUAGGUAUGAUUCUCGGAUUUUGUUUCUUUGUUGCAUUAUAAUCCGAAUUUUUGCUUUAUUUUUAAUUUUUAGGGCUUGUUCUCAUUAUGAUUGUUGAAUCUCUUCGUUUAUGCCCUGAUCUUCCCUCAAAGAAUGUUAGUUAGGAUUUUCACACAUUGUUUCAUACCUUGAUACAAUUGUUUGGUUGAUUUUGCAAAGUUUUCAUCAUCAAACCCUAAUUUUUCAAUUUUUUUGAAAAAAAAGUGAUUUUACAGAUUUUGAUGCAUAAUGUAAUCAUUGUUUUCAUGCUUAUGUGGCCCUAGGAUUAUCUAGCAUAUUACAUAUCAACUUGCUAAAGUUUUUAAAAAAUAAAAAUAAAAAUAAAAAUAAAAAUAAACCAACAGUUCUUAUGUUCAAUAUGUGUAAAUUGUCGUAUUUACAGGGUCUUCUUCAAAAAAGUACUCGUGGCUGCUUGUUUUUGUGGUGCUUAUGGCUGGUGGUGGCCGUGGGAGUAAGCGUCAGCGUGCUUCGACCAAGCGUCCUGUUGAGCAACAUUGAGAAGAUGAGGGGAGCGAGUAUACUCCAGGUGAAGAAUCUGAAUCUGAUGAGCCCGAUUGGGAGGUACUUACUCCUGAAGUGCUUUCGAAGAAGAAGGGUAAAGCUCCCGCAGAAAAAGAACGAGAGAAGGGAAAAGGAAAAGGAAAAGGAAAAGGUACUGAAAAGGGAAAGGGCAAAGCCACUGCUCAAGGGACAGAUACGGGAGGUCGAAGAAAGUCAGGUGGAUUUGAGAUUAGAGAGCCUGUUUUUGAGCCUCCGCGAUAUUCUGUUCAGGAUGUUGAUUCCCGCCGACGAUCCAUGUACUCCUCAAAGCACUGCAUUGGUGAACGUGAUGUAAGCGUCGCAGAUAUUAUUGAGCGUGUGCCGGAAUUUCAAGCUCUAUUUGAAAAUGGUAAUUUGCAUGAAAUUUGUAGCUUUUCGGAGCAAUCAGGUUUCUGCUUGGAGCUUAUUAGGGAAUUUUAUAUGCGAGCGGGACAUCUGAUUGACUCUUAUAGCGGCCCAUACAGGUUCACUACUUCGGCACGAGGCGUCGAGUUGUCUAUUACGCCUGAUACGAUAGCUUCUGUGCUGGAAAUAGAAGCUCGUACCGAUGGAAUUGAGUACUUACAGGCCGGAUUUGAUUCGUUUCGGGAUUGGGCGCGUAUUGUGAAUGCAAUCUGCAUGCCGGGAACUGAAUCUAAUGGAAUUAUGGUUUUAUCUAAAGAUUUUAAGAUGGAGUAUCGUUUUCUGAACUUCGUGGUUUGUUAUAACAUUUUGCCCUUGGCAAACACGAAGAUUCUGCGUUGGGAUCGUCUUCUUUAUAUGUACUUGUUGGGUCACCCGGACAUUGUACAAGCAAAGAACAUAAACAUGAACAUUCCGUUUUUAAUUUGGGGGCGGAUGGCCAAGGACAUCAAGACAUCAGGGCAGAAUGACAGGUUGCCAUUUCCAUUGAUUAUUAUGCGGAUUCUGCGAAUGUAUGAGGUGGAUACUCGUUGUGCGUCAUACGAGCAUAGUCUUGGGAGGAUAAGUGACACGACGUUUGUGAAGUCCUCUGUGCAGCUUCGAACUCCGUCUAAACGAACUUCUUCACCUACUGCUGCUCCACCUCCUGCUGCUCCUAGUUCUUCCCGUCCUUCUAUGGAUAUUUCUGAGGAGGAUAUCUCGGUUUCAUCCGUGUAUCGUGAGCAACAUAGAUUAUCUGAAGAGCUUCAAAAACUUUCAGCGGAUCAGGCUCAGAUAAGGAAGGAUAUGAGCAAGAUUAGAUGAUUAAUGAAAGUGAUCUUCGAUAAAUUAGGUUGUUGUAGCUCCGAUCUUCCUCCGCAGGGUGAUGACUCCGACUGAGUGGUGCGGGGUUCCUCCUUUUAUCGUUUUGUCGGUUUCUUGACAAAAAGGGGGAGAUGAUGAUGAUGUUUUUUAGUUAAUUUUAGUUGUUAGAUGCAUGAUUUUAGAUGUUAGAUGCAUGUGUAGGUGCAUGAUGCUGUGCUGAUGGUGAUGUUUUUAGAUGAGAUGCUGAUAAUGAUGUAUUAAGAUAUGACUGUUUAUGUUUGAUCGUUAAUGAAAUUUCUUGGAUCUUGAUUGUGUUUUGAAAAUGUUUAUUGCAGGAACUUUCAAGACUUCAAGACUUCAUGUCUAAGUCAUAGAGUUUGUAGUAAGAUUGUGAAAAAAUAUAAUUUUUUCUUUUAUUGAAUCGAUCAUGCAGGAGAUUGUCGUUUGGUGAUUGCGAUGAUCUUCUUUUUAUUGUUUCUGAGUUGUGUACGAGUGUUGUAAUAUGUUUUGUCACGAAAUCGCCAAAGGGGGAGAUUGUUAAGGAUUUUCUAGGUUGGCGGAUUUCGUAAAGUCAAAUGGAGUCUUGAAGAGUUGAUCGCGGUAGUUUGAAGAGAAGAUUCAACUUGAAGAGCAAAAACUCAUUUGGAAAGCUCGGCACCUCAGGUAUAAAGAAUAGAUCAUUUUUGGUGAUUUUAUCUAACUACAAUAAGUUUAGAAGACUUGGAUUGCAAUAGAAAACACAAACUGAGGUUUUUAAUGUGCUGGGACCGGUCCCCUGAGAUGAGAGACCGGUUCCCGAGAGUUCUCUCUGCGUGGAUGUCUAAUACAACCGGUCUCCUGAUCUGAGGGACCGGUCUCCUGGUCGGUGCAACCGAUCUCUGUCAUGAGAGACCGUUUCCCUAACGUUGGGAUUUUUGACUCGCAGAGAGAGACCGGUCUCUGGCAUGAGAGACCGGUUCCCGAACGUUGUGUUUUCUGUCACGCAGCGAGGGACCGGUCUCCCAUUCAAGGCACCGGUCUCUGACAGACCUGUCUCCUCGAGAGGAUCGGUCCUUGAGGACGACACCAGUUUUUAAAAUAGACUUUUUGCAAUCCUAGUCUACUUCUAAGUCUUCUAAACCUAUAAAUAAGCCAUGGGGGUUAUCAUAUGGGUUGAGGCUUUGAAUUUCUACUGUUCAAAAACCCUAGAAACUUGUUUUCACGUUCCAAUGAUUCUAUUUAUAUAACAAGUUUCAUAUAAUCAUUGAUCGACUUGAUUCUUCGAUUUUAACUCAAGAUAUUCUUUGAGAAUCAAGUAGAUGUUUGAGGAGGGACUGUUGGAGCUCGGAUUCGUCGCCGCCGUAGUGCCGCGGAGUCGUUCGAGCACACGUUUGUCGUCGUGGUGCUGUGAGGAGCUCGGGCGGGCCUGGAUUGGACGACGUGGCGUCGACUCUUGAAGGUUUUCAAGGUGAGUGUUCGGUUGGAAUCACCUCAAUUACUUUAGCAUCAUCAAAUUUGAGCUUAAGUGCUAUUUUGCUUUUUUUCGCCGUCGAUCGUUGGUGUUUCAGCUCGUACUCGGCGUAGGAGCGUCGGUUUUCGACGAGACUUGGUUUGUUGGAUUCAAGACUUCGAGAGGAAUCAACAAAGCCCUUACUUACUAGAUUUGGUGAAGGUUAGCUUGGUCAAAUCCCUUUUCUACUCUGUUACUGCGAGAUUCGGACUGAAUUGGUGGAUUUUGAUCAUAGAGCUUGGAGUUAGCUCGAGUACUAGACUUGGAGGAUUCCAGUUGAUCCAGCAGGGCUCACUUUGGUUCGAGGCUUCGUUCGCUGCUAGGAGCUAGCUUCUUGAGGUGGGUUUACAUCGGUUUUACUCCUAAGUUCAUAAUCGUCGACAUGUAUAGAUUUCGAUUUUGGAUAAUCUAUUCUAGCUCGAAUUCAUGGAUUAUUUUGUAGAUUGCAAAUUUGAAUUUGGAACAUGUGGUAAUAAAUUGAGUAGUUAAUACAUGUUGGACUUGGACUUGACUUAGGAGAAAACGCGAUAAUGAUCGGCAUAUGCUUAAACUGCCUGAUUUAGCUCUAGGAGCCGUUAUUAAAUUGUACUGUCGCAGUAUCUUCGAGACGAGUACUCCAGGUAGUUUAGAUUAUAUUUACGCUCGUGCUGGUACGCCGAGUGAAUUUUUACAGGGUCAUUUGGACUAUUUCGGACUUUUGGGCGCCGUUGGGGUGGACGGUGGGCCCGGUUCGCCGUUUUGGCGUCAGAUUGUGCCGAGGGCACGUUACUUGUUGGUUGUUAGACUAGUUAGAGUCGGUUACUUGGACUUUGGCUUGACAGAGCCUGAUUGAGCUCGACAGAAAUACGCUGCAUACUCGGUUGGGUAGCGCCCACGAGUGCCACUCCGGAGACGGGCUUUGUGCUUUUGCGUUGGUGUCGCUCAUGCCGGUUGGACUUGCUUUCCACGGACCAGUUAGUGUGGAGGUAGCUAGAUAGUCGCAACUGGGCAGGGACGGGUGUAUUCACAGUCCCAGGGACGGGUAUGUUUACAGUCCCGAUUGGAUUGGGUCAGAUUUGAUAUUUCCUACAGUUGGUUAGUGUAGAGCAUGAUAGUGUAGUGAUUUGUAGCGGUUGAGUUUAUUUCCUGCAUUUUCCUACUAUCUUGGCUCCCCUCUGUAGACUUAGUGGGUGGACCGAUGUUGUUUUGGGCGGCACCCACUGAGGACUACUUGUUUUUACAGUAGUUCUCACGCCCAGUUGUUACCCCUGUUUUGCAGAGCCAUAGGUUUCGGCUGCUGCACCUUCCGAGGCAGAUCGAGGUAAGGGCGUCGCGAGUUAGAGCCCUACCCGACGUGCUGAGUUAGAGGUGCCCCUACUGCAGGUAGAUGUUUUGUUUCGAGUUUAUGUACAUAGUAGACUUAACUCGCUAGUGCGAGUAACUUUAUAUUUUGGAUUGGGACUAGGUAUAUGAAACUCAGUUUGUUUAGCUUCUGUUUUCUCUAGCAGCUCUCUACUACUGUUCGUAGUAGUGUUUGAUUUACAGGUAUAGUUGUCGCUUCGUAUACAGAAAAAAUUUCUUUGUAUACGGCGGAUUUGUCGGCGUGCCCAGGGAACGAGACAUCCGGGGCGUGACAGAUUAAGUUGGUAUCAGAAGGUGAACCCUCAUUGCUUAUGGGAUUGAUUCUAAGUCUUAAUCACCACAAAUCAUCAAUUCUACAAACUCCGGAAGGAGAUUCGGCGUGUGGAUCUCGCGUGUAGCCGAGGACUCGGUGGACGCUUCGAGGAGUUGAGGCGUUGACGCAGCAAGGAGUUGCAGCGGGGUCGAUUGGAGCAUUCCUAUCGAUCGAGGACUGGCGAAGAACAUCAACAAUGGGAAUUCGGUAAAUUGAGUCUUAUAUUUUGGUUAAAUCACUUGUACUCAAGUUUUCUUUAGUGGAUUUUCUUCGCGUGAUCUGUCCCAUGGGUUUUUCACUCCGGAUUGGAGUUUUCCCACGUUAAAAUCUCGGGGUGUUGUUUUUAUUUUCCGCUAUUCAUUUUAUUUGCAUCGAGAGGUUUUGUUUUUGCCGUUUUACACCUAUUCACCCCCCUCCAGGUGUUAUUUAUCUUUUAGAUCCUCGGGAUCCAUAUCUUACACAGGCGGCAUCAUCCAACAAGCUGAAUGGGCGAGGAGAACCAACAUACCCAUUUCAAGCUCAAGCUCAUGGCAUACUGGGCGAAGAGAACCAACAUACCCUUUGAAUCAUUGCCGGGCGAAGAAAACCAACAUACCCGCAGUUAUGAUUCUCAUUAGCCAUUCCACAUACCAGGCGAGGAGAACCAACAUACCCGUUGAAUCACUGUCAGACGAGGAGAACCAACAUAUCCACAGUCUUGAUUCACUUUGUUCAGUUGCAAGUCUCAUUCGCUGCACUAGCAGCCUUCAUUUCUAGGGAUUCCGGAAUCAACUUCACAUAGCUCAAGGGUUGGUCUCAAACCCUAUAGUUUCGACCUAUCUAGGUCUGUUGUUCUUUACUACCUAGGUCCUCUUGACUCUAGGUUCAAUGUCUCUAUCACAUAACCUAGGUUUACUUUAACUCUAGGUUCAAUCCACAACCUAUGUUCUUUGACACUAGGUUCGAUGCCACUCACCUAGAUCUUGACUCUAGGUUCACUUGUUCAACCUAUGUUUGCUAACACUAGGUUCAAUGUCAUUCAUGUUCAACCUAUGUUUAAUAACACUAGGUUAGAUGCCACUCAAUCUAAUAUAUAGAUGUCCGCAUGCACAUUUCAAUUAACAUAAUCCUCUAUAUGCUAACUUGCAUCCAUCUAGCAUUCACAUUAUGUCAUCAUGCAUUUUCUUAGCAUUAACCACAUGCAUUCACCUAUCAUUGCUAUGACAUGCUCAUCAUGCAUCAUGUAUUCAUCUAGCAUUUUCCUCAAUGUAUCAACAUACAUAUCUCAUUGGUAGGCAUUAAACAUCAAGCAUAAUAAGAUUCAUGCAUCUUUAUUAUCUCAUGCAACCUACCUCUACACAUGUAUGCAUUAAUAGUAACAUUACUCUUAGACAUAAUGGCGACCUAGUCGCUUCGGUGAGCACAAUCCACCUCAAUUCGCUCUCCAAUUGCUCGUAGUCACUUGCAAUCGGCCGCCCGCGGUACCCGCUAUCCGACUCGGCCCGAACUCGCAAUUGCGCACCAACCGUGCGCCGCUUCGCAGCCCCGAAAAUUAUAGGUCUUCGGUUAUGUGCUACGGUGUUCGGGAUCCAUUUUCAUAAUUUUUGGACGUCUCCUCGGCCCUCCAAGCGGAAACGAAGCUAAAUCGCCCGUUUCUUCAAUAUCUUUGCACCGACUCGACGAAUCGCCGAACCGACUUCGCCAACGCGUCAGGAAAACCUAGCAAUUAGAUUUACGAAAGGUCAAUUGAGAUCAAACCCACAUAUAUACUAAAACCCCAAUUUGAACCCUAGGUUUGCUACUAUUGCAAAACCUACCAUUAAAUCUCUAGAUUCUAGCUUUGAUCAUCUAUUUAGCAUUAAAUGGGUUAACUAAAAUCAAUUCUAGAGCAAAAGGUCCAAGCCCUAGAGUUCUACCAUUAAUGGACACAAAAGCUUACCUCUCUAAGCUUUCUCCAAGCACAAGAAGACGAAGAUGAAGGUGAAGCUUCUUCUCCAAGCUUCCUUCUCCUCCAAUCCCUCCCUUUGUUUUCCUCCUUGAAGAGAGAGAGAGAGAGCUAUUCUAGAGAGAGAGAGGGAGAGUGUGUGUAUUAGGGUGAGAUAAAUGAGAGGGGAGAGCUCCAACCCUCUCAUAUACACUCUAGUUAUGGCAAUUUUGCAAGAAACCCCCCUCAACAAUGCAAAUAAUGCACAGCCCGCACAGGGCAAUUUCGGGCUACGGGGACCGGUCCUUGGAUGAGGGACUGGUCCCUGAGGGACUCGUCCUCGUAAGUCUCAAUUUCCAGACUUCGCCAAAUUUCAACCUUUUUCGUUUUCGCUCCGUUUUCGCUCGUUUAGUCUCCGAUUCAUUUCAAAUCGAACCGAGACUCUCCAAACAUAUUUUCGAACAUGUUUUCAUCAUAUUUUCAUCCACGCAAAUACCAGAUUUAGUCCAUGAUCCGACAUAGCCUUUCUGGUUCCGUUUUCGCGCCUAUGCGCUCUGAAACGCCCGAAUGCUUCCAAACUUCACCGGAACUAUUCCAAUGGCUCUCCAAACCAAUAUAAACCGUAACUUCAUUAUUUUAGAAGUCCGGUACCUUACAUCCUCCCCUCCUUAAAAAGAGUUUCGUCCUCGAAACUCAACUCACUUAUAAUCCAACCCACACCUCAACUCAGCUUAUUGAGUAGUCGAGGGUUCUAAUGCACUUUCGCACUCCGGAGUGACCUUUCACUCAUUGGAAUCAUUCAAAUGUUCACUACGGAGGAUGUGAGGCCAAUUUCACUCAUAUUUGCCAUGUGUAAGUCCAAAAGUGCAUUACCAUCAUGCAAAGAACUACUCCUUGCAUUCACACCCAAGCGGGAAAUUUACCAAUACUACGUAGGCCUGCCGCCUAAACCUGUCUCAACUACGCACGACGUCCCUCGCUCGCACGUAGACCCAAUCAUCAUUGGGCGAAAUUCUCAUAGGAGAAUUCGCACACACUCCAACCAGGAGCAAUCAAGUUCCUAAACCACGUCAAGUCCUCGGGUUGGGUCACAACCGCACUCUCAGUGCAUCCUCGAUCUCAUGAUCCAACACGUGGCAUUCCACGCUCCCGGGUCUAAGCUCGGACUACCGUCCUGACCAAAACUCUGCCCUACCCGUAGGUAUCGAGCCGCUGUCUCAAACAGCUGACUACGCCUGCCCAAAGGGCCCAGGCUCCACAGUCCACAAUUGGUCCAGGCACAGGUCAUCCCCAAGCAACACCCGCCGUCGUCGUCCUACACGACAUACUCUAUCGAGCUAUAAGCACCACCACCGGCUCCUAAGCACCUAGUGCGAGCCACCAGCCCCAUGAAUAAUCCAUGGCCCGCUGCACACUUAGCAAUGCUACAGUGCUACUGCCAUCUCACUCACUCGGCUGAAUCGAAACCGCACCCUACGAGUAUCUACACUCUAGCGUCGUACGCUUCCUAUACUAAAUUCAGCAUUAGGCGAUUUUGCCUUAGCGCACUAGCCAUGCAAGCACAACUCAUUCACCUCGAUUCAAGGUACUACAGGGCCCCACAGGCCAAACUUGGCGCUAACCAACCGUUCUCUCAACAGUGAUUCCACUUUCACUGUUCGAUCCACCGAAACUAUAUCCGAAAUUCCCGGACUCUUCGGGUACCUCAAACAUCUUGGCUCAACUCUCGCAAUCUCCUAUCCAUUGCCUUAAGAGUCACUUCACCAUUUCAUGUUCACCACGAGUCCCAUUCCUGGUCCAAGAACCAUUACUAGCCAUUUGCUAGUACCACUUGGCUCUCUACCUACCCCCGCAGGCGCGACUCUGUUACUGCAUGUGCAUGCCCGGGUAUCCACACUCAGCCGUCCACUCAGUCCCUACUAUACAAUGUAUAAAUAGUAGCAACUAACCUUAUGAUAAUGGCAUGCAAUGCAUCCACCUGACAUCAUACAAAAGCAUAUGCUUGCUUAAAUUAACUCAUACCUGCAAGCUAACCCGGAGAGAAAAAGGCCAUCGCCAGUGUCAGGUCCCGGCUAUCACCCUGCGGACACUCAUAGUUCGGGGGACCCGGUUGUCCACAUCGGGUGCAUCUACCUUCCUACUGCACGCAACGUCGUGCCCAAUGGGAACCACCGCAGAUCACGCAUCCUGGGGAGGAUCGAGUAGAGGACGACUUCGAGUGGCGCCUAGAACUUGAUUGUCCACCCGAACCGCUCGACAGUGGCCUCAUCCUUCCCCGCUCAUGCCCGGAAGACUCAUGCUUCUCUCGCACAAAAGCCUCUCCGUGCUCUGCCAACAACGCUCGAUCCAACACCUCCGCGAAGGUUGCGAGCUUGAAGAUUUGCACCUCCUGAUAAAUCUCCGGUCGAAGUCCACGUAGGAACCAAUCAGCCAUACCCUUGUCAUCCCGUACCACAUCCGGGACACAAUUCACGAAACGGGAAAACUCCUAUUCGUAUUCCCUCACAGAGCGGUCUCCCUGUCGCAGCUUUCUGAACUUGUCCUGAAGCUUUCUUUUUUCAACGUCGGGGAAGUAAGUCGAAAACGCUAAUCCUCGAAGUUUAUCCCACGUCAUAGGAGGGAGACUAGGCGAUCGAUUCUGUUGAAUGUCUUUCCACCACACCUUUGCCAACAGCUUCAAGCAAUGCACGGCUAGGGGCACCUUAUCCCGCUCCAAGGUGUACAGCUCCUCGAAUAGGGUUUCCAUAGAGUCAAUCCACAUCUCCACGAUCCACGGAUCGACAUUCUCUCCAUUGAAGAUAGGCGGAUCAAACCUCUUGAAGGUCAUAAGGGCCGCCAAAGCCCGCUCUUUCUCCACCUUCACUAACGCACUUUCAGAAGUCGGAUCGUCCGACCCCAACGGAGAGAUCUCCGCCGCGACUCCUGGCCGUCCUCGACGAGCUGUAACUGGCGCAGCCACCAACUGAUCCACCGUCUCUUGGAGUCUUUUCAUCCGCUCCUCCUGGCGCAUAGCAGCCUCCUGCUGCCGCUGCACCACAUCAGCCUGUUGCCUCACCACUCCGACGAGAGUGGCCAACUGAUCAUGAAGCUCCAAGUCUCCGCUCGCGUCGGUUUGCUCAGGGGCACCACUUGUCCCCUCCCGCACCGAUCUGGAUGAAGAUCGCCUACGCGGUGUCAUCGUUUCCUGAAACAGGACAACUCGAUCAGGUCUCGACCCUCUAAGUCGAACACGAGACAACUAACAUCGACUAAAAUCGGGCAAAAGUCAAGCAAGGGCAUCUAUUCUCAUCCUUUGGUUUCAUGUCGUGCGCGCCCAACAUGGACAUCUCCGGUCGAGAAUAAACGACACCGCGAGUCUACCUCUAAUAUCCGUCUUAGAGGUUUCGACACAACCCAAUCGAUCAAUCUUUCGCCACAAGUCACCAGUCCUCGUCUCUCACGAGCCUUAUUCUCCUAUGGUUUACUAUCCUAGGGUCUUCUAGGUCCAGCUAAACUAUUUUUCCAUUCUCUACUUUAUGCUCUGAUACCACCUUACCUGUCACGCCCCGAGCCCCCGCCUAUUUGGCCGGAUUCGGGCACGCCGACAGACCGCCGAACGGACAGNCAGACCGCCGAACGAACAGAGUCUCCUCUGUACGUCCUAGGCGUCGCAAUCAAUAUAAUACAAGAGGUUCCAACGAGGAACAAUAUUCAACAUACAGAUUGCAUAAGGAAGUAUCAAACAACAUAAACAGCUAGACUAUUACAAGCAUUCCCACAACAUGCAUUUUACAUCUCAUUUACAAUUCAUUUUACAAUCAACUUCCAAAUACAAUAGAGGUUAUUACAACUUUUACUUAUUUACAAGUUUGAUACAUCUUGUUCUUUUCAUUUCCCCUCUACCCCUAGGCUAUGCCGACUCGAGGUACCGCUAUCGCUGGUCUCUGGGUAGGGCGCUAUCUAUGGAGCUAGGCCCUUGUCUCGCGCCGCCGCGCAGCUCACGUGCGAACCUGUAACCCCCAAAACCACACGGGGGUGAGAACUAUAUAAAUAUAGUUCCCAGUGGGUACGGCCACCAAAGAAAAAAGCUCGACCAAUAGAUCCAAAGAGGCACUGCAAUAUGUUAGUCCAACAAUAUCCAACAGAUAUAUAUAUAUAUAUAUUCAUAUUGAAAUACAUGUCAUGCCUCACAAUAUGCAAUAUGAAAUCAUGCAACUAUACAACUACGCAGUUCACUAGUAGAUCCAUCGAUACUACUUUCGAUCUUGCCAAUCAUAGCUCAUGCCAUCUAGCUCUAAGGUUCUAUUUACCUUAGCUCCAUAGUUCAACCUCAACUAGUGUCUAAGGUCUCUACUGCCUUAGAUCAAAUCAUAAAUCACUAGCCUUUAAGGUUUCUACUAUCCACCCGACUCGGCCUCGAGUCAAUCAUCGUGGACUACCGCGCACUAGCUGCAUCUCUACUACAGCCUGGCUGCCGUCACAGCUUACCUCACCUCUUGACUUAGCCAUCUGGCGGCGAACGCGUCGUCCUUACCUAGCAAGGUCUCAAGUCAUGACUUAGCCAUCUGGCGGCGAACUAAUCGCAUCUCACCCAACAAUGGUUCAGGUCACGACUCAGCCAUCUGGCGGCGCACGCAUCGCCCUUACCCAGCAAUGGUUCAAGUCAAUCCAGGCAGCAUCAUCCAACAAGAUGAAUGGGCGAGGAGAACCAACAUACCCAUUUCAAGCUCAAGCUCAUGGCAUACUGGGCGAGGAGAACCAACAUACCCGUUGAAUCACUGUCGAGCGAGGAGAACCAACGUACCCGCAGUUAUGAUUCUCAUUAGCCAUUCCACAUACCGGGCGAGGAGAACCAACAUAUCCGUUGAAUCACUGUCGGGCGAGGAGAACCAACAUACCCACAGUCUUGAUUCACUUGCGCUCAGUCGCAAGUCUCAUUCGCUGCACUAGCAGCCUUCAUUUCCUAGGGAUUCCGGAAUCCACUUCACAUAGCUCAAGGGUUGGUCUCAAACCCUAUAGUAUCGACCUAUCUAGGUCCAUUGUUCUUUACUACCUAGGUCCUCUUGACUCUAGGUUCAAUGUCUCUAUGACAUAACCGAGAUUUACUUUAACUCUAGGUUCAAUCCACAACCUAUGUUCUUUGACACUAGGUUCGAUGCCACUCACCUAGAUCUUGACUCUAAGUUCACUUGUUCAACCUAUGUUUGCUAACACUAGGUUCAAUGUCAUUCAUGUUCAACCUAUGUUUAAUAACACUAGGUUAGAUGCCACUCGAUCUAAUAUAUAGAUAUCCACAUGCACAUUUCAAUUAACAUAAUCCUCUAUAUGCUAACUUACAUCCAUCUAGCAUUCACAUUAUGUCAUCAUGCAUUUUCCUAGCAUUAACCACAUGCAUUCACCUAUCAUUGCUAUGACAUGCUCAUCAUGCAUCAUGCAUUCAUCUAGCAUUUUCGUCAAUGUAUCAACAUAUAUAUCUCAUUGGUAGGCAUUAAACAUCAAGCAUAAUAAGAUUCAUGCAUCUUUAUUAUCUCAUGCAAUCUACCUCUACACAUGUAUGCAUCAAUAGUAACAUUACUCUUAGACAUAACGGCAACCUAGUCGCUUCGGUGAGCACAACCCAUCUCAAUUCGCUCUCCGAUUGCUCGUAGUCACUUGUAAUCGGCCGCCCGCAGCACACGCUAUCCGACUCGGCCCGAACUCACAAUUGCGCACCAAUCGUGCACCGCUUCGCAGCCCCGAAAAUUAUAGGUCUUCGGUUAUGUGCUACGGUGCUCGGGAUCCAUUUUCAUAAUUUUUGGACGCCGCCUCGGCCCUCUAGGCGGAAACGAAGCUAAAUCGCCCGUUUCUUCAAUAUCUUUGCACCGGCUCGACGAAUCGCUGAACCGACUUCGCCAACGCGUUGGAAAACCUAGCAAUUAGGUUUACGGAGGAUCAAUUGAGAUCAAACCCACAUAUAUACUAAAACCCCAAUUUGAACCCUAGGUUUGUUACAUUGCAAAAUCCACCAUUAAAUCUCUAGAUUCUAGCUUUGAUCAUCUAUUUAGCAUCAAAGGGGUUUACUAAAACCAAUUCUAGAGCAAAAGAUCCAAGCCCUAGAGUUCUACCAUUAAUGGACACAAAAGCUUACCUCUCUAAGCUUGCUCCAAGCACAAGAAGAAGAAGAUGAAGGUGAAGCUUCUUCUCCAAGCUUCCUUCUCCUCCAAUCCCUCCCUUGUUUUCCUCCUUGAAGAGAGAAGAGAGAGAGCUAUUCUAGAGAGAGAGAGGGAGAGUGUGUGUGUGUUAGGGUGAGAGAAAUGAGAGGGGAGAGCUCCAACCCUCUCAUAUACACUCUACUUAUGGCAGUUUUGCAAGAAACCCCCUCAACAAUGCAAAUAAUGCAUAGCCCGCACAGGGCAAUUUCAGGCUACGGGUACCGGUCCUUGGAUGAGGGACCGGUCCCUGAGGGACCUAUCCCUGGCCGAGGGUCCCAUCCCCGUAAGUCUCAAUUUCUAGACUUAGCCAAAUUUCAGCCUUUUUCGUUUUCGCUCCGUUUUCGCUCGUUUUCGCUCGUUUGGUCUCCGAUUCAUUUCAAAUCGAACCGAGACUCUGCAAACAUGUUUUCGAACAUGUUUUCAUCAUUUUUUCAUCCACGCUAAUAUCCGAUUCAGUCCAUGGUCCAACAUAGCCUUUCGGGUUCCGUUUUCGCGCCUACGCGCGCCGAAACGCCUGAAUGCUUCCAAACUUCACCGGAACCAUUCCAAUAGCUCUCCAAACUAAUAUAAACUGUAACUUCAUUAUUUUAGAAGUCCGGUACCUUACACCCACUACACGGAGUAAAGUAAUAUGAUGCAAAUAAUUAAUUCCACUAGUAUUACAUGCUAUUAUCUCAAUUAGGGUUCGCCUCAAAGGCUUUACGCUCUCAUUUCCUCAUGUCUAAAACAUGGAAUAUAACUAUCGAUCCCUAGAUCGACUGCAAUAUCACAAUGGCCAAUACUAGUUGUUCUACUAGAUUAAAUGCACCGAGUUACAAUGACACAUGUUAACUUCUAGUUGUUCAACUAAGUUAAAUGCACCAAGCUUAGCUUCAAGAUGACCUUAUCAUGUGCUAUAUCUCAAUGUCGCAAUUACCUUGAUGACAACAAGUAUAAUGUCAUCAUGCAAGUAAUUCUAAGUUAAAUGCCUCUUUAUGCCAUUUUGUCUACUAUGUCAAUAUGAGUUUUAAGUCCGAGAGCAUGUUUUCCUAGUCAAUUUCAUUGCAUGAAAUAUGUCUCCAAACCCUAUAAUAGAAUGCUAUUCUCAUGCAUGAAAACAAUGCAUAUAUCUCUCUCUACUAUAUAGAGGUAAUUGUAUAAAAUAUAGCACAUAUAUUUUAAGCAUUCUAAACAUCUCGUAUGCUCUAUAUAGUAUGAAUAUGCAUGCAUUUCUAUUUUACGACAUUUCAAAAUUGACAUAAAUGGAGUUUUUCACUUUUCGAUGAGGUCAAACCCACCAAAACUCCUCGUAACCCUUCGUUUGCGCCGACGAAGGUGUCCACUACUCUCCUAACUCCCUGAGGUAGUGUUUGGUUGGGGAACAAGGGGGGAAUAAGCCCUUGUUCCCCCCUUUGUUCCCAAACGCAAUAUUUGUGACCCGGGAACAGUAGUUCCAGGAUUUCAAGAAUAAGCAGGUAUAAGGCUGGAACUGCUGUUCCACCUUUUUACUGGAACAAGCUUGUUCCUUGAUGAGAACAAGAUUAAUUAAAAUCUAAAUUUAAUUUUAAUGAUAGUAAAUUAUUAAUUAAUCUAAUUAAUAUAUUUAAAUUAUUAUUUAUUACUUUAAUAAUUAAGUAAUUAAUUAAUAAUAAUUAGAUAAUUAUUAUAAUUAAUUUAUUAUUGAUAAUUAAUUAUUAAUAAUUAAUAAUUAAUAAUAUUUAUUAUUAUUUAUUAAUAAUUAUUAUCCUUAAUAAUUAGAUAAUCGAUUGUAUUAUUAAUUUAUUAUUUAUAAUUAAUUAUUAAUAAUUAUUAAUUAGACAAUCGCUAUUAUUAUUAAUUUAUUAUUUAUAAUUAAUUAAUGAUAAUUAAUAAUAUUAUUAUCUUAUUUAUAUAUAAUAUUAAUAAUUAUUUAUCUUUAAUAUUUAGAUUAACGAGUAUUAUAUUAAUUUAUUAUUUUGAUAUAAUAGUUAUUAUUAUACUUUAUUAUUAUUAUUAUUUAACUAUAUUUAUUAUUUUCUCUUUUCUUCCCCUUUUUUCUUUUUUUUUUUUGUCUGCGAUUGAGCCAUCCAUAUAUCUAGAUGGCCUUUCGGUGCAGAAGUGGAUGGGAAUCUUCGAUGUUUCUUCGGACCUCUCAAUACCCCAUUCGAAGUCGUUGAUGAUGGAAUGGAUGAUCUACAUUGUUGCGACCAUCUCCAGCAUGUUUGGUUUGAUACUUUCGAAAGAAGAGGGGAGGGGGAUCUUUGAUUCCCUGUUUCUUCGGACCCUUCAACAUUUCUUCGAUAAAUAUCGAACCAAAUUUGCCGGCCGAACAGAUCCAUGCCACUGUUAACAACUCCGUCGACGACAUCUACAAUCGCCGUUUUGAUCUUUUCGAAAGAAAAGGGGAGGGGAAUCUUUGAUUCCCCGUUUCUUCGGACCCUUCAAUAUUUCUUCGAAAAUGUCAAAUCAAAUUUGCCGGCCGAAUAGAACCGUGCCAUCGUCAACAACUUCGCCGACGACAUCUACAGCAUCGCCGGAAAAGUAUCGCCAGAAGAGGGGAAGGGAAUCUUUGAUUCCCCGUUUCUUUGGACCCCAAAUCAAAAUUAAAACGGGGAUUUCUUCGGACCCCAAAUUGGAAUCAAAACGGGGAUUUCUUCGGACCCCAAAUCAGAAUCAAAAGGGAAUUUCUUCGGACCCCAAAUCAAAAUUAAAAUGGGGAUUUCUUCGGACCCCAAAUCAAGAUCAAACGGGGAUUUCUUCGAACCCCAAAUCAAAUUGAAAAAUCAAAUCCAAUUGGAGAAUCAAACGGGGAUUUCUUCGGACCCCAAAUCAAAUUGAAAAAUCAAAUCCAAUUGGCAAAUCAAACGGGGAUUUCUUCGGACCCCAAAUCAAAUUGGAAAAUUAAAUCCAAAUUGAAUAAUCGAACGGGGAUUUCUUCAGACCCCAAAUCAAAUCCAAAUUGAAAAAUCAAAUCCAAAUUGGAGAAUCAAACUGGGAUUUCUUCGGACCCCAAAUCAAAUCCAAUUGGAGAAUCACACGGGGAUUUCUUCGGACCCCAAAUCAAAUUUGAAAAUCAAAUCCAAAUUGGAGAAUCAAACGGGGAUUUCUUCGGACCCCAAAUCAAAUUCAAUUGGAGAAUCACACGGGGAUUUCUUCGGACCCCAAAUCAAAUUUGAAAAUCAAAUCCAAUUUAGAGAAUCAAAUGGGGAUUUCUUCGGACCCCAAAUCAAAUCCAAUUGGAGAAUCAAACGGGGAUGUCUUCGGACCGCAAAUCAAAUUAAAAAAAUCAAAACGGGAAUUUAUUCGGACCCUAAACCCAAAUCGAGAUAAAAAGGAGAUUCAAAAAGGGAUUUCUUCGGAUCCGAAUCAAGUUGCAAAAGAGGAUUGCCUCGAACCCAAAUAAACCCAAACCAAACUAAGUCCACAUACAAAACCAAACCUCAUGGACCAAAUCCCAUGAACCAAAACCAAAUCUCAUGGACCAAAUCCCAUGAACCAAAACCAAAUCUCAUGGACCAAAUCCCAUGAACCAAAACCAAAUCUCAUGGACCAAAUCCCAUGAACCAAAACCAAAUCUCAUGGACCAAAUCCCAUGAACCAAAACCAAAUCUCAUGGACCAAAUCCCAUGAACCAAAACCAAAUCUCAUGGACCAAAUCCCAUGAACCAAAACCAAAUCUCAUGGACCAAAUCCCAUGAACCAAAACCAAAUCUCAUGGACCAAAUCCCAUGAACCAAAACCAAAUCUCAUGGACCAAAUCCCAUGAACCAAAACCAAAUCUCAUGGACCAAAUCCCAUGAACCAAAACCAAAUCUCAUGGACCAAAUCCCAUGAACCAAAACCAAAUCUCAUGGACCAAAUCCCAUGAACCAAAACCAAAUCUCAUGGACCAAAUCCCAUGAACCAAAACCAAAUCUCAUGGACCAAAUCCCAUGAACCAAAACCAAAUCUCAUGGACCAAAUCCCAUGAACCAAAACCAAAUCUCAUGGACCAAAUCCCAUGAACCAAAACCAAAUCUCAUGGACCAAAUCCCAUGAACCAAAACCAAAUCUCAUGGACCAAAUCCCAUGAACCAAAACCAAAUCUCAUGGACCAAAUCCCAUGAACCAAAACCAAAUCUCAUGGACCAAAUCCCAUGAACCAAAACCAAAUCUCAUGGACCAAAUCCCAUGAACCUAAACCAAACCUCAUGGACCAAAUCUCAUGAACCAAAACCAAAUCUCAUGGACCAAAUCCCAUGAACCAAAACCAAACCUCAUAGACCAAAUCCCAUGAACCAAACACCACGAACCAUACCCAAGUCCCAUAAACCAUGAAUCAAGUUCGUGAACCAAACACCACGAACCAUACCCAAGUUCAUGAACUAUAAACCAAACCCCAUGAACCAUACACCAAAUUCAUGAACCAUAAACCAAAUCCAUAAACCAAGUUCAUGAACCAUGAACCAUGAACUAUGAACCAAGUUCAUAAACCUCAUCCAUGAACCAUAUCCAAGUUCAUGAACCAUAUACCAUAAACCAUAAAUCAAGAUCACAUACCCAACCUCAUGACCCAUACACUUAGUUCAUGAAUCAUAAACCAAGUUCAUGAACCAUAUCUUAUGAACCCAUGAACCAUACAUCAAGUUCAUAAAUCUCAUCUAUGAACCAUAUUCAAGUUCAUGAACCAAAUCCCAUACACCAAACCUCAUGAACCAUAAACCACAACCCAAGCCCAUGGACCAAAUCCCAUGGACCAUAUACCCAACCUCAUGAACCAUAUGCCAAAUCCAAUGAGGCAUGAACCAAAUCAUCUUCAAAUCUCAUGAACCAACACCCAUAUCUCAAGAACCAAUACCCAAAUCUCAUGCCCAAAGUUCAUCAUGAACCUCUUUUUGCUCUAACUCAUAUACCUAGAGUGAAAAUUAAAUAUCGACUACCCCUAAUACAUAUACUUAGGGCUAAGUCAAUUGCCUUAGCACAUAUAACUAAGGCAAAACAUCUCCAACUCGACCGAGUUCUAAAUUAUACUUAGAAUUCAAUCAAAUGAUAUUCGAACUCUAACACAUAUACUUAGAGUUCAUUCGACUAACCCUAAUACAUAUCCUUAGGGUCUAGUCAACCUUUUACUCUAGCACAUAUACCUAGAGUGAAAAUCAAACCAAGCUCGACUAGUCCUAACCCAUAUAUUUAGGGUCUAGUCAGUCUUCUGCUCUAGCACAUCUACCUAGAGUGAAAUCCAUACCCGAUCGAGCUCUAAUACAUAUACUUAGAGCUCAAGUCCGACGAAGCCUAACAUAAUACCUUAGGGCUUAGUCAGAUCCUCACUCUAGCACAUGUAACUAGGGUGAAAAAUAUAUUAAACUAGGUUAAUCCUGAUACAUAUACUCAGGAAUUAACCACCCUCUACUUUCGGAUAAUUCGACCCACCUCAAUACAUAUACGUGAGGUCGGGCCACAUCUCUACCUUAGAAUAUACAACCAAGGUGAAUAUAAUCGGACUCUAAGACAUAAACUUAGAGCCAAUUAGACUCUAAUACAUAUACUUAGAGUUUAAUAUCGACUAGGUCUUAACACAUAUACUUAGGACCUAGUCAAUCUCAAAUCCAAUUGAAUCUUAAUACAUAUACUUAGGAUUCAAUAAACCAAGACACGAUUCAUCUCAUCUCAUCUAUAAAGGUCUCUCAAUCGAAGGUACCCCAAUCUACAGGGGGUAAUUAACAGUAGAUGCUUGCAUCUAUUGGAAGCCAUGGACCCGCAAUACCUAAUACCCAUAUACAUAUACAUACUCAUCUGAAUCAUGAAUACUACCCCAUGGCGGAAAAUCCAUCGACCAUGCGAGGUGCGUCAUUCGUGAUGGCAGACAUAGGGUUGAGUCUUAGUGGACCUAGCAAACCUUAGGCCGGUUGGACUAUAGGAAAUAGGCUCGUGAGAGAUGAGGUCUAUUUGAUUUGUAAGCGAAAGUAUCAUGAUUCGGUUUCAUUAUAACUCUAGAAAGUAGAGUUUAAUCGAAGUGUAUAGCUUCUAACUUUGCGGAGGGUUACGUUGGCGGCCGACAACGUAACAUCGGGAGUUAGUAGUGAAGAACACUUCCUUUCUUUCGCAUGAUUUGGGUAUUAUCUUCUUGAGUGGGGAUUCGUUAGCAUGGGUUUUACUAACUUCCGCUUUUAUGAUGUUGUAGUGAGAUGCCGAUUACUCGCUCUCAAUCUGCCGGAGCGAAUAAUGCUGCACACUUGGAGGAGGUCGAGACCUCCGCUACUUCCGGAUUCGGCGAGGUCCGUGAGUUGAGGAGCCAGCUUGCGGCCCUCACCGACUUGGUGACUCAGCAGGCGGAGGUAGCAUGACAGUAAACGGAGGCGGCGAGCCUACAGGAGGCGCGGAUGAAGCGCCUGGAGGACCUCCUACUACAGCAGGCGGCUACUCGGGAGGCUCAGGUUCCUACACCACCCGCACCUGUGGAGAUAGUUGCACCCAGGGGGUCGUCUCCCCUCCUCGACACAUCGCGGACGACACCUGCGGUUGCACCGCGGGGGGAGGAGUUGGUGGCACCACCCGUUCUGGUGCCUUUGGCGUGGGCAAUUUUUUCCGUGACAGCUGUUAGAGAGGAGAGGGACCGACUGAUGGAGCACCCCAAUGAGUUUAGGAGGUGCAAUCCCAGGAUCUUCGACGGCGAGAAGGUCGACCACUGGAUCGUGGAAAAGUGGUUGAUGCACAUGGAGAAGCUUUUCUGCGACACCUUCAUGGAGGAGAGGGACCGAGUUUGGCUCGCCACCCACCACUUGGACGGCGAGGCCUACAGCUGGUGGUUGGACAUCCAGAAGGAUCCCAACACCGACCUUGCGGCUAUUACUUGGAAGAAGUUCAAGGAACUUCUACUGGCGCAUUACUUCCCCGACAUCGUUAAGGGGAAGAUGGAGCAAGACUUGCGCAACUUGUGCCAAGGAGACCGGACUGUAGCCUAGUUCGAGAGGGAGUUUUCUUGGCUUCUACAUUGCGUGCCUUUCGUCAUACAGGACGACGAGGACAAGGCCCGCAUUUUCGAGCGGGGAUUGUGACCGUCAAUCUUCCGGUUCGUGCAAUCCUCUAACCUCCAAACCUACCGGGAGGUGGUGAAUCGCGCGCUCAUUGUGGAGAGCGGCAUGGCGGAUCUGCAGGAGUGGAGAGAAGGCUUGGAUAAGGGUAAGGGCAAAAGGCGAGUGGCUGAGGGUGCGAGGCAGAUGCACUUUAGGAGGCCGCCGAAGCACCCUAGGAGCCAGCGACGUGGGCGCGGCUCGGCAGCGCAGCGAGGAGGUUCUGAUCGACGCCGAUCUUCCCAGUGCGUGAUCUGUGGUAGUCCCCAUAUUCCACCGCAGUGCCCGUAGCGGAGAGGGAGGUGCUUACAGUGUGGCUAGGAGGGCCACUUCCGAACCGAGUGCCCGAAGGGUUCAUCACCGGCACCGUCGACUGCAUCGGCACCGGCUUUACCAGCCACCAGCCAGGGGACUCCAUCGGCACAGUACCAGCCCGAGCGGCCGUCCGUCUAGCAUCAGAGCGAGGGAUCUUGACAGGCCCCCAGGGGGCGUUUGUAUGCCGCUCAGACCGAGAAGGCGGCAGCAGCCGAGGAUGUGGUUGCAGGUAUCAUUUUACUUGAUGGCAUUAGAGUUUGUGCAUUGUUUGAUACCGGUGCAUCGCAUUCAUUCAUUGAUCGGCUGUUUGUCGAGUUGCAUGGCAUCCCGUUGGUUUCUUUGUCACAUCCGAGACAUAUUGUAGUACCCGACCACAUUUUGAAUAUUAGAGAUUAUUGCCCCAGUUGCCCUGUUCGGAUAGGAGACUGGAUUAUGCCCGUUGAUUUACUAGCCUUGCGCAAGCUGAGAGAGUUCGAUAUGGUCUUGGGUAUGGACUGGUUGACCAAGUACUAUGCCACUAUCGAUUGUAAAAAUCGAAUGAUUACUUUUAGAGAAUCGGGGCAGACUGAGGUGGUAUUUAGAGGAUACCGGAGUUUGCUAUUUGCGACGACGAUCAGCUCGUCUCGAGCUAGGCAGUUGAUCAGCAGAGGUUGCAUAGCCUUUUUGGCUAGUGUUGUGUUGAGGGGCGAGGAUGACAACCCUAGGGUCGAGGAUAUCCCGGUGGUGCGGGAAUUCCAGGACGUGUUUCCAGCGCAGCUACCGGAUAUGCCACCAGAUAGAGAGAUUGAGUUUGUGGUAGAUCUCAUCCCUGGGACUACCCCAAUCUCAAAGGCGCCCUAUAGGAUGGCACCGGCGGAGCUCAAAGAGCUGAGGGUACAACUGCAGAAUUUGUUAAACAACGGCUUCAUUCGACCGAGCGUCUCGCCUUGGGGAGCGCCAGUUUUGUUCGUCAAGAAGAAUGACGGGUCACUUCGUCUAUGUGUGGAUUAUCGUGAGCUUAAUAAAGUCACGAUCAAGAAUAAGUACCUGUUGCCGAGGAUCGACGACUUAUUUGAUCAGCUUUAGGGAUCGUGUGUGUAUUCCAAGAUAGACUUGCAGUCGGGAUACCACCAUGUUUGAGUAAAAAAAAAAUGAAGUGACAUCUAUAUAUAAGAAUAAAAUUAGAGAAUAAUUAGACUAGGAAUCCUAGUUCAUUCGAAAUCAAAAAAUAUAUAUAUAACAAUAAAAAUAAAAAAUUAAAAAAAUUAAAAAAAAAAGGAAAUAAGAAAAAAAAAGAGAAGGAAAGAAUAAAAAAGGAAAAAAAGAAGAGAAAGGAAAAAAUUUCUUUGAUUGAAUAUCUAAUUCCUUAUAAGAGGUGGAGAAUAAUAAGUUUCCUUUGGAGAAACUUAUUUUGAAUUAGUUCUAAAAAAAAAAAAUGAUUCUUCGAUCCCUAUUAAUUGGUCCAAGUUGUAAAAUAAAAAAAGGAGGGAGAGAGAAUUCUCUUUUCAGCAAGAAAGAAGGAAAAAAAAAAGAAGAAGAAGAUCCGAAGAAGCAGAAGAAAAGAAAAAGAAAGGAAGAAAAGAGGUGAAAAAAAAAAGGGGGAGUUUAUAUACUAUCUGCCUCUCACUCUCACUUCAUCAAUCUUUCUCACUCUCUCUCUCUCUCGACUGACAGAGGAGGGGUGCCAUGUGCACCCCUCUCCAAUCCGUACACAGCACCAAAAAAAAAAGGUAGGUUUUGACUCUAACAACGACGCGACGACGACGACUUCGACGACGGCGCGACAACGACGACCACAACGAUUUCUACAACAACAAGAGAUACGCAUGCGUACGCAUAGCGUAAGUGUGAUUUUUUUGUUGGUUUGAUCAACCCGACCAUCUUCGUGAUAGGUUUCGAACCGAUCAAAUCUAACAUCAAAUCGUCACUUCCGCCGUGCGUAUGUAUUGUUAAUCUCCAAGCCGUGUGGCCAUCUUCGCGAUAGGCUUGACAUGGUCAAAAUAAUUGAUCGAACCGGAGAUUUUAUUACGUAAGCCAUGCGGCCAUCUUCGUGAUAGGCUCGACAUGGGUAUAAAAAAAAUUGUGCGGCCAUCUUCACGAUAGGCUCGACAUGGCCGAAAGUGUAAACCGUGCGGCCAUCUUCGUGAUAGGCUCGACAUGGUCGAAAACGUAAACCGUGCGGCCAUCUUUGUGAUAGGCUCAACACAAUUAAACUCCGCAUACUUGAACAAAACGCGAUAAAAAAAAAUAAUAAUAAUAAUAAAAAAUGAACGGGUUCUGUUUCGAUUCGCCAUCCUCGUUCGAUCCGAUUGUAUGACUCGACGUGAUCAACUUCGUUUAUUUGGACAAAACAAAAAAAAAAGAAAGAAAAAAAAGAGGAGAGCAACCCUCUCUCUCUCUCUCUCUGUUUCUCAGUGUCGUACAGAGAGAGAGAGUUGGGUUGCAACUCUUUCCCUCUCUCCUCUGUCAGACUUCAAAAAAAAAAAAAAAAAAGGGAAACACAACAAGUAAAAAAAAAAAAAAAAAAAAGAAGUUGGUAUUUCCCCACUCUCUCUCUCUCACAAUCAGCAAAAAAAAAAAAAAAAGAAGAGAAAAAAAAAGAAAAGAAAGAAAAAAGAAAAAAGGAAAAAACAAAAAAACAAAAAGAAAACAAAAAGAGAUUUGGGUUUUCCUCUCUCUCACAGUUAGCAAACAAAAAAAAAAAAAGGAAAGAAAGAAAAGAAAAGAAAAGAAGAAAAAAAAAAAAAAAUUUGAAGAAUUCGAUUUGUUUUAUUUUGACAAUGGUUCAAUCCAUUAUGGGCCCAAUUUCAUGAACAGUCAAAAAAUAAUGUAGAGCCCAUAUACGAAUUCGGAUCCAAGGCCCAGAGUAUGUGAAGUCCAAGACUAAUCUCAGUCCAUAUGCAAAUUCGGGUCCACAACCUGUAGGGUCCGAAAUCCAGCCUGUAUGCAGAUUUGGAUUCAAAACCAAUAAUAAAAAAAACCCAGCCCGCAUACAGAUUCGGGUCCAGAAUAUUAAAACCCGAAACAUGUCUCAGCCCACAUGCAGAGUUGGGCUCAGAACAAAUAAAAUCCAAAAUCUAUCAAAGUCCACAAAUAAAGAUCCAAGACCUAUCAAAGUUCACAAAUAAAGAUCCAAAACCCAAAAUCCAAAAGCCCACAAAUAAAAUCCCAAAACCCAAAGCCCACAAAUAAAAUCCCAAAAAUCUCAAAGUUCACAAAUGAAAUCCCAAAAAUCCCAAAGUCCACAAAAAAUCCCAAAAAUCUCAUAGUCCACAAAUAAAAUUCUAGAAAUUCCAAAGUCCACAAGUAAAACACAACCAAAUCUACUAAACCUAUGUCAUUCAAAUACCUCCGACCCAAACCGAAUUCAUGGGCUUUCCAAAUGGGCCCUUUAUUAUGGAUUAAUUCUAUGAAUUAAUUUCUUGGGCUUUUUCAAAUGAACCCUUAUCAUGAAUUAAUUCUAUGAAUUAAUUUCAUAUGCCCUCCUUGUCAUAAAUUAAUUUCAUGAAUUAAUGGGCCUUCCAAAUGGCUCAUUAUCAUAAUUAAUUCAAUGGGCUCUUUAAAUAGCCUCUAAUUAAUUCAAUGGAUUUUAUAAAUGGACUCCCAGCGUGAAUUAAUUUCAUAAAUCAGUUUUAUGAACAUCUCAAUUUCAGACGACCGAAACGUCGUUAAACUAAACCGAAACUCAUUCGACUGAAACGUCGUUAAACUAAACCCAAAUCCAAUUUUCAUGAACAUCUCAAUUUCAGACGACCGAAACGUCGUUAAACUAAACCGAAACUCAGUCGACCGAAACGUCGUUAAACUAAACCCAAAUCCAAUUUUCAUGAACAUCUCAAUUUCAGUCGACCAAAACGUCGUUAAACUAAACCCAAACUCAGUCGACCGAAACGUCGUUAAACUAAACCCAAAUCCAAUUUUCAUGAACAUCUCAAUUACAGACGACCGAAACGUCGUUAAACUAAACCCAAAUUCAAACGACCGAAACGUCGUUAAACCCAAAUCCAAACGACCGAAACGUCGUUAAACUAAACCCAAACUCAAACGACCGAAACGUCGUUAAACUAAACCCAAACUCAAACGAUCGAAAUGUCGUUAAACUAAACCCAAACUCAAACGGCCGGAACGUCGUUAAACUAAACCCAAAUUCAAAUCGAACUCUAACACAUAUAUUUAGAGUUCAUCCGGCUAACCCUAAUACAUAUACUUAGGGCCUAGUCAACCUUUUGCUCUAGCACAUAUACCUAGAGUAGAAGUCAAACCAUACUCGACUAGUCCUAACCCAUAUCCUUAGGGUCUAGUCAGCCUUUUGCUCUAGCAUAUCUACCUAGAGUGAAAUUCAUACCCGAUCGAGCUCUAAUACAUAUACUUAGAGUUCAUGAUAUCAAAUCCGACUACCCCUAAUACAUAUACUUAGAGCUUAGUCAGAUCUUCAUUCUAGCACAUAUAACUAGAGUGAAACUCGGUUAAUCCUGAUACAUAUACUCAGGAAUUAGCCAUUCUCUACUUUCGGGUAAUUCGACCCACCUCAAUACAUAUACUUGAGGUCUAGUCACAUCUCCAUCUUGGAACAUAUGACCAAGGUGGACAUAAUCGGACUCUAAGAAAUAUACUUAGAGCCAAUUAGACUCUAAUACAUAGAGUCUAAGAUCGACUAGGUCUUAACACAUAUACUUAGGACCUAGUCAAUCUCAAAUCCAACUGAAUCCUAAUACAUAUACUUAGGAUUCAAUAAAUCAAAACUUCUAUCGAUCACUAGGUCGCUAGAUUGGGUAUUUAGUCUUCAUGUACAGUGGGGGUAUGCCCCUGCUUAAGCCAUGUACACGGCAAAUUAUAUUAGUAAAAUUUUAUUUGCCCGUUUUGUCUCUUUUAUUAUCAGCAUUUAUAUUUGGUCUCUUAAUCGAGGGUUCCUUAACACUGAAAGUAUGGGGUAAUUAACAACAGAUUCUUGAGUCUGUUGGAAGCCAUGAACCUAUAAUUCUGAUUUUAAAAUAAAAUAUAAACAAAUUUUAUCUCUACUAUGAAUGACCACUCGCCUUAGAAACACCCUACGGCGAGGCCGGUUCGUUCGCGGCAGACACACCAGUUAAAGAUUAAAUCCGAAGAUGUAUCGAAGACGGCUUUUAGAACACGGUAUGGACAUUAUGAAUUCAUAGUUAUGCCGUUCGGGCUUACUAAUGCCCCGGCAGCUUUUAUGGAUCUAAUGAACCGUAUUUUUAAGCCUUAUCUAGACCGGUUCGUCGUGGUGUUCAUCGACGACAUCUUAGUUUAUUCCCGAAGUGAUGCAAAUCACGAGGAACAUUUGAGGCUUAUACUUCAAAUACUUCGGGAAAAGGAGCUUUAUGCCAAGUUGCGUAAGUGUGAAUUUUGGCUUCGAGAAGUGGCAUUCCUUGGACAUUUGAUUUCGGGAUCGGGUAUAGCCGUGGAUCUCAAGAAGAUUGAGGCUAUCAAGGAUUGGUCGAGAUCGACGAGCGUCACGGAGAUACGCAACUUUCUUGGAUUGGCGGGUUACUACCGGAGAUUUGUUGAGGGGUUUGCUAAGUUAUCUACUCCCCUCACGAGGCUCACGCAUAAAGAUGUCAAGUUUAUUUGGAGCGAUGUGUGUGAAAAAAGCUUCCAAGAGUUGAAGCAGAGAUUGACUACCGCCCCGAUCCUAACCCUGCCAGUUGUUGGAGCAGGGUAUGUGGUUUAUAGCGAUGCUUCAUUUAAUGGAUUGGGUUGUGUAUUGAUGCAGGAUGGCAAGGUAAUUGUGUAUGCUCCUCGCCAAUUAAAAGAAUAUGAAAGGAACUAUCCUACUCACGAUUUAGAGUUAGCGGCCGUAGUCUUUGCAUUGAAGCUAUGGCGCCACUAUCUUUAUGGCGAGCGGUGUGAAGUAAACACGGAUCACAAGAGCUUAAAGUACUUAUUCACUCAGAAAGAGCUGAAUUUGAGGCAGCGCAGAUGGUUGGAGCUGCUCAAGGAUUAUAAUCUGAUUAUUCUCUACCACUCGGGUAAGGCUAUUGUGGUGGCGGCUGCGCUAAGUAGGAAAGCGACGGAAAACUUAGCGAUGCAUGUUGUUACUCAACUGCAGUUGAUUGAGCAGAUGAAGCGGUUAAAGUUGGAGGUGGUGACACCUGACAUACCCUUGAGGUUGAUGACCUUGGUAGUGCAACCUACACUUUUGGAUAGAAUCAAAGAAAAGCAAGUUUUCGAUAUGAAGUUGCAAAAGAUUAGAGAUAAAAUGGUCAAUGGUUGCACUGGUGAGUUUCUUGUGGAUAACCAAGGGUUGAUGCGAUUUCGUCGACGGUUAUGUGUACCGGUGGAUUCGAAAAUUAAAGAGGAUAUUCUUCAAGAAGCACACCGGGCGCCCUAUGCUAUACAUCCGGGAGGCACCAAGAUGUAUAAGGACUUAAAGUUGCUCUAUUGGUGGCCCGGGAUGAAAAAGGACGUUGGCGAGUUUGUAGCUCGUUGUCUAACUUGCCAAAAAGUAAAGGCGGAGCACCGAUUACCCGCGGAAAAACUUCAGAGUUUGCCGAUUUUCGUGUGGAAGUGGGAGAAGAUCACCAUGGACUUUCUCAUGGGAUUGCCCCGCUCACAGGCCGGGCAUGAUGCUAUUUGGGUGAUCGUGGAUAGAUUGACGAAGUCGGCGCACUUCAUACCUAUUCAUACUACUUGGACUUGGGAGAAGCUCGCACAAGUGUACCUUGAUGAGAUUGUGCGACUUCAUGGAGUGCCUACAUCGAUUGUAUCUGAUCGCGAAGUGUCUACCUCGAUUGUAUCUGAUCGAGACACCCGAUUUGUGUCUUACUUUUGGAGGAGCCUGCAGGACGCAUUAGGCACUCGAUUGGAUUUCAGCAUUGCAUUCCACCCUCAGAGUGAUGGGCAGUCGGAGCACACCAUACAAACUUUAGAGGACAAACUUUAGAGGACAUGCUCCGAGCAUGUGUGAUAGACUUUCAGGAAGGAUGGUCGCAGCAUCUACCGAUGAUAGAGUUUGCUUAUAACAACAGUUAUCAAGCAAGUAUCAAGAUAGCACCAUUCGAAGCACUUUAUGGACGGAAAUGUAAAUCGCCACUUCAUUGGAGUGAAGUUGGCGAGAAAUUGGCUUUAGGCCUUGAUGUGCUCCAGGAAGCUGAGGACAUGGUUCGUAUUGCUCGGGAGCGACUAUUGACAGCACAGAAUAGGCAGAGGAGCUACGCCGAUCGACGGCGGCGAGACUUGGAGUUCCAGGUUGGAGACCAUGUUUUCUUGAAAGUCUCGCCGACCAGAGGGGUCAGGGGAUUCGGGAUUCGGGAAAACUUGAGCCCCGGUUUAUUGGACCGUAUAAGAUCUUGGAGCGUGUGGACCUGGUAGCGUAUCGACUUGCUCUACCACCGAACCUAUCGGGCGUAUACAACGUCUUUUAUGUAUCGGUCCUUCGGAAGUAUAUCUUGGACCCGGCUCAUGUUUUGGAUGGUACACCUAUAGAGCUGCGGGAUGACUUGAGUUUUGAGGAGCAACCCGUGAGGAUAUUGGCUCGCGAGGUGCAGAAGUUGCGGAAUCGGGAUAUUCUGUAUGUGAAGGUUCUUUGGAGCAACCACGAGGAGCGAGAGACCACAUGGGAGUUUGAAAGCGCUUUGCAGGAGCGUUAUCCCCAUCUCUUCCAGAUGGAGUCUCCAGGUAUGUUGCUUUUGAGUUUCGCGGACGAAACUCCUUUUUAGGAGAGAUGAAUGUAACACACUAGACCUUUGCAAAUUACGAGGUUCGAGUGUUUGAUCAGUGUUCCGAAUCUUUCCAGAUAUUAUGGAGGGUCGUUGACAGUGGUCUGACCUAUGGCUCGCAUCCCGAGAUUUUUGGUAUUUAAAAUAGCGCUAAGGUCGCCAAAGAGGAGGACUUAGGCUGCUCUCAAGCUUGCCUCAGCAGGGCUGUGUACCGGUACAACAUUGAUGUUGUACCGGAACAAGUAGUUGUACCGAUACAGCAUCGGAAGUGUAGCGGUACAGAUGAAUUUUUCUACCAACCCGAGCCUCGGGUUUGCGCGUACACUGGGUUUGUACCGGUACACUUUCCCGUGUACCGGUACAUAGUGCAGUGCGUGCUGUUUUCGUAGAGGGGUGUAUUUGUAAUUGUUGCAACUCUAUUUAUACACACCUCAGCCCUCUUAGGAGCUCUUUUCAGCCCUAACCAGUGGAGAAGUAAGGUGAGCCUUCUCCUCUUUGAUUUCUUCUCCAAUUUUGAUGGUUUUUGGCUAGUUUUGAUAUCCUCCUUUUAUGUUUUCUUGCUUCUUGUUGGUUUCUACAAUGGGAGAAGCCUUGAGCUCGUGAUUGCAGCCGUGUGGAGGGAAAAUCUUUGAUUCUAGCUGGGUUCUUGGGUGAUUUGAAGCUUCUUGUAAAGUUAGUAAGCUUAAUCUACCCUUUGAUUCAUGUUUUAGUAGGUUCUACUAGAUGAAACCCUAGAAAUGAAAAUUAGGGUUUAAUUGGGGAUUUUUGAUUUGAGACUUUUGGAUCUCAAUUGAUUGACUUAGAACCUUCCUUUAGGUUGGUUUUGAAGGGUUCUUGCUCUCUUUGGGAGAUCAAGAGGGAAUUUCACCAUUAUCGGUGAGUUUCUAACCUAUUCUUCGAGACGGUUAAAGUUUGAACUUUUGGUUGUUCGUUCGAUGUUUGUAACUCUUCUAAUAUUACCUUUAGGGUACUAGGAGAGUAGUGGACACCUUCGUCGGCGCAAACGAAGAGUUUCGGGGAGUCACAGUGGGUUUGACUUCAUGAAUAGGGGAGAAAUGUCUCCUAUGUGUUUUACACUUGUCGUUUCAUCGAAAUGCAUGUAUAUUCAUGCUAGAUAGGAUUUAUAUGAAUUUUAGAAUACUUAAAAUGCAUGCACCAUGUAUCAUGAAAAUUCAACUCUAUAUAGUAGAGCCUUAUGUGUAUUAUGCAUGCAUGUGAGUAGUAUUCUUUCUCAUGGAUUGGAAUUAUGUCUCUUAUGAUGAAAAUGACUCGAGUUAUGAACUCCUGAACACUAUACUCAUGCUUGGACUUAGUGGACAAAAGUGCCAUAGAGGGGCACCCAAACUAGUAAACAGUUGAACUGCAACAUAGUGACAUAUUGAUAGGCCAUUGUGACAUCGACUAUAUUCCAUGUUUUAGACAUGAUGACAUAGUGAUAGGCCUUCGAGACAUUUGCUACAUUUAAUGUUUUAGACAUGAUGAUUUGGGACUUGAGACGGACUUUUACGCUUGCUUGCCAUUGUGCUCAUUCUCACAUGCUUGUGAGGGUCGCUCUCCACAAGCCGGCACUCCGGAAAUAGCCAUCGCGACACAUGCUCGCCCGUGCGGAAUUGGGCGCCAAAAUGGGAUGCCAUGGGGGAGGCUCAUUCCUAGAGUGGGGAUGUUGAAUACCAUGGGGCCAUUAGGCACGGCGUAAGCCGGACUACCCACGGGUAGGUCCUACAUGAUUGGGAACAUUGGUGAUUUAGUAUACCGAGUGGACAUUGACUAGAAUAGUAAAUAAUGGCAUUUUACUAUUUAGCUUAUGGACAUUAUGAUAGGUAUGUUCAUGUACAUUUAUAUUACAGUAGCCUUAUUACUUGUGCAAAUUCAUGCUAAGUAGAGAUAUUAUGUUGUAGUAAGCUUUCAUGUUUAAUUGCUAUUAUUCAUAUCGCUUAUACUUGUACUUACCCUUUCAGCUUUUGGGUCUAGUGGCGCAUAUCACUGAAGUCAGUAAUUGCCUACUGGAAACUAUUAUUUAAUAGUUCUCACGCCCUCUGUUUUAUGGUUUCCUUUCAGAGCCUUCUGCACCGGCAGAGGCGCGGGAUCGCGGCAAAGGGAUGGCAUAGCUAGAUAGCGGAGCUUGCUUUUGCUCCUAGGUGGUUUACUCUUUUUUGUGUUUUGGUGAGAAAGAGUUUUGUUACCAUGCAUAGAGACCACCAUUGUAUUACUUUAGCUCUUGUAUUCGGAUUUUGUUGUAGUACCUUAUGAUUAUAUCUUAUUGGAUUAGCUCUUCUAUUUUCCCGCAUUAUCAUAGAAUCUAGAUGUCGUACGCUCUGGUAUCUCUAGAUCUUGCUUAUUGUUGCCUUAUUUAUCGUUUUGUUGUAGAAGCCUUAUAUGUUGCAGACAUAUGGCAGGUCUGGACACGCGCCGGGCGGGCUUCCACUGGGUCUUGGGGCGUGACAGGGCGUUAGCAUCACCCCGCAACACAAUAGUGGCCAAAUAGGCUACGCAGCCUCUGCUAAUCACUGCCUAGCUCGAGAGGAGCUAAUCGUCAUCGCAAACAGCGAACUCUGGCAUCCACGGUAUACAACCUCCUCCUGCCCCGGCUCUCUGAAAGUCAUCGUUCGAUUCUUGCAAUCGAUAGUAACGAAGUACUUGGUCAACCAAUCCAUGCCCAAGACAACAUCAAACUUUUCGAGUUUAUGCACGGCUAGCAAAUCCACGGGCAUGAUCUGUAACACACUGGACCUUUGCAAAUUGCGAGGUUCGAGUGAUUGGUCGUGUUCUGAGUUUUUCCAGAUUUCCUGGAAGGUCGUUGACUGUGUUCCGACCUAUGGCACGUGUCCCGAGGAGUGUGGUACAAAGCCUUGCACCAAAAUCCAAAAAUUUGGAUUUUGGUCAGCUCUCGGAUUGGCUGUCUGGCGGGCUUGUACCGGUACAAGGUUGGGCCUGUACCGGUANAAGAAGAAGAGGAAGGAGAAGUCCAAGAAGAAGAGGAAGAAGGUCUUCUUCCCUCUCUCCUUCAAGCUAGGGCAAGCUUGGAGCUUGGCUUAGAGGUGAGCUCCAAACCCACUCAUGGUAGAAUUUUUAGGGUUGGGUUUUGUUGCUUAGAAUUGGUUCAAAUGGAACCUAGAGGAGAUAAAUAGAAGGUUCGAGCUCGCAAUUGAAGCUCGCACCACGGAUUUCUUCCCCGUUGCCAUUCUAGGGCACGGAAUGGGGAUUUUUGAAAUCUAGGGUUUUGAUCUAAUUAGUUGGGUCGCUAACCUAAUUGAUAGGUCUCUGAGCGCGUCGGCGAAGACGGUUUACCGAUCCGACGAGCGAGUGCGGAGUUAUCGCCAAAUCGGGUACUCGAGGGCUCGCUUUGCCCCGAGGAGUUCAAGCGGCGUGCAAGAAUCGCAACGUCGAGCUUUCUACUAUCGCGGCAUCGCCAAGAGGUGGGUGGUGUCCAUCCCGAAGCAAUCGGGCUCCCUCCUAUGUCUUAGUACAUUUCGAUCUUGCAUCUUGUAUUAUUGCAUUAUAGGAUUAUUAUGUAUUGCCUUUCCUUAUGCCUUCCUUGAUGAUACCAUAGCAUGCAUUGGAUAUUGGAUAUAGAGGAUUGGUGAGGAUUGGGUCGAGUCUUGCAAAUCCUAUAAUGUAGAGAAAAUGAUGAACAAAGAACGAGUGGCAUCUAGUCGAUAGUAAACAAUGGACGAGUGGCAUUCAGUUGAUAGCAAGCAAAAGAACAAAUGACACAUAUGUGAGUCAUAGUGUAUAGGAAACCUAUGGACUAUAUGAUGAUUGUGACCCUAGAGGACAGGGUAUCCUCGAGCUUAGAGGAUUGGAUCAUGCUCACGGUCUGUUUAAAUCUUGUGAUGGAAGCCCCACACAAGUAGUGCGCUCCGGAUAUUGGUCACGCCAGGGAUUGCCUAUAUGGCCCCGCCAGACGGUCUCGGGUCCGUAGUGUGAGUUGAUUCUCCCUACGUGUCGAGAUGGCUAGUGAGCUGUAGGCGAGCCUUCGGGUAAGCCAUGAGAUUAAUGAACAGGUAAAUGAGGUUAACGAACGAGUGAAUAGCUUCACCUUUGGACAUGAUGACAGGUUAGUUGCUUACCUAUUUCAUUGGACAUGCAUUCAUAUACUUGUGAUUGGGCAUAGUAGAGUAGUUUCAUUUCCGUCAUUUACAGCUUUUCCUAUUAUCUAUCCAUCUAUCGAUAUCUACUUGUGCCCGCUUGGACCUAGUGGGGAGAUCGGCGGAGUCGGCGGCCGAACCCACUGGGAACUAAGGAAGUUAGUUCUCACCCCCAUUUUACUACAGGUUCCAGUUCGGGUGUUCCCGGUGAGCGUGAGGAUCGCGGUAAAGGCCCGGCGUUCUAGUCGCAUUAGCUACCUCCCUUUUGUAUUAGCUCUCACCCCCCUUCUUUUAUAUUUGAGAGUAGAUGAUGUAUAGGGUGAGGUUCGAGUGAUUGUAUUUAUAUUUUGGAAGAAUGCAAAAGAUGUAUUUGAAUGUAGUAAAUCAAAUGAAUGUAAUAGAUAGCCUCUUUUCUCUUAUGUACUUGUAUAUGUUUUUAUACUUGUAUCUUGCUCUUGUUUAUAGCACUGGUGGUGCUUCUUGAUCGUGUAUUUAUGAAUUGAUUCCUGGAUAAAUUCUUAUGCACGAUCUAUUGGUUAGCCUUGGACGGAUAGGGGAGGUCCUGUCCGCCCGGCGUCUGUUCGACGCGCCCGGGCCGAGCCAAAUUGGUAGCGGUCGCGGGGCGUGACACUUAGUAUACCGAGUGGACAUUGACUAGAAUAGUAAAUAAUGGCAUUUUACUAUUUAGCUUAUGGACAUUAUGAUAGUUAUGUUCAUAUACAUUUAUGUUACAGUAGUCUUGUUACUUGUGCAAAUUCAUGCUAAGUAGAAAUAUCAUGUUGUAGUAAGCUUUCAUGUUUAAUUGCUAUUAUUCAUAUCGCUUAUACUUACUUGUACUUACCCUUUCAGCUUUUGGGUCUAAAGGCGCAUAUCACUGAAGUCAGUAAUUGCCUACUGGAAACUAUUAUUUAAUAGUUCUCNGUUUUUCAGAGCCUUCCACGCAGGGAGAGGCCAGGGAUCGCGGAAAGGGUAUCGCCUCGGGCUAGCGUGCUUACCGAGGGAUCGUUCGAUAGGUGGUCUACCUCUCGUGUUAUAUGCUUGUGAGAGGUUGAGAGUUGUACCGUAUAUGUAUAGAGACCACCAUUUUUGUACUAGAGACAGAUAUUGUACUACUUAUGAUUUCCUUUAUUGUCUAUCCUUAUCUCUUUACUUUGGUGUAGAUGUUAGAACUAUUUUUGCUCUGAUAUCAUUAGUUGCUGGUUAUUUCCCUUCUUUUACUUGUUCUAUUUCUUGCUUUUCUUCCGCUUUAUUGUAGACGCCUUAUAUGUGUAGACAUAUGGCGGGUCUGGGCACGCUACCGGGAGGGCCUCCGCCGGUCCCGGGGCGUGACAUGAUCUAAUCUCCUACUCGAAGAGGGCAACUACGGCAAAACUCCCUAAUAUCCAAGGAGUGGUCGGGGACAACAACACGUCACAGAUGCAACAAGGAAACAAAGAGGAUGCCAUGCAACUCGGCAAACAACCGAUCUAUGAAUGAAUGCGAUGCACCGGUAUCAAAUAAUGCACGAACUCGAAUGACAUUUAAUAAAGUGAUACCUGCAACCACAUCCUCGGCUGUUGCCGCCUCCUCUGUCUGGGCCGCAUACAUGCACCCGCUCGGGGCCUGUCGUGACCCCUUCAUCUGCCUCUGAACAGGUGGCCGCCCGGCCUGGUAGUGAGCAGAAGGCGUCCCCUGGCUGGGACUCGGUGAAGCUGGUGCCGAUGCUGAUGACGGCGCUCGAACAGAUCCCCUCGGGCAAUCCGACUGGAAGUGGCCCUCCUAGCCACACAAGUAACACUUACCCCGACAGCGCGGGCACUGCCGUAGUUGAUGAGGACCACUGCAAAUCACGCAGCGCGGAGCCUGUCGAUGGUCAGAUCCUCUACGCUGAGCAAAUGAGCCACGUCCUCGCGACUGGCUCCGGCUCCUCGGAUGUCUCGGUGGCCUCCCAGAGUGCGUCUAGCUCGCACCCUCAGCCGCUGGCCUCUUACCCUUACCUUUGUCCAAGCCCUCGCGACGCUCCUACAACUCCACCGCAUCGCUCUCCACAAUGAGCGCGCCGUUCACCACAUCUCGAUAGGUCUGCAGGUUGGAGGACUGCACCAAUCGAAAGAUCGAGGGCCGCAAUCCUCACUCAAAUAUGCGGGCCUUGUCCUCGUCGUCCCGCACCACGAAGGGCACACAGUGUAACAGCCGAGAGAACUCCCUCUCAUACUCGGCCACGGUCCAGUCCCCCUGGCGCAUACCGCGCAAGGCCUGCUCCAUCUUCCUCUUGACACUGUCUAGGAAGUAAUGCUCCAGUAGGAGUUACUUGAACCUCCUCUAAGUGAUCGCUGCAAGGUCGGUGUUGGGGUUAUCCUGGAUAUCCAACCACCAACUAUAGGCCUCGCCGUCGAGAUGAUGAGUGGCGAGCUAAACUCUAUCCCUCUCCUCCACGAAGGUAUCACGAAAAAGUUUCUCCAUAUGCAUGAGCUAUUUCUCCACGAUCCAGUGGUCCACGUUCUUUCCAUCGAAAAUCCUGGGGUUACACCUCCUGAACUCGUUGAGGCGAUCCAUGAGUCGAUCCCGCUCGGCUCCUUCAACCAUCACGGGAAAAACUACCCCCGCCAAAGGCAUCUGAGUUGGUGGUGCCGCGACCAUCUCCUCCCGAGGAGCAGCCGCAGGCGCCAUCCGCGAAGUGUCGAGUGCAGGGGACGACACCCUCGGUGCAACCACCUCUACCGACGCGGGUGGUGUAGGAAUCUGUGCCUCCCUAACAGCCGCCUGCUGCAACAGUAGGUCCUCCAGGCGCUUCAUUCGUGCCUCCUGCCGGCGCGCCGCGUCUGCCUGCUGCUGGGCCGCCGCCGCCUACUAAGUGACCAAGUCAAUGAGGGCCGCCAACUGGCUCCUCAACUCACGGACUUCGCCGGAUCCAGAGGUAGCGGAGGUCUCGACCUCCUAAGCGUGUGCCGCAUUAUCCGCUCCGGCAGAUUGAGAGCGUGUCAUCGGCAUUAUCACUACAACAUCAUAAAAACGCAAGUUAGUAAAACCCACGCUAUCGUAACCCCGCUCAAGCAACAAAUACCCAAAAUCAUGCGAAAGUAAUGAAGUGUCCUUUACUACUAACUCCCGAUGUUACGUUGUCGGCCGCCAACGUAACCCUCCGCGAAGUUAGAAGCUAUACACUCCGAUUAAACUCCAACUUUUUAGAGUUAUUCAAGAUACCCAAUCAUGAUACUUUCGCUUACAAAUCAAGUAGACCUCGUCUCUCACGAUCCUAUUUCCUAUAGUCCAACCGGCCUAAGGUUUGCUAGGUCCUUUAAGACUCAACCCUACGCUCUGAUACCAAAUUAAUCUGUCACGCCCCAGGACCCGCGGAGGCCCGCCCGGCGCGUGUCCAGACCUGCCUUAUGCCUGCACAUAUAAGGCGUCUACAACAAAGCGAUAUAAAUAAUCAGAAUAAACAAAUAUCUAGAGAUAUCAGAGCAAGUAGCAGCUAAAUUCUAACAACAAGUAGGAUGAAAGAGAACAUAAACAAUCAGGAUAAAACAUAGCGCAAUACAUCAAACUGCCUCAGAUGCAAGUACUGCAAUAUCCAAAAUGAUAGUAUCUAAGUAGGGUACAACCACUCUCAUUCUCUCCAACAAAAAUAAAAGGAGAAAAUGAUCCACCUAGCAAGACUCCCUUGCUCGCUAGCUCGAUGCGACACCCUUGCCGCGGUCCCAACCUCUCCCAGGAUGGAAGGCUCUGAAAGAAAAUAUAAAACAGGGGGCGUGAGAAUUAUAAUUUAUAGUUCCCAAUGGGCAAUUACUAACCUAAGCACAAUGCACCACUAGGCCCAAAAGCAGUAGAUAAAAGAACUACUAGUAAGCUGCGAAUAUGUAAAGCAUGUAAUGAUAUGCUAAUCUACAAUGCCAUAAAUAUACAUUAUGUCAACAUGGUGUACAUCUAUUCUAUCAUGGUCCAAUAUGUCACUACAUGACUAGGAUGCUCCAACAUGGCAAACAAGUAUGCUAUAAUGUAAUAAGCAAUACUAUCAAGUACACUACAUGUCCAAAUGCCCAGUAAAUCCAACUACUAUGAACUGUCUAGUAGUGAUUAUUACUUAUAUGACUCCAUGUCGAUUUUCAUUUCUAAUUAAGGACCUACACAAGGUAGUCCGGCUUGUGCCGCCUAAGUGUCGGUGGUAGCCCCAACAUUCCCACUCUAGGAAUGAGUCUAUCCCUCCCGACCCCCGUAGGCUUCUCGAUACCGCACGAGCGAGUAUAAGUCGCGUAGGCUAAUUCCGGAGUGCCGGCUUGUAGGGAGCGACCCUCACAAGCAUGUGCGAAUGAGCACAAAUGGCAAGCAAGCAAAGUCAUCAUCUCAAGGAUCCGGUCAUCAUGUUUCUAACAUGGUAAUAGUCACUAGCAACCCAUCGGUCUAGUUCUAUGUCUCAGUGUGAAGUUCCAACAUUCACUAGAUCUAAUGCCUCUUUAUGACAUUAGAAUAUUGCUAUGCCCAAGCUCAAUCCAUAUUCAAUGCCUCUUUAUGGCACUAGUUCACUAGGUUCACAUAACUCUAGCUCUAUGUCUCUUUAUGACAGUAACUCACUAAUUUAUACAUCAUUCAAGUCUAAUGCCUCUUUAUGGCAUUAAGUUUUCUCCUAUAUCUAAUAUGAGAUUUAUGCCCAAGAGCAUUUUACACUUGUCAUUUCCACUAUAUGAAAUGUAGUCUCAAGCCACAUAUAGAAUGCUAAACACAUGCAUAAGUCCCACAUGCAAACUCUCUACUACAUAGAGGUCCAAAAAUGUAUUGUAUAUAACAUAAGCAUUUUAAGCAUUCUAAAAUUCAUAAAUAAUGCACCUAGCAUGAAAGUGCAUGAUUUUUUAUUUUACAAAACUUAAAUCAACAUAAACGAGAUUUUUCUCAUUUUUGAUGAGGUCAAACCCACCAAGCGCUCCUCGGAACCCUUCGUUCGCGCAAAAGGAGAUGUCCACUAGCCUCCUAGCUCUCUAAAGGAAAUUCUAGAGGAGUUCAACACAAGGAACGAACAUCCAAAGAAGAGAACAUUAACCGUCUCGAGAAAAGGGCGAAAACUCACCGAUAGAGUAGAAAAUCUCUCUCAAUCUUCAAAUAAGAGCAAGAACCCCUCCAAACCAACCUAGAUGAAGGUUCUAAUCCAAGAGAUCGAGCUCCAAAAACCCUAAAUCCAAAAUCCCCAAAAUCAACCCUAAGUUUUCAUUCUAGAGUUUUAUCUCAAAAAAACCAUCAAAACAUGAAUCAAGAAGUAGAAUCAUGUUACUAACCUCAAGAGAAGCUUCAAACAAGGCUCAAAUUCUAGUAGGGUUGAAGAUCUCUCCUCCAACAAGCUCAACUCCAAGCUUCAAGCCUUCUCCCAUGGUGGAAAUGCCACCAAUAGCAUAAAAGGAGCAAAAGGAGAAGUUUAAUCUCUAAAAAUUCAAGCAAAAAGCAAGGAAAAUCAAUGGAGAAGAAGUGGAGGGCUCCCUACCUCGCCUUCCCUGUUUCUCAGCUCAGGGGAAGCUCUAAGGGGCGUGGGGACUAAUAUAGAGAAGCAACAAUAGCAAUAACACCCCCCAACUAUGCCAGUUCGAAAUCUGUCAAAGUGUACCGGUACACGAAAAAGUGUACCGGUUCAAAUCCCCCGAACACUCAAACCCGAGCCUCGGGUUGGCAGAAAAGCUUAUCUGUACCGGUACAACCAUCAAGGUGUACCGGUACACUUUCUGUUCUGGUACAACCAUCAAAGGUGUACCGGUACACAGCUCUGCAAAGUGCAACCCGAGAGCAGCCUAAGUCCUCCACUUUGGUGACCUUAGCACUACUUUAAAAACCUCAUUUCUCGGGAUACGAGCCAUAGGUCGGAACACUGUCAACAACCCACCAGAAAAUCUAAAAAAACGCGAAACACAGCUCGCACACUCGAACCUCGCAAUUUGCAAAGGUCCAGUAUGUUACAGGGUUAGUCUGUUAUAAAUUGUAGUUAUCUAAAGGAUUGAGAGUUCACUCGGUGUUCCAUGUUUCCCUUUUAAAGAAAAGUCCUCCAACAGCAGUCCUGGCCUCCCCGAGAGUACCAACUAUAGGUGAGGAUGGUGAGCUACUGGUAGAGCCUGAGAAGAUCUUGAAGAGGAGAAUGGUAAGGGCGGGGACAAGGCCACGACCAAGGUGUUGGUAAAGUGGGUAAAUCUUCCGCGGAGCACGCUACAUGGGAGGUUUAUUGGAUUCUUAAGCGUCACUUUCCUUAUUUUGAUCCUUGAGGACAAGGAUCAAAUUAAGUAGGGGGGAUUGUUACAUCUACCUAGAUAGGAAGAGGAAGAUUAGAAAUAUAAGUAGGAGUAGAGUGAGUAAGGGAUUCAAUAAAGAAAGGAGAAAAGGGGCUUAGCUUUUCCUUAUUGAGGCUUUAGAUCUGGAGUAGGUUGGCCAGGGAGAUCAAGAGGUUGAGAGGAGCCUCCCCAGGCGACCGGAGCACGAGGGGGUCAAGAAAGGGGAGAUGAAGCGCUGAGUAGGCUAAGGCUUCAGACAGACCCUAGUUCUCAUCUCCUCCUUUCAUCUCCUCCUCUCCUACUCAACCCUAGUUCUUUCUCUCUCUUCUCUCUCUCCAAUUCUUCAAUCCUUACUGUUUCCUUCUUAUCCUCUUAAUCAUGUCAUGAUUAUCCGAAUGACGCAAUUCUUUUGGAUUGUGUGUUAAUUGAGACCCAUCAUCCUCGAUGCCAUCCUCGUCUCAAUGAAAUCUCAUCAUAGACGGAUUGCGUUAGAGUCAAGUACGUAACAUUUUAUGCACCGAUUUGUUAUAAUCAAACAAUGUAGAUCAUACAUUGUAGUUUUGAUCUAUUAGACACUUUAGUAAUCAGUUUUGAAAAUACAUGAUUAAUUAUACAAAGGUUUCGUACGUAUGUAGAUCACAUCCUUCGAACUAGAUUUUGCUUUUCAAACAGCGAUUGUCAAAUAUCAAAUGUGGUCUAUAAAGUGUUACACGUACAGCAGGUGCAGACAAUAAUUUUUCACCACCCCUGUAGCAAACUGAUUGUCAUCCUCACAGCAGUGCUAGAAGAAAAAAAUGUUCCUUUUUUUGUAUGUUCAUAUAAUACUCACAAACAAGGGGUUUGAAUUUUCCUAAAGAAAUUCUUCAAAUGUUACACUACAGCAGAAUCCAAUCCAACCUCAUACAAAAACAAAAUUACAAUCAGCUUAUACACAUCAACAUUACAAAAACAAUUGAAUCAAACAUCACAUAUCUUUGUACUCGAAGCACAUGCAACAUACACACCAACACUCCAGUCAAAAAAGCAUGGACCGCGUUCCACUGAAAAUUACGAAAUUCGGUGCAUGCAGUUGAUAUUCAACUUCUCUUCCAAAACGGCCAAAAAAGGAAAAAAGAGAACCCCGAGGCCCCCAAGGUCUCUCCUCUACAAAUCCAACCAUUUUUCUACAUAAUACUACACUCUUCGAUGCUUGAUCAUUGUAGGGUAGGAUACGAAACAUUAAAAUGUGUGCAAAACCGUAAAUCUCCAAAGCCGUAUAUACCACGAUUCAUUACCUAAUAAACAUCCAUUGCUAUUUCAUCAAUUAGUAGCUGAAGUAUGUCGUCUCCAAUCCGCAUUCCUACCUGAAAUGACUCAAUCGAGAAGUCCAUCCGUAUCUCGUUUGAGUGAUCAAGAUCCUCACCAAUCAGACGAUCUAAGCCAGCCAUAUUAUUCCAGCCUCUAAUUUCCUUCUUGAUGUCACUAACUAGCCUGUCCUUGGUAACGAAACCAAUAAGUUUCAACCAUGAUUUAUAACCUGAGUUAUAGAAGCAGUCAUGCAUCGAAGCCAGGCACUCAAUAACACAUUCAAGUAUAAGAUUUCUGAGUUGAUUUCCUGCUUUAGGCUCUGUGAAAUUAAAGCCACUUCUUGAACUCGUGUAAAAAGCACCGAGAAUAGAUCCCAUUUUUUCGCGAAAAAAUAACUCUACAAAAGAGUCUUUUGGUCUAUCUGAACCAAAAGAAUAAAUGUUUUCCAAUAGCAGCUCAGCAUUAGAUAUUGCUUCUGCCGAAAAUCUGACCCUUCUCUCUUGAAUUGCAACUUCAAAUGGGAAAAUACCAUGAGUUCUUGUAAUACUGCUGGCAGAACCGGGAUUGUUCUUUAGCUCGUUUCUGCUCCAUGAGGUCCCUUUGAAGUCCAAUUCCUGUUUGCUUUCUGCAAUAAUGAGCAUGGAGAAAAGAAAGCGGGAAGAAAUGUUAAAAUCAAAGAGCCACGAGCAUUAAACAUCUCGGUCCAAGCAAAGUACGAGAAAACUGCAUAAUAUAAGCAUAUAUUUCUAUACUUCUAAUCAAGGUUUUAAGUGCCGCCCCGUGCCGUACCGUGCCCCCAAGAAAGGGGCACAGUACCGNUUUGAGCACCCAGAAAAACCGUUGUUAUCAUCACCCAUGAAUGAAGCUCCAAUAAGAUGAUCAAUAUCUCUAGCCGGAAGUGCAGUAGAAGUACUUUCUUUUGCAGCAUCCUAAUAAUAUUGUGAAACAUAAGUACGUUCAUUAAAAAGAACAAGUUCCAACAAAAGUUUCACAAGUACUACUGUUUAAAACAUGUGUCAAUUAAAGGAAGAACAAAGGAUGAUGUAGAAAAGAGAUGUUUUCUGUAUAAAACACAAUAUUCAAAUGCAAUGGAAAUUUUAUAAGAAAACAAUUUAAGACAUAUUUCCCACAUAGAGCACCCCCUGAAUUGUAGCCGCUACAAAGCCACGUAUGCCAUUCUGAGCACAUAGAUGUCAACUUCAGUUUUCAUAUGCUCUUAUCUGAGAUGAAAGUUAAAUUGAAAGAUAACUCACAGUACAAAGGUUUUUGCUGUACCAUCUUAGAAACUAGUAUGCCCAAGAAAUCAUGGUAGCAUCAAGAAAGUGCUUUAGGUUUUUGUUUCACCAAAAAAAUACUAGAUUACGAAAUAGUAAAACAGAACUUUUAAGGGCCUAACUAGAUUCAUGAAUAUCUUGUCUUAUGUUUCUAUUUUGUUGACUCAAGGGUCAUGUAGCAAUUUGGUUAAAGAGACAUGAAAGACAUCAACUACCAAAUACCAUAUAUGGCCUCUAAAUCAUUUUUCUUGCAUUAUGAUAAAUCAAGGAUUUAAGUGCCGAUAGACAUGGGCCACGACAACUGUACGUUUGUGUCGACAACAUAUUGGAAAUGUAUUAAUCUUGAUGCUGCAAUAACGCUUGAAACCCUCUAUUUUGUAAUUUUUCAACAACAAAGUUGUUUUGUGGCCUCUAUUAUGCAAGAACUUGUGUCUAAAUGACCUGAAUUUCAUGAAAUUGCAGAUCAACACGGGGCAAUCUUGAUUUCCCUCAAACCCUUGUUUUCCACCAAUCCAAAUAAGUAUAUGAACGUUUGAAAGCAUGCAUACAUUUUCUUAGUAAUUUUAAUGGGAUUAAAGCUUUUAAGAGAACUAGGUUUUUCUCAAGUUUUAUUAAUAAUCUAAUGAAAUUUUGUAGUAAUUUUAGGAAUUUAAAUUAGCAAGCAAUAUCCAUCAGCAGAGUACAACAGAUUUGGUAACGACAUAUUUGAGAACAAUUAGGAUAUAUUGUUGGCAAAAGGUCACGACAAUCCCAUGCCAAAGUGCAUACGUGCAGGGGCAUGGUGCCAGUAGCACACAGGCUUUACCAUAUGCAAGCAUGGCAUCAUACUGUGCCAACCAUGUGCCUCAUGCCUUGGCACUUAAAGCCUUGAGAUAAUCACCUUGUAUUCAUAGGUGGAACCUUCUAUCUUGAAAAAUCACAAGUAUUAAGAUUCCACAAAUACUAACCAUCGACCUCCUGUAUUGCAAUAACAAAUUAAUGUGUGCCUUUCAUUUAUCUCAGUUGAUGUAAUGAGGAUAAGCUUAAAACCGAGCAAAUUUAUUUUUUAUAGCUGAAAAGAUUUAACAAUCCAUCAAAUGCCUACAUUAUUAAGGACAAGUAAGGGCAUAAUGGCUUUUAUGUGUUUCGAUACAAUUUCAAGAUAUAUCUUACAACACUUGACAGAUCAGACAUGAAAUUAUCAUUUGAUGUAUUAAAAGUUUCAUUGAGCCGAACAAUACAAGGGUGUGUUAAGGUAGACGGCAGACAGCUCUGUUAGGUUUAUUAAUACAUUUUUACAUUAACAUCUUUGGCUACCUUCUGAUCAUUGUUAUCAUUUUUUUUUUCUUUGCUAAAAAUUCCUAAUUCAAUUUUCUUCCAUGUUCUUUUCCCAAGUUUUGUAUUACCUAGAAUCAUUAUUGAUAUACCAGCACACAAGAAGCAAACCUUGAUUCUAUUUUUCAGAUCUCCAACUACAAUUUUGGUCAUUUUCCCAACGUAAAAUGUCUAUCAUCAAAUAUUUCUGAUUGACUACUUGUGCCAAAGUCCCCUGAACAUACAAUGCAAUCUAGUAACGGAAAAAAAUGAAGUAAAUUUUAAAAUAUGAUUCAACUACUUGCAGCUAUAUUAGCAACAGGCAUUCUAUCAAGUAUCACUCAUAUCAUCUUAAUUAACAAGUAGUUAAGGUCUCUUGGUACUGUUAGAAGAAGCACUUAACUGCCGCUAGGAUUAGAAAAUAACAUCACAAGAAUUGUGACAGACUACAAAAUAACUAGAGAAUGAACUACUGACCUGAAACUUAUUUUUGAUGCCCAUCAUAAGGCUAUCUGUCCAAUCAGAUGUAUUUUUUUGGUCCUGAUUCAGACGAUCGAUUACACUGGAGUCAGAUUGUUUCUCUAAAUCACCUCGGUCCAAGGAAUCGACUCCUCUAGUUUUCUGCUCAACAAGAUUACAAGAAACGUCAUGCCUAAAAGUGGUUUCUUUAUGGGAAGAACUUUGAGAAUAAGCAUCUGAGUCCAUCAAUUCAGUACUGAAAACGGCAUAACGUAAAGAUUCCUUCAUUUCCCCUCUUUUCUUUGUUAUAUCCGAACUGUUAAGGGACCCAGCAACAUGCUUCAUCGGCGAGCUAAAUGUAAAGGAAACAAUAGACGAAGCCGGGCUCCCAACGACAUUAACAUUACCAAGUUCCGCCUCUUUCCAUGAGUCACUUGACUCACUUCUUGCAGGGUUUCGACCAACCGGCUUUGUUCGAACCUGCUCUGUUUCUUUCCCAUUGAUCAAAUCCUUUUCGGCAUUUCGUUGCGUCCCAAGUUUAGGUUUUCCUAUACUGGUGUUUCCAGAGUGGAGAUUAUUACUCGACUGCCCUUUCCUGGCUACAUCCAUUCUGUCAACUCCUCUAGCCUUUAUGAUUGGGGCUUUAGAAAUAUUCAGAUUUUUCUUUGCAGAACUAAGCCCUCUGGCUUCAUGCAAUGCGAUACCAUCUCUAAUGUUAUUCUGCCGACCGUGCACCGUAGAACCAGGCCGAGCCACUUCCCCAGCAGCUAAAGGCAAUUGGUUCUGCUUCAUAUUGUUCUGUUUAAGGGCAGAAUUCGAAGCGACGUUCUUGUUCCUAUUCUGAUUAAUACGCACGUUGCUUUUGUCCUUGGUGACGUCUAUGCCAGCCCGGGCAACCGGUGAGGUCGUCCUAUUCCGAUUACUCAAUAUAGGCGACGAGCCCCGCUCAUUUCCGCUACACUGAACAGGAAGAGGUGAUGGUGAUGAUGAUGAUGAUGAUGCUCGAUUUAGUCCCCUCGCAAUCACCGGCGUCUUCUUCUUAUGAUCAUCUCCAGGACCGUCACGAGACGAGCGAGAAUUACCCAAAUCGGAAAGAGCGAAAUUCUCGCAAUCACUCUCUCUUUUCCCCUCACAACUUGACCUUGGCUCCAAUGCCCCACCCCGAACCCGACCGGCAAAAGAGCUAUUAUUAUUUGAGGCUGGUCCAGAUUCCUCCAGCAAGGCAUCAUCAGCAUUGAAUUCCAGACGCGCAAGAGAAGGCGGAGGAGGACGAGCCCUCGGCCUCAGGCCGGGCUCGAGGAUCUUUGCGGCAGCGCCAAUCAGCCUAGCUCUGUUCCUCCCCCCAGAAAUCGGCGAUCUCGGGGACUUCACGGGCGACGCAAGCGUGCACUGGCUCCUCCUCCUCGACGCCGCCACUGCCGCUGCUGCUGCCGCCUCAUUCCGGCCCAACCAACUCUCUAACAACUGGCCCCUCUUCUGCAUCUUCCGAGGCCGCAAUUCUCGCGAGGGCUCCGCUGCCUGACGAUUGACCGCCGGCGCCGGCACGGCGUCGAGGCCCAUCAGCCUGGCCACCACCCCCGGCGCGCGCAUUCCGCCGCCGGCCUCAUCCUUCCCCACCAUUCCCGAGUUCUCAUCGUGCUUGAUCUAAACUUUGAUGAUUCAUUCUCAUUAAUUUUUUUUUUUUAAAAAAAAAAAAAACAAGAAGAUAGCAAAGAAAACAUCACUUAGGCAUUUGAUAUUAUUAGUAGAGGGAUAAGAAUACCAAGAGCAUCUUGGGUGCAGGAAGCUUCUCGCCGCCACCAGAGUUUUUCGCCGAGAGGGGAGCUGGGAGGGAGGAAAUAGUGUAUCAAGAAGAAGAAAGAAGAUGAAGAAGAAGAAGAAGAGGAAGAAGAAGGAGAAUGGGGGAGAGAUUUUGCAUACGAGGAGGGGGGAGGAGUUUGCGGGGGAAGAAUUUGCGCUUCUUGGCGAAGAGGUCGAGGAAGACUGCGAUGCAGCCGGCGGCCGGCUGCUGCUGCUGCUGCUGCUGCUGCUUCUUCUUCUUCUUCUCCAUGAUCGCCAGCGAACUUGCAGCAGCAGCCGCAGGGGAGGAGCCAUCCUUCUUCAUACUAAACUCGAUGUUUUUUCGCUUUACUUGCACUCCUAAAAGAGAAAUGAAAGACAAAAUUUAUUUAUUUAUUUAUUUGUUUCCCUAUGAAUGAGCUGUGUGGCAGUGUGGGUUUACUACGAUACAAGAAAAAGAAGAGAAAAGAGAAGGGAGAGGAGAGAGGAGAGAGAGAGGAGAGGGGAGGUUGGCACUAUGGGCCCGGGGAAGCUUUUUGGCAGUGUGUGUUGGCACUUGGCAGAAAACUUUUUUUUUAUUUUUGUUUAAACAAAAAAUUAGAAAAACUUUAAAAAUCACUCUCGUGCUUUCGUAUUUUUUUACUUUAAUAUUCUCUACUUUGAGAUAUAUUAAUUUAAUAUUUUAUAAUUUCGCACUUUUUAUUUUAAUAUUUUGUGAUUUAAAGUGCAUAAAUUUAGUACUCUAUGGUUUCAUUUUUCUCCUUUCGUCGGCUCCUUUAUUAAUAUUUCGUUAAAUUAUAUACAAAAAAACUUUAGAUACCUUAUUUAAGGUUAUCAUAUUUACUUUAGUACUCUUUAGUUUUAACUUUGUCACUCAUUUUUUUUCUCUGUUAAUAUUUCGUUAAAUUAUAUACCAAAAACUUCAGAUACCCUACCUAGGUUUAUCAAAUGUUCACUUUAGUACACUUUACGUUUUAACUUUAUGACUGAUUUAACGAAAAAAAUUAGUAAAAUGAAUAAUAAAAAGAAAAAAAUAAAACCACGACAUACUAACUUGAUACACUUUAAAUCACAGAAUCCUAAAGUGAGAAAGUGCGAAACCACAGGCGCUAACUUAAUACACUUUAAGCCAAAGGAUACUAAACUGAAAAACUGCAAAAUCAUGUGGGAGUAUUUGAAGUUUAUCCUGUUUAAAAAAUUUCUGCAAGGGGAAAACUGGGUUUUUUUUUUUAAUUUAAAAAUCCGGUAAAGACAAAACCGGCUGGAAAGUUAGAGAAGUCAAAUCGAAACGGCUGUACAUCGAGAAAACACUAUCCUUAUUGGUACAACAAAAUUGUGAAGUAUUGUUCUUAAUUAACACUGCAUUGGAUGGAACAGGAUAUUUAUUAAAAUUUUAUUGAGAUUUUAAAUUUACUAUAAAAUAUAAUAUUUUUUUCAUAAUAAAAUUUUAAAUUAUAAAGUAUAUUUCGGUAUUUAAUAAUAUAUUAUACUAUUUAUUUUUAUCAAAUGAAUCAAUAUAUUCUGAAUCAUACAAUAAAAUUAUAAAUAUUAUAAUAAAUUUUCUGAAUACUUUUAAAGAAGUAUAUUACUCAUUCAAACAAUAGUAAAGAGAGUAGAAAAGUACAAUACUCUUUUAUCUUAGUACAAUAAAGUUAUAUAUAUAUAUGAUGCAACACAAGCAUAAAAGGUGUAGUGUAUAUAUAUAUAUUUUAUUUAUUUUAUUUCUUCAAUUAUUUUUUUUUUUUUGUUCUUGUUCUUAUUCUUUUAUUUUUUUUUUUGGGUGGCCGCGCUUUGCAGUGAUGUGGGGCGGCCACCGACUCCCGCAUAACAUAGUUUUAUACAUAAAAUUAUGUAUUUCAGAUAGUCGUUAAGAUAAGGUAAAAAAAAAAGCAUGUUGCAUCAUUUAUUCUUAUGUUGUAUUAUUUAUAUUUUUAUCGCAUUAUUUAGGAGGGUAAUACAUUCUUACACUUUGGAAAUAACAAUUUAUGUAGAUUAAGAGGAAAGUAGACGAUUUGUCACUUUUGUUGAGGGUCAUUUGUCAUGGGAAUAUGAAAAUCUAUACACAAAAAAAAGGGCAAUUUGAUUAGAUUUAUGAAAAAGCAAACAGAAUUUGCAAAUUUCUAAAUACUUAAAAAAAAUUAUACAAGUCCUAUGGGUUGGAAUAGAAAAAAUAAAUUUCUUUGUAUUUUAAAGCUUCAUAAAUUAUGUAACAGACAUAUGCCCAAAAUAGGAGUUGAGCUAGAAUACUCCAGGGGUUGAUGCUUUUGAGUUUUUAGUCGGGCUUUUUUAUAAAAUGAUCCUCCAGAAAUUCAAAAUUGGCAAAAUAAUCCUACUAAAAUUUUAUUUGUAAAACUAAUCCUCUUUUCGCCACGUGGGCGCCACAUCAGGAUUUCUCACAAAGACGGUGAAUCGUUCACCGCCUUCAGUGCAAAACCCCUCUUUCCUAUCCGCCUUAUGAAGACGGUGAACGAUUCGCCGUCUUAUCAAGGACACCAUACCCUAGACUUGAAAAAAUUUGCGCAUCAGAAUAGGGAUUUGCACCAAAGGCCGUGAAUCAUUCACCGCCUUCACAACAAAUAUUAUAAAGACGGUGAACAAUUCACCGUCUUUUUCAGGAAUUCCUGACGUAGCGCCCACGUGGCGAAAGAAGGGUUAGUUUUACAAAUAAAAUUUUAGUAAGGUCAUUUUGCCAAAUUCGAAUUUCUGGAAGGUCAUUUUAUAAAAAAGUCCCUUUUAGUCAUUGAAUAGAGAGAUAUAGGGUUGUGAUGAUGGUGGUAGGUAGUGGCAGAUGAUGUUAGGUGGAAUAGUAUUUGAUUCAAGUGCUAUUAGUAAUCAAUGAGUAGAUUCAAGGGUUAGAAACUUAAAAACACCAAGUGGUUGGUGCUUCUAAAAGUAUUCUAGCUCAAUUACCCAAAAUGGCUACAUAAUUUGUUACUGCAAUCAAAGAGCUUAGAAUUGAUUUUCAAAAUUGAAAUUAAAAAUUGCAUUAAUUGAUUUAAAGUAUGAAGCAAUGGAAAGUUGCACCAAUAUUUUUUCUCCUCUAUUAGAAGUGACAAUAAAGAUAAUUUGAAAUAAUUUAUAAAGUUAUUUUGAAUGUCUAAUAUCGAAUUCAACUCGCCAGAGAGGUUUCACUGUUUGGUUAGGGGAUAGGGAUAGGAAUAGGCCCUUAUCCCCCCUUUAUACCCAAACGCUAAUUUUUUAUCCGAGAACAGUAGUUCUCGGUUACCUAUAAUAACCGGUUAUAACUAUCCCCACUUACACCUACAUUUUCUAUAUAAAACUACCUAAUAUUUUUCUUAUUCUAUAUUAUCUAUUCAAACGCUAUUUUUCUUAUCCCCGAAAACAACCUAAUUUUCAUCCAAACACUAUUUUUCUUAUCCCUAUACUUGUAUCUAUACCUGUAAUAACUAGUUCUUGCCUAUACCCAAACCAAACGGUACCUAUUAAUAGAGAAUCGUAGUGCAAUCCCUCCUCUCCUCAAAAUACAUGUAUCCUCAUGUGUAUCUUUCUGAUUGGUUAAAUUUCUAUUAAUAUAAACAUAAAUAAUAACAAGAAAAUCAUAAGGUUAAACGAGUCCGUAGUUGCUAUACCAUCUGUAGCACGGAAGCCUCCAUACUACCAAGUUAUUUUCAAUGAUACGACUUCUAAAUCGACGAUCGGCUCCGUUAAACUUGAUCUAUAUUAUUGAAAGUAUUUGAAACUAAAUUUUAUAACUUUUCGACAUCAUUUACCUACCAAGCAAGUAAUCUAAAAAUGAACGACUAAAAAUAAAAAAAUUCAUAAAAAAUGAUAAUAAAAGACUUGAAUUUAAGACCAAAGGUAUUGACCUUAUUCUAAAUAGUGAAAAGAGUUUUUUUCUACAACUUUCAUUAGAUUUUGAUUGUUUUACACCGUUAAAUUCACAAAUGCAUCACAUUAAUCGUUAAAAUUAUCAAUUUUAAGACAUUUUGAUCACUAGCCAAAUAAUGUCGAAAAAUUAUAAAAUUUAGUUUUCAAAUACUUUCAAUAGUGUAGAUUAAGUUUAACAGAGGUAAUCGUCAAUUUGGAAGCAGUAUCACUGAAAGCAACUUAGUAGCACGAAGGCCUUCAUCAGUAUAGCAGCAUACCACAUGUUAAACUUCAAAAUUACCCCCUUCUAGUUUAGCUCAAUUUCACCUUGUCAUUUAUAGUUUAAAAAAUUUUACUUUAUCCUUCUAUGGUUUAGCUCGUUUUCACUUUGCCAUCCGUUAGCUUAAAAAAUUGCACUUUAUUCUCCCAAAAUUUUUCACUUUAUCACCAUGUAACUUUUUUUAAAAAAAAAUUAAUUUGCCAUUCCAUUUCAUAUAAAACUUUUUGAUGAAAGAAAAAUUAAAUAAUAGAAGGCAAAACGAAUCUUAUAUUUAAAUUGCAAACGAAUUGUUAUGAUUUGGUACUAUCAGUUAUUCUUAGUCAUACAUAAUUUAUACUAAAAAAAAGAAUUUUAAGGCAAACGGUAAAGAAUUUAAUGAUUGACAAUCAAGAUCUAAAAUUCGAAGUCUAAUCAUGUUUUAUAUUUUUAGCUAAUUUAUUUUUUUACGAACAAAAUUAACGAGCAAAAUGCAGCUUUUUUCUCAAAAAUAAUAGUAGCCACAAGAAAAAAAAAGAAAUUUAUUUUUUCUCGUAAACUUGUGAUACUAUUUUUACGUACCCUUGUGUAUAUAAGGAUGGGAAUUAUUUUUUUUCGGCUAAAAUAUUAUGUAAAGUAUUCUCUUUUUUUUUUUUUUCCUGCUUCUAAAUUAUAACUAAUUGAUAAAAAGAAAUUAUUUUUUUAAUAUUUUUCACUGUAUGUUAUGUUAUAUAAUUAGACAAUACAAACAUGCCUAUGUAUCACAUGCAAGGGUACAAAUGUAGUCUACACUAAAUCACCAAAUGCCUUUUUAGAAAAUAUGAGAGACUCUCCCCGAGUGCAGCUACUAUUCUUUUUAGAAAGAUGGAGGCUAGGGAUGUCAAUGGGUAUGGAUACCCGAAAUAUUACCCGAACCCGAACCCGAACGGAGCAAGUUUAUCCGAGCUAAACGGGUAUGGAUUCGGUUAUGGGUAUAAAAAAUAAAAACCCGACGGAUAUGGAUACGGGUAUGAAUUUUGUAUUUACCCGACCCGAACCCGAACCCGACCCGAACCCGAAUAAAUUAUAUAUAUACAUAAAUUUAUUUUUAUUUAUUUAUAUAAUGUAUAAAAUAUUUAAUAAUUUUUAUCCCUUAGAUCUUCAUUCAACGAUAUAGAUUUUUAAAAUCCAUCGGGUUUGGGUUCGGGUUCGAGUCCGGGUUCGGGUUUCGGGUUUUUGGUCGGGUAUGGAUAUGGGUAUGAAUUUUUAAAACCCGCCGGGUUCGGGUCCGGGUACGGAUUUUAAUUUGGUUUUCGGGUUCGGGUUCGGGUUUUUAAAAACCCGACCCAAACCCGACCCGUUGACAUCCCUAAUGGAGGCCUUCAUUUUUCUAAAUCAUUUUAAAUAAUAGGAAUUCCGAAUAAAUAAUCGGGACGGUUAAAUUUAAUCUAAAGUAUUUAUACUGUCUACGUAAAUAGUUUUUAAAUUCAUAAAAUUUAGUUUUUAGACACUUUAAAUACUCUAAAUUAACCUUAACGGUUCAGAUAAUCGAUUCAAAAUUUCUAUCAUCUAAAAUAACUUAGGAGGGCGAAAACCUCCGUCCUCCUAAGACAAUGCUUGGUUCGAGAAUAAGGGGAAGGGGGAAUAAAUCCUUGUUCCCCCUUUGUUCCCAAAUAAAAAUUUGUGUACCCGAGAACAGUAGUUUUCGGAUCCCUAAAAUAAGCAGGUAUAAGACUUAAAUUGUUGUUCCACCAUUUUUCCUACAACAAGCUUGUUUCUAAAUAAGAAUAAGAUUAAUUAAAGCCUAAAUUUAAUUAUAAUUAUAAUAUUAAAUUAUUAAUUAAUUAAUUUAAUUAAUAUAUUUAAAUCAAUAUCCAUUGCUCAAACAAUAGAAUAAUUAAUUAAUUCCAAAUCUCCCUCAAGUUUAUGCUCGUAACUUUUUAGUAGUCUCAAACUCACAAGCUAGCUUCAAUACUUUUUAUUACUAGAGAAUGAAAUUUUAUAUUUCUUUAUUCAACUGUACAAUUUUUGCUUGUCAAAGACUCUUACAAAUGUCUUCUAGUGAAAAUAGUUGUAAAACUAAAUAGAUUAUACCAAAUAGUUUUUUUUUUUAGAUAAAGGUAGCACGCUACCCGCUUCAACCAUUCAGUAAAUAAAUUUAGCUACGACAAUUGAGGCAUCGGGCCUCCAAAGAGAGCCUCAGAAAAGUUAAGGGCGAAAAAAUAACCAAUGAGAUUGCAAUCAAAAAUCAAAAAUCAAAACUCAUCACUUGGUUUAGGAAAAUUCAGCAUAUUCAUUUCCCACUUCAUUAUAUACUUGUCUAACGGCCUCUAAAGAGUCAAAAGAUUGCUUUCUUAAAAUUCACAUGGUUCCUUUCCCGCCAAAUCAUCCAUCAACAUGCAGCAGUUUGUAAAGUUUAAGUUAUACCAAGUAGUUUUGUAAAAAGGGUGUUAAAUAUAAAAAUAUUUAAACACCGUUCUCUAACAGUUUAAGCUUUUAGAGUACAACGGUUAUUUCACAUGAUAUCAGAGCAGAAAGUCCUGAGUUCGAGUUACGCCAGGCUCCUAGCAUAUUAAUUUCCUCCCAUUUAAUUUAAGCCCACGUCAUGGGCCGACUAAAAAAAAUCGCUUAAGUUUUUAGAGUACAACGGUUGUUUCGCAAAGGUGUUUUUACAAAAUCAAUAAAGUUUAAGCUAUAGAAAAUAAAGUUUUAUAUUUUUAUAUUCAACAGCGCAUGCAAUUUUUAGUUUGGUAAAAACUCUCCGAAAAGUGAAACCAAACAAUAAUACUUUUUUUUUUUUUGAGAGAGAUAGGUAGCACGCUACCCGCUUCGUUUAUUUCAUUUAGAAAUAAACUUAGCUGAAAAUGUGAAUCAACUAUGAUUCGAACUUGAGUCUCGGGUAUCAACCGUCAAAUUCUUUGCCACUUGUUCUAGAAACGGUGGAUAACCAAACAACAAUACUAAGUAGUUUUGUAGGGGUGUUUAAGUAAAGUAAGAUCAGUAAUUUUUGAAACUUGCUUGGGAAUCGAGUUCAAUUAAGUCAACUGGGAUCUCGGGUACAGCACUACCCAACGCACAUUCCGGGAGAAAAAAAUGUAGUUGACGAUACUACGUACAGAGCAUGUCGAGCAUUAAGAGGAUUUAUUCUACUUUAUUAUUACCAAUUUGCCUUAAACUAAUUAAUGUAGAAAAUAAAUAAAUAAAGAAAUAAAAUAAGACAGAGAGAUUGAAGAUAAAAGUGUACAAUGAUCACCUCUUAGUCUUAAGUCCUGUUUGGAUGAACAGUACAAAAAAAAAUUCCAUAUAAAGUUUAUAUUCUAUAAUUUUGUUCUAGCUAAAAUAAGGAAUCCGACGACUCUAACAAAUUUUAUGGUUUUAAAUUUCUAAACUUCAAUUUCUUUUCUUAUGAUUUAGCAUUUUUUCUUUCUUAACCAAUCUGUGAUUCAAAAAAUAUGGUAUUACUUUUGUUUAAUCGCAAAAAUCUAGAUGACGGUAUAAUAUAGUGUUUUACCAUUAUAUAAUUUACAUUUUAUUACUGACCGUUUCUAGAACAAGUGGCAAGGGGCUCAGUGGUUGAUAUCCGAAUUUUCAAGUUUGAAUUCUAGUUGAUUCACAUUUAUAGCUAAGCUUAUUUCUGAAUAAAAUAAACGAAGCGGGUAGCAUAUGAUUUGCAUAAAAUAUCACAUUUGUCAUUAUAUUUAAUGGUAGAUCCUUGCCAUAAUAUAAAAAAAAAUGGUAAUUUUAUUCAUACCUCUCAAAAGGUUAGAAAUAUCAUAAAUACCUUUGUCAAAUUAGUAAUAUCACAAUUGUCCCUUUAAAUACUUUUUUUUUUUGAGAAAAAAUACCUAUUUUAUUUCAAUUUUAUCUUGUCCUCGCUAGGCUUCCUUAAGUUUUUAUAGUUUUUAAUGCCUUUUUUUAUUAUAUAAAACAUAUCUAUAAACUCUAAUGAAAACUCAUGUUCUUUUGUACACGUGGCAGCAUUAGCUUAAUCUGUCUUUUAUGGGCCCUACCUGUCAUCUUAAGCUACUAGCCUAACCUAUAUGUCCAUGGGGCCCAACUAGCAGUGUUUUUUCCACAACCCCUUUCCAUUUAGUUGCUUUCCAAUUAAUCGGUUCAAAGUAUCGGGUCAUCUUCCAAACGGUUCGAUUAAUCCCAUUCCAUCUUCAACCCCCUCUAGAUGCCGCUCCGCCUCCCUAUGAGUCCUCCUUAGUCGGAAAAUUGGGCCGAGUCUAGGGCUUCCGGCGUAAACGCGCUCGAGCAGUUCAAGAUCUCCGCAGACCGUAAGUUUCCCCUACUCUCCACCAGAAUUAGGCUUUGGGUGCAUCAAAUUGUGAACUUGGGGGCCUAGGCAGGCCCAAGAUGGCUGGUGAUUGAAAUUGUUAUUCUAAUUCUCCACAUGAAAUAAUUUAUACGGUAAUUUUAGGAACGUGUAUAUAACAAUGAAAGGCUAAGAUGUGAUCAAGCAUUCCCCGUUGGUUCAAAACCCUAAACCUCGUGCCCUACUUUUUUUCGCUCUGAUGCCGCACGCUGACUUUUUCCGACGUCAAGGUUUCGGAAGAUUAAAAACAUGGCGAAGAAAAUGUAAAGCCUUUGAAAGUAAUUUCAAGUUUUCUUCCUUUAAUUAUUAUUAUUAUUAUUAUUAGUAGUAGUAGUAGUAGUAGGAUCAUUUUAGUUAAUUUUGCAUGGAAAUUGGGUAUAACUAGCUGAUUUAAUGAAGAAAACGGAAUUAAAAUAAGGAAAAGAAGGGAUUUAAGCUGGUGGCUAAUUAGCCAAUCACAUCAAGCAGCUUCAAUCGCUGCAGUUUUUUGUGUGAAUGGUCAGUAAGCUCACCUAUAUUUAUUCGUGUUUUUGCAUCUUAUAAAAGGAAAUUUGGGUUAUGUUUCCUCUUUUUUCCAGGUGCAUCAACUCACAUUUCUUUGAGUGAACCAAUACAAGAACUUUGGUUGAUAGAUAAAGUUUAGUACCUAAGUGUUAUGGAUUUGAGUUACAAAGUCCAAGUAUGCCAUUGUUUAUUCCUUGUUUUAAUAAAAAAAAAAAAUGGAGCUUUAAUUCAAAUCAGCCUAUGGCCGAAUUGCUGUACAUAAUACAUUGGAGUGGGACAAAAACACCUGUAAUAUCCAUAUUAAGUAAUCACCAGCCGAGGCUAAUCCUUUCCUCUUUUGUUCAACCAUAAUGGGUUAACAAGUCAGCUGCUGGUUAGCCUCUCUCAAUGCAUCCACAAUUUUCUAAAAAUCAAAAUACCUUGCUUCAGUUUGAAGCUCCUUGAUCAGAUUCCUCAAACUCCAUGAGGCCGUAACAAUAUUAUUGACAGCUUCUCUCAAUUCGGUGGAGUCUGUUUGAAUUGUGAUUCGCUUUCUUUGGUUCCUCUUUGCCUCCUUUAGUGCUUGUAGCAUAGCUUUAGCUUCGGACUCGAGCAAUCAUCAUGCUUUGAUUGACUUACCUAUGGCAAACAAUAUAGUACAAUCAUCGAUGCGGGCUAUAAUCCUAACCCCUGUUCUUCGACUGAUUGGCAAACUAUUUGAAAGCUCGGAUAGUAAAAUUAGAAUUUUAAAAAGAAAUUAUUAUAAUGUUACCUUCGAUUAGCGUAAGUUCACAUCGACCAGCUUCGAUCGCUGCAAUUUUUGUGUGAUUGGUCUGCAAGCUCACCUGUAUCAACUCGUGUUGUUGCAUCUCAUAAAAGGAAAAUCGCGCUAUGUUUCCUUUUUUUCUUGUGCAUCAACUCACAUUUCUUUGAGUGAGCCAAUAAAAAUUCUGGUUAAUAAAGUUUUGUGUUCGGUAUUGUAAUUCUGGGUCGUGUUGUCUAUAUCAUUUUUUGUUUUUUCUCCACAUCAAUUUCUCUCUUUUGAUCUAUUGAUUUGGGUUUGUUGAGGUUAUAAAUGUGUGGUGGCUCAUUCAGCAGUCACAUACUACAACUUCUGUUGCUCUUUUUUCAUUUUGUUUUGUUUUUUUAAUUCAUUUAGUUAAAUUUUGUAACUAUAAUAUUCUUGCGCAAAAACAAAUUUACUCCGCCUAAUAUUUGUAUUAUUUGUAAAAAAAUUAAAUAAUAUUAAUUAAAUUAAUGUAUACGUUAAAAUAAAUAUUAAAUGUUAAAAAUUUAAGCUUUUAACAUACUUUCCUCUGUUUAAUUAUUUUGGUAAUAAUAAUUCGACCUGGUCUUACAACAUAGUGGUCCCAUCCAGAUUCGGCAUUUGGAAAGAAUAAGGGAUACGAUAAUAGGUCGUAACAUCCAUAAUAUGCUUGCACUGUAUGUGCCCUUUUUGAUUUAUUGUAAAUGAUUGUACUUCUUUUAUAGAAAUGUCGCAAAUCUUUUCGUUCUAACCGAAUUGCGGCAAGUUGAGAGGCAGUAGGUUUGUUAUAUACUGUUUGAUCUAAUUCGACAUUUGCAUCCAACGUGAUUCUGUAAUUUUCUUAAUUUGGUAUGUCACCUAAUUUUUGGAAAGCUUGUACAUUAGGAUUUCCUGAUAAUAACCCCAUUAACUUUUGAAUCAAUCUUUUAUCAGGAUAUUUAGAUCGUUCAAGCCAUCGAUCAAUUUCAUGCUCCGAAUCAUAAAAGUAUAGUUGCAAGAAUUUUGCCCCAUCGUCCCUAGGAAUAAGUUGUUCUAGAAAAUGGUAGAUUUGUCCUUGUGCGUGGAAGGUAUAUACUCCACCCUGCAUUUCGCGACUUCUUUGUCUAAUCUAAAACCCAAUGAUGUAAAUGCAAAAUGAUUAUUAUAUCCUCCAAUGUCUCGUCUAAAUUCUUCAUCUAAAUUGAAUUGGUUCCACUUCCUGCGAUGUAUAUAAGUGAUAAAGUUCUUCCGACACUGUAUUAUUUGUUAUGAACACAUUGCCAUUCAUACAACAAAAUUACGGAAACUGACGUUGGAAUUUUUUUGGCUCCACAGCGUUUGCAAGUGCUCGGUGGUUUCAGACUGUGAGGUCGAUCUGGCAAUUCAUGGUAUAUCUCAUCUUCUGAUUUGUUUUCUUCAAUAGAAAUAGUAUGGUCAUUCACAUCUGUUUGAUAUUGUAGCUGCUUAUCAGCACAACAAUCUGCAUUUAUUGUUUAAUUAUUAAAAUAUGACAUAUUUUUAAAUUUAAGUAUUGAUAAAGUUAUAUAAGUUUAGUUCACAUAUACGAUACCAUGGGUGAAUUCAAUAGAAUAUCCAAAUGGUUGUUCAGAAAUCGGCCGUGUAAAGUUCACCUAAUCAAAUAAAGUUAAAAUUUAUCAGCAAAUAGUAGUUAUUUUUUAGUAUAUUGUAAAAUUUGUUGUUAGUAAAAUUAAAAUCUCGAGGAUUUCACGUGGAAAAGAAAUUAUUGUAAUGUUACCUUCGAUUAGCAUACUAAAAUCUUGGUCUAAACUUGCGCUUAUUCUUCCGCAUGGUUGUUUCCUCCCAAGUUUUGUCGUGAUAUUAACUCAUACAUAUUCGUCUCCAACCUUUGCUUUUGGUGAACUGCUUAAUGGUUGGUAUAUGAGACUCUGUGUAGGAAACUUAGUUACUUCACAUUUCCAGUUAGGUUCAUUUCUUAAAAAUGAACGAAAAGAGUGGCUAAGCUUGCUAGCCCUCAAUGCCGAAUGAUUAAUAGGUCCAUAUUUUUCUCUAUGAAUCGUGGUUGAUGAAAACGUAGGAAAUUGGGCCUAAUCCACCCCAUCCGGCCUGGCCCAGUUUUUUAGGCUGGAUUGGGCAUCAAAAUUUAAGACCAAAAGAAAAAAAAUCUAAAUCUAAGACGACUAUAUUUUUUUUGAAUUUGGCGUAAAAUCAGGCCAGCCCAAACGCAACAGGCUCCAGCUUUUGUUCAGCUGUGGUGUUAAGUGUGGAAUGGAAGGUGGCUGUUGUCGUUGUUCUUGUUGUUUUUUUGUCUUCUCUAUUAAUAAUGCUGCGAACUGGGAGGGAAAUGGGAGAGAGGGACAGAGGCAAUUACGCCAGUGGCACGGCCGGAGCCGCAAGAACUGCACGUGAUCGCGCACUGCUAUGGAAUGUCCCAAUGUUUUGAGGGCAUAGUUUGUGAACUUGUUGAGCUUGUAGCUUCAUCCUGUUGUCUUGCUCUUCUAAAGUUUGGACAAAGAGAGUUAGAUAUUCACUUGGUUUUGUCUGUCGGCUACCUUCACUAACUAAAUUUAAUUUUCAAUACACUGAUGUUAAUUUCUUUUUUGAAUUUAUUUAAUUUAUUUUUCUUCUUUUUAUUUGUCGCAGGGAAUGAAUCGCUGGUGAGUUAGGAGCUCAAGUUUUCUUCUUGGUCCUCGAAUGUUUUCCAUUUUUCGAUGUUUAAAGAGUCAUGAACGGAUGUUACACUACAUAUAAGAUAUUAUUACUUUUUUGUCUUCAAAUUGAUCUUACUAUUAUUUUGUUUUUGAGUUGCCGUGAAUCAGAAGUUAACUUCGCUUUUAAAUUAUAGUGAAAAGAAUAAUUUUGCUUGCUUUUUUUUUUUUUUUUUUUUUUGGGUAUGUUAUGUUUAUGGAAUAUAAACGGUGUAUUGAUAUAUUUUGUUUUGUUACUUGUUUAUUAUUGGUGGCGAUUUUGCCUGCCAACUUUAUACAGUGCAACUUUUUUUUUGUAGUUAGUGGCGACAAAAAGUUGCCAGCUUAUCUUUAUAUAAGGUGGCAACUGUUAAGUUGUGACUAAAAAUGCAUAUUUGGCGGCAUUGUGUCGCCGCCACCUUAUCUUCUUAUCUUCAUAUUAGGUAGCAAUUGUUAAGUUGUGACUGAAAAUGCUUAUUUGGCGAUAUUUGGGCUUUUUUUGGCAUGGGCCCCGUCAAAAUAUUUUUUUUUACAAAUAGCUCCAUCAAAUUUAUAAUUAUAAUUUUGGUCCUAUCUCCGCCACGCAGGCGCCACAUUAGCGACAUGGUUUUAAGUUGGUGAAUGGUUCAUCGUGUUUCAUACUUAUAUUUCACUCCUUCCUCUUUUUAUUUUUCUUAUAUUUUUUUUGCAAUAUAUAUAUAUUAUAUUUUUUUCAAACACGGACACGGUGAAUGAUUCAUCGUGUUCAACUUAAUAAAUUGGUCCCAGUCCCGCUCACGAGGCGCUGACGUGGCAGCGCCUGUGUGGCAGGGCUAGCGUUAUUUUUACAAAUAUAAAUUUGCUGAAGUUAUUUUAAAAUAAAUUUUUUUUAGGGAGCCAAAUACAAAAAAAGCCCGCAAUAUUAUGUCGCGGCCACCUUAUCUUCAUAUAAGGUAGCAACGGUUAAGUUGUGAUUGAAAAUGCUUUUUUGGCGUCAUUAUGUCGCCUCCACCUUAUCUUCAUAUAAGAUAUCAGCCGUUAUAUAUAGUUGUCAUUAAAAGUGUACAUUUGGUGGUAAUAAAAUGUGGCCAUACUAUCUUCUGUAAGGUCAUACUAUGGCAAAAUCUUAAUAAUUGAGGGCUAAAUUAUAAAUAAUAAAUAGCCUCCUUAUACUUCAGCUUAGGUCUUUAUUAUCCUUGUGCAUUAAAACUUGCAUCAAUGAUUAUCCUACAUUUUGUUACCAUCUCAAAUAGAUCUAAAAAAUAAAAAUUAGCAAAUUAGGCUAUAAAAUUGUGCUUAAAUGAGUGGGCAUCUAUUAAACUAUAUGAAAGCUCAAUGUUUAAGCUGAUUUGGCACUCUUCUUAUUUUUGGGAGAGCAUUUAAACCUUCAUUACUUUGUCUUUUCAUUAAAGCUCAAUACUUAAAUAAAAUGUCAUGCAUAGCUAAUUUUGAAGAAGCAGUUCAUAUUUUCAAAAACGUACACGACCCUUCGCCUUCUCUCCACCGUCUUAAUUAAUGCAUCCACGGUCCCAAUACAAUUAUAACUGUCCCCUCUCCAUCUCCAUACCAUCCCUCCCCUAUCUCCUCUCGCUUCUCUUUUCUUCUUUUUUUUCCUCUUCUCUAUCGACAUCAAUUUUCUCUCUUACCUUCCUGUGCACUAUGGUAUCCCCCUCUAUCUCUCUCGAACUAAUGGCCCCCAUUACACGGCGAAGGUUUCGUAGUCCCAGUACUCCUUGGGUCGGUGGACGUUGAGGUCGGCAUAGAUGCAAGCCUUCGAGGUAGCAUCAGGACGGCGCAAGAACUUGCUGAUGCGCUCAGCAAUGGCAUCGACAACGAAGGCAAUGGCGGGGCAAGGGCGAGUGGCGGCAGCGACAGCAAUGGUGACAGAGAUUAGCGGAGAGGGGAAAGAAGAGAACAUUGCUUUUGAGUUCUCCAUCGUUCGCAUCAGAAAGCAGGCGGUUGUCCCCUUGCACUCAACAUAAGAAUUAUUUCUUUCUUUUCCCUUUCUUAAGAAAAAGUUAUUAGAUUUGUGACUAUUAGAUCCGUAGUUUUAGUCCGCCUCACAAAUUAUCCCAUAUUUGAAUUAUAAUUUAAAUUUAUAAUUUAGUUUAAAUUAAAAUUGAAGCUUUAAGUUCAAAUUUAGAGUUUAAGUUUUAAAUUUUGAAUUUGAAUUUAAUAUCUCAAUUCAAAUUAAAAUCUAAAUUAUGAAAUUUAUUUUAGUUGUGUGAAUUCUCAUUAAAUAAUCCAAUUUUAUAUACUAUUCUAUAACCAUCAAAUAUUGGAUUGGAUUAUUAUUUAUCCAAUCCAAUCCUAAUCGCAAUCGUAUCCAAUCCUUCUACACUAUACUAUCUGGUUCAAUAUUAAAUACUAGGGGUGGAACUGGGCCCGGGCCUAAACAAGGCCCGGCCUGAUGGGCCAUGUUUGGGCCGGGCUUUGGGUAUUAAAAAUAUAACUUUGGGUUCGGGCCGGGCUUAAAAAUUUAGGCCCGAAGAAAUUUUGGGCCUAUUUGGGCAUGUCCAAGCCCGGCCCGAGCCCGACCCAAAAGCCCGAUAUAUUAAUUAUCAAAAUAAAUUAUUUAAUUAUAUAUAUAUAUUAUUUAUCUAUAAAAGAAAUAAAUAAUAUCAUAUAUCAUAUAUAGUAUAUAUUGUUAUUAAUGAUAUAUACUUAUAUAUAUAUGAGGAUAUAUUAUAUAUUAACAAAAUAUUUAGUUCCAUAUUAGAAUAUAUUUGAUAUUAGAUAGUAAUUUCUUUGAUGUGAUCAAACUAAAAAUAAGCAUUUUAUUUUAAUUUUAUACAAAUAAAAGUAUUUAUGUAUUAUAUGAUAAAUGCAUAAAAUGGGCCUCCACAAAGCCCGAUGGGUAUUGGGCAUUGGGCUUGGGCUUGGGCUGGGCCUUAAUUUUCAAAAAAAAAUAGGUAAAAGCCCGACCCGAAGCCCAACAUUUUCUUUUGGGCCGGGCUUGGGCAUAGUAUUACCCGACCCAAACCCGGCCCAGUUCCACCCCUAAAUACCAAGUAUGCUAUAAGCGAAUGAUUUGUGAGGAUUCAAAAAAAAAUGAUAGAGGCCCCUUGAUUUGAAGAAGGGGAUUUAAAGUCUAAGAAUUUGAAUGCAAAAAAAAAUUAUAGAUUAUAAUAUACAUAAAUAAAUUUAAUUAAUUUUUAGUCUCUUUAAUUUAUAUUAUAUUUAUAACGACCCAGUCCACUAGCAAUAAUAACGUUGGGCCCAACCAAUAUCCGAUGUGGGAUUAUUGGGGAGUCACAGACUCCCCCCGUUAAGGCCCUGACGUCGUCGUCAGUCCAAUCACACACACAGCCCAAGAUCACCAGGCGAUGUGAGACUCGUCUCGACAUAGCCGGUCAUCUUGUCAUUCAGACUCGGGCAUAGCCUAUCACCUUGUUUUUCAGACCUUGGCUCAGCCGAGACUCGCCACAUAUUUUCGACUCGUGAACUGGCUCUGAUACCAAAUGUAACGACCCAGUUCACUAGCAAUAAUAACUCGUUGGGUCCAAACACCGGCUCAAAAUGCUUAAGCCCGGUUAUUAUUACUAGUGUCUAAGUCUCUUAUAUAUCCAAUCACAUUCCCAUUCAUAUCCGAUGUGGGAUUAUUGGAGUGUGACAAGAAAUCAACUAGGCUCCUAUUAAUAGUAUAUGAAUAGUUACAAUCCACUUUUCUACCCUUAAAUUAUUACCACUCUACCAAACUCUCACUAAACUCUAGACAUCCAAGGAUAAAAAAGUAGAUGGUAUUCACUCUUCACAUACUAUUAAUAGUAUUUGAGCACAACUUCUCAUAUGAUUUAAGUACAAUUAACCACAAUUGUCAAAUUAGGUUUUUAACAAUCAAAUGCCAAAAGUUUAUUCCUUCUACAAUGAAACUAAAUUUUAAUGUCAAAAAGAUCUUUCUAUAUUAUUGACGUCCUUCUUUUAUGGUUUAGGAAUCAUUUGGUUGAUGUAAAUUACUUUAAAUUUAUGUUAUAUAAUAAUAUAAAUCUGAGUAGUUACUACGUAACACCUAUUAAUAAAUAUAAAAAAAAGAGGAGAGUAGUCAAUUAAGGGUAAUGCGAAGAAAGAAAAUAAGACAAAUAAGAAAAAUAAUAAUAAUAGAUGAAGGAAGGGAAUGAGAAAGGCUUAGUCCAUGAAGAAUAGAAUGUGAAGUCUAAUCAUUAUCAAUGAUGUCUGAACUUAGCAAUUGAUCAUCAUCGUUGGUUGCGCCUCAGAUCAGGACGUUACAAAUUGGUAUCAAAGUAGUCUCGACCCCAAGGAGGUGAGAAAAUUGCUCAUCGUAGCAUCGGAAUUGAUCCAGUGGUUUUUGAUUGAGAUCUUGAGUAAGGGCACAAUGUAAAUCUCAACUAGAAUCAAAAGGAGUACUCACAAUGGAGUAAUUCCAGAUCUGAACCACUUGGAGCUUCGUCAAAAGGUCAACUCACAUCCUCAAAAAUAGGUAAUUGUAAUGAUCUCACAAUUCCCUAGAAGCACUAAUUGCAUUUGUGUAAGAUUUUGUAAACAAGAAAUCAAAACCUCGGUAAACAUCAUAAGGAUCUUAUUCACUAUCGCCUAAACCAAAACAUAAGCUCCAAUUGAAAGUAAGAUCGUAAUAGCAUCGGAUUCCAGGCAACACAAUAGUUAACAUUGGAAAGAAAGAUCAGAGUAGGUUUAGGUUUUUAUAAACAUCAUAAGGAUCUUAUUUACUAUCGCCUAAACCAAAUAUAAGCUCCAACUGAAAGUAAGAUCGUAAUAGCAUCAAAUUCCAGGCAACACAAUAGUUAAAAUUGGAAAUAAAGAUCAGAGUAGGUUUAGGUUUUUCUUCUGAGAGCAGUAGAAUGGCAGAGGGUACCGAAUUGAGGGAUUUACGUGAACACACUACCACACUAGAGGAAAGAAUGCAAAUUCUUACCACUGAGUACCAAGGAAGGGUGAAGGAAGUAGCAAACCAAAUAAUAGAAGUUAGGGAUAAUGCUAGCAGAUACGAGGAGUUGUAGAAGCUACUAGCAAGUCAACCCUUCCCACCCAAACCUACAUCUCAGUAAUAAUAUACCUCUACUACACAUAGGACCUAAAGCCAUAGCCAUGCAGCAGGACAUCUCUAUUGGAGAUUAGAGAAAGCAAAGGAAAAGGCAUUCUGCCUAUGCCUACUAAAGAAAUAGAGGUAGACGAGAAUGGGAAAGGAUAUAUGUAACACACUGGACCUUUGCAAAUUGCGGGAUUCGAGUGUUUGAAUGCAUUUCGAGCUUUUCCACACUUGGUGGAGGGUUGUAAAUGUUUCCCGACCCGAAAAGUUCGAAAUCUGGAACUUUGGACAAGUCCUGAAAGUUUUUACUCUCGGGGACCGGUCCCUGGAAGGAGAGACCGGUUCCCCUAGUGAGCAGUGUUGAGGCAGCCUGAGGCAACCGGUCCCUGGCAGGCGAGACCGGUUCCCGAACGCGUCUUCGCAGUGAGAGACCGGUCCCGCGCAGCGAGAGACCGGUUCNUUGUAUUAGAGGCUGAUACUGUAUAACUUAUGUUUGCUUUUAUGUUUUAGUUAUGCUUUACUACUAUUAGUAUAGAUGUUAGAACUAUACUCGCUCUGAUAUCAUUAGUUGUUUGUAUUUCACUUCUCUUAUUUGUUCCAUCUCUUGCUAUUACUUUCGCUUUUCUUGUAGACGCCUUAUAUGUGUGGACAUAUGGCGGGUCUGGGCACGCUACCGGGAGGGCCUCCGCCGGUCCCGGGGCGUGACAAUAUAACUGUAAUAACAAAAACGACCACCAUCAACACACACCCUAUCCUAAGUUGGAAUUCCUAGCUUUUAAUGGUAAGGAUCCUAGGGCUUAGAUUAAGAAUUAUGAAUAGUAUUUUUAUUUAUUUUCAGAUACCCUAACAACAUUGGGUGCGCAUAGCUACUAUGCAUCUAAAUUGCAGAGUAAGAAUUUGGAAACAGAAGUUUUUUUUAUCAACAAACGGGGUUACCUGGUAUUUAAUUUGUUGGCAAAAGGUUCAUAUAGGUGGGGGAGAGGUAUCUGAUAAAGAAGUUUAGCAAUUUAAAGCAGUUUGGAACAGUAGAAAGGUACCAAAAAAAUUUGUGGAACUUAGGAUUUCUAUUCUACAACUCCUAUCUAAUCGAGGAACACUUUAUUUCUUAUCAUAUCAAUGGAUUGAAAGGAGAAUUGAUACCAUUUAUGGAUAUUGCCCACCCAAACACCCAAGGAAGCCUAUGAAUAGGCCAAGUUACAUAAGAGAGCUCUAACAGUAAUGGGUAGGAAAAUUAAAGGCAACCCAAGGAUGGCCAAUGAGUAUCAAGGGCUACCGGCAACAAAGCCCUAGAGUUUGCUAAGUUUCAACAAAAUAAUCAACAUAGAAACUCUGCCAAUCAGUAUCAAAGUAGCAAACAAGUGAUGGAGCAAAUAAAGGUAGCUUGACACUGCUUCAUAUGUGUGAAAAGGUACCACCCUAGUCACACCUGCUAUAACAUAUCCCUCCACAUCAUUCAGGGAGCUAAUAAACUCUUAGGGGUCUAUGAUGAAGACUGCCUGAUAGAAAAAAAGAUAGUGGAAGAAGAAGAUAUGAAUGAAAGGGGAAAGCAAAGAGGAGAAUUUAGAGAUAAGAGUAUUAAUGCAUGCUCUAAGUGGAGAAAAAUAAUAAAAUACCAUUAAGGUGUAAGGGAAAGCUAAAAACAUAACAUUAACCAUACUGAUAGAACAAGGUAGUACACAUAACUUCAUAGAUUUUCAAACAACCAAGGAGAUUAAGGCACAGAUGGUGGCUACAACACCCCUAGUAGUUACAGCGACAAAUGGAUAGAAAAUACUAAGCAAGUUACAGUGCCCAGAUUCUUGUGGCUUAUGCAGGGCUGAAGCUUUAGAGCUAAUUUGAGGCUUAUCAGAUUAGAGAGGUCCAACAUAGUGUUGUGAAUUGAUUGGUUGAAGUUUUAUGGUAGGAUCCUCUUUGAUUUGUAAUAGAAUUUCAUAAUUACAGCUAAGGAUGGCCAACCAUUGGUACUCAAAGGAAUAAUUGAUAGAAACAAAUUGGAGCUGAUCACAGCUAGGCAAUAGUACCAAGAACUACGGUUAGGGAAAUAUUGUGUUUUUAAGUCACUACUCCGUGGAAAGGAAUAGUGGAAAAGAUCAAGAGCUACUUCCUGAACUGCUGAGGGUGCUUGAUCAGUUUGAAGAUGUCUUUGAAAAGCCUUAGGGAUUAGCUCCUCACAGAUCUAAAGAUCAUAGAAUACUACUACAGUAAGGUACCACUCCAGUCAAUCUUAAGGCAUAUAGAAACUCCUAUGAGUAGAAAAGAGAAACAGAGCAGCAAAUAUAAGAGAUGUUGGAGACAGCAAUAAUACAACCUAGCAAUAGCACCUUUGCAUCACCAGUGUUGUUGGACAAGACAAAAGAUGGGAGAUGGAGGAUAUACAUAGACUAUAGAUAAUUAAAUAAGUUGAUUAUCGUAGAUAAAUUUCCAUUACCCAUCAUUGAUGACCUUUUGGAUGACUUAAGAGGUUCCAAGUUCCUUUCCAAACUAGACCUGAGGUCAGAAUAUCAUCAAAUAAAGGUCCAUAUUGAGGAUAUACCUAAGACUCAUUCAGAACACAUCAUGGACACUAUAAGUUCAAGGCAAUGCCAUUCGGAUUAACUAAUGGCCCAGCCACUCUCUAAGCCAUAAUGAAUAUGAUAUUGCAACUUACCUAGGAAAGUUUGUCCUAAUGUUCUUCAAUGACAUAUUGAUAUAUAGCAAGAUCCUAGAAGAUCAUGUGACAUAUUUGGCUAUAGUAUCGAGGGAGCUCAGAAAGAACAAAUUGCUUGUAUAGAGAAGCAAAAGUACUUUUGGAAAAAGGAAAGUUGAGUAUUCGGGACAUAUUAUAUCAGAAGAGGGUGUGGCAACUGAUCCUACUAAGAUUGAGGCUAUAACUACAUGGUCAAUACCUAAGUUAGAUAAGAGAUUAAGAGGGUUCCUUGGGUUAACUGGAUGCUAUAGGAAGUUAGUAAGAAAUAAUGGAACUAUUAAUAGACUUUUAACUGAGCUAUUAAAAAAGGAUUAGUUCCAUGGUCUAGUGAAGCACAACAAGCCUUUGAAGCUCUAAAGUUGGCCAUGACUAAAGCCCCAGUCUUAACCAUGCCAGAUUUCAACAAGUCAUUUGUGUUGGAUGUGAAUACUAGUGGGAGUAGAAUAGGGGCUAUGCUGUUAUAGGAAGGAAGUAUAUUGUUUACCUAAGUAACACAAUUAAGGGAAAGAAUAUAGGAUUAUCUACCUUUGAAAAAGAGUUUCUGGCUAUCUUAAUGACAAUACAAAAGUGGAGACACUACUUAAUUUUCAAAAGUUUCAUUAUUAAAAUUGACCAUGAAAGCCUAAGUAUUUAAUGAAAAAGAAUAUAACUACAUUAACAAUAUCCUAGCUAGAGGAAGGGAAAAGAGAAUGUUGCAGCAGAUGCUUUGUUGAGGAGAGAUGCAGAAAGGGGUAUGAUUCUAGUGAUGUCAGCAGCAGCACCAGCAUAGGAUUUGAAAUUAGUAGAGAGCUAUAAAGGGGACAAGUACUAUGAAAAGCUUGUAGAGGAGGUUACUUUACAACCCAAGGCCCAUGAGCACCACACAUUUAAUCACGGAGUUCUACAACAUAAAGGAAAGUUAUGCAUAGGAAAAACUAGUAACUUAAGGAGUGAGCUUGUGAAAUGUUCUAUGAUUCAACCUUGAGAGGACACUCAGGAAUAAACCACACCUACCAAAGAAUCAACAGUACUUCUAUUGGGCUACCAUGAAGAAAGAUGUGGAGGAGGUGAAAUUGUGAAACUUGUACUCGGAAUAAAUGACAACCAAGCAUAUGCAAGACUACUCCAACCACUAUCUAUUCCUAGACAAGUAUGGUAAAAUAUUAGUAUGGACUUCAUCAAAUCUCUGCCAAAAAUCUGAAGGUAGAGAUACCAUUUUGGUAGCAGUGGAUAGAUAGGUUGGCUAAAUAUGCCAAUUUUAUACCUUUGAAACAUCUUUUUUCAGCUAUGGAUAUAGAAAGAGUAUUCAUGGAAACUGUGUACAAAUCACAUGGGUGCCCGAGUAUAGUGUCAGAUAGGGACAAGAUGUUCACUAGCCAAGUUUGGUAGGAACUAUUCAGGCUUAUGGGGACACAGUUGAGCAUGAGCAUUGCAUAUCACCAAGAAACAUAUGGUCAAAUCGAAAGGGUUAACAAAUGUCUUGAAACUUACUUGCGACAUAUGUGUUUCCAAUAUCAGAGUAAAUGAUAUAAGUAUCUCUCACAUGCAAAGUGGUGGUACAAUACCAAUUACCAUUCCUGAUUGCAAAUGACCACUUAUAAGGCUAUAUAUGGCAACGCACCUCUGAACCGCUUGGUGCCUACUGUAGGAACAACUACCUCACAAGCAAUUAGGAAGUGGCUAUAGGAAAGAGAGAGAAUUGCUAAAGAGCUAAGAGGUAGGUUACAAAUGGCACAGAAUCAAAUGAAACAGCAGACCAAUAAGCACAGAAGGAAGAGGGAAUAUACUGUUAGAAGUUGGAUAUCUGAAACUUCAACCCCACAGGCAAGUAUCUAUUGCAACAAGGAAGAGUCCUAAGUUGGCCACAAGAUACUACGGACCAUUUGAAAUCGCAGAACGAAUAGGAAAAGUAGCAUAUAGACUAUACUUACAAAAAGGAUCACAGAUACAUCUUGUAUUCCACGUAUCCCAGCUCAAGCAGAAUCUUUCCUCAUGGGAUAAGGUUAGACCUACCAUGCCCUCGACGGAAGAAGAGGAUCAGCUUCUAGCAGAACUAGAGAGAGUACUCGAAAGAUGCAUGGUUAACCGUGGGAAUCGUGCACCAACCGAAGUUGAGAUCAAGUGGGCCAACUUUCUAGAGGAAUCUAGUACUUGGAAAGAUUACUAGGCCUUUAAGCAGCAGUUUCCAGAUUUUGAUUCUUGAGAAUAGAAAUCAACUCAAGCGGGGAGGAGUUGUAACACAUGUUAAUAAAAUAAAAAAAAAAGAGGGGGGUAGGGGGUGGAGUAGUAUGUUAAGAGUAAAGUGAUGAAAGAAAAAAAAAUGAUAAUAGAUAAAGGAAAAGAAAGAGAAGGGAUUAGUCUGUGAAGAGUAGCCAGUCUUGUUGUUGUCAAACUUUAAUAGCAUCUCAAGCAUCGCCUCAAGGAGCGGGAAGGUGAUUGAUCAACCUUUGGACAACCACAAUAGAGGAAAGAGAGGGGACCGAAGAGAUUAAGGCGGUGACGUCAAAGGAAACUAUCACGCCCCAAAUCCGAGGCAUAACAAACGCCACGCACCUGUUAAAAUAGAUAAAAAGAUAAUUACAAAAAUUCACCAAAUUAUGCGGUAUGAAGAAGAACAAAACAUAAAUGAAUAAAUCUCGAUAAUUCAGGUAACCCAUUAACUAAUAUAUACCUAACUAUACAAAGACAAAAAUAACAAAAAGUAAUUCGAACGACAAACUACGGCUAGCGUUCACUCGAUCCUACCCCCACCCAACAAAACAAUCACGAAAUCUGGGUAAGCUUAGUCGAAUUAAGCAUACAUUUUUAUAUAUAUAAAAAAUGCUCUAAAGUAAACUUUCAUUCAAAAGUUAAUUUGAGUGACUAGGUUUUAAUUUGCGAAGUUUCAGAAAGCAAGAUUUUUAGAAAUGUUAAGAUCAAAUAGGAACUAUAAAUUUACAUAGUAUUUCGUUUCUCAGCAAUUAAACGAAAUAAAUAUUAAGUCUCCAAUAACUAACUAUGUUGUGUGAUCUGUUGGCGAGAUCCAGAGAUACCCGAAGGCACAAACAAAAGGCACUCGAAGGUGCAUAUAUAAAAUAGAGGCGCUCGAAAGCGCAAAUACAAAAUAGAGGCACGGAUAGCUGCAGGCACCUGAAGGUGCAAUGUAGAGAUGAAGCUAGCUUAUAUACAGAAUACAUGUCGACAUAGCCAACAUAGCAUAGUAGAAUACCAAGAUACAUUAUAAUUUAAAAUAAUUAUUCAGUCAGUAAUUUAUAGAAUAGAUUAUCAAAUUUUAAAAUUCUUUCGCUAAAUAAACCUGUCAACCACAGUUGAAACUGAGUUUUCAGAAAUAUUUGAUAAUACACUUAGCCCUUAAUUUUAAAAUCUACAAAAUAAAAAUUUUCACACCAUCAAAAUAUUUUUCUAAAUUAUUUUACAAAAAACUAAUAGGUAUCCGAUCGCUUACCUACCAAAUAAUUGAAGUAUUGAUCGGUCAAAUACAAAAAAUCAAAUUAUUGACGGAACCCUUCAAAGAUGGUGAAGAAAAAGAUAGCGAUCAAGGUGCCGUUGAUGGUGAACGAAAAGAACGUCGAUAGUGAUCAUGAAGCACGACGGUAGCAACAAUGUUAGAGGACAAGCAAAGAUCGAGAGUCCGGGCGCGCAAGCAAGCGUGAGAGGUGUGACCCACAAUAAGAGAGCGAGAGAUUAAAAAAAGAGGAUGAAGCAGAUCAAAAGAGAGAAAAAUUAAAAAGCGGCUGGAGUCUCCACGUAGGAGAGAGACUGAGAGAGAGAGAGAGAUACGGCCAAAAAUUAAUUAGGGUUAAUAUGCACAAAAUGCAACCGAGCCCCUCUACUAAUUCAAAUUAUCAAAAGUCUACAUUUCAAAAUAAAGGGGUCUACAUAAAUAAUUAUUACGUCUGAGAUAUUACACAUUACGGAAACAAAGUGAAAAAAAAAGCCAAUACACGACUCUGGAGAAGAGAUGGCGAGGAAAACGAGGAGAAACAAUCGGGAAGAUAAGACAGUUCCAUAACCUUCGGGAGGCUUAAUAGGAGUGGACGGGAAAAGUUCCAACUGCAGGCGCAAAAUGCGAAACCGUGAAGAUCCGACCCCAUUACGCACAACACACAAGAAGUUAAGUGGUCUAUCAUAGCCCCACAACUGAAUUUCAUAAUUUCACUUUAAUCUUAUUCUGUACGUAAUUGCAUUUUAGUCCAAAAUAAUAGUCUAUAAAUACAGCUGCAACUGAUUCAACACCAAUAAAAUUUACAAAUCAUUCCCAAACCUUUCCCAUCUUUCUCCUCACUCCUCAACUCUCUCUCUCUCUCUCUCUCUCUCUCUCUCUCUCUCUCUGAGUGUUUCCUUUCUCUACGUUCACAAAACAGGCUUGUAGGUCAAAGCAUAACACCCUUGGCUUAAAAUCCGGGAGAUACUUUUCAUAACAAUAACAUGCACUACAGACAAUCAUCAUACAAGUUGAUCCAACAACCAAAACCAAACUAUUUGUACAGGGCACCAUGAAACUUUAAAACAUAUAUUUCUUCAAUGAGAAAGUAAAUCACUUGGUAUAUCUCUGAUAAAGCUCUGUUCCGCGCAAUUUUUGGUUCCCUUAAGUCAUUUCAACCUCCAAAUAAUAAUACAACAGAACCAAUGCAAAGCUGAACUAAAAGAAAUAACAAAUACAGAGCCAGAAAUUAAUAGGUAUGCAGGAAGACUUGCUAAAAACUGAAAAACUACUAAAAAAAUGUAAAAAAAAAAAAAAAUUUAUGAGACAUGAUACACAAUAAAUCCAACAGGCUUUCGUAAGGCAAUGUACACAAACGACGAGGAUAGCUGCUGUUCAAGCUUUCUUAUCCGAGCGGUUUAGGUUUAGAUUGAACCAUUUCUUUUUAUUGGAUUUGUCUUUGCCGUCGACACUGCCGUCCUCCCCCAGACUAUCAUAUCUGGACUCUUCAGUAGUGAACUUGCCGCUGGCGCUUGAACUCCCAGUGGAAUUGACGAUAGUUCGAACUGUCGUGAAUGAUGAUUGUAUACUAUCUCUUUGCUUCAGCAGCUCAUCUACCUAUAAACAAUUUGUGGGCACAUUACAACACUUAACAAUUUUUGCACAAAUGUCAGCAUUUCAAUGAGAGGCAGUCUCGUGAGAGCUUUAGAUUAGGAUCACCUAUUAGAACUUUGAUCCGCAAAUCAACUAACAAAGCUGCAGUACAUGUUUUAGCUAAGUGGAACAAGAUAAGCAUAUUUCGGAAAGUAAAUAUUUCAAAACAAAGCGCCACUGUUUUCUUCAAAUGGUUGAAUGAAGCAUGUGAAGAUUCGACGAAAGGAACUAAAAGAAGGAAAUAACGGAAAGGGGUGCUUUAGGUACAAAAGAAGAGGAAGGUGCCACCUGAAGUCAAAUACAAAGUGGAGAGACAAUUGCAACAACUAGAUAAAAGAACGGAGCAGGAAUAUGACAACUACAGAGCAGCAUUAAGAGGGAUUUUUUGAGGGUUCGAUGCUAAGAUAAAAGAAACUAGCAGAAUAGCAUCAUAGCACUCUAAAACUGUAAAUCAGUUGCCAAAGCAUAAGUAACUGCAGAACAUGUGGAUGCUGCACAAUAUAAAUCAUAGACAUGAAGCUAUCGACAAAAGAAUAUCAAUUCUAAUCAAAAGGUGAACUAAAUGGGCCCAUUUGGCACCCAGAUUAUUUUGGAUAAGAUACGAUGAGAGAGGAUUUUGGACAGGCCGGAUUAGUGACUCAAAGGCAUCAAGAAACGUGAGAGACUGGGAUAAAAGAAACCAGCCAGACCAAAAUCAAAUAAUCCCAUCAGGAUGGAAUUAUCAAACCCCACUAGAGAGUUUUGAAUCGAAAGGGACCAGAUAAGGAAAUUGCAUUGAAUCUCGCCUCGCUAAAUUCUCCUCUCCCUAUUUCACUCUCUCAUCUUACCAAAUCCAAUCCAAUCUUUGAUGCCAAAUGGAAGAAAGGGUAGCAAAGAAGCAAACAAAGCAUGUCGACAAACGGACAAAGUAUUUGCAACAUGAAACAGAGCAGGUAAUGCAUACCCACAUACCAAUAUGCAAUAUACCCUUCUUAUGAUCAGGAGUAAAAUCAAUAAAGAGAAAAAUUAUAAUUGCAGCAUGCUUGGUUCAUAUAACUAUGUAUGAAAUACUAAUAAGAACUAGUUUCGAAAACUAAUUCUUCAAAUGCUAAGAUUUGUAUACAUACAGCUUGCUUUUCCUGGCCAUAUCUGUUGGUCACCUCCUGAAAGCGUGCCAAAGCCUGCAAAAGAUCAUUUCCAUGUUAGCAAGAAGAAUCUUCCCAUGCUACAUUUGGAAAACUGAAACAACAACACCUACUUUUCUGUACUCAGUCUCAAACUGCCGCAAAUCAUUUCUCUUUGCUAAAAUCUUAGCAUCUAUUUCUUUGAGCCUCUCAGUUGUGUCUUCAUAUGAUUUGGCACAGAUAGCCUCAAUGGUAUAGGUGGCCGGCUUAAAGAAAUUAUCACCUAUACAACAAAAUGAAAAGGUCCACAAUAAAUACAACACACCUGCAAAUACAUAGAAAUAUAAGAAAAGUAAAGAAAACAAGGGGAGAAGUGCACACCAUAAACAGCAAAAAUAUGAGUGCCAGGUUUUAAUUCAGAAACUUCACAUGGUUGGAGGCCUUCUAAUCUUUUAAAGAAAGAAGCUUCAGGAUCUUUAGCCAUUGCUAACUGCAAAUAACAUGCAUUAUCAAUUGAUAUAACUCCAUUUCUUUCGUAUCUUGAAGAUGAGAAGACAUACACAAUGAAUGAUUUGAAGUGGGUCAAAUGGGACAUACCGCGCUAACUGUUGAAUCCAUCCGGUAUACUUGAAAAUGUAGAAAAUACAUGCCUGCAGAUGUUACCUUGCCGGUCUUUUCACUAUCUUCCUGAAGAUGAACAAGAAUACUGAAGAUUAUAUAAAAUAGAUACCUCAUGCAUGUCAGAGCAGUGUGCUAGGUUAGGCCAAUAUCUAGGAGUUGAUCACUGUAUGAAAUGAAUAGAAAGAUAAGGCACCGCAUGCCUGUACAAGAUUACACAUUGUUUUGAUUGUAAUCCAGAAGAAAUGAUGCAAUAUGUACUUAAUUCAGUGCAAUCAUAUACACCAAACUGCAGAUAAAAGUGAAGUUAGCAUAGUGUAAUUAACUAGAAGCAUUGUACUAAAAUGUAAUGCAUAGACCUCUACAUCUGUCCACACAUGCAGAUGCAGCUGUUUCACCUCCAUGCAUAAACCACAUUCGGCACCAAUUAAUAAGCACACAGGAAGCUGCCUAGUAUAAUGCUUUUUAACCAUGUAGAAGUAGAUUUACCACAGCAUGCUUAUGCUCGCUAAUCAUAAAUCUUCUCAUUUCUUUUUUCAUAUUAAAGUUUCAUAUUUCAUACUAAGAAAACUUUCUGUAUAAAGUGUUGCAUGAAAUUUGACAUGAUUUUUAUAGUGUCAGAAUGUCCUAAAACAUAAAUCAUAGCAUUUUAUUCAUGAUUCUUUAGUAUUUUGUCCUUAUUAUAUUUAGUUCAUUUUUCCUUUAGUUUACAUGGACUGAAUUACAUCAUUCAUUUUUUGUCAAACAAACAACAGAACUGUGAGAAUUUUAGUCCCACGGCAAUGGAAACUAAUGUUGAAAGUAAAGCAAUCUUUAUCUGAACUCUAAUUCAUCCGAAAGUCUACUUUAUUUUCAACCCGAAGUUCACCAUCGGUAAAACAAACAGGCUAUAGAGUGAAGAAAGAUCAAGAUAGAGAGAGUAGGGAUAUAAUUAGCUCAUGUUCGGCUUGUUUAUUAACGAGCCCGCCUUCAGCAUACGUAGUAUGUUGAACCUUAACCGCCACAAACUGCUUUCCACUAUUUAAAACAAUGCUAGGAAGAUAUUACUGUUAAUUACGCCGUUUUAGUGAAUCACAAUUUCAAGCCAAUCCAGAAUUAUGUUGCAAAAAUACACAGGAAGUAUAUAAUUAAACACUUUAAUGAUUAAAAGAAAAAAUAAAUUGCAAUGAAUAACUAGCAGCAUAAACAAAAAAAAUAAGCAAGUAAGCAACAACAAAACUAGGCAAACCUUACUUUCAAUGGCGAAAACUGAUGAUUGAAAAGCUUAUCCCAAACAGACUAUUGAAGGAGCUAAAAUCUUCUUAUGGCAGUCAGUUUAGUAACUAAAUGCUUACAUGCUGACAUUACAAAAGUUUACUAGAAAAUGACUUUCAGACUCGAUUUACUAAAAAAAUCAAAGCUUGCUUUAUGUCCCAGAAAAGGACAAAUACAAGAACAAUGAAUAAUUGUUCGGUAGAAAGUUUCAAAUGGAGUAAUGAUUGUUGGUGAAACAACUGUCUAUGAUGUAUAAUCAAAGUAUAUUAACAACUAUUUCUGCACGGUAUGCAUAAGCAGAUUGCAAUGAUGAUAAGUAAAAAAACCAGGAAAAAUUCAAAAGUAUCUCCAAGCUCAGCUGUCAAAUAUAUGUUAGAUGCUCAGCCAGUCGCCUUCAAGUACUUAAGCUACCCAAAUAUCAGCAUGAAAAAAAAAAAUCAAGCAGAUGAUUGUACAACCUCGCACACUGAUGCUAUAAUAGGAGAGGCUUAAAGAAAACAAUGUUGCCAUUCACAUCAGAGGAAAAAGGUUUGUGGAAAUACGCAAGGGUCCCCCUCUAGUCUAGCGGAACUAUUAAAGAGUAGGUAUGCAAGUACUGUAAUAGGUGUUGAUAUAAUUAUUUAAGUUAUAAUUGUAAAAGGAUAUGUCUUACUUCUACCAAAAAUACUACUCUUAUUCCUAAUUAUAGGUCGAAAAAUUUCUCUCCAUGGCCCAAAGCCAGAUGAACAGAACUUUGCCAAAGUAGUUAGUAGGUCGAAUACCUAAAUACAGACAUUUCUAUAUACCACAUUAUGACUUCUCCAUUUUGAUUUCCUCAAUAGUAACAUUAUCAGAGAGGGACACAAAAUAUUUCCUUAAAGGAGAACUGAAAUUGUUGUCGUGCGGUGGGGCACUAGGGAAAAAAAAAGGUGCAUCAAUUAAUGCUGCAACAACCUCACCACAGUCUUUUGCAAUGGCCCAUUUGGUAUUGAGGGCUGCUUAAUGCUAGGGGAGGAAAGGAGUUGGGACAAAAUCAUAUAGAGAUACUCUUCUUCGUUUUCUAGUGGGGCCAUAGAAAUUAUAUCUUAGCCAACUUCUUGCGAUAUGAGAAACAUGAUAUCACUCAUGGAAACAAAUGGAAAAUUUUCUAUCGUACUUUCUCAAAGCAAGUAAAGCAAUUUGCCCACAAUCCAAAAUGGAACUAAGAUAAAGUAGAAGAAUUCAAAAAUAGAGAAAACUAUUAAUCACCUGUAAAGCCAAUCCAUAGCCUCCGUUUGGUUCUGUUUCAAAGUACAGAAGCUGUCACAGUAACACAGAAGAGAUCAGCUAAUAUUAACAUAAUGGAAAGAGCAAAGAAAGAACAGAAGGUUGAUUUUAGCAUUCAACUUGGCAGCACUCAUACAAACGCAAGUUUCUGUACCUUAAAUUUACUUUGCGCGGCCGAGGUAACUCUAACAACUAUUCCUGCCUGGGCUUGUUGUUCAUUGAUUGUCACACCAAAAAAAUGAGCGCACUGCUUAUCGACCUAAAAAAAGAAUUGACGCUGGUCAGCAUAUUUUUCUUCCUUUUUUUUCUUUUUUCAUUUCAUUAGCUAGUUCGUAAAUAGAUGACAAACAUGGAAUACUCUUGAGGAAAGCUCACUGCAUAACCACCUUUCCAACGACUGAUGAUCCAAGAGGAAGCGGCCUAACUGUAACAGUUCCAUUAAUAGCUUCUUCAAGAACAGUAGCGGAUACGGUCGUCUUUAUAGGAACUCCCAGCUUGCUAAAGAUUUUAAAUAGUCGGCCAGAAAAAUUUCAAAUUGCUGUUAUAGAAACCAAGGAAUUAAACUAAAACUCUCUAGCCACCUGAAAAGUGCUGCAAACAUUGUAUUUACAGUUCCAAGGUUGGAUAGAUCAAUCUCCAUAUCCAUUCCUUCUCGUUCUAAAGCCUGAAUAAAAUAUUACGGAAGAAAAACAGUAAGAAAAUGCAUUGAUCAUAGAGGUUACUAAGCACCAAGUCACCAAGUGAAGGACAACUUAUUUUUGAAACUAGAAGUGUGCAAAUUAAAAAUAAAUGCAAAUAAUGGUCCAGAAAGAACCAAAGUACUUCAUUCUUACAACAAAUAACCCACAUUAGGCACUUCAGAUUUAACAAUAAAAGUAUGUGCAGCUUUUAAGACCAUACCAAUCAUUACCUUUCAAUAGUGACCACUGAAUCAUAAUAUCAUCGCUAUUAAGCAACUAAUUAUAUCGGGAAAGCAAAAAUAACAGUGGCGUAAGAGACAAUAGAACUGAUAUACCAAUUUAAACAUAUUCCUUCUUGAGUUAAAUCUAGAAACCUUUUGCUUCAGUGCAUUUUAUCCCCAUAAGAACAAGUGCAUAACCUAUAAUACCGGCAAUGGAAAUUAAAAGUUAAGCGAAAUCACUCUAUCAAUAAAGGAAACAAGAUUUUUUCUGUCAUAAAAAGUAUAGCGGACUAGUACAUAGUUUUUCCAAAAAAACUUUAUAAAAUAAAAAAAUAAAAAUAAAAAAGAUAGGUGACUGCACUUUAUAACAAUUUUAUCUAGGAUAAUGGGAAGAAAGCAAGCUCAGGGCCCAUUUUCGUUGCUGACACAGAUAUCUAUUUGUCUACGCUAGCCAAUGGAUCAUGCUCUAGAAAUUCAUCACCGAUCCUCUACCAUAUCUUCAAAGACUUUUUAUCUUUUGUUUCACAUAUACAUCAUUCUAGUCUUCUAGAUAAAUGAUAUAGAAGUCCAAUAUGAUGAGUAUUAUAUUAGUCAUAGUAGGCCACUAAGGUUAUUAUUAUCUUUCUCUUAGUCGUAUUAGAACUUUAGGUUUUGGGGAUAAAUAUGUGCCCUAUUUCAUUGCAAUGGUGCUUUUGGAUUAAUUUAGAGUUGAUGGCCAUUAUCAAUAGUAAUAUAAGAGUAGAAAAUUCAUCAGAGGCAUUGCGAUCCCUCAAAGAAUCAUGAUGUGUGUACAAAUGCAAAUUAUCCAAUAUCCAUUAGUUGAAUAGGCUGGAACUGCUAGUUUCCUGGAGAGCGAUUUGGAAUUAGUGCAGUCUACACAAAUACGGUGCCAUUGUUGAAAACUACAUAACACUUUAAGCUCAACUCGGCUCAUCCAUCAAUAGGUGUGGUCAGCUAAAUGAUUCCUCAAAAGAGUUCCUCGUAAAAAUCCUCUUUGUUUGCUCAGACAUCAUAUGUUAUAGCUAAAAAAGUUCCAGCUGAAUAAUUGUCCUCAAACAAAAUUUAUGAUACAAGCAAUAUCAUGAUUUCAGGAUUAUUGAGUCAAACCACUCUAACUCCAAACAUCUUCCCUUUGAACUCCACACCUUAAUUGUAGUUUUUACUUCUAUUGCAAUAAUACUUAUCUAGUCAAGCUCAUAAGCCCUCUACCAUAGCUUUUCUUUAUACACCAGUUUGAAGUUAGCCAUCCUAAAUUUACCAACUUUUCACCCGAGAAAACAGAAAAUUAUUAUACAAGUAUUAAAUGAUGCAAGGCUUGCUAAUUACGUCAUCUACACCUGAGUUUUCUCUCCCGUUCUUAAAAUUAAGUAAUUAAUAAUCAUACCAUUAAAGAUGAUAAAAUUAAGUCUCCUUCAUACAAUUGAGUUACCAUUAAAAAAACAGAUGAGAUAUGACAAAACCUCUUUCAAAGCUUAAUUUUGAUUAGCUUGAUUUGAUUGACAGGAUAAGCAGAUUGAAGCAAAAACAAAGCAUUUAUAGAGAAAUCAAAUCAGCAUGGAAAAUAAAAUAGAUACUUGAAUAUGUUUUGUAUAUAUAAUUAGAAAAACAAUUACCUCAAAGCCAGCAGUAUCAUAUUGUCGCCUUUUCUCUGGAUCAGAUAGGAUGCUAUAUGAAUAUGCAACCUCUUUGAAAAGUUCCGAAGCUUCAGGAUUGCUCGCAUUCUUAUCAGGGUGAUACCUGUAUUACCCAUGACAGAAGUUACAAAAGCUGUACUUCGCAAUUAAUUAGGAGUUAGAACUUAAUAUGAGUAUAUAAUUUUAUGCGAAUGCCUCGGUAGAUGCAUGGUGACUGAUCAAGAGGGAUAGCCAACACACGUGUUCAGCAUAAAUUAAAACACUUGCGGACCAAGUUCAAUUGAAUUACGGCCAUAAUCCUACUGCUAAAAAGGCCAUGUCAGGGUGAUCACUUGGUACAAGGAAAAAUGUCCCAUAACAAGUUAAGAGCAACAAUAGAAAUGGCUUCAAUCCUAGUUAAUUAGAUUUGAGAAUAAGUAUGAGUUUAAAUUUCUUCAACAUAGGCACUGAAACAUUGUACAGUACGGCAAACUAUGGUGGUGGCCGUCACUAGAAAAUCAUACCUUCUUUUUUGCUUACAGGCAUGACAAAUUACUCACUCCUUGAGAACAUUUAUGCUGUUUACCAUACAUAUGCAGACGUAAAAUAUUUAAUUAUCAUGCAUACAUUUGCGUGAAUGCAUAGAUUAAAUCGAACAGGAAUUGUUUUCUGAAGCACCAAAUGCUGGUGCUUCCAUUUUUAUUCAUGCACCAAAAGCACAUCGAGAUCUAAAUGUGCCCACUCUCACAUGAUGCACAUCAAAAUUCCCACACUGUUUUCAUGCAUGAAUCACAAUAUGCAUCAAACAUCGAUCUCACAUAAGAAAAAUCAGUGCCAAAUGUUUUCUGCAUGAGAUACAUCCAUAGUUAAUUCGUGAAUUAUUCACGAAUUAUUCGCGAAUUUUUUAAAAUCCGAAUUAAACGGCCGUUUUCAAAUUUUUCCCAAAAAUUCGGAAAAAAAGGGGAUUUUUUUACUAAAAAUACGUGUUUGCGUAUUAUACGGCGAGCCGAAUUAUUCGGCCAAAAAAAAGGGAUCGCGCCCGCACCGCCCGCGCCUGCCCGCGCUCCCGCACGCUCCCGCAUGCGCUUGCCGGCCGGCUGGCCCAAAACAGUAAAAUACAAAAAAAAAAUCUUUUCGAAUUUUUACUUAAUUAGCUUAAUUUUGUAGCUAUUUAUUCUUAUAUGUUUAAAAGAUAUGAAUAUUUAUGCUAAUAGAAUAAAUUUUGAGAGAAAAAAAAUUUAAUUUAAUAGCCGAAUUUUUUAUCCCGAAUUUUUAAUUGGUAAACGCAUGGUUGAAGGUGCCGCCCCGUGCCGUACGGCACGGGGCGUAGCCGUUAACUUGGACCCCGGCGGCCCUGGGUGGCCUUAGGGCGGCACAGGCGAGCGCCGUGCCGCUCGAAGAUCAAAAGCGGGCCAGCGCAUGUGCCGCAGCUGUGCCCGCGUGCCGAGCCUUCUUUUUUUUUUUUUUUUUAAUCUAUUUUAUUGGAAAACACUUUUUUUUUUUUGUUUGUAUUUUUUUUUUUGUUCUCUGGGAUACCACCGAGGGUCCGAACUACCCCUAGGCCAUUAGUAUGGCCUUUUGUUCACUUUAUCUUUUAUUUCUUUGAGCAUUGUGUGUCUUUUUGUCCAUACAUUAUUCUUUUUUCUUCUAUUUUGGCUGCAUAGCCGUUUUUUUUUUCAUUUUGAAGCCUUUCUGGCCUUUUUCUUUAUUAUAUAUUCACUUUGUUUCUUUUCGUUAAUAACAAUUAUAAUUAUUCAUUAUUUAACAAUGAAUAUUUAAAGCAAAUUUUUAAGAUUGAUAAAUUCGAAGAAUAUAUCUACUUGCGGGCGAGCCCCCGCACACCCCCCUGGAUGUUAGUCGGUGCCGGCCUACGGAAGCCAGGCACUAGUUGGCGCGCGAGCCCUCCGCUUCGACCCACAGGGCAUGCGCCCCGCUGUCCAUAUUUUUCUGAGAGUCGCAAAUUAUGUUUUUGGUCAAAAUUUGUCCCGCGCGAAAGUUUUCAGAGAUGAAUCAGCGGGAACACAAAAAUUGAUCUCCUAAACAAAUUUUGAUGUAAUAUUUUUAAAAGAAUAAAAAAAAUAUGAUGUAAUUGACAGUACUUUCCGGUUGCUUCUAGGUUAUUAUAUUACUUCCUAAUCGAAUCAAUAUAAUAGAUCUUUGAAACACGAUGUUUUUAGAAAAAAGAUAAAAGUUUUGCUAAUCAUUUUAUCUGUUAUACACAUUUUUUAAAAUUACAAAAAACGUAAAACAAAAGAAUUUCAAUUGUUACACAAUCAGCAGAUCAGCGCAAGAAUUAUAUGCAAAUCUGAUAUUUAAAAAAAAAAUUAAAAACACAAAAGACAAGAGUUUUAUUAAGUUAUAACUUCUACUAAGACAAGUCAUUAUAAAUGUUGUACUUUAUAAAGUAGCAAAAAAUCACACACAAAUGAGCCAUUACAUCAUGUUAAUCCAUUACCCUGAUACGAGUAUGAUAGUAAGUCAUACAUCAGACAAAAUUCAGAUAAUCCAACUUGCGUAAAUUUUCAAUACAUAUAACCCACUUAAAACCAGCCCUUACUGGUAAAACCAACCCUACAAAAAUUAAAAUUAGCAUUUUAGUAAGAUUCAGCCAAUAAGCGUCAGCCAGGUCCCACCAGGAGUCAUUCGUUCGCAUAUCUAGUACGGAUACGCUAGAGUACCACACGGUCGCCGCCCGCGUGCCGUCCAGCCCGUACGUCGCCGGACAUGGUUAGCGGCACAAACCACAAUACCACACCACCCCGCUGAGUGACUACAUUGGGAGUAGUACAAGCAAUUACCCAUGACCAAGAUACAGUACGCCGCCUGGCGGAUCCGGGACUCUCCUGCAGCCCUUGCAGAGCCUGCACCGUAGAUCGCACGCCCUUUAGCCUUGGGUAAACGUAUAAUAUCCGUAUAAAUCACGUAUCCAAAUAAUUGAUGAAUCCGUUUUUUAGCCCUUUUUUUCAACGAAUUUAAAAAUUAGAAGACGAAUUUUAUCCGAAUUAUACCUGUACCGAAUUUUUGCCGAAUCUGAAUUAACUAACUAUGGAUACAUCACAAUGAUUGCACUCUUUGUAUAAUAAGUCUAUAAAUUGGCAUGGUCAUAUUUUGGAGUCAGAUUCUGCGAACAACAUUUCUGAUACUAUUUUUAGCGGAUCCCAUACACAAAGAUUGAAAAUAAGUGUAGGUUAAAUAAUUCAUUGAAGUCACAAUAUUUUUUUUGAUAUAUAUUUUUAAGGUUAAUGGUAGAGACUAAUCCCAGUUUACUCUCCAAAAAAGAGAAGGAAAAAAAAAGCAUAAUUGUAGAGGUCAUGAUUUGACAACACUGAAACUGUUCUUCAUAAUCAAAUAAACCAAAAGAGGAUCUUCACUCUCAUAAUCUAUGAUUGUAAGCUAUAUACAUGUAAAGGAAAUCAAAUCCAUUAGUAAUGAAUGUUAAUAUACUAAAAAAAAAUCAAUUGUUUUGCAAUCUUGGAGGCAAUUGAACUCUUUAAGCAAAGCAUCCACAGUAUGCUCCAUCUGCCAUCCGGUAAAUGUCUGCAUAUUGUGAUUUCUUUAUUGUUCCAACAUCAAAUACUUUAGAUACGUACACUCAAGCACACAUCCCUGAUUUGUCCAUGCAACCUUAAUGGCAAACUAAUUUAUCAACAACAAACAUAGCUGGCAUAAAAGGCCAGAUUUUCAUCUAACAGCACAAGGAGAAACUCAUGAACACCAUUUUAGACCAUACCCAACACCAAGAGUAAAACUCAACUAAAUUACAAGGAGAUGGAUGAGAUUUAAAAUGCUGAGCUAUGGUACAAGUCAUGCAUGUUAUAAUAGUCGUAUAACUAAAACAAGAAAAAAGAGAGAAAGAUGAAGAAGAAAUGAAUCCAGUACUUGCUGGGAUCAUUUGAUUGUUCAUAAAGCAUGCAAUGCAUCUUUGCACUGAUACUGAAAGUACAAGAUUAAAAUCAAGCAUAUCUAAUAGAAAAAAACUUCUACUAUCUGAAGGCACGGCCACAGGAAACAACAAAAUUUUGUGAGUCUAAAUAAUAGCUAACUCUUAAAAAAUGCAAGGCUGUCUGGCGUAAACUCAAGCUCCUAGAACCAAGAUGUUGCAUUAUAAAACACUUAUAGAAACUAAAACGAAAGCAUAUAAGAAAAGGGAUACAAACAAAAAGAGGAUGCGACUAUAAUAGAUAUGCGAUGAAAGAGUCCGAUGAACUGUUAAAGUGGGUUGCAAAUUAGCAAUCCAUCCAGAUUCUUAAUUCAGCUUUUGUCAGAUAUCAAUUUAUUCAUCGUCAUGUGGCUUUAAUCUGGAUCUUGUAUUUGAAUAAAUAACAGUUGUCCUUAUAAGUAUAUUAUUAUGUCAGCAUUCUAUCUGAAUAGAAGACACAAGUGAUAAAUAAGAGAAUACUAAAGAUUCGAGCUAUAGAAUUUCUCAAUUCCAACACAACUACACAAGGUACUCGUUAAAUCGAAUAGAAUGAUUUUGUCUUUUUUUUUUAAAUCCCAAAUUUAAACUAUAAAGAAAAAAAACUAACGAGUCGCACACCAAGCAUAGCAAUUAUAACAAAUGAUCAAUCGAAUUUUUAUUCAUCCUCUACAUAAUAAGAUUUGUUCUUUUUGGAAUGGAAAAAGAAUGAAAGAGUUUGCCAUUUUUUGUUCUAUCAUUGGACAAAAUCGGAAGACAAGGUCAAUUAUUCCUCGUCUACAAACAACCAUCACAUGAUGGCCCGAACAGUUUAGCUACGCAAUUCACACCCUUAAAGGCUCAAACUUUCAGGAACAAGUUCUAGAUCGUCUUUACCUCAAGAACAAGAAUGAAAGGAGUCUCAAGAUCUCUAGCAGUAGAAGCUAAAAGUUGAAUCUUUUCUUUUCCUCCUUCUAGCUUUAGCGAAAGGUUUUCAAGUAUUUCUAAAGACAAAGUUGUUUGGGUUCUUGACCAACUCUAGUAAUUUUUACAGCAAUUUCUCAGAGUACUGAUAUCACAGAAUAUAACAAAAAUUAGUUCUAAUGUGGAUAAACAGAGUGAAUAGAAAAAUUUUGAGAAGCUAGCAACUUGUGCUACUAUGCUGGCCAUAGCACUAUCAAGGCUUUGUUUGCGAGUAAGCUUCUGCGAAUCACCUUGUGGCUCCCAUGCACAUUGCAAGACAGAGGUUGUUUGGCUGAAAAAAUAGGACCGCAAAAAUCUGCGGUGAUUUGAGCAGCUAUGGCUUGUCAUGGAAGAAUCUUCUUCCCAUCUACGGUAAAGAAAGAAUCUGGGUAGAUACAUUCACAAAAGUUGUAUUAUGCUCCAAUGCCACAGCCGGAAGACAAGGAAAUGUGCUCCUAAAAGGACCUCAAGUAACUAGAGUCACAAUUGGUGUCGUGGAUAACUAGAGUCACACUGAGGGCGUGUUUGGUUCGAAGUAGGAGUCGGAAUCGGAAUCGGAAUCAAAAUAAGCUGGAAUCGGAAUCGGAAUCAGAAUGACUCAUUAGCUAAUUCUGUUUGGUUCAUCGCCUGAAUCGGAAUCGGAAUAAAUUAUUCCCAUUGUUGGUGUUUGGUUCAGGUGGAUAUAAAAAACGUAAUCAAAUUAAUAUAGUAAUAUUAUCUUUAUAAUAUAUUAAUUUAAAUUCAAAUUAAAAAUUAAAUAUUAAAAAUUUGCAUCAAAAUUUUAAAAUAAUGUCAAAAUUUUAAAUCUAUUUUUUUAAAAAAAAUUAAACUUUGAAGUUGAGUGGAUAAUUCAAAAUAUGAAACUAAAUUUUGAUUUAUUCAAAUUCAAAAUUAAAAUUACAAUUUAAAUUUUAAUUUGAAUCCAUAAAUUUAAUUUAAGUUUGAAAUAAAAUUUGAAUAAAACUUUAUAUAAAUUAAAAUUUAAUUUAAAUUCAAAUUCAUAAGUUAGAUUCGAAAUAUUUGAUUAAAUUUUAAUUUUUAAUUUAAGUUCAAAUUAAAAUUUAAAAUUAUAUAUUUAAUUUUUAAAUUUUAACUCAUAUUUUAAUUAAAAAAAUUUAAAAAAUAAAUUUAAUCCGAAUAAAUAUACAUUCCGUCCGGAUUCAACUUCCAAUCCGGCCUCCUAGGCCGAAUUGAAAAAAGAGGUGAUUGGGGGAUUCCAUUCCACUCGGGAAUCGGAAUCGGAAUAGGACUCCUAAGUACCAAACACCCACAAACGGAUUCGCCCAUUCCGAUUCCGAUUCCAGGGUGAAAAAGAAGCGAACCAAACACGCCCUGAAAGUCAUGUCAUGUCAACCUUGUUCGAAAAUGGAGGAAGAGAAGUAACAAGAAUUGUAGCAUACACAUGACAUAAGUAAAUAGAAAAGGCUUCUAGCAUUUUAUUCUCAUACUAGAACCACUAGUAAUGUCAAAAUUUUCAAUUGAAGCAAAUUUUCCCAUCUUUUUUACCAUAUGCAUUCCUCUCCUAAUCACAAUUGAGAAUAAAAAGAACAGAACAUCUCAAAAGAGCUAAGCGGUUGUUGGUGAUUCAAUUCAGCGCACAUGCUAUCAUAUUUGGUCAAUCGAAAGUUCUAAAACAACUCUACAGAAAUCAAUGGCAAAAAUGGUAUAACAAUUUUUUUUUAGAAAGACUGAAGGGAUAGCUUUUUUUUUCAUUUCUUCCUUCAUGAGAUGAUAUUUCUUAACUAAUUCAUCAAACAAUUAGGAAAAGAGAAAUGCAACAACCUGUUUCUGCUCCAACAGUACUCCCAUUCUACUUUAAACUUUUUCUUGGUUCCAAUAUCCAAGAAAACAAAUAAGCACAUAGUAAGCACAUAACUUCUUGUAUACUUUCUUUACGCAAACCAUCAUUCGGUUGAAGAUCAUCUAAAAUAUAACUCUAGAAUUAUUAUAAGGCCAAAAAAAGGACCCAAAAACAAUGAUGAAAGAGCAAAUUAAAACAACAGAGAGCAUAACAUUUAGGCCCAAAUGCAUGAACAUCUUGUCCAGCAUAUUUCUUCACUUAAGAAGCAGCUUGUAGUGUUUGGUUUCUCGAUUGGCGUAACACGUUCAUCUUAUACGACUAAGAUUAAUGACCUUGUAGAUGAAAUAUGCUAACAAAAAUCAAACUACUAGAUCCCGUGUGGUAUCAUUUGCCAUUCCUUUGGUUUUCUUUAAACACCAAUUAUAUAUAACUUGAUACACUGAUGCAAUGACUCUCCUCUUGUAGGCGUGGCUAGUUAGCUUGUAAUAGACUCCGGCCAAGUGAUGAACAACAACUUAUUUUUUAAAUAAAAUCUUGCAAGCAAAAUAAAAAGUUGCUUUCAAGUUUUUGUUUUCCGUCGCCAAAUAAAUGCAUUGAAUGUACGCAAAUGCAAGCAAUCCACCUAGCUUUCCGUCACAAAAAGCUCAUCAGAGAACAAUUUAUUUGGACAUCCAAGAUUACGUGAACAUGAUCUAAAUCUAGCAAAUCAUCAUUAGACCCAAAAAUCCAGAAAAAAGAAGAAAGGAAAACAAUGUCGAAAUAGCAGAAGGCAUAUACAACAAUUACAGCCAGCCAGCAGCCAGCCAGCCAGCCAGCCAGGCAGCCAGACAGGUAAGAAGGCAAGAGAGAGAGGAAUGAGGAGGUGAGGGGAGUGCUGACUUGAGGGCGAGCUUCCGGUAGGCGGACUUGAUCUCCUGAUCGGAGGAGUCUCGCGAGACGCAGAGCACCUCGUACGGAUCCCGCCUCGCCGACGGCGCCGACGGACCCUCCUCCACCUUCCCCGACGACGCCAUCCCCUAUCACCGCCCUCCUUCCCAGAUCCAAAAUCCUCUCCCGCUCCCGCUCUCCCUCCCUCUCUCUCUCUCUCUCUCUCUCUCUCGCUCUCUUAUUCUCUCCCACAAUUCCACAACAAACCCUAAUUCCUCCUCCUCCUCCUCCUCCUCCUCCCCCAAUUCAAAAGCAAGAAACAAGGAGCAGAUCAAAACGAGUUUUUUCUAUUUAUUUUUAUUUAUUUUUCUUGGGGUUUUUUUUUUUUGGGUAUCCAAAUCUAAUAUCUCCAAAUUAAAGGGGGCUUCGGUGUUCUCGGAUUUGUAUUUUUUCUCUUUUUUUUUCUUUGUUUGGUUGUUUUAAAAAGGGCUAAUACCUGCACCGGAAUCAAGAAGAAGGGUUGAAUUGGGAACGGGAAUGCGCUCGCUACGGUUCGUUUGAGAGGCAGGUAAUCGACGGCGUAUGUUGCCCGGCCCAACAAAAACCGGAUCGAUCCGAUGGGCCGCCCAACCGACCAGUCAAACCGUUUUACAUCCUAGGUUGUUAGUUUGAAAACUUUUCAAGGGGAAUGCUACUUACACUACUAAUUUUUGAGUGUGAAUUUUAUUCGGCUUUUUUGAAAGAAAAAAAAUUCAUUGGUUUUAUGCUUUUGCAAAAGCGGGUCAUUAUUUUGGAUUUUAUAAGUCUGGUCCUUAUAUUCAGGAAUCUGACCAAAAUGCUUGUAUGCCUAAUAUGCGUAAAAAAAUGUUCCUACGUAUCGAGAGUGCUGUAUGGUCCAUUCGCGUACGCCGAGGAUAGAGAUUGACGGUUAGCGAGGAUAUGUCACCUUUUUGUCGGGACCUGCAUAGGUUGCUGUCGACAACGCCAUUCCCGAAUUUCUAUUAGCUCUCCUCGUUGUUUGCAGUGUAGAAAAAUUCGGAUAAAAGGUAGGCACGAUAAUUUUUAAAAAUAAACAUAGAAUGGGAACCACAAAUAUCAUUCUAAAUAGUGCAACAAAGGUUCAAAUAGUGCAACAUUUUGAUGAAGUAGUAUGAUAUCUCGCUUAAUUGUGUAGUUGCUCUCAACAAUGUUGCAAUACAACUCCAAGUAGAAUAUCAACCUUCUUCCUCCUCCUUCUUUCUUUAGUCUUUUUCUUCUUCUUCUUCUUCUAUGCUCCUUUUGCAAAAGCACAAAAUUGGGUCGUCUUUUUGGGGAUGACAAAUAGUGCAACACUAGUUUAAAAUAGUGCAACAAAUUUUUAAAUAGUAGGCUCAGAUCUGGAUAGUUGAUAUGCUGUACCCGUACCUUAAAAAGAAAUGGGUAGAAAAAACUAUAUAUAUCCUACCCAUUUGACUUCGAAUCAAGUCCAAUAAAAUACGUUUAAAAGAAAGAUUCAAACAGUAAACAACUAGGUAAACAAAUAAAGAGUAAAAUUAAAAAAUGAAGUAAAUAGAGCAAGUAGGGUUUUUACUAGGAUGGGGGACCUAUUCAUCGUGUUCGAUGAUUUGUAUGAGGGUAGGCUGUCCACCGCCCCACUUGACUACUCCUUGAUAUGUCUAAUCCCCAAGAAGGUAGGGCCGGGGAGAGCAAAUGACUUUCGACCUAUCAGUUUUAUUAAUGGUAUUCAAAAGAUCAUCUCGAAGGUACUAGCAAAUCGUAUUGCAGCCGUGAUGAACGAGCUAAUUUCGCCUUCCCAAUCAGCAUUCCUGAAAGGAAGGAACAUCACCGAUGCGUAUGUCACAGUCUCAGAACUAAUAGGUUGGGGCAGCAAGCAGUGCAUCGAGGGGGUCGGCAUUAAAGUGGACUUUGAGAAGGCUUACGAUAGGAUUCAUUGGCCUUUCAUGUUCAAUAUUCUUCAAUGGUGGGGAUUUGAUGCGAAAUGGUGUGGCUGGAUUAAACAAUGCGUAUGCAAUGCUAAAGUAGCUAUAUUGGUCAACGGAGAGGCGACCAAUUGGAUCAAAACCAAGAGAGGGGUGCGUCAAGGCGACCCAUUAUCACCAUUCCUGUUCUUGCUAGUUGCAGAAUGCCUCGCUGGAUUAACCAGUAAGGCCACUGCUAACAACCUCUUCAAGGGGUUGGCCCUUCCGACGAGAGUACAAUGACCCUUACGCAAUUUGCGAAUGAUACUUUCUUCUUCUCACUAGCUAGGAGAAGAUUUAUGAGAAACCUCAGGCUGAUGUGGCGUCUAUUUGAGGAGGCUUCCGAUAUGAAAAUCAACAGGGAGAAGUCGGAGUUAUAUUACCUCGGAUAGAAGGAGCGCAAAGCGGCAAGACUAGCGAGAUUGCUCAAUUGCAAGAUUGGCACUUUCCCAACUUCCUACCUAGGUUUCCCCCUUUCCCCAAAGCCGCCCACAAAGGAGACCUGGAAGGGGGUUAUCCAGAAAGUACAACAUAGAAUCGAUGGAUGGCAAGCAAAACUCCUCUCAAGAGGGGGUAGGCUUAUCCUGGUCAACGCUGUGCUAACCAACCUUCCUCUAUACUUUCUAUCCGUCUUCAAGGCACCCUGUUGGGUGAUCAAGCGCAUCGAAGCCCUACGCAGAGAUUUCUUCUGGAACGGUCAGAGUGAUUCCAAACGAAAUGGGUGUCUAGUUGCCUGGAAGAACGUCUGGUGAGCAAGAUGGCAAGCGGGUUAGGCAUACUGGAUGUUGCUAACAUGAAUCAGGCGCUCCUGGUCAAAUGGUAGUAGAGGUUUCACACAGCACCUCAUCUACAAUGGACCAAGAUAAUCCGUACCUUAUAUUACCAAAGAAGACGACCUCUGUGGGAGGGAAAUUGCUUCAGACCUCUCUCACACUAGUGGAAAGGAGUCCUAACCACCAACGCUUUCUUCAAAUGGGGAAUCAACUAUAAGCUGGGUAAUGGGAGGUCCAUCGACUUUUGGUCGAACAGAUGGUGUGAGGAUACCACACUCCGAACGUCCUUCCCGGAGGUCUUUGCAUUAUUGGAAGGCAACCCAAGACCGGUUAAGGACUGCUUUGGAUGUGAGGACUGGAACUGGAAUAGGAUCCUGGGAGAUGUGUUGACCUCUUCGCCUGGUCUGGGGUCUGCCAUUUCUGCGCUCAAGGAUAGCGUCGGUAGCUUUAAGGUAGGUCACCAGGUGGAUAUGAUAGGGGUGGAGGUGGUGUAGCAACGGUAUAUUCACUGUUAAAUCGGCCUAUAGAAUGUUAAGCGAUGAGGGAACGAGGGAUGGACAUGCUAGUAGGAUCUGGAGACUCCGAAUACCGCUCAAGGUUAAAGCGUUCGGAUGGAUAGUCCUUAUGAAAAGACCUCUUACAGCUGAUAACCUCGUAAAGAGAGGGUGGACUAGGGAUACUACCUGUGUGUUGUGUAGGGCCCAUGAGGAGUCAGUAAAUCAUCUGUUCACUCAAUGCAUCUUUAUCAAGUACAUCAUGGUGAUGGGGCUCGAAGAUGUGUAGACGGAGGAGCUGGGAGAUGAUGUACAUAGAGUAUGGGAUAGGUAGAUGGGCGGGUCUGGUGCGCGAUCUAGGAGUAACGGACUGUCUGCGCUGGUCGCAUGCUGGUGGACGAUCUGGAAGGCCAAGAACAAUGUUAUAUUUCGAAAUUUACAAUUUGACCUUGCUUUAGCCGUUCUAAGACUCAAGAUGAUGAUAUCAUCGUGGAAAGAUCUCAUACGAUAGGCCCUUUUCUUCUUUCUUUUUUUUUUUUUCCUGUUGCUACUUUUUCUGAGGCCCUGGAUGCCUCACCUUUGUAGCCAAAUUCAUCCAUUCAAUGAAUGAAGCAGGUAGCGUGCUACCUAAUCUCUAAAAAAAAAGAAAAUAUAUAGAGACCCUUCAUCUAUAAGUCCUACUAAAAUUGAUCCCUCAACUUUAAAUUUUUUUUAUUUACUAUAUGGUAUUUUACUGGAUCCAGAUUUGGGUUCGGGUCCGAAUCCGAAUUUGAACUCUUCCAGACCUUACCCAUUAAAAGGUAGGGUUCGGGUUGGGUUCUAGACAAGUAUGGGUAUAAAGUAUCCAGUUCCAUACUUGAAACUUUAAUAGGUAAUGUUUUUUACCCAUAUACUAUCUAUUUUUUUAUCGGGUUUGAUUCGUGUUCGGGUGCGGGUAGGGUUCAGAUCGGUUAUAGGAUAUUGGAUAUUUUGGACGGCUUUAGACGGAACCUUGAUGGAGAGGGGCUAAAUACUACAACUUGGAAUGUUGAGAGGGGAUAAAAUAUAGGUUUUUAAGUUAGAGAGAAAAAGUGAAAAAACGAAUAUUUGUAAGAGGGUUUCUGUAAUUUAGUUGAAAUUUAUUCCAGCUUUUUUUUUAAGCUGUUGUUGAACUUACUUAAUAAGUUCUUAUUGAAUUUAAUUCUACAAAAACUUACAAUGUGAUCAAAUUUAAUAUGAAGUAAAACUUGACCAAAAAAUAGUAUUGUGUUUCAAAUGUUUUUUUAUAUAGUAUAUUUUUGUAAAAUAUUAAGCAUAUUUUGCAGAUGGAAGGUACGGGCAAAAUUAACAUUUUGAAGAUUUAACCAUUAUCUUUUCUCAUUAUCCUCUACUAUGCCACAAAAGUAACGAAACAUAAUUUUAGCUAUUUCCAAGAAUCUUAGCUUUAUAAAUCAAACACAAUAUUUUACUUCUACUCUUGGCUAUCCUAAAAUAGUAAACUAUUUCAAGAAUUUAAAAAAAUUAUAUACCAAUGAAAUUUAUAUCAGAACCAAAUGGGGCCUAAAACUUCAGAGGCUAGCAUUGUAGGUUAAUCAAAAGAUAGUUCAGCAGGAAAGCUUCCUGGGAAAGAUUUAUAAAGAGCAAUUUAAUAUCCUGGGAAGACCAAGUCCUCUGGACAGAAUAUAGAAACUUCCUGCCAACAAUGACUUUUCUCACUUCAUUGCCUUACACAAUUAUCUCAAUCUUCCAGUGAAAGAUAUAUGAUCAACCUCUUCACAAGUUGUUUAACUUUUUGACAAUUUCAAUUGUAGAAUUGAGUGAUAAUUAAACCUAUAAAUAGACAAGAUGACUCCUCUCAACACAACAACAGCAUCAACAACUUAAAAAGGGUCGUCUGAAACAAGUAGAGAAAAUUAAUCAACCAAAGAUGAACCCCAACCUCCCCCAGUCCACCCUUCUCCAACCAUUCCAAUCCCUCUCCAUCCCCCCCACCACAGCAAGCCUCGACUUCGGUCGCGAAUUCGCGGCAGGCAAAGCUCCGGAGGAAAUCGUAUCGAUCAUCAACCGCACAUUGGAGUCUUACGGUAGCUGCAAGAUCAAGAGCUUCUCUCUGUUCUUCGGCCCGCUCGAUAUGUUCCUCUCCGACAUCGAAAACUGGAUAGAAUUUGCUAUAUCGCAGGUGGUCGAAGAGCUUAAUCUCGACUUUUCCAUGGGGUGGUCUGACCCUCCGUGGAAUGAAGAGUUCAACAUCGAGGACUACGUAAUGAAAUUACCGACAUCUUUGUACUCGUGUGAAUCAUCGACACACUUAAGCCUAAGCCACACCGAUUUCUGCCCGUUGGCCAACUUUUGUGGGUUUGAUCAUCCCCAAUUCUUGUCGCUUCGGCAUAUGAAGAUCACGGAGGGCGCCCUCCCAUCUAUCCUAUCAAAAUGUCCCCUUCUUAUCAGCUUGAGCCUCAGAGAUACACACUCUACCGAGUCGAUCAGAGUUUUUAGCCCCGAACUUUUACUAGAGAGAUUGGAGAUCAUAAGGUGCGGUUACACCACGGAGUUCAGAAUCCUUGCACCCAAGCUCAAAUCAUUCAUUUUUAACAGCGGACUCUUCUUCGAUGACGACUCCUUCGCCGAUAUCUCUUCUUUAGAGGAUGCUUUCGUAAAUUCGAUAGAAUUCGAAGCUUGGGAGCCUGAAGACGACUAUGUAAAGAUAAUCUCCGAUCUCUCGCAUGUUAAGAUCUUGACUGCGUGCAUGACGACUCUAAGGGUACUUUUUCUUUACCUUGUACUUUCGAUCCAAAUUUACUUCAAUAAUCGUCGGAUGCCUGUAUGAAUAUUAUCUAAGUUAACAUUUUUUUACUAUUUCUUGAUCUCUCUUUUUUGUUUUUUGUUUUUUGUUUUUUUUUUUGGAGUUCUAUGUUUGUAAAGAAUUUGAUGCUGAAAAUUUGGCGGUUAAGCUACCAAACUUGCGAGAGCUGCAGAUACUUAUGGACUUGAUGAGCAGCUACACUCUCGAAGUUCCCUACAGCUUUCUAUGGUUUUGUGAAGCACCAUUGCUUGAAAAGCUAUUCAUUCAGGUGAUUGCAUAUGCUCUUUUACUAAGGAGAAGAACGCACUAACAAAUCAAAUUUGAUACCUCAGUCUUAGCAAUUCAUCACUUCUUGAAUAUAAAUGGUACUAAAUGACGGCAUGAAGUGUGUACAAAUAUUUCACGCUGCAGUGAAAAUGAAACAAUUGAUAAGUGAGUCAAAUUGAAUCUUCACUCUCUAAUUUGUCAUCUCGCACUACACUUGACUCGGAAUCGAGUUACGCAAUGCAAUUUCCGAAAGCUCCAACUUUAGAGUUAUCGCGCACCGCUAUAUUCUGUAAAAGCGAGGUACACUAGGUCCCGAAAAGUGUUACUUCCUAAUAGACCGCUUCUAUGGUGCCGCACUGCAUAUAUACAGAAGUUGGUCAAAAUAGGCCUCAUUCUUUCUUUAAGAUGAUUGUGUUUUGUUUUGCAGCUAACGACGGCGCCUGAGGACUCCGAGUAUAAUAAUAUUGACCUGCAAGAACCACCGGGUGUUCCCUUUAAUCAACUCAAGGUGAUCAAACUAAGCAGUUUCAAAGGGGGCAAUAAUGAAAUGAGACUGGUGAAGUUUCUUCUUGAAAGGGCUCCUGUGCUAGAGAAGAUGCUUAUAGUGCCUGCUCCAAAAGCUCUUCUGAAGGAGGACAUCAUCAGCAAUGAACUGAAAAGUGAACUCCCUUUGUUGCCCAAAGCAUCUCCUCAAGCUACCAUAGUCUUGUGUGAACACUCAUCAGAGGAGGAUGAUGAGGCACUUAUUCCUACCCACAAAGAGCUCUACUGUGAAUUCUAGUUGUCAGAUAAUAUUCUUGGAUGAGAAAUUAGCUGCUUCAAUAAUCAUAUAUAUCAUAUAUAUAUAUAUCUAAUUUUGGAAGCAUGAUUUUCAGAGUAAACCACAAGCCGUCAUUUGGCGCAUUUUCAUGAGAAGUUCUAAUAUAACUUGAUACUAGUAUAGCUUAUUGUGUUCCAAUAUUAUAUAUAUAAAGCAGUUAUGAGAAGUUCUAAUAUAACUUGAUAAUAGUAUAGCUUAUUGUGUUCCAAUAUUAUAUAUAUAAAGCAGUUUCAUGAAAAAUUUCAAUAGGUAAUAAAUUACUCAAAAAUUAUAACUAAAAGUUAGUAACAACACUCCCAUUCAUCGCAUGGGUCAAUUGCUAGUGUUAUUAAUUUUGGGUGUUAUAUAAACAUCUACUUGGGAGAAGUUUGCAAUUAGUCAUUUAUGUGUAAUAAAUUGGUGACAUUCAGAAUUAUGAUGUUGUUAUAUAUAUUUUUGAGUCAGCUCUUUCAAGUGGUUUAAAUUGGCUCUAGAUCUAAGAUCUCAUUAUAUAAAAGAAAAGAUUCCAAAUGCAAAAAAAUCCCCUAUAAAGGCAUUAUCUUUUCACUUUUCUCUCACUGAUAAAGAAAAUAUGUAGAGUUGAAAAUUCUCUUUUAAUCUCUAUAUUGUUAUUACUUAACUUUAUUAUUAUUUUAUCAUCCAUAAAAUGAUGGAAAAACAUUUCAAUAUUAUAUUAUAGGUCAAUUAUAUGUCCUAUAUAAUAGAAAAGUAAUUUCCAAAUAUCUUCUACUCUAGCCCCAAUCAAUUUUCGGUUUUUUCGGCACAUCUAUUUAUAUAUAUAUAUAUAUAUAUAUAUAUAUAAAAAUUGGUGGCAGGCGGGCGGACGCGAGGGGCGGGCACAAGUGGUGCGAGCUGGGGCGCGAACGGACAAGCGAGCGGGCGGGCGCGUGGCGGCGGGUGGCGCGAGCGUGCGCAGCGGGCGAGCCCGGCGCGGGCAGGCGCGAGCCGCCGGCGCGGGCAGGGCGCGAGCCGGUGCGGACUCAAGCCCACGCGGGAUUUUUUUUUUUUUUUUUUUUGUCUUUUUUCUGUGGGACCCACUCCUAUCUCUCUUUUUUUGUUUUUCUUUCCUUUCUAACCCUUCUUAUUUUAGAGUGUUAUUGGCCACAUACAAAAAAUAAAUUUAAAUUUAAAUUUAAAAUUUAAAAUUAAAUUUAUUAUUAAUGAUUUUUGAAUGUGUUGCUUAACUUUAUAUAUUUAGUUAGUAUAUUUUAUGUAAUUGUUGUAAUUAAAUAUAUUUAAAAAAACUUAAUUGUAGUGUUUUUUUAUAAAAAUGGAUUAUUUAUAUCUAAAUAAUUAUAAAAUUAAAAAUUAAUAUUUAAUACAUACAAUCUAAAAUAUCUAAAAAUUAGGCAUAAAUUAUUAUAUAUUUUAAAGUUUUAUUAAUUAAAACACAAACUUAUGAAUUUACAAUCUGAACCCGAACGGGGUGUUAAGAUCAGCAUUAUUGUUUGUAAUCAAAACUUAUAUAUCUGAUACAAUUAAUCGCAUGUGAAAAGGUCUCUAAAACUUCCUUAUUUAAUUAACUAAAAUAUAUUAUUAUUUACUUUAUAAAAAAUAUAUUUAAUUAUUUAUAAAGAAGAUAAAUGAAUCCGUUGCGUAGCACGGGUUCCUUAACUAGUACUUAUGAAUUGGGAACCGGGAGUUCCCUGGCCCGCCACGUGGAUGGCGGUCGCGAGGGGUGCGAGGGGGCGGGCGCGAGUGGGGGUGCGACCGCUCGAGCGAAUGCUAGCACGCGCGCAGGCGCGGCCGUGGGCCCAGGCGCGGGGAUNUAAGUUUAGAGAAAAAAAAAAAUAAAUAAAUAAACUAGAUGCAGAUAUGGUUAUUCUUGAAUAUUUUUUUAAAAGCUCUCUAAUGCGCUGACAAUUAUAAACGGUAAUAUGUCGGGAGCGUAGAAAGAUUUCGCUAAAGCAUUGCCUCCAUUUGUGGCCUGGUCUAUAGACCGGGUCUAGGGAACAACUUGGAACGCUGUGACCAAUCAGAGCUGCGGUUGGGAUCUGGACAGGUGAAACAAAACGUGAACAAGUCUUUCGCUCUUUUUUAUUUUUAUUUCCCUUUUCUAACCCUUCUUAUUUUAUUUUAGAGUGUUAUCGGCCACAUACAAAAAAUAAAUUUUAAAUUUAAAUUUUGAUGGGUUGUGGUUGAAUUAUAGUUAGACAUAAAUAAAUAUAUUUUUAUCGGUUUUAUAGUAAUUAUAAUUAAAACACAAAAUUACAAAUUUAGAAUCUCAGAAGUAGGGAUGUCGAUGGGUAUGGAUACUUGAAAUAUUAUUCGAAUUUGGACCCGAACGGGCUAGGUUUACUAGAGUCACUUCCGGCUUGUCGCGGAAGCAAUCGGUGAACCUCCCGGAGAGCAGGGUCAAUUAUAAUAACUACAGAGCCAUCAGAAAUAUAUAGUAUAUAUGCACAUUAUUUUAUGACGAAAAAUAUCUAUACAAUUUCCUUAUUUAAUUAAGUAAAAUUUAUUAUUUAUUAAUUAUUUAUAAAAAAAUAAAAGAACUCGUUGCGUAGCACGGGUUCCUUAACUAGUUAUUCCUAUGAAAGAGUAAAAAAUUUUAAAAAAUUUAAAAUUAUGGCUUGGACCGGUCAAGAAUAGUAGUGAUGUUCAAUCAAACUUAUCUCAAUAUCAUCAAACUAGAUUUGACUAUCAAACCUUUACAAAUUUGAUUUUAUUAUUUAAUCUUUUAAUUUAUUAGAUCCGAGCCAAUUAAUGACUCUUUAAAUUUAAAUUUUGAAUAUUUUAUUUAUUUUUAUAGAUUUAGUAUGAACUAGACUGGAAUACUAUCAAUAGCACAAAACUAUUGGUGCUAUUAGGUUUUUGGCCCUUGAAUGAAAAAAUAUACGGUUAGGAUGAUGUGAGCCCCCUAAGGUUGAGCAAGUUAUUGGUUGAAUAGUAUAAUCUAACAGGUGAAAAUAGUCAAAGAGCUAAAUCUAACGGCGGAAAAUUCAAUAGCACCAAACGCUUGGUGCUAUAGAUAGUAUCCCAGCCGGACUUGACUUAAUAUAUUUUUUACAGUUUACAUAAUUUACAAAAUAAGCAAUUAGCUAAAAUUAUAAAACCGAAGAGCCAUCAAAAUGUUUAAAUCAAAUAAAUUAAAAAGUUGGGUACUAAUAUUAAAAUUUUGAAAAAUUGAAUAGUUGAAUCAAAAUUAUAUAUAUUUCAAACAAGUUUUUUAAUAUCUUUACCCAUUUUAUAAUAAUUUGAAUAAAUGCACACCUAUUGUACGCCCUAAUAAGUAGACCUCCUGGUUGUUCGUACCAGGGAUGUCAGUAAGUAUGGAUAUCCGAAAUUUUAUCCAAACACAAAUCCUAGUCCGAAUGCGUCAUGCCUGGGCCCCAGCGGAAGCCUACUUGGAUAGGCCCGCCAUAUGCCCGGUGUAUACAAGGUGUCUACAGUAAACAUGUUAGAAGUAAUACAAGGAGAUGGAAACAGCUAACAUGAUAUCAGAGCAUACAUCAUAAUCUACUCUCUAAUUAAUGACAAGUAAAAAAGAAAGUGGAACUACAACCAUAACAUCUUCAAAGUACAAAUAUACAUCAAGUAGCUACAAAGUAAUCAACCAACAACACAGGGUCGUCACUAUACAUCCAGGACAAAACAUCUUUCCAGCUAGCUAAAGAAAAGGCAACCACCUAACAGGAACUCCAAGCUAUGCCUAGCUAGACGCGACCCCCUUACCGCGAUCCCUAGCCUCCCCCGCUGUGGAUGACUCUGUAAACAAAAACAACAACAAACUGGGCAUGAGAACUAUUAGUCGAUAGUUCCCAGUGGGUAAGCCGCCGACAUCAGCGAAUUACACCACUAGGUCUGUCACGUCCCGCUAUCGCCAAUUUGGUCGACUCGGACCCGUACACAGACGCCGAAUGGACAGCACCUCCCCUGUCCGCCCAAGGCUUAACAACUAAAAGUACAUGUAUAGAGAAAGAAAUAAUCCCAGAAUAACAUUGCAAUAUACAUGGCUUGCACGAGGGCAAGCAACAAGCACAAGUAAAAGUAAACUAACUAAACCAUUCAUACAUUGUAUCUUGAUUACUUUAAAUCAAAUACAAAGCUUACCAUUUGAUCACAUACAUACAUUCCUCAAUAUAUAUACAACUGCUAUCUCUCAAAUGAAUAAUUUACAUUUGCUUUCAUCAACUAUAAAUAAUUUGAAUCAAAGAUUAUAAAAAAUAAUAUAUAGUAUGAUCAAACCAUCUCUAACUGCAGCAAACAUGAAAAUCCUAUUGUAACUAGUUUCUUGAAGGAACUUUACAUAUAUUGUACUCUUGCAGACACUAAAAUCAGUAUAUGAUAUAUCUUUUCAGAAAGUAAAAUUCUAAGUGUUUCAUAUGUAUAUGCAUAGCUUUUUCUCUACUGAUCAGUUUUGUCAGUGGACAAAAAGUGUCCAAACAUGAUAUUAGAAGUUCAACACGACUUAAUUAAAAUUGGAAUUCAUUUAAUUCCAAUAUCUAUAACAAAGACUUUAACAUAAACUCAAGUUAGUACAUGAUAUAACAUCUCACUAAAAGCAUUCCAAACCUCAGUAAAGUAACUAAAGACAUUAACAUAAGAUGUACCAACCUCAGUAAGGGGACCUGCCAGCGUUCACGAGGAGGGUGGGGACCGAUGCGGCGGCCGCGGAGCUGGAGGCGGCGGCGUGCAGAGCUGGAGGCACGGCUGUGAAACUGGAGGCGGCGGUGCGCAGAGUUGGAGGCGAUGGUCGUGAAGCUGGAGGCGAUGGCGUACGGAGCUGGAGGCGACGGCUGCAAAGCUUAAGGCGGCGGCGUGCGAAGUUGGAGGCGGCUGCCGCGAAGCUUGAGGCAGCGACGCGCGGUCUUGGAGGCGGCCAUCGCAGAUCUGAAGGCGGCUGCGUUCGGAUCUGGAGGCGGCGGUUGCGGAUCUGGAGGCGACGGCGUGCGGACCUGGAGGCGGCGUGCGGAGCUAGAGGCGGCGGCUGCAAAGUUAGAGGAGGCGACGCGCGGAGGUGGAGGCGGGCGAGUGAUGGAAGUGAGGGGGGAGGGGAAGAGGAGGAUGUGUUGAGGAGGAAGAGUCGGAGGAGAGGGAAGAGGUGGGGGCGGCGGUUUCCUUGGGAAAAAAAAGGGGGAAAAAAUGAGGGGGAAACAUGGGGUAUUUUAACAUUUUAGGGUUUCGAUUUUUUUUAUUAUAUUUAGAGGCGGUUUUUAAAAACUGCCUCUAAACCGUCUCUAAUACGUGAAUUAUAGUGGCGGUUUUUUUACAAACCGCCUCUAAACCGCCUUUAAUACGAUUUUAUAGAGGCGAUUCCCACAACCGCCUCUAUAACAUCGCCUCUAAUAGUGGCGGAUUUUUAAAAUACAAUUUUAUAGAGACGGUUGUGGGAACCGCCGCUAAUACGAUUUUAUAGUGGCGGUUUUUAAAAACCGCCUCAAAACUGUCUCUAAUAUGAUUUUAUAGAGGCGGUUAUAAAAACCGCCUCUAGAGAACCGUCUCUAGAACCGCUUUUUCUUGUAGUGUAACAAUGUCACUUUAUCACUAUUUAAUAGUCCAAUACAAAUUCAUACAUCUAUAGAGUUCUAUGUUUUACUAGUCAUUGUCCACAUGCAUUUUGCUUCCAAAGCAUACAAUUAGAACACAUAUUGCACUUUACCAUAUGACAAUCACAACUCUAUCAUGUAUGAAUAUCAACUAAACAUGUAUAAUCCAUGUAUGCUCAAUAAAAGUGAUAUAAACAUAAUAGGUCAUUCGAUAAUUUCAGAAAGCAUCACCCACCUUUAAAUGAUAUCGAGAUGCGAGAAAACCAAUUCCCGCAAUUUAUGAACAAUCACAAUCCUCGCUCGCGACAUACGAAGCUAAAAUGAGAUUUUUUCUCAUUAGCUUGCCAUAGGCUAAUCGGAACGUUGAUCCAAGUUUUCCAACUCAUGAGUUUUAUUCUCAAUUAGGAUUUUACGCGGUUAAUUUCGAACUAAGCCUCCAAUCCUACAAAUUAGCAUUUUCGAGUUAAAGUUCCAUACAAUCUGCUACUAUACAAACUUCACAAAAUAUAUAGAGUAACUUAACUCUAAGAACCUCAUAAUCAAGUAAUCUAGGAAUACAAGAGAUCAAACUCAUGCUACACUUUAAUUCAUGUUUCAACAACUCUUACAUUUAAUCCAAGUUUACAUACAUGUUAUUAACAUAGUGUGAUGUCUAAGCUGUUAUGGCAACUUUAAGCUUUAAAAAUCCAAAUUCUAUAACUUAAACCCUUUCUUUUAGCUUAAAUAUCCUAACCACAAUCAGGAAUUAAGACCCACUUACCUCAGGUUCCAUUUCAAAGCAAGAAAUCACAUGCACAUCAUACAUGUAGCUCGUUAUAGAUUUCUUAUGGCAAUUAGAAGCUUUAGCAACCAUAGCUUAUAGCUUAGACCCUUUUAUUUGAGCAAUUAUCCUAACUCGAACCAGGAAUAGAGCAUCAUUUCUCAUCAGGUGUUAUUUCUACUAACAAUUCCCAUGCAAACUAUUCAACCUAUAGCUGAUUAUAGGUUUUAUCAUAAUAAUCUAAGCUCUAGAAGUCAAUACAAUCCAUAGUUCAACCCUUUUAUACAACAAUUAUCAUAACUCUAACCAGGAAUACUCUUAUCUGACCUCGAAGGGGUGCUAACUCCCUCUCAGCUCAAAACUACGUUCAAGAACUCACUCCACAAGGCUGAAUUUGCUGUUUACAAAUAGGUCCCUGCAGCUUUUUGCAUUUAACGGCAGCAAUAGCAGUAUUCGGCAGUAACAACAGCAGCAUUCAGCAGUAACAGCAGCAGUAGCAAUUGCACCUAAAACCUCCCAAAAAAUAGGAAUUUUGCUUUUACAAAACAGUCCCUGCAGCUUUUACAAAACAAUCCCUGCAGCUUUUUAGUGCAAAAUCUGCACUGGCAGCACUUGUUCCAAUAUAAUUUCAUACUUCCACUUCGUUCCGAACCCCUUUAAACCCUUCUAAACUUGUAAUUAGUUACCCCCACACGACCAAUUUAGCUCGGGGACUAACUCAUUUAUAUUCUUUCAUUCUUUGACCACUUUGAUCAAAGUUAGUCUUGUAGUUGGAGAUUCGAUAUAUUAUAGUUUCUCUUUAGGUUUUCAUGACAAUUAUAAAUACUAGCAUCAAAGAACUCCAAGCCAAACCUUUCUAUAGAGUAAUUACUCUAAACUUAUCAUGGAAAUAGCAACCUUCAUCUCAAGUCUCACUUCUAACAACCAUUCACAUGUAUACUACACCUACAUACACAUGACAUAUGGCUUGUCUUCUAGGUUUCAUAGCAAUUAAAGGCUCUAGUAAUCAAGAAUUCUUUUGUUCCACCCUUUUAUAGAGUAAAUAACAUCACUCUUAACCAGGAAUUCACAUCACCUAAUCUCAUAUUUCAGCUACCAGCUGAAUUCAUAUAGUUCUACUAGGUUUCUUCAUAGAACUACAUGCUAAUAGCAAGUUGUAACCUCUAAGAGAUCCAAAACUCCCCUCUUUAUAUAGCAGCUAUCACAACCCCAUCCAAAAGAACAGCAAACCUACCUUAGAUUUGAUGCUCCCACAAGUUUUCUUCUCAGUUGUAGACCUUUCUCUCAGCUCAAAACCAAACUCCACCAAUUUCUUCCUUCAAAACCCCUUCGAACAGUUUCUAGAGAGAGAGGAAGAAGGAGAUAAGAAGGAGGAAUGAAGGAGCUGGUUCCCUGCCUAAGAACCACGUAUGCAGGUUGGGGUUCAAAGAUAAUACCGAAACAAUUGCAAUUAACCCUCCUACACAAGCUGAAAUUACUCUUUACUAAUCUGUUCCUAAUUCAGAAUCUGAUACUUUUCGCUGGAGCCCUUCUGAAUAUCUGUUUGCUCUCAAAUUUGACAGUCAGACUCGAUUAAAAUUAAUAAGAAGAACGAUAUCUUAAUUUUUCAGUUUGGACCAUUUUUUGUCACCGAAAUCUCUACCGACUAAAAUUUCUAACAGAUAACAAUUAGAUUUUAUUUUUCACUUUUCGGGUGUCAGAAUGACAUGAAACUUUAAAUAUAGCCUCAUAAAAAUAAUUUUGACAUAUUCUCCAAUUUUCAUAAUUUUCUGACACUGUGAAUUUUCUGCUAAAAUAUCAGCCCCGUUUCUUACCGAAAAUUUUAAAUCUUCUGUUUUCAUUCCAAUUUCAGUACAAAUCAUUUCCAACUUAUAUUUUACUUCUCUAAAUCCAAUAAAAAUAGUAUCUUACACUAUUUUUAUUUACAUCUACUUUUAUAUUAAAAGUCCGGUCUAUUACAAGGUCCCUAAGGCAUAAAUAAUAAACAAGUAAUGAGUUGCUAAUACUACCAAGCCUCCAAUGCACAUAAUGUUUAACAAGUAUCAAGACUACUCUAAUAUGAGUAAGCAUGCUAAUGUCAUGUCCACUAAUGUACACUAUCUAGUAGCGACAGUUAAUUAACUCAUUUAGUUAACUUUACCCAAUUUACAAGGACUUACACAAGUGUAGUCCGGCUUGCGUCGUGCCUAAUGGCCCCGUAGUAGUAUAUACUCUCCACGGCAAUCCACUUCGGCACCCAAUCCCGCACAGGUGAGCAUGAUAUUGCGUAGGCCAACUCCGAAGUGUCAGCUUGUGGGGAGCAACCCUCACAAGUAUGUGCGAAUGAGCACAAUAGUAAGCAAGUAUGAUCCACAAUACAAAACUCUCACUCGUCAUGUCUAAAACAUGGUAUGUCCUCUAACAACCCAUAGGUCGGAAACUAGCUAUGUUAUAAUGUCAAGUUCUAGUCAUUUAACUAGGUCAGAAACAUCAACAUUAAGUUCAUGCUACAUAUUAUCAUAUAAUUGCCAUUUUCACUUGCCUACGCAAGUAUACUGCAAGUCAUGUAAAGUGUACUACACAUGAUUAAUAAGCAACACUUUCCACUACAUAAGGUAUGACUUGCCAUAUGUACUAUGUAUAAUUAAUGCAUCCAAAAAUCACUUAUAAUGCAUCCAACAUGAUUAUACAUGAUUUCUAAUUUCAUAACAAUAACAAGAACAUAGAGGGAGUUUACCCAUUUCGGUGAGGUCAAGCCCAUCGGAUGUUCCUCGGAUUCUCUCGUUUGCUCGAGCGAAACUGCUUUCUAGCCUUCUAGCACCCUAACAACAAUUUUUUUUUUUGAGCAACAAUUCUAAAUCAAUUAGGAGCUGCUAAUAAGUCUCCCACAAAAUUUCUCAAAAAUCCACCUAAAAUAGGUAGGAAAAUACCUUGUACAGGGAAAGACUCUAUUCCACACUUUAUCUAAGGUUGGGAUAUUUCAACUCCAACCUAAAAGAGAGUUUAACAAACACCAAAAAAGUUUUAACAACCCAGCUAAGAAUAAUCCCAAACUAAGCUCCAAUUCGACCAAAAAUCACAUACAAGGUAGCAAAAUAGAAGUUAACCUUUUACAACCUCCAAAUCUAGUCAACCUUGAACUAGAGUUGAAGAUUUAUCCUCAAAAAUCCUUUCUUUUUUCUUCUCAACUCCUCCAAAAAUCCCAACACCAGCUACCAUGGAGAAAAGAGAAGAGAAAUGAUCAAUUCCAUCAAUUUUCCACCAAAAAAUGGAAAGGAAUCUAGAGAGAGAAGGAGAAGAGCUCACCCUAUGUUUUCUCUGCUUCCAGCAUAAGAAAGACCAGCUUAUGCGGUUGGGAGGGAUAAACAUAGCUUUAAGAUUACCAAAAUGCCCCUCACCAACUCAAAAAAAAAUAUUUUGUCACGUUGAGUAUUGGUACUUGAGUUGGAGUACCAGUACCCGAUACUCAGACAGGCUAAAACCCGAGCGUGAGACCUUCGGGUUUUAAGCGGUGUACCGGUACUAGCUCAAUGCAGUACCGGUACCUAGUUCCAGUGCCGGUACCCACCGACUCAGUACCGGUACUCAGCACCCACAUCUCAAACCAGGGAGGGAACUAUUCUGGCAACCCCCUAGGGUUCCGGUACCCCACUCAGGUACCGGUACUCUCAAAACCUGCAGUUUGCAGAUUUUAGUGUCCGUAGUUCGUUCUCGCACUUAUAAAGCUUAAGUUAGGAGUCGGUACACUCCUGUCAACCCUCAAAACAGCUAGAAUAGUUAUAAUUACUAUUCUUGUACUGAAACCUUGCUAUUUGUUAAAAUUUAGUGUACUACAGAACGGGGGCAGGUUUAACCGAUUUAAUUGGUGCUAAGUGAGAACGGUUUCAAUUACAGAUAUAGAAAGAAAAAAAUUUAACAUAUUCGGAUUGGGUAUGGUUCUCUCUGUACCUGAUCCAAACUAAAUCCAAAACCGAUUUAUUAUAUAUACAAAAAUUUAAAUUUAUACUUUAAAGAUUUAGAGUUGAGUAUGAUAUGUUUUAAAAUUUAGUUUUAAAAAAAAUUCUUUCGGAUUUGCAUUCCAAUUUUGAUUUUGAUUUAUUUUUGUGUGUAAACUUAAAAUCCACCCCUGUGGUUUCGCACUUUCUCACUUUAGUACUAUAUGGUUUAAAAUGUAUCAAUUUAGUACCAUGUAGUUUCAUUUUUCUCUUUUCGUCAGCAUCUCCAUUAACAUUUCGUUAAAUUAUAUACAAAAACCUUCCGGUAUUCUAUUUAGAUUUAUUGAAUAUUCACUUUAGUAUCUUUUAGUUUUAAUUUUGUCAUUGAUUUAACGAAAAAAAAAUUAGUGAAAGAUAUAAUUAAAAGAGAAAAAUAAAAUCAUAGGAUACUAAAUUAAUACACUUUAAAUCAUAAACUACUAAAAUAAAAAAAAAAAUUCAAAACCAAACGGUGGUAUUUAAAGUUUUUUUUUUUUUGGUUGAGUUUCAGUUAUAAUUAUGAAUUUUUAAAUCUGAUAAAUUUGAAUUGGAAUUUAAUUGGAAUUUGAGUUUUUAAUUCACGAAUAGUUUGUGAAUUAUUCGCAAAUUUUUAAAGAAAAUGAAUAAAACAGCCGCAUUGUAUUUUUUCCAAAAGUUCAGAAAAAAAAAACACAUUUUUUUUUAUCAAAAAUAAUUAUUCGUAAAUAAUUCGCAAUUUGCGAAUAAUUCGGCCAAAAAAANAAAAAAAAAAAAAAAAAAAAAAAAAAAAAAGCCUUCGGUCCGCAACGUACGUUCGCCACCCUCCCCAAAAUAAAAAAAAUCGCUCGAUCGAAAAGGUUUUGCCCUGAGUUCUCACCCCUGCGGCCCUGCCACCGACCCCAGCCCCCAUCCCUUCCCCUCCCCCUCUUCCCUUCCGGCCGCUCGCCGAACGCCAUCGGAAGCCCCCGCGGGGCCACAUCGAAGAUCGGGUUCUUCGCUCUUCAGAAAUCAGAACCCUCCUCGUCGCCUCUUCCUCUUCCGCUCUCCAGCGAUGGAUCAGUAAUCGGGUGGUUCUUUACAAGAAUUUUUAUGCUUUAGUCUCUCUCUCUCUCUCUCUCUCUCUCUUUCCUUUAUUUCAUCUUCUCUUAAUUGCUGACUGUAUGGUUUUGAGUAACAAGACCAUGACUACAAAAUGUAGCGUCAUUGUGAACAUGCAUUUAUUAAGAUUCAUUACUUCUUUUUUAUCUUUAGUCUCUACAGCAUACAUGAAUAUGCCCAGCAUACAAGAAUAAUCAGCAAAUAAGGUUUUAAGAAUUAAGACCUCAAAAGGUUUGAUAUGCCCAGCAGGUUGUGAGUACGGUUUGAAAGCCACAAGCAUAUGCAUUGAUUAAAAACCAAGGGAGAUCUAGCAAACUUAACAAAGGCUAAAAAACAUGGGUGUUAACUGACAAUACUGUGAAUUCCCGAUGAAUUUGGAGAAAUAGCAAUAUGGAGACACAGAUUUGAGUUUGCUGUUUGCUUAAUUAUUUAUUUAUUUUGGGGCAUAAUAUAGUUUGCUAUAUUUUUUUUACUUAAUUAGCUUAAUUUUGUAGCUCUUUAUUCUUAUAUUCUUAAGAAUUAUGUGUGUUUAUGCUAAUAGCAUAAAUCUUGAGAGAAAAAAAAACUUAAUUUAACAGCCGAAUUUUUGAUCCCGAAUUUUUAAUUGGUGAACGUAUAAUAUCCGCAUAAAUCACGUAUCCAAAUAAUCGGCGAAUCCGUUUUUUAACUGUAUUUUUCAACAAAUUUAAAAAUUAGAAGACGAAUUUUAUCCGAAUUAUACCCGUACCGAAUUUUUGCCGAAUCCGAAUUAACUAACUAUGCUGGAGAAUGCGGCUCAGCAUGGCAUGUCUUUUGGCCGGAUUCAUGCCAUGUAGGGCCGCCUCCGAUCUAUUUCGGUCUAGGAAAAUGUUUGCGAAAGUAAUCCAAUGCCUGAAAGAAAAUAUUUUAUAUAUUGAAUUAACACAUGCCCGUUUUACACCCUGAUUAGUAGAUCUCCAGAAUAUCCAAAUCCAGAACAAGUCAAAAUCAUCAAUUCGCCACAACAGUCGUUGCCACCACCACGUUCCAGAGUCCCACAGUAGACCCAGUAAUGGCAGUCCCCCAUUCCCACGUACUCCACCACCAACACCACAUCCAGAUCCAAGGACUACAAUCAAAUCAUUCCUUUGAGUCCCCAAUCGGACGGCGGAUGAUCCACUUAAUCAAAUCACCAUCUUCACCAUUGGGGAUGAAUAGGAGGAGGGAAUCAUCGAGUUUUCGGAUCGCAGUAGUGUCGGAGGUGAGAGAGAAGAAGAAGAAAAAGGAGUUGGAAGGGGUGGGGGAGGAGCUGAAUUCCGUGGCGGCACAGAAUCUCGACCGGGCACCUGCUCGCCGCCGCGUUCGAUCUGCCUUCCUCGACGUCCAACGCAAUUUGGAUCACUUCUUGUUCAAGGUAAAAAUACCAUGAUUAGUAGUUGUUAGGUUAAAUUAAAGUGAGGCUCUUCUCUUAAUCUUUUCUGAUUAGAUCGUACAUUUUUUUCUCAAUCAAAGAAUGUGGAUACAGAUCGCAACUUCCUCCCUCAAUUUUUCCCUAAUAAGGCCUAGUUUGGGAUUGAGUUGAUAAAAGCAACUGCUUUUAUGCUUUGAAAGGCUAAAAAAAAAUGCGAAAGCACUUCCAGUUUUUGCCCUUCAUCGGUUUUUAUCACAACUUAAUGGCAUUGGGAAAGGAGAGACUGAAAAUGAUUUUAAAUUUUUUUGGGCCUUUCAAGUAUAGAAUUAGAUGCUUUUAAUCACCACAAUACUAAACCAGGAGGCCAAAGUUAUAUAGAAUUGGGGGAAGGAAAGUUGAAACAACCUUUCAAUAUUUUCAGCUUUCUAAAAUAUGAAAAUGGAUGCUUUUGGCGAAGAAAUCUCUAACUAGGUCUCACGAUAAGUUUUUAAGUGCAAUUUUUAUUUUGAUAUUUUAAAGAUCAAAAAAAAUUCAAGUGUUCUAAAACUUUAUUUUUUCAAUACUAGGAAUUGCUCAAAAUUUACAUUAAGAGAACUAUCUCUAACUAGGUCUCACGAUAAGUUUUAAGUGCAAUUUUUAUUUUGAUAUUUUAAAGAUUGAAAAAAAUUCAAGUGUUCUAAAACUUUAUUUUUUCAAUACUAGGAAUUGCUAUAAAUUUACAUUAAGAGAACUUCUAUCAUCUUCUCUAGUAAUAGUUUUGCCACAGUUUUUUAGUAUAAAAAUGCUAGUAGUACACCCAAAAGUAGGGUGUAAAUCUUACACACACCUAUCCAAAAUGAUUUUUUUAAUAUUAAAAGAAAAAAGAUUGAUAAGACUAGUGAAAAAUAUUUUGGAUGGGUAGGUUGGAAGAUUUACACUCACUUUUUGGUUGUACAAGUCGCAUUGUGCUUUUUAGUAUUGGAGGAGCAAAGCACUACAUAUUAUUGGAAAAUCAAUAUUUCCAAACUACCCUCUUUUUAAGGUUAUACAGGGAGUAGUCCCUAUAUAAGUGAUGUAUUAGAAGUAGAGAGAAAUUAGAACAUAGAGAUAAGAUAAAAUAGAUUUCCUAAGAGUUAUAUGUGUCCUUUGUCCUAAUCUCAUUUUUAUUUUUAUUUUUUAAAAUUUAACGGUUAUUUUUUCUGUUUAAUCUUACAUUUUAUUAGUUUAUUUGUGUAAUUUUGGUAGAUGGCUCCGACGGGGAUCCCAACAGAAGAGGUGUGUAUGUAUACGACUCUCUUUACUUUUUGGUUUUACUCGUCCUUGAACUUAUUUUCUUUUGCCUUUUAUGCAUAGUUCUGACAAUAUAUUGUGUGGACCGGGUCUAAUAGACCGAAUAAAAAAUUAAAUCUACAUUGGAAGUUUAAGAAAAAAAAGGGAAAACUUCAAUUAGCCCCUGCGAUUCAGUUCUUUUUCACUUUCCCACCUGUGGGUUUAAUGCUGCUUUGUUACAUUUUAUUUUUAUUUUUCCCACUACAACAAAUUGUGUAUAUAAUGACAAUUUUAAAACCUUCGCCACAGACAAAAAAAAUCGUCGCUAUACUCAAUAGCGGCGUUUGUAGCGGCAGUUUUACAACUUUUACUUAUAAAGGAGACGCUGUUUGAUUUAGUGGCACUUUUGAACUGGCGCUAUUUUACAGCGACAGUUUUUCUUUGAUAUUACGACACUUUAACAACUGUCACUGUAUGUAUUUAAUUAGACGAUUUCAGUGACAUGUAGCGGCAAUUUUUGAAUUGUUGCUAUUAAUCAUAUGAAUAGCAACAUUUUUUCAAGCGCCAUGUCGCCACUAUAUCCAUACGAGUUAGCUUUAGUGGUUUUGUAGCAGGAAUUCUUCAUCUGCCGCUGCUGGUUUAAGUGAAGAGUAAUUAUAUGUACUAAUAUUUUUAUGAGCACUACUGUAAGAAUUAUAUAGAUAAAUGAACAACCUCAAUACUUUUCUAUGUAUGCAAAUAACAUUCAAAUAUUGUUUCUUAAAUGAACUCUAUUAACAUGGCUGACCAAUAUGAAAAUAAAAAAGUACGCUUUCAUUAUUUGAAAACAUAAAAGUAUCACCAAUUAACUAAUCAUUUAAACAACAUUAAAAUGAUAGAUAGUUUAUUAAAUAUAUAUCCAUAUGCAGCACAUUUAUUAAUAUUUAGAAAAAAGAGUAAAUUCUCCCAAUGCCAAAAGUUCUUCAACAUUGAUCACGUACAAAUCUAUUUGACCUUCAAACUUCAGGCGUAACAAUGUAUAAAUUUUUAGUUUUAGCAUCAUCAAACCUCAACUAUUAUAACAAAAAAACAAUAUUGUACAAACAUAAGUAGAACGCCAUGCAAUUGAAAUGAGCCGCAAAAGGCGGUCUAAAGUUCUUUUAAGUUCUACAUAAAAGAAAGUAAUUUACCCAUGCAUAAAACAUCCAAAAAAAUAAAGAAUUGAAGCUCCAAUGCUCCAGUAUUAAACAAAUGCUACUAAGCCAAAGAGUGAAGGCCAACUAGCACCUAGCAUAAAGAAAUUGUAGGGACCGUUAAAUUUGAAUUUUGAAAUAAAGUUGAGUAAAUUCAAUAAAUAAAUUAAAUUUAAACGUAUUCAAUUUUGGAGGAAAAAAAGAGAGAAUAGGGUAUUUUCGCGAAUUGGAACUGUUCCCAGCAGAACGAAAUCAACACUCUUAUGGUUUGAUAGUGCAGGAAGUCGUGGUGAAGUCUAUUUUCGGAUUCUGCUAGGCAAAAGCACGGAAUAAAGCGAAAGUCAACAAGUGGUCAAUUUUGAAAGAUGGGUAUUUUUGGAAAAAGUGCAACAUUUUUUGUGUCAAAUCGUACGAAAUCGCAAGAGGAGGUGCCUCUGGGCAAAAUAUGAGUGUUGUGAGGGACUGAGCAUAGAAUAUGAAAGUUACAGGGGCUUACAAACAAUUUUGCAAAAUCCAUAUUUAGGUGACUAGGGUUUCCAAACCCUAUACAACAUAUCCUUACCUCCUCUGAGCCCUAGCUACCAUAGCCCUCGUCCUCACCUACGCCACCGCCUCCCUCGACCUUCGGUGACCAUCCUCGACCGCCGGAGCCCUGGCCACGAUCUCGUCAGCCAUUAAGGGCGCGUUUGGUUCAUGUUAUGUAGCAUUACAAGAUAUUUCAAUAUAACUAGAUAUAUGAGAUUUCUAAAUCAGAUUACUACUGAUCCUGCAUUAUCACGUUUGGUAUAAUGCAGUAAUAUAAUGCUAGAUUACAAUAUAUAUGGAAUUAUUAUGUUUGGUUUAUUUUAUAAAAUUUAGUAAUCCUAACAAUAAAUGGAGAAGACAAAAUUGUUUGAAGCACGCACAGAACCGGAAGCGCCCCUUGUUUCAAAUUUCAAAGAGAGGAGGGCGGGUUAUUCACAUUUAAUUUGAUGGUCAGAGGCGAAUUGAAAGUUAGAUCUACAUUGGAUCUCACCUGAAUCGCCCCACCUAUCCUCCUGAGGAGAAGUUUGGUUUCAAACUCCGAUUCAAACAGGAGUACGCCAUGCUAAUGUGCCUUGGAUGAUCCACAUCUCCGGGUCAGGCGCUGAUGAGCACAUUGAACUAUCCAUGUGGCUGAGAGCCCUCGCAGCCCAGGCACAUUCCACAAUUGCCCUUAUGUUAUAUUUGACAAAAUAUAAAUUUAAAAUAUAAACGUGAAAUUUAAAAAUUUAAAAAUUAAAAUUUUAUAAUUUAAAAUUUGAAAUUUAAAAUUUGAAAUAUAAAUUUAAAAUCUAAAUUUAAAAUUUAAAAUUUAUAAUAUAAAUUUAAAAUUUAAAAUCUAAAUUUAACAUUUAAAAUUUAAAAUUAAAUUUGAUUAAAAUUUUAAAUUUAAAUUUACAAUUUGACAAUUCAAAAUUUUAAAUAAAAUUAAAAAAAUGACAUAUACAAAGAGUUUGGGGGAGGGGUUGGAGAGGUAAACUUAUAAUUUUACAUAACACGCAGGAUUACUCGCCAACAGUAAUACAAGAUACUCACCCCCUGCUAGGUAAUAUUUUUGGUGUAAUCCUGCACCCUUUGUAAUGCUACAUUACCGACCAGAUUACAGAUUGGAUGAAUCAAACACAGUAAUCCUAACAGGAUUGCCUGUAAUCUUGGCGGGAUAACUCGAACCAAACACGCCCUAAGUUCCAUCUCUCUCUCUCUCUCUCUCUCCCCCUCAAGAUAUCACUGUCUCCCCCUAUCUCUCUCUAACUGUCGCUCUCUCUACCCGAUGCUCUCCUCUCUCUCCCCCUCAAGACCACAUUGAACCCGAGAAGCUCCAUCCUCGGUUGCGCCGCCUCGGACCACCGCCGUCAGCUCCUAUGUGUCCGGUGAUCCCACUCUGGCAGCCCUGGCGUUGCUGAUCUCUCCUCGAGCUCAAUCUCUAUAUUUGAACCUGAUUUGUGGUAGAUCAAGCCAUAACUCCAAGCCCGGGGCCGUCGCCCCUGCCGUCGCGGCUUCCUGCCAUCACUGCGGACAUUUAUGGACCCCAUAGCACCCUCCGGUGCCGCCCCGACGGCCCUCGGCCAUCCCAUUGCUCGGGUCACCACCCUGAACCUGAGGGUGUUUAGGGUUGGCCAAAACCCUUCAACCACCGCUACCUCCAACCACCGGCAAUCGUCACCUCUGACCUCUCGUCGGGUGUACCCACUCCGGCCGGCGCGUGCCUUUCUUGGCCGCCGGAACCAGCAAAGAAAGAAGCCUGCUUUGGUCUGCCUUGGGCUAGGGCUUUGUUUUGGCUGACACUCCUAUUCCGGCCAUCCCUAGUGUCGGUGACCUCUCGGCAGGUGAGUAUGACCUUUCUGAGACCUUGUAGGUCACCGUCCUCCCCUAUGCGGCAAUCCGUUUGACCCUAUUUUGUUGAAUUGGCACCGUUACUCUCGUAACCCUUAGCACCUGAAGUUCAGGUUGCUCCAACGCGCUUCUCGGCCUCUUUAUGCGCUGCAGACAGCAAGCACGGGUUUCGAAACAUCGAAACCUUCCAGCCUACACAAUCGGUUGGGUUCCAAAUCGCAGAAUCCUUGGUAAUGGACAAAAACUGUAGUUUUUCAUAUGUAAUUAAUGCAAUAAUUGAAUGCUUAGUGGUUUCAAUGCAAUUUGGCCAUAUGGACUGUCUCGGGCAGCGUGAACCCACUGCUUGUGACCUCUGGACUGAUCAUCCUAGGUCUAAUGGCCUUUGCGAAGCGUAAUUAGGGUUUCGGAGCGGUUAUCGGCAAAAUCGUCGAUCGAUCGCGAUUUUGGUUCGAGAUUCGCGUUCAAUCAACGUGAAUGCUCGGUAUUCGUUGUCGUGUUGGCUGGUUGUCCUCAUUGUCUUGUGUGUCCGGAGACAACGAUUGGGUGGCGGAGGGUUCCAGAGCCGAAAUCGGCAUUUUUGGGAAUCCGAUGCGAUACGAUUUACGUUAAACACUUUUAUUAACAUUAACUUAGUGUGUUGCUGCCUGCACAACCAAAUCGGUGUGCUUCGGGGCAGUAGGUGGUCUACGGUGAGGGUUGGUAUCCUCCGGGGCACUUCGUCGGUUUCGAAAGUAUUCUGGUGAGUUCCCGAAAAUUCCGGCAGGUUGCGGGAAUUGGUAAAAGGAACCGAUUGCCAGAUGGUUUUCGGGAUUAGAGAUUAUUGACUUUUGAGUCAUUUAGGGUUAGUCGUGUUUAGUGGAGUAGUCUAUGACUUCGUGGAAUCUUUUGUAGGUCUGGCGACGUUUAUGAGCACCUUUGGAAUUGUAGGUGCCUCGUCAGCUUUAGGUAGGUAUUUCGAUCUGAAAUCGGUAUAGUAGUUCAGUGGCAUUCUUCCUCUUUCCUCUUCUAUUUGAUCACAUAUUUUAUGUUGAGCAGUUGUCACCACUAGACUUCACGUUCUGUUUGCUCUACAGUUACUUAUACUCAUCUUGACUUAAGGUGGAGUGGUAUCCUAUUGUCGAUUGCAUGACUAGUUUACUUGAUUGACCUGAUUAGUCGGUGUUAGGUGAUAUUUAUGAGAUAUGAGUGAUCAGAUUUGGUCGGUGAUUCCUUGUGGAUUCGAUCUUGGGUAUUUGCCAAUUGUUGGCUAUUGAGUAUAUUGCAUCGAUUGCCAUAUGUCACGGACUUAGCGUUUUCGUUCGCAAAGCCCGUGCGGCGCCCACCUUUCCUGCUCGAAGAUGGACAAGCCUUUGUCCUUGUUGCUAGCCCGGACCUUCGCGUCCUACGACUAAGUAUGCAAAGGGAAAUGACAAAGAGAAAGAGGCAGAGGUUCUCUCAAAAACUAAGUACUACACUACUUAGAAAUGAGAAUUACAACCUACAAACAGCAUACAAACACACUCUCUCUUGUGUGUCAUGGCCUUAGCCAACCUCACUAUUUAUAGGCCUAAAGGUGCCUUUUCAACUCACCCACUACAUACAUAAUGAACCCACAUUAUGAGCCCUCAUAAAUGCCAAAAGCUCAAGAGUCACCCAUAACUCCCAUGAGUUUCAUAACCCUUGAGUUUCCCACAACGGGUUGGGUUUGGGCCUUCUUGACAAUCCGCUUCGACCCGUCUUCAACCCGAACUCGCUAAGCAGAUUUGGGCCAGGGACUGGGCUGCAUAGAAAUUUUUCUAAGUCCCUGACACCCUCCUCCACCUAAUGCGCAGGCGUCCUCGUCGCGCGCUGCUUUUGAAACUCGUCGAUGAGCGCUUGGUACUGCCAAAGUGUGUCCGCCUUUUCCCAACUAGCCUCGCCGAAUGGGAGAUUCUUCCACUUCACCAAGUACUCAGGAUUCGGCACGACCCCACGUCGCCGAAUGAGUCGAGUGUCCAGGAUGGACUCCGCUUCUUUGUCGAACGAAGUCACCAUGGUCGGAGGCGCUCGCUGCGACACUCCUCUGCUCGGAUCCUCCGCGUCCUCGUUGUACAGCUUCAACCUGCUGACAUGAAAAACAGGGUGGAUCCUGAGGUUUGCGGGCAGCUGCAGCUUGUAGGCCCCCUUGCCCACACGCUUGACGACGGUAUAUGGGCCUUCGUACUUGCGCAGCAGUCCCUUGUGCACCUUCCGCAAGGCUUUGAACUGCUGCGGAUGAAGCUUGACCAUCACGCGGUCGCCCUCGGCAAACUCCCGAGGCUGUCGCUUUUCGUCAGCCCACUUCUUCAUCCGUCGUGCUGCUUUCUCCAAGUUCGCCCUUGCAAUUUCACCCUUUUCCUGCAAGUUAGUGGUAAACUGAAGAGCAACUGGGCUGCGGAACUGCUCUCCCGCAGCAGCCGUGUGAGGGGCAAGUGGUUGUCGCCCGAUCGCCAACUCGAAAGGGCUGCAGCCUGUAGACUCGCUGCGCCGCAAAUUGUAAGCAAACUGGGCGACAUCGAGAUGAUGCACCCAAUCUUUCUGAUUGGCACUCACAUAGUGCCGCAAAUACUCCUCCAACAGAGCGUUCACCCGCUCAGUUUGCCCGUCGGUCUGUGGAUGCCAACUGGUGGAGAAGAGCAACUCCGACCCCAAGAUUUUGAACACCUCGGUCCAAAACUUGCCAGUGAACCUGGGGUCGCGGUCGCUCACGAUGCUCGUGGGGAUCCCCCAAAGCUUGACGAUGUGGCUGACGAAGAGGCGUGCCGCUUCUUCAGCCGUGCAAUCGGUCGGCGCAGCAAUGAAGGUCCCGUACUUGGAAAAACGAUCAACCACCACCAGAAUGGACCCAAGCACCCCCACCUUUGGUAAGGCGGAGAUGAAGUCCAUCGAAAUGCUCUCCCACGGACGGCUAGGCACAGGUAAAGGCUCGAGGAGUCCGCCAGGUCGCUGGUGCUCAACUUUGUCUUGUUGACACACCAAGCAGGUUCGCACGUAGGCCUCCACGUCUUCGUGCAUCCGCGGCCAAAAGUAGGCGGCCUCGAGCAACGCCAGGGUUCGCUUCUGACCUGGGUGGCCCGCCCACUUGGAGUCAUGGCACUCCUUGAUGAGCUCGCGGCGAAGGUUGCCCCACUUGGGCACGUACACCCGUCGCCCCUUUGUGAGGAGCAGCCCGUCGCUCAGCCAAAACCUUCGCGUUUUGCCCUCCUUGACAAGCUGCACCAGAUUUUGAGCGAUAGGGUCCUCAUUGGUUCCUGAACGAAGUCGAUCGCGGAGCGUCCCUUGAAGCUGCCACACGGCUGCAAGCUCAGCCUUGCGGCUGAGAGCAUCAGCCACGCGGUUUUCCUUCCCGGGCUUGUAUUGCAUCUCCAUGUCGAACUCCGCCAAGAAGUCUUGCCACCUCGCCUGCUUAGGGGACAGCUUCUUUUGGGAUUGGAAGUAGCUUGUGGCAACGUUGUCGGUGCGCACCACAAACUUGCUCCCAAGCAAAUAGUGCCGCCAGGUUCGCAAGCAAUGCACCACAGCGGUCAUUUCCUUCUCUUGGACGGUGUAACGCCGCUCGGUGUCGUUGAGCUUGCGGCUCUCAUAGGCGAUGGGGUGCCCAUCCUGCACGAGGACACCGCCAAUGGCAAAGUCAGAGGCAUCAGUAUGUACCUCAAAGGUGCGACUGCAGUCGGGUAGUCGCAGCACUGGAUCCUCCGUCACCGCUCGCUUUAGGUCCUCGAAUGCCUCCGCACAUUGAGAGGUCCAAACCCACGAGUGGUUUUUCUUCAGCAGAUCCGUCAACGGGGCUGCUCUCGCAGAGUAGCCAGCAAUGAAUCGGCGGUAGUAGUUAACGAGUCCAAGGAAAGACCGCAACUCGGACACCGUCGUUGGGGUCUCCCAUUCGCAGAUGGCUCGCACCUUCCGCUGGUCCAUGCGAAUCAGGCCCUGGCCUAUCCAGUGGCCAAGGAAGUGCACCUCUUCCUUCGCGAAUAUGCACUUCUCCUUCUUGACGAACAGCUGGUUCUCCCGCAGCACUUGGAAGACGGUUCGCAAGUGCUCGAUGUGCUCCUCCAAGGUGUUGCUAUAUACCACGAUGUCGUCGAGGUACACCACCACAAAGCGAUCGAGAUAGGGAUGGAACAGCUUGUUCAUAAGUGUGCAGAAGGUUGCUGGCGCGUUCGUCAAGCCGAACGGCAUGACAAGGAACUCAUAGGCCCCGUACCUCGUCACGCACGUGGUCUUCUCCUCGUCUCCUUCUGCAAUCCGCACUUGAUAAUACCCAGAGCGAAGGUCGAGUUUGGUGAAGUACUUCGCUCCGCCCAAUUGGUCGAAGAGAUCUGCAACCAAAGGAAUUGGGUAUUUGUUUUUGACCGUUACCUUGUUGAGCGCUCUGUAAUCGAUACAAAGCCGCAGGCUUCCGUCGCUCUUGCGCUGGAACAAAACUGGUGCUCCAUAGGGUGCCUUUGACGGUCGGAUGAAGCCCGCAUCGAGGAGCUCCUUCAACUGCUUUUGCAGCUCCUCGAGCUCUGGCGGGGCCAUUCUAUAUGGCGCUUUCGCUGGCGGUUUGGCUCCUGGCUCGAGCUCAAUGGCAUGAUCCACCUCCCGUCUAGGUGGAAGUUGCUUCGGCAGUUCCUUUGGCAUGACAUCCUGGAAAUCUGCCAAGACCGCCCCAAUCUCUGCAGGAAGGCCCUCCUCGUCGAGGCCCUCGUCGCUCACCUCGCGGAUCGCCGCAAGGUAAGUCAUCUCACCACGGUUCACACCCCUUCGCAACUGCAAUGCAGAGAGGGUUUGGGUGCUUACCGUUUUCUCCUGGCUUGCUAGGACCAUGCAUGGGGCCGCCUCGUCCAUGAUGCUCAAGGCCCCAAGGUGUGGCAUCGGAACCGCCUUCGACGAAGCCAAGAAGUCCAUACCUAGUAUGACUUGGAAGUCGUCGAUGGGUGCAGCGGUGAAGUUUGCGGUGCCUCUCCAAGGUCCCACCGCAAUGGCCACGCCUUUGGCCACGCCCGCAACAGGUUGCGCCUCAGAGUUGACGGCCUUGAUCCUGCUAGCAUCCUUCUCAAGGGGAAGGCCUAUCCGUUUGGCCUCCGCUUCGGCAACAAAGUUGUGAGUGGCUCCCGUGUCCACCAAUGCUCGUGUGGCCCUGCCGUUAAGGGUCACAUCGAUGUACAGAAGCUCCUUGUUGAGGGGCUUGCUGCUGCUUGCCAGCCCCUGAACCGCGUUGACGAGCCUAAGCGCGCCCAUCUUCGUCGGUUCUGCACUGCCCUCGCCCUGCUCGGUCUGGACAGCAUUCAGCUUCUUCUUGUUUGGGCAGUCCCUCGCCCAAUGGUUCUCGCCGCAGACGUAGCACGUCAAUUUCUUUGGCGGCGGCACAGGACCCCUCUCGCGGCCCCUGCGCUCCUUCUGGUCACGACGGUCUCCUCCACCUUUAGCCUUGCUCGCUUUGGGCGUCUUGCUGCGAGUUGAAUCCGCCCGCUCGUACUCGGGCAGUUUUUCCGCCAAGGCAAUUGCGGAGGCAACGUCCUUGACGUCGCGUCCCACAAGCUCCUUGUUCGCCCAAGGUUGGAGUCCGUCGAGGAAGAAGAAUAAGCGAUCUUCCUCCGCCAUGUUGGUGAUGGACAGCAUCAACUUGGAGUAUUCCUUGACAUACUCCUUGAGCGUCCCGGUGUGUUUGAGCCGUCGAAGUUGCUUCCUCGCAAGGUACUCGACGUGCUCGGGGUAGAACUGCGCCUUGAGCUCGCGCACGAAGUCCUCCCACGUCUUCAAGUUGCAUUGGCCCUUCUCGGCUUCUGCAGAACGCCGACGCCACCACAGCAUCGCGUCAUCAGCAAGGUACAUGGAUGCAGCCUGGACUUUCUCAUCUUCGUCGUCCAGCCGCAACGCCUUGAAGUAGCGCUCCAUGUGCCACAGAAAGUUGUCGAUCUCCUUCUCGUCGCGGGUUCCCCUGAAAUUUUGAGGCUCAGGGAUACGUACCUUCGAAGCGGACUCUCGUUGGGGUUCGUGGCCACGCGCCACCGCUUUCUCAAGGAUCGUUACUCUUGUCUUGAGGUCCUCGACCUCGUCGACUCGAGCAACAAGCUCCUCGAUCAGUUUCUUUCGCUCCUCGUCACGAUUCUUCAUGUUGGCUUGGAGCUUUUCGAGAUCGCUUCGAAAUGUCUCCAUGGCUGUAGCGACACUUUCCUCCAUGCUGUGGACAUCUUCGUUGAAUGAGUUAAAGGUAUCCGCCAUCUCGGUGUACCUUUCACCCAUUUUCGCGAUGAUGUCCUCCAACAGCACAAGGCGGUCCUCCAACGACGCCGAAUCCCUCGUGAUUCGCUGAGGGUCUUUGCUCUUGCUUCGCUUGGAGGGCUGCUUUGGAGGGUCGCCCCCAACGUCGACGAUUCCCGCAUCGGAUGACGACAUGGUUCCUCGCUCGAACCGGCUCUGAUACCAACUGUCACGGACUUAGCGUUUUCGUUCGCAAAGCCCGUGCGGCGCCCACCUUUCCUGCUCGAAGAUGGACAAGCCUUUGUCCCUGUUGCUAGCCCGAACCUUCGCGUCCUACGACUAAGUAUGCAAAGGGAAAUGACAAAGAGAAAGAGGCAGAGGUUCUCUCAAAAAACUAAGUACUACACUACUUAGAAAUGAGAAUUACAACCUACAAACAGCAUACAAACACACUCUCUCUUGUGUGUCAUGGCCUUAGCCAACCCCACUAUUUAUAGGCCUAAAGGUGCCUUUUCAACUCACCCACUACAUACAUAAUAAACCCACAUUAUGAGCCCUCAUAAAUGCCAAAAGCUCAAGAGUCACCCAUAACUCCCAUGAGUUUCAUAACCCUUGAGUUUCCACAGCGGGUUGGGUUUGGGCCUUCUUGACAACCCGCUUCGACCCGUCUUCAACCCGAACUCACUAAGCAGAUUUGGGCCAGGGACCGGGCUGCAUAGAAAUUUUUCUAAGUCCCUGACACAUAGCUCAUAUGCAAUUCGCAUACAUCACCACAAUGGUGUUAUUUUAUAGAAGAGUGGUCGUAUUUCCAACCCGUGAGCGCUAUUCGCAGGUGCGUUUUGCAUGGGGUUAUGUGCAAAGAUAGGUGAGAAAGAGAGAAUAGCCGGAGCUCCAACUGCCGGAGUAGGGUUGCUCGGAGGUCGGGGAGGCCGGCGGCAGCGGAUUGGAGUUGUGGAUGUCCGCUAGUGGUGGGGAGAGAGAAGAAGAAAAAGGGUAAACACCCUAAUUUUCCCCUAUAUGUAUAUUUGUAACAAUUGCAGUUUCACCCCCCAGGUUUACAGUUUCUUGCUCAGGACUGCUUGGCAUGUGAAUCUUGCACAGUAGUAUCUCCGGUUAAAAACUCUUGCAAUUUUAUACGAAAUGUCACACUUUUUUUUAGAAAAUCCCUUUUUUAUCGGUUUCUUUCUUGCCCUUUUUCUCUCCAAACCUUGCUUUCAUCGUGCUAAAUCAUAGUAAGAUCCCUCCCACAACUUAUUGCAGUGCUAGACCUCGCAAAUGAUGAUUUUGUUUUUUUGGAAAACUAUAAAAUUUCACAACUAUCCCCCAACAUUUUGAAGUUUUAUUUAAAUAAAACUUGGUUUCUACGUCGAAAUUCGACACCAUAAACUUUUCUAAGUGGCUAGUGUUUGAGAUUUUGGAUGCCUAAAAUAGUAGCUCGAGAAACAAACUAGAACCAAACAAGAAGUUCAAGGAAUAUAGUGCAUUUCUUCCUUUAGGCUAUAUACAGUUCUCUAGAUCCGAGAAAUAGCCUGUAACUUUGUCAAGCUCAAUGUGGCUCUACAGGCUAUAGUCUAUGUGAUGAUCAAAAGAUCACAAAUGACUAAUCCAAGUCAUUUCUCUAUCUAGUGUUACCAUGAAUUAAUCAUAUUCUAUUGUUAUGUCUAAAACAUCCAUUUACUACUGCUGCGCUAAUCCACGGCCUUUACCCCAUAGUUCAUGUCAACCAAAAUAUAAUUAUAUGAAGAAUACUUCACAACCAUAAACAAAAUGUCAACUGGCCCUUCCCAGCCUAAUUUAACCUAUACACUUAAUACACUAUCUUACGACUAUAGGGUAUUUACCAUAGGUGAGGGUUCACAUGCAACUGUACUAGAAUUCUAGUCAUAAUUUUAUUUUUUAUUUUUUAUUUUUUAAUUUUUUUUAAUUUUUUUUUUUAUAUCUCAGAGCAACCUGACUCUACUUCCCUGUUUUGCUGCUAAAACUACUUCCUCGAAAGUUCCUUAAACAUCCAUUUCCUCUAUUUCUUGUCUCAUUAUCAUUUUCAUUGUUAAUAUAUUACCUAAAUUAUCUUUUACUUGGCUUAAUAUUACCAUGAUGCUUUUUGUAGAAGUUUUUGAAUUGGUUGGUAGCUCCAGAGUUUUGAUGAUUAAAGGUUUAAUAUUCCCUUGAAUCAUGUGAGUGCGAGCUCUCAAGAAUUCCAAUCAGUUUGAGCAAAAGUACCAACCUUAUAGUAACUUUUUUUUUUUUUUUGUUUCUUUUUUGGCUAGGUACAGUUUUCCCUUGUUGUCACCCAAUGUCAAUGCAAUAACUCCAAAUCCCUCUAUUAGCCAUACGUAAUCAUCAAUUACUUUGGGCAGACAGAGUUUCGUCUUUCGCUUGUCUCGAGUAGAAAAAAUAGGAUAUAGUCAUAAAACCUAUUACCUAUUAGAAACUUUUUUUUGUAGAUAUCUCUUCAAUAAAUUUUAAUUCAAAAUUAGAUUCAAUUCUAACAUAAUUAAAUUAUGAAAUUGUAUUUUCAUAAUUCUAGUUCAAAACUUUAAUAUAAAAUCAAUUUUCAAAUUCUAAUGCAAAUUAAAAUUUUAAUUUCAUUUUUUAAAUUUAAAAUUCGAAUUAUGAAAAUAAGUUUUAAUUCAAAUGCACACAUUCUGAAUUCAAAUUCAAACUUAUAUUCAAAUUUUGAAUUCACAUUUUAAAUUUAAAUUAACUUGCUAAUUUUGUAAUUCAAAAUUAGAAGUCAAAAUCUAACUCAAAUUUUGAAUUUCAUUAUAAAUCAUUUUAAGUUGAAUUCAAAUUUCCUUUGAAUUUAAAUUUAAAUUUUAUAUUUUGAAUUCAAAUUUCAAAUUUGAAUUUAAAUUCAGAAUACAAUUCAAAUUUAAAGUUUGGUUUCUAUUCAUAUUUCUAAUUCAAAGUUAAAUUUUAAAUUAAAUUCUAAACUUGAUUUUAUGUUUCAAUUUCAAAUCUGAUUUAAAGUUGAAUUCGAAAUUUAAUUUUAUAUUGUGUCACCAUUAAGAACUGAUGUAGUAAUGGUAGUCGUAUAACAACCGCACAAUAUAUCAUACAUUGUCGCAAGAAAAUAAAUAGCGGUAGUUUUAGAAACUGUCACUAAAUAUAUUAUUUAGUGACAUUCUUACUAUCCGCCAGUAGAAAACCUGUCGCCGUAUAGCCUAUUUAUUGUAGUGACUGUAAGAACCCACUGUUAAAUAUUGUAGCAAAAUAAUAUAAUUUACACACCACAGGUUAGUAAAGUGAACUAUAGAAGAUGGUACUAUACUUUAUUUAACCAUCUUAUACGUCAUAAAGUAUAACACUUUACUACCUUCUAGUUUCUAAAUUAUUUCAGUUUAUUAUCCUAUUUAAUGGCAGGUCUUGAAGUGAAAGAAAAGCAAAAACACAAACAGAAAAGUGACACUGCUCAAACCAUCAGUUGUCAAAGUGAAAAUAUGCUAAACUUGGCCUAAUUGAAAUUUUUUCCACAAAAAAGAAAAUUUGAAUCAUUAUGUUAUGCAUUUCAUUUGUCAGCCAAAAACCAAAAUGCCUUCUAGGCUUCUAGCACAAAAGACAUUUACCUUAAACCUGUUGUUGGCAAGAGCUGUUCUUUUACAAUUUGGUGAAAAUAUGUGGAGAUCACCUCAACUAUGGGCCAUUUUGAAAUGGCAGCCUCAAUUUUUUCUUUUUUUUUUGGAUUGAUUACUUUAAUUUAUGAAUUUGUAAUUAAGUGAUUUUUAAAAAUUAAAUUGGAGAGACUUUACCAAAUUCAUAAGUGAGUUUAUCACAUUUAUAUAUUUUUUAAUCAUUUUUACUAGGUAUUACUAGAGCAAUUAACAAUUAGUAGCUAAUUGAGCCAUUAAAUUUAUUAAAUUUUGUAACUUAAAUUAAGAAGAAAAACUAAAAUCGAAAAAUUGAAUGUUGAGGAGGGUGCCAAUCAGAAAACUUAAAAGAUGAGAAGGCCACUUCAGAAGGCCCUAUAGCUGAGGGGGUUUCUGGUUGUUGAGUGAUUACCCUAUUCAGAGCUUAAUUUCUAGGAUCCAAAUCGGCAUAUAUACUGCCAUCCAGCUUAAUUUCUAGGAUGUUGACCGUAAUAAUUUCUAGAUCAUUGACCCUAGUAAUAAUAACUUGGACUAAAGCAUUUUGGGCUAGUUUGCGCUAAAUGAGUUAUUAGUGCUAGUGACCUAGGUCGUUAUAAUUAGAAUAUAUUGAUGCCAAGGAAAAUAAAUAUUUCAUAUCAUAGUUUGUGCCAAUAAAUAUUUCAUAUCAGUCUGUUGGCACAUCGAUAUAUUUUUGACCAGCACUGUAUGGCAAGCAGCGUGUCUUACUGUGCCAGUAAAUUCUUGGCACAACCUUGUGCCACGAUAUUUAAAUCCUUGCUUAGAAUUGCUAUGUACUUGUUUCUAUAGAGAUAUGAGACUAAUUCGAAGGGGUUAGAGAUAUUCUGGAAGAGCUGGUUACCAAGGCCUGGCAUUACCCCUAAGGCUGCCCUCUUCUUUUGCCACGGCUAUGGCGAUACCUGCACCUUCUUUUUCGAAGGUAAUUUCUUUCCUAUCGUGAGUGCUACAUUUUGCACCAAGUGCUCUCUCUGUCUAUCUAUCUAUCUAUUGAUCUAAUAUCAUCAUAAAUGCUUUUUGAUAAUUCAGGUAUUGCAAAGAGAAUAGCUGAGUCUGGAUAUGCAGUAUAUGCCAUGGAUUACCCGGGCUUUGGCCUCUCAUAUGGACUACAUGGCUACAUCCCAAGCUUUGACGGAAUGGUCAAUCAUGUCAUUGAGCAGUAUGCACGCAUCAGAGGUUUUGGAGGCAUUCUAUUUCUGUUUUUCUAACUUCUCUCAUUUUGUUUGCUUGUCCAAAAGACUAUAUAUUUGAAGAGGAUUAGAUGUUGAGUACAUUAUCUGUAAAUGUGUUCCCAAAUUGUGAACUUUUGUGAUUUUGAAAACUGCUUUUCAGGGUUAAAGGAAGUGAAUGGGCUACCACACUUUCUGUUGGGGCAGUCCAUGGGAGGAGCAGUUGCUCUCAAAGUACAUCUAAAGCAACCGGCGGAGUGGGAUGGGGUACUUCUUGUUGCACCAAUGUGUAAAGUAAUUCCUAAUGCUUGAUCAUGGCACACUUGAUAGAUCCAUAUUCACUGCUUUUUAAUUUCUGGAAUUUAUAUUUUUAAAUUGCUUUUAAAAAAGUGACAUUUAGAAGCAAAAUACCAUUGCUUGACACGGUUCCAUAAAGCUGCUUUAUCACUAUCAAAUUUUUUGAUGGACACCAAAUUCUAUGUUUAAAUUUAUGCUAGUUUAGUUGUCUCUUUCUUUGCCAAGACACCCUAUAUAUUCCGUGCUCAAGUGAAAUGUUUUGAGAGCGGAAUAAUGAUAAUAACUACCAUAUUCUUUGGAAAGGUGAAUUACUAAGUUGUCACGAACCUAAAAUUGAAUGAAUAUAAAAUCACUGAGACAGUGAUUCAUCUAAUUAUCUCUUAAUUGCGUAGUUCAAUUCAUUGAGGUGUUGACCCUUUCAAACGUGCAAGAUUGCAGAAGAUGUGACACCGCCAGGGCCAGUUUUGAAGGCGCUUACUCUACUGUCAUAUGUUUUACCUGAAGCAAAGCUGUUCCCACAGAAAGAUUUGGGAGAUUUGGCUUUUAGGGAUUCAGCAAAAAGGAAAAUUGUAAGUAUCACCAAUUAAUCUAGUGUAGGAAACACGUAAAAUAACUUCUAAUCAUCAAGCUGAUAAUUUUGACAAAUACAAAUGCAACUUAUCAUUAUCUCAUGAAUAUAAACAUAGCCGUAUGUUUUCCCCCUACUAAUUGUUUUUGUAAAGAUAUUACUGUACUUUACCUAGUCUUCAUGACUGUCCAUAAUAUCUUUUUCUUGUUACUAACUGCUGCUUCGCUGAUUAGUAAUAUGUUCUUGUCUUCAUAACAAUAUUACACCCUUCAAAUCCAAUUAUUGGAUUACUCUUAAUUUCCAGGUUAUUCGUAAAUUUUUGAGUGUGUGUGUUAUCAUUUGAUAUAUCAAAGUUCUCCAUUAUGUGCAGAAUACAUACCCGCAAUCUGUGUUUUGGUUUCUGCCUCUGUUUCUUUUCUCCUGAAGUCAGGGAUUAGUGAUGCAGGAAUGAUUUAAUUAGGCCAAGGUUAGAUAGGGAUAAGGUCUCUCUUUUCAUGCUAUUAACUAUUAUAUAUUUUUUUAGCCGCUUUGAAUUCGAGAAGUUGGAUUUUUGAACUAUAAGUUAACAGAACAAAUCUUACUUCAAUAAUUUAGUGGAAUUCUCAGAAAUCUGAUCGACCGGUUCAUAUCUUGCUUUAAAUUGCUUUAAUUUUAAUCCAAAUCCAACUUGGAAAUCCUGGGCGAUAUGGCUGAUAAACCUUAUCUUGCUCAUCUUUUUAAAGUUGCUUGAGUGGCUUUCUAAUCUUACCUUUAGUAACGGCAGGAGUCUUUCGUAGUGCAAUACCUUCAACAACCUUUAAACAAGCGGUUCUAAGCUAAAAAAAUCGAGUUACAAGAUUGCAAGGUCUGAUUGACUAAGCUUCACCCAGUACACAAAUUGGUUUUCCGCCUGAACGGCUUAGCUUGUGGAAAAGAAAGAAGGGCACUAGUCCGUGUAGUCAAAAAGAAGAAAGCCAAACAAGCCAUUUCACACUUGACUAUAAAGCUUCUUGUGAGGAAGCCCUUUGCUACACUAGCCUUUAGUGAAUAGAGGACAUAAGGGAAGCAUUAGUUUAGGCUUAUAAAGAAGAGAAGGAUUAGUAAUACAUUAACUAGAAAAGUCGUAAAGCCAAGGUGUUCACCUGCAGUCGAUCUUAAUAGUCAUUUGUCUCCACUAGGGAUAGGUCGAAGCAAGGAAUGCAGCUCAUAGCAGCUAGCAGCAACUUAAGCAUCCUAUCUGAAGGCUGAGAUGUUGUAUUUGCUUACAGGGUAUUUCUUAUACUCUUCCUCCAAGAGUUUCAGGCUCCGAUGCCGCUUCCUUUGCUGAGCACCCGGAUCUAAUUAACUAGAGUACCCCUUGGAGGAUCGUUAGAUAGCAAGGUUUGUCGCUACUCAGAUUAGCAGCAUGUUGUAAAGUUGUUUCAUUUCUAUAUUUAGUUAUAUUCUGGCUCCUUCAGUAAUAUACUGGACAUGCAUAUCAUAUAUCACAUAGUUGACAUUCUUACGGAUAUUCAAGUUUCUCAGUUUAUACUUCUGAUAUGAUGACAGAAAGCGAAGUACCAUCAUGGGACUGAGUCUUGUGGUUGUUUGGCAGUUUGCUAACAUCCCGGGCAGGGUUUGGGGCGCAAUAGAUGAACAAAAAUUUAUAUGGUGAUCCUCCCCAUGGUGAGACUGUCUAAUCUGCCAUCUAUGGUGCAUUAAAAUUCAAAUUUUGCACAUGACGAACGGUGGAUUUGACUGUCCCACAUGGGGUGGGUCCCUCAUAAAUUGCUUAUACUGUAAUUUCAAAUAUUUUGAAGUCACGUUUGCAAGAAUAUCAAGGUUUAAUCAAAUCUCAUAUAUGUAUCAAGUCACUUUCAGGAUAAUCAAUUUAACAUCAUCUUCAGUUAUCAGAUUAAUUUCCAACAAGUAUCAUCCGAUCAAGACAAGAUUAAAACACUUAUAAUUUCAAUUUCAAGGUACAAGUAAAAGAACAAAGACAAAGUCUAUACUAGUUUCCUGCAUAUUUUGGGUCUUGCAGGAUUGCGGCUGCAAGAAGGGCAAAAGAGCUUAUGUCCUUAGGGUUUCAUUGAUGUGAAUAUAUAAUUACAAGAGGUGUAUGCAUGGCAACCAUCAUUACCAUAUAACCUUAUAAUUUAUUUGGAAUAUACUAUAUAGGUCCUGCUAUAUAUGUAAUGUAAUAUAUACAUCCUAAAUAUAGCCUAACAUCUCUUGCAAGCUUAGUAUCCUUUGCACUGAUGCGAAGAUUGGUUCGCAAGUUUAAAUAUUGAGAAAUGGAUUAGGGCUUAGCGAAGAUGUCAACUGGUUGCUUAUUAGAAGAGAUAUGGACUAAAUCCAAGUCACCUGAUUGAACUUUCUCCCUCAGGAAAUGAUGAUCAAGCUCAAUGUGCUUGGUACUAGCAUGUAAGAUAGGAUUGGCUACAAGACAUGUGGUGCUAAGAUUGUUGCAAUAGAUACAAAUAGAUUGCCAGAGGGAGAUUCCAAGAUCACGAAGGAUAUGCCGGAUCCAAACGGUCUCAGCAAGCGCAUAUGCUAUACAUUGAUACUCCGCUUCAGCAUUAGAGCAGGAAAUAGUAUGUUGCUUCAUGGCUUACCAUGAGAUAAGAUUAGAUCCAAGAAAGAUUUUAUAUCUAAAAGUGGAUUGGCGUGUAUCUGGGCAACCAGCAUAACGCAUAAAUAAUGAGUGAGGGAUUAUCAUAGCGGGAGAUAGGAAUGCCAUAGGAUAGUCUCCCAAAAAUAUAACGAAGGAAACAUUUGACAGUUUGCAUGUGAGGUUCGCGAGGUGCAUGAAGAUAUUGAGCAACUGUAUUGACAGCAUAGGAGAUAUCUGGCCAUGUGAAAUUAAGGUAUUAUAACGCACCAACCGCCUGACCAUAGAUGUAGAGAUCAUCAAGAGGUCGCCCCUUAUGAGAUGAGAGGCGAGCAGUAGGAGAAAGGGGAGUAGAAAUUGGCUUUACUAGCAAGAAACCAUGAGGCUCAAGUAGUUGAUGGGUUGAUGCGCAUAUUUAUGUUGAGUCAGAUAAAAACCAGAAAGGUAGCAUGUGACUUCUAUACCCAAAAAAUAAUGUAAAGGUCCUAAGUCCUUCAUUGUAAACUCCUGUUGUAACUGAUAAGAGACUCAACAAGAGAAGAAUUUCUAGUGACAAUAAUAUCAUCAACAUACAGGAGAACAGUCCCAGAAGGUGAGUGGCAAGUGAACAUCGAGAGAUUUGCAGUGCUGGCGAUAAAAUCAUUCUCCGAAAAAAGGAGGUGAAACGUUGAAACCAGGCCCGAGGUGCUUGCUUGAGUCCAUAAUUGUGUUCUUUAGUCGAUAUACAUGAUUAGGAAAGGAAGAAUGUAUAAAGUCAGGCAUUUGCUUCAUAUAAACCUCCUCAGAGAAAGAGAGCCAUGAAGGAAUGCAUUCUUCACAUUAAGUUGUCAAAGUGUCUGCCUAGAAAAGAAAGCAACGGAAAGAACAGUAUGAAUAGUAGCCGGCUUAACAACCGGAGCAAAUGUUUUCAUUAAAAUCAACACCUUGCUGCUUGUAGCCCUGAGCUACCAGUCGAGCUUUGAGACGCUCAAGAGAACCAUCCGCCUUCUAUUUGACCUUGUAUACCCACUUGCAGCCAAUAAGAUUGACUGAUGGUGGGGAAGGAACAAAACCCCAAGUAGAAUUGUCUAAGAGGGCAUGAAACUCUUUGGUCAUAAUUGCACGUCAACCUGCAUCUUGAAAAGUCUCAGCAAAAGAAUUAGGCUCGUUAGGAAGGAAAUACUGUCGAGCAGCUAGGAGCGAGGUAGAUGCAGGCAAAUCCUUUGUGAUGGAUCGAGUGAGCAUAGGGUGUAAACGAGAAGGGAUAGGUGGUGCUAUAGGUAAAUUAGGUAAGUAGGGAAUGAUACAGGUGACAUUGUAUCUGUAUGAGUGGAAGCGGAAGGGUCAUAUGGUGGUGAAGCAAAUUCGAUAGGAGGAUUCGGUGCAAUAGUCCUGGAAAGGUUUCGUUGGGUUUAGACACGGAGCUCUUGGCGACCAGUAGCAGAGGUAUUAUUCUCAUCUCUAAUUUGUGCAUCAUCAUAUUUCAAGUUUGUAGGAAAUUGAGAUAAGUACUCAGAUGGUAGUGAAACUGUUUGGGGAAGGUGAUUGGUACAAGAAACACUAGGACUAUUGGUAGGGAUGGAAUGUGUGAAACUAAAGCUCGAGAUGGCAUCAAUAAGAGACGGGCUCUCACCCAGUAAGGAAGGAGUUAGAGAUAGUUUUGAACUAGUUGAAAGUUUGAAUUCACAGACACUAAAGAGUUAGAAAUUUUUGAAAGAUAGGAAAACGAAAAAACUAUUUCAAUAAAGGUAACAUGCCGAGAAAUAAAGGUUUUACUAGUGCUCGGGUAAAGGUAGCGAAAACCUGUGCCUAUCAGGCAGUUUCAAGAAUACACAAGGAAGGGAUCGGGGAGAGCUUUAUGAUCAGCAACAUCCUGCAGGUCGAGAUAACACAAACAUUCAAAAACUAUAACAACUUGCAAAUCAGAAGGGACAACUAUGCAAAAUAUCGUAUGGCGAUUUUUCCUUUGAAAACAGUACGUUAAGGAGUGCAGUUGAUAAGAAAAACAACAGUUUGAAGAGUGUAAGGCCAAAACCGAAGAGACUAGAAACUUGAACAAGUAGACUUUUGAUAAUGUUAGCUAAAUGUUUGUAUUUUCUUUUCGCUACACCAUUUUAUUGUGGUGUAUGAGGAUUAAGAAAUCUAUGAAUAAUCCCAUUCUGAAGAAUAAUGUAGAAAAUUUUUCAUUUACAUGCUCUUUUACUAUUGUCAGAUUGAAAAGUUUUGAUUUUGCGAUGAAAAAUAUUUUUAACCAUCGCUUUGAACUCUAAUCAGUGUUUGAAAAGGCGCGCCUGAGGCGCGCGCCUCAGCGCCUAGGCGCGAGGCGCGAGCCUCCGCGCCUCAGCAAUAGCGAGGCGAGCGCUAGUUUGCUGAGGCGCGCGCCUAGGCUUGAGGCGCGCGCUCAGGCGAGGCGCGAGGCGCACAUAAGGUGGCGCCUGGGCAUAUUUAAUGUUUUUUGGAUUUUGGAUUAAAGUUUUCGGUUAUUGGGUUUCGGAUAUAAAUUUUAUGUUUUAGCCCGAUAAGAUUAGUAAAGGAAUCUAAAAGAAACCUAAAAAAACCCUAGUGAAAUCCAUCUACUGCCCUCUCCUCCUACCACUCUCUCCUUUUACCGCCCUUUUCUCUUUCUUGAGGCCAAAUAAAAACAUUGGCACUACAAUCACUUUUAAGUUGAAAGUCGAAAUAUAUAUUUUUUAACUUGAGAACCUAUAUGCAUGUGUUUUCUUUACUUUUUUAUAGUUAUUUUAGUUUUGUAUAGUUAUUUUUGAGAUUUUAAUGUAGAAUAUCAAAUUAAAUUACUGUGCGCCUCGCCUUCUUGAGGCGCGCGCCUCGCAGUGCGCCUUGCGCCUAGGCUCUAGGAGAGCCUUGCGCCUUUUUGCGCCUCGCGCAUUUUCAAACACUGACUCUAAUGUUUUUUUUUAAAAACCUUAUAUUUAAAUUUUAGAAGAAAAAGCCGAGAAUAUUGAGAAUAAUCAUUCACAAAGAUUAUAUAAUAUUUAGAGCUAGAGACCGAAGGAACAUGAGACUGCUAUACAUCAGAAUGAACAAGUUGAAAAGAAAAAAUAGAUUUUGAUUCAGAAUUAAUAAAAGCCAGUUUGAUAUCUUUUCCCAUACAACAAGCAUUGCAGAUGGACAAAUUUAUUUCAGAAUUACUAUCAGAAAUAACAUUAUUUGCUUUAAUAAACUUUGAAAGAAUAGGUAAACUAAGGUGACCUAAACGUCUCUGCCAAAUAUCUCUACGAAAUCUGGAUGUAACAAAAGGUGAUCGUUACUUAUUUCCUACAUUUGCAACUGGAAAAGAAAUAGGAUGAAGUGCCUGAACUAUGGCAUCUUAGAAGCUCCUCCACUGUUUUCUUGUCCGUCACAGCAAAACCAGAUGAGUCAAAUUCGAAAAGAUAAUUGUUAUCAUGGCAAAAUUGAUGAAAAGAAAGUAAAUUCGUUUAAUAGAAGGAACAACAAGAACAUUCUUCAGAGUAAAGGAAGCGGAAGAAGUUUUCAAAUAUGUUUCACCUCUCUGAGUAAUAUUCAACAAAUUUUCGUUACCAACUAGAAUCUUAUCAUGCCCAGUAUAAGGUUUAGAAGAGAAUAUCCGGAUUAGCAGUCAUAUGAUUGGAUGCUCUAGUGUCCGGGUACCAAACCUCAUCAGGCUCAUGGUAGUGAAAGCUUGUGGAAUAUCAUCUACAACGAAGGAAUGAUUGUAAUGAUGCUUGCAUUGAAGGGCUCAAUGAUUAAAUUUUCUACAAAUCUAACACUAUACUGGAUUGGAAAAUAGUAGAUUGUUGGUUAAAUUGGUUAUGACUAGGUUGAGGAUAAGGUUGAGGAUGUGGAUAUGCUCUAUAAGAUCCAUGACCAGGAUUAGAAUUAUGUCUACCACACUGUCCUUGGCCUCUGGGAUAUCUAACCCCAUGGCCUCCACAGUUGCCUCGAUCACGAUUUGCUUAGAAGGCUUCAUCGUCAAUGGUGGAAGGAAUAGGUGAUGGAAGGAAGAUAGCACGAUGUUGCACUUCUGUUUCUUCGUGCAUAAGGAGUGGGCGAAAUUGUUCGAAGGUAGGUUUUGUCUUGUGUAUAUUAAGAGUGCUUGCAAAACUUCCGUAGUCCUUUUGUAGCUCCAGAAGAACAGUCAUGACCAAAUUAUGAUUAGACUCAGAUUUACCAUGUAAUGAUUCGGCCUACUAGCAAUAAUAACUCGUUGGGCCUAAAUCACCGGUUCAAAAUGCUUAAGUCUAGUUAUUAUUCCUAAUGUACAUGGUCUCUUAUAUACCCAAUGACAACCUUAUUCCCAUCCGAUGUGGGACUAUUGGGGUGUCACACACCAGUUGCCUGAAGGGCAUCACCUAUUGACUUGACUUUUGCAUAUAGUUAGUCAUCCCCAUUGAUUCCUUUUUGAUACUUAAUAACUCGGAUUUCAGAGAAAAAGCCGUAGAAGUAGUCUUGUUAAUGAAGUAUGCCUAAAUGAUUUUUCAUGCAUCACGAGCUGUUUUGGGUGAGCUGGAUAUGAUCAUCUGUAGUAUACUACGGGACAAAGUAGCAUUAAUUCAGGACAGUAUAGUAGUGUCCGCUUUCUUCUUGAUUAAAUAUUCAGUUUUCAUAAUUAUUUUCUCAUCAGCAGUUUCAAUAGCUUAAGAAGGAAUAAUAUCGGUCCCGGUCACAUGUGAGAUGAUAUCAGAACUCUCUAUAACAUUAAAAUAUUUUUUGUUUCCACACUAAAUAUGUAGACUCAAUGAGUUCUAAUGGUAUAAGAGUUUUGAUGUUAAUGACUAGGAGAGUAGAGGUUGAUAAAGACAUGUUUGUCACCAGAAGAGAAUACCACCACAAGAGGAACGGAAAAGGUCAGAAGUUACCAACAGAUGAAUGAAAUAUCACUAAGCCCAGCAGGACCAAGAUGAACUGAGCGGCACAAGAGGAACCGACCAGCACCAAGGAAUCAGUAGAGAGGUCGAGCGGCCGCAAGGAACUAACAGAGGGGGUCGAGCGGCACCAAGGAACUAGCAAAGAGGUUGAGCGGCAGCAAGGAAGCAGUAGAGGGGGUUGAGCGGCACCAAGGAACCAGUAGAGAGGUCGAGCGGCACCAAGCAGCAGAGAGGUGAUGCAGCAAAUAAACCUCAUUUUAUUUUUGAAUGCAAUUUUCUUUUAUUUUGUAGGUUCGUGUUUGAUUCGGACUUAAAUCAUUUAGUUUUAGUUGAUUUGGCUAACCCAAACUCUUUUCUCCAAUAAACAAAGAAACAAUUCUAAAAAGACCUUUGGAAUUUCCCAAAAAAAGACCUUUGAAAUUUCCAAAGUUGUUUCGUUUUCUAUGCAUGACUCUUGGGUGUCCAUGUUAUGUUGAAAACGAAAAGACAAUAAUUUAUUAUAGGAGGGCUCUUAACACUAUAAAUAUAUGGUUCUUGAAGCCUUAAGGGAGAUAUAUUUGGAUGAAUAGAAAAUUCUACUCUCACUCUUUAUCCUUGGUGUUCUACUUCCCGGUGAGAUCAUCGACGCUUUUUCCUCGCGCCGAGAUCGUCUUCUUCCUCAACUUGAUUGUUGUCGCUUCUUUCUCGUGACAAGAUCGACUUCUUCUUCUACCCCUACUCUUCUUCCGAGUCACUACCUCAUCUUCUUCUUUCCCGUUGCGGAAGUUCUACCCGUGGUGUACUGCCCUCCUCGUCGAUCGUGGAUCCUCCGCAAUCGUGUGAACGGUGCACUUUUGUAUCUCUCAUCUCCUGAUAUCCUAUUAUUCUCUUUUAAUCUAGCCUUCCACCAUUACCAACCAUAUUUGCCAAACAACCAAAUCUAAAGCUUUAAGUCCGAUAAAGCCGAAUUUACCUUUUGGAACUAUUAUAUGUAUUUUCAGUUGGUUGUUAUUAUCUUAUAUAUUGAAGGUUUAUCAUCAUCUUAGUAUUACUUCAAUUCGAUUUUAAUUUUUGUCUUGCUGAAAUUUUUGCUUCCUCACUUAAAGUUCAUCGGAAUUGAUAAAUUGAACUUAGUUUUAUCUUUAAACAAAAGCAAACUUGAAAAUUCAAUUUUGGCAACCUCACGGCUUGCAUCAAUUGGUAUCAGAGCAAAUUCUUUUCGUGGGAGCGUUUGUUUUGAUCUAAACAACUUUUUCCUGGUAUUCAACUUUGGGCCAAAAUAUUUCAGAACAAAAAAGAGCAUCACUUUUUGAUCAACUUGUUAGCGUUUGGUAAUGGCAGACAGUCGUGAAAAUCCUCGUGAUUGGCGAGAAGCAUAUGAGAAACAAUGAGAUUCCAUGAAAAGCAUGCAAAAUCAAAUGAAUAACAUUCAACAACUAUUGGAAUGAUUAACUAUGCAACAACAAAAUGCAGUUGGAGAAGAUUUGGAAAGUGACCAUGAUUUUGACAAUCGUACUUUACCUGCUAGAAGAAAUCCUCUUUCUCAAACUCAAGGAAAUAUACAUCGAUGGGAUCAGGGCAUUAAAGUGGACGUGAGUGAGAUCGAGGAUAAAUUACAACCUGAAGAUUUUGUGGAUUGGCUAGACAAAAUAGAACAAUUUUUUGAAUGGAAAGAAUUACCUGAUGACAAAAAAGUUAAAUUUGCCUCCUUUAAAUUGAAAGGACAUGCCUUAGUGUGGUGGAAACAAGUUCAAAAUGAUAGGGUUAGAAAGGGUAAAGAAAAGAUUAUCUCGUGGGAAAGAAUGAAAGAAAAACGUAAAGGAAAAUUCUUACCGAUUGAUUACCGUCUAACUAUUUUUCAAAAAUUACACAAUCUUAAACAAGGAUCUAAAUUGGUACAAGAAUAUACUGAAGAAUUUUACACCCUUCAAACUCGCAAUGAACUUAAAGAGGACGAAGAACAGCGAAUAGCUCGCUAUCUAGCUGGUCUUCGAACCCAAAUCCAAGAUGAGUUAGCCCUUUUAACUUUCUACAGGGUCGACAUGGCUUAUAGUCACGCACUUAAGGCUGAUAAUAAACUUAAAAGACAAACCUUUCGUCAGAGAAGUGCGAGCGUAAAGAACACCAUAGGUACUAAGCCUAUCCCAAAGAACGAUAGUCAAACCUCUUCAAGACCUGUUCAAGACCUUAAGGGCAAAGGAAUUUUAGGUGCUAAACCCGUUGAAUCUGGCAUCAUUUGUUAUAAAUGUAACAAACCUGGACAUAAAUCCUCUGAUUGCCCUCUGAGAAAAUUUGAUUCUAGAGCCAAUUUAAUAGAAAGUCAGGAAGAAAAUGAAAAUAGGGAAGAAACUUUAGAACAAGAAGAUGAAGAUGAGAUUUCCGAAGAAUCUCCUGAUACUACUGAAACAAAUCUCAUGAUCCAUCGAAUCCUAUCAGCCUCUAAGUCCACCCAAGAUGAUUGGAAGCGUCGUAGCCUUUUCAGAACCAUUUGUAGCGUAGGAGGCAAGUUUUGCUCUAUGGUCAUUGAUAGUGGAAGUACUGAAAACUUUGUCUCUAGAGAAAUAGUCGAUGAACUUAAAUUGAAAACUGAAAAACUUGCUCAACCUUACAAAAUAACUUGGUUUAAGGAUGGGGAUGAAUUUCCUGUAACUGAAAGAUGUCUUGUUGAAUUUUCUAUUGGAAAAACUUAUACUGAUAAAGUUUGGUGUGUUGUUCCCAUGGAUGUGAGUCACCUAUUGUUAGGUAGACCUUGGCAAUUUGAUCGUAGCACUAUACAUGAUGGUAAGGAGAACACUUACAUUGUCACAAAGGACAACAAGAAAGUUAGAUUGGUUCCCCCGAAUUACUUUCCCAAACCAAAAUCUAAGGCAAUUGAGUCCCAAAAGCAACCCUCCAAUAAUAAGCAGAAAAUGAUGGUUUUGAACAAAAGCCAAUUCUCUAAAGAUCUAGCAAAGUCUCGAGUGGUAUAUAUUCUUUUGGCAAAAGGAAAAUCGAAGAACACUGAAGUUCCUCAAGCUGUUCAACCAUUGCUUAAUGAAUUUUCUGAUAUCAUGCCUGAGAAACUCCCCGAUGGCCUUCCACCUAUGAGAGAGAUCCAACACUGCAUUGAUUUUGUACCAGGUGCUAGUCUUCCACACCUAGCCCAUUACAGGAUGAGUCCCGCUUAACAUGAGAGUUACAUAGGCAGGUCUCUGAACUUCUGCAAAAAGGUUACAUAAGAGAAAAUAUGAGCCUUGUCGCGGUGCCUGCCCUCCUUACACCAAAAAAGGAUGGAACGUGGCGAAUGUGUGUUGACAGUCGUGCAGUCAACAAAAUUACCAUCAAGUAUAGGUUUUCCAUUCCUAGGAUUGAUGAUAUGCUUGACAUGUUAGGAGGUGCGAAGAUAUUAUCUAAGAUUGACCCUAAGAGCGAAUAUCAUCAAAUCCGUAUUUGACCUGGAGAUGAAUGGAAACUAGCAUUCAAAACUAAAGAAGGAUUAUACGAGUGGCUGGUUAUGCCGUUUGGGCUAUCCAAUGGCCCCUAGUACUUUUAUGCGCUCUAUGAAUCAAGUCUUGCGACCAUUCAUUGGAAAAUUUGUCGUAGUUUACUUCGACGACAUUCUAAUUUAUAGCACAAGUCUUGCGACCAGUCAUUGGAAAAUUGGCCUAGGCCUACCCAAGACUGCACGCCAAGUUGAUUCAGUUUUUGUGGUUGUUGAUCGUUUUACGAAAAUGGCUCAUUUUAUUCCUUGCAAGAAAACUUCUGAUGCAUCACAUUUUGCUAAAUUAUUUUUCAAUAAAAUUGUACGUUUACAUGGCAUUCCUAAAUCAAUUAUCUCUGAUCGAGAUACGAAAUUUAUUAGUCAUUUUUGGAGAACUUUAAUGUCAAAGGCAGGAAGCAAACUGAAUUUCAGCAGCCCAUACCAUCUACAAACUGACGGGCAGACGGAAAUAGUAAAUCGAUCUUUGGGCAAUCUCUUAAGAUGUUUAGCUGGAGAAAAACCAACACAAUGAGAUUUAAUUUUACCUCAAGCUGAAUUUGCUUAGAACAGUUCUAUAAACCGAACCAUUGGAAAAUCUCCUUAUGAAGCUUUAUAUGGCCGUCCUAUAGCCCACUUUCUUGACCGAGCACCAAUACCUUACCCUGGUAGAGUUAGUGCAGAUGCCGACUAUUACCUAAAACAGAUUCAAGAGGUGCAACAACAAGUUCAUCAGAGGUUGCAGGAUUCCAUUGUCAAGUACAAGGAAUCGGCAGAUAAACAUCGCCGAGGUAUGACUUUUAAUGAAGGAGAUAAUGUCUUAAUCUAUUUUAGAAAAGAAAGGUUCUCAGCUGGAGGCUGUAGCAAGUUGAAGAGGAAAAAGUACGGGCCAUUCAAAAUUCUGAAGAAAUUAGGGAAAAAUGCUUAUCUAAUUGAUCUACCUUCGGAAGUAUCGACGUCCCCGAUCUUCAAUGUCAGCGAGCUAUACAAGUACCAUGGAGAGGCCCCCCUCUACUGUUGAUAUUGAUGGCUUGACAUCUCGCUCCGACAUUGAAAAUCCAUCAGAUGGCGUGGAGGAUAUUCUGGAUGUGCGCGAGUCUGCGACGCGACGUGGUACUCAUCGCCGAUACUUAGUGCGUUGGCAUGGACGAACAUGUAUGAUAUAAUCCUAUGGUAUAUUUGAAAUAUACUGCAUAGGGCCCGCUAUAUUUGUAAUGUAAUAUAUACAUGCUAACUAUGUCCUAACAACAGCGAAUGAAUAACAUAUAUGUUAGAUAUAUGCUGCUAAAUAUAUACUAACAACAGCGAAUGAACAUGUAUGAUAGACAUAUAGGAAAGAUUGAUAUAUGUAUCCAUAUGUAGCAUGUCAGUGAGAUUUAAACAUAAUUCUUGCUAUUCGAGUAUUAAGUUGCAAUUUUGCAUCGACUCAACUGUAUGAUCAUAAAUCUGACAGUUAGUAUCAUAUUGUUUUACUUAGCUAAAGAAAAGAAGAAAAGAAAAAGAGGAAUAUGAGUAUAAAACUAAUCUAAAAUGAAUUUAUUUGUAAACCAUGUUUUUUCAAUGUACUUGAGUUUUACACAGGUUACCAGACGAUAGGUAGAAAAUAGGUUUUUGCAGAAUAGGACAUGUGUCGAAUCGUUGGUGCUAACCAUUAAUCCCAAAAGCUCGAGCUGUUAGAAAGAUACAACCAAUUCACUUAAAGCGUACAAACAUAGCGCCCACGGGUAUUGAUUGUGAAUCGGUCCAAGCAGUCUCACGCCACUUCGAACAUGACUUGAUCCAACCUGGACUCUUGCUAUUUUGAACAUGACUCGGCCCAGCCUGGCCUCCUGCCACAGGGUAGCAAUCUUUCUCCUAGCACUUGCAAACAUUCGCAGCAUUAGGGAAUGAGACGUGACCUCUGGCUCUGAUACCACUUGUCAGAUCGUUGGCACUAACUAUUAAUCCCAAAAGCUUGAGCUGUUAGAAAGAUGCAACUACUUCACUUAAAACAUAUGGACACCGCGCCCACGGGUCUCGAUUGUGACUCGGCCCAACCAACCUCAUGCCACUUUGAAUAUGACUCGGCCCAACCUAGCCUCCCGCCAUUUCAAACAUGAUUUGGCCCAAACUGGCCUCUCGCUAUAGGACUGGAUGCUGGCCCAUUUAAGCUAAUAUGUAGCUAGUCGACCAUUACUAUAGGCCCGUUGGGCCUAGAUUCUGGAAAAGUGAUUUCUGCAAAAUUGAUUUUGGUUUGGAAAAGUUAAAAGUUAUAGAGCGCUUGGCUGAGUCUGAUAGAAAAGUGAUUUUGCUGAACUGAUUUUAGAAAGCCAAAUGGCAAAUUUUUUUUGCUGAAGUGAUUUUGUAAUGCUGUCUAACAUUGGUUUAUUAAGUUAUUUUGUAAUGAAGUGAUUUUCUAGGCUUAAACAUCAAAGAAGGUUACAUACAAUAUAUUAUAUUAAUUUAUUACUGUUUAUUAAUAAUUAAAAUGUUUAAAAAUUAUACUUUUUCUUUAUAUAAAAUAUAUUUUUAAUACAAAUUUAAUUUUCAGUUUUGUUGAAAUAUAAAUACAAAUUUUAAUUGACCCAAAUCCAUCAUAUUUUAAUUUUUUAUAAUCACAUUCCCAUUUAUCACAGCGGUAGCAUCCAAUCAGGCUGGACUUGGCUUUGCCGAAUCCUGCCGGUGAGGUUCCGGCCGGAUCCAACAAGGAUGGAUCUCGUCGAUGUGGACCCGGCCAAAUCUGCCGAGCCAUGAGGAGGGGGAGAGAGAGAGAGAGAGAGAGAGAGAGAGAGAGAGAGAGGAGAGAAAUUUGUUAAAGGAAAGAGGGAGAGAGAUGGAGGAGUUAGAGAAGAGAGGUGAAAAUUUUUUUUGUUGGAGAGUUGGGAAGAGAGUUAGAGUGAGUGUGAAUAGUGAAUAGGAUAGAGAAGAGGGUAUUUGAAAAUAUUAAAAUUGAAUAUAAAAGGAUAGUGUAGAAUUAUGUUAUUUGUUUACGGGUAGUUUGGGUAUUUUCAUAAAAAUUUGAAGUGGAAAAACUUAUUUUGUGGGAAUCAGUUUUGGAGAAGAAGCUUUUCUGCUUCUGAUUUUAGGGCUCGAAAAAUCAAUUUUCUAAUUUUAAAAAGCAGAAUCAGAUUUUUCAUUUCUUGUUGCCAAACGCUCUACUGAGCCCAACAUCACUUUUGGGCUUAGAAUCACUUUUAGGAAGCUGGGCCAAACACCCCCUAUAAGCUGGUCAAUUACUGCACUUGCUGGCUGAUCGACCGGUUAUGCCCUGCCGCAGAAUCAGUCAGCAACUUUAGGAUCUCAUGUGAUCUGUACAAAGACUAUUCAAAUGAUACUUUUUAACAAAAUCAUUGGACCUUGACUGAAGCACCAAAGUCAUUGCUGAAAUCACUAUAUAAAUGACGGAUGCUACUAAAUCAAAAAUCUCUGGCCCACAUGACAUGAAAAAUAAGGUUUUAACGUGAUUUUGACACUCGCUCUACAGCAAAUUCUUCGCUUAAGUCUUACUUGAUCUCAUCUUUAUCAUCCAAGAAAAUGAAGGCGGUAUGAGAACUAAAACCAGACAAUCUUUAUCAAACCAAGCAUCGGGAAAGUGUACUAGCUAAAUAGAUAAAAGGGGUGAGAAAGAUCUCUAUCUACCCAAGCGUGAUGGAUUUCUCUGAUGAGGAAGGGUGCAGUCUUAAAUAGAAGAGAGAGUCCGAAGGGGAAGAUGAAAUAUGUGCGAGAAGAGGCUGGGUGGUGGAAACAAUAGAAUGCAUGAAGUGGACCCACUUUAUAUUGAGUUGUUUUGUAGAUCAAGAGAUUGUUAGAGUAUGCUAGAAGGUGGUAGUAACUACGGUUAGGGGGCUUUAGAAGAGAGUAUGCCAGCUGUAAUUAGUUGGUAUCUGUGUUGGAUUUCAUGUUAAUUAUCCUUAUGCAGUGUCCAAGGGAAAAGUGAUCAGUAUUUGCCCUAUUUGGAAGCAGAUCCCAUUAAAUACUUCACAUUUUCUAUGAUCAUAUCUGACUUAGGCAUGUGGGGAAUCCUUGUUAAUUGACGAAAUAUACUAUUUUGUCAAUGCAAAUAAAAUCAGCAUUAUUAGUUGUCAGUUUGAUCCUCUUUGGUAGAAUUUUAGAAUCCCAGUUGACAAUAAAUGAAAACAGGUGUAACUUCCCAAUUUUGAAUCUGAUUGGCUGAGUUAGGUGUCCUUUGGAGGCUAGUUUGAAAACGAAGCUUUAGUUUUAGGUUAAAAUGGCACUUUCUACAUGUACAAUGGAUGGCAAGCAAUUCAAUGUCACAUAAUUACAUUGACCUAGAAGGCUGUUGUGCACAAAAUAACAUAAUCCUAGUUAGCAUUUUCACAAUGACAAGCCCAUAGGGCUAAUAUAAUUACACAUAUAAUCCAAAUUGACUCAUACUAACAUGGCUUAUAUUUAAGUGAGUCUAGAUUGGGCUAUAUUAAACUUUUGAGUUCUACAUCUUGAGUACUUCAUGGGCAUUAAGUGCUCAUGAUAAACCUAGUUAUUUCUAGGGACUAGAGGAUGUUGGGAUUGUAUUUAAGUUUUAGUCGUUCUUUCUACGAAAUGAUUAUUUGCACAUACGAGCACUCGUUAGUGCAGAUAGUCUCUUACAUUUGUAUCAGUUCUACAAAUGUAGAUGCUCUAUUGUUGUGAGUUGUGACCUGGUCAACAAGGAGGCAAGUUUGGAUAUGAGCAUGUUGUGAUUAAGAUUUAAUUGAAUUUUGCGUCACAUUUAGCUUAUGGUUUUUACCUCCUGUGUAUUAUGAUUGUCUUCAUUUUUGAUAUACCAUGGUUUGGUGUUGCAUGAUUAUGGGACCUUAUUUUCAGAAUUAUCUAGCAUCUUUGCUCCCUUGGUUAAUUCAGGAUGUGACGAGUUGAGAAAUGAAUCCAUGAAUUGACUUUAUCAUUGCAUCGCCCUAAAUCACCAACUUAUUCUUGAAAAAUAAGCAAAUGCUUUGAUCACUCAUUACUACAAUGGAUCAGACAACAAAUGCAAGAAGUUAUGAAAGGGCUAAUUUCUGUUUGAUAAUUUCGAUUGAAAUUCUUGCGUCAAGUCCAGGAAAAAAAUUAUCUUCUGGCAGUUUUCAGAAGUUCUUUUUGGAUCACUAUGUUAUCUUCAUAAUUUUAUAGUAAUUGUUUCAUCAGCAGAUUGAAAUGAAACCAUAUUAUACACAUUUUCAGGCUGAGUUCAACGUAAUCUCGUACUGCGACCAAAUGCGACUGAGGACAGCUGUUGAACUUAUAAAGGCAACGAAGGAUAUCGAAUCACAAUUGGACAAGGUUAGCAUCAUAUUGUCCAACUUCUUGUGAUGCCGCCAUUCUCUCUUUGUCAUUUUGAACUUGAUUAUUUAUGUUACGGGGUGAUAGCAUAUCAUGACAAGAAGCUGCAUAAGAAUUAAGGAAAAGCAAGUUCUUGGUUAUCAUUUGAUUUAUUGUGCUGAACCUUCUGUUUGCUUAUUCUGGAUAUAUUUCGAAUUUAAAGCAUCAAUGCACUUAGGCGUAGUAUUCGGAAUGCUUUAAUAGCAAAAUAGAUACUUAAAGAGGGUUCCACCAGAUAUGUCAUUAUCUUGUUCCUAAACUGGAGCAAUGGAUGACGAUAUUUUUCUAACCGAGUUUAUUAGAAACCAAAGUAUCCUCUAUAUGCAACAGUUAUUUUAUGUAGAAUGGUAUUUCCAAGAACAGAUGGAAAUAUAUUGGUAGUCUUAUGCAAGCAAAGCAAGUGGAUUGUAUUUAGUUUCUCUUUCAGACGUUUGACCUUAUACACUUUACUUUCGGUUGAAUUGCUUAUGAUUUUAAUAUAUUCAAAAUUGUUUAUAGCUAGUUGCUAGAAACCAGCGACAAUGUGAGAGUAGCCACCUUCUGUUUACAUUACUCGCUACAUUGAGUACAUUCUUUUCUCCCAGGUUUCCUGUCCAUUGCUGAUUCUUCAUGGAGCUGCUGACAAGGUGACGGACCCUAACGUGAGCAAGUUCCUUUACAACAAGGCUUGCACGAAGGACAAAACGCUCAAGCUUUACGAGGACGGCUAUCAUUCUAUAUUAGAGGGAGAACCGGAUGAUAGGAUCUCCUCCGUCAUUAAUGAUAUCAUAAACUGGCUAGAUUCUCAUUCUACUGGGCAGUAAGUUCAUUCCGUUGAUGGGUGGAUCCCUCGAUAGUUAUUCAUCAACAAAACGCAACGCAACGCAACGCAACAGAGGUUCAUUUUGCCUACACUGCUUUGUCAUCUUUGGCUAUGGACUUACUCUUUGACUGUGUUCUAUUUAUUAAGUUGACAAAAUCUGUGUCGAUUUGAUUUCUAUCAACAGUAUGUUGUAACCUGCUUUUCUUUGAAUGGAUUUUGUUUUCGUGCUGCGUUUGGUAUGUUGUAGGUCGUCUGCGACAGUUAUGCAUCAUGUGCGUACUAAUUUUUCAGGGUCUCUUGAAUGAAAUGAUUUGUAAAUAGCUGUAGGGGGAAGUGACUAGUAUAUUGUUAUCUGGUUAUUUUCGGUGUUAUCGUCCUAUUGUUCGUGUUGCUGAUCAUUAUUUAGGCGGUAUGAAGUCGUGUAACCAUUUUCAAUUCCUCAAGACCUCAUAGUAGGAUCUAUUAUAGCUAAAGAUCAUUGGUAUUUAGUUUGGGGUACAGUGCAAACUUUUUGUCUUAUUUCAAUAAGAACUUAGUGAGAUUACCGUACUCCGCAGGAAGUUCAAAAUCUAAGAAGUGUGACAUCAGGCAUUUUCACUGCCCAAAAGCCUGAAUCACCAGGGAGUUGAGAGAGAACAAGCUUAGAGGUGCAAAUGGGGCAGAUUCAGGGGCGGGAGGGAUUCACCAACCUCUCGCCCCAUUUCCUUAGUAGGUCGGGUCAGAUUUAAGGCAGAUUUGAGUUUUAUUCUAAUUUUUGCCCUCACUUACCGGCUGCCCAGGGCGAGAGCGAGAGGGGGUGUGAGCGUGAGAGCGUGAGAGCGCGAGAGAGCGGUGUGAGCGUGAGAGUGCGAGAGAGUGUUUUUGGUGGAUUUUUGAUGAAUUGGGACGGAUUGAGGACAUAUUUAAAGCCCAGUGUUAGGAUAUAUCUCGUUCUUUUUCAUUGGCUCAAUUGUAUGUGAGUCCGGCUAUGGUGCUGUCAAAAGCACCAAGCACUUGGUGCUUGUAAUUUUCUCACCAUUAGAUCUAUCCCUUAUACUAUUUUUACCUGUUAGAUCAUACUAUUAUUCAACAAUCACCAACUCAACCCUAGGGAACCUCUAUUAUUUUAACCACACAUUCCUUAAUUCAAGGGUCAAAAUUCUACAAACACCAAUGACCUGGUAGUUUUAAAAGCAUAGGAGGUUAAUUAUAUAUAUUUGCCUAAUGAUCAAAGGGUUUCAAAAUUUAUAAUUUUAAUGGUCGAUAUAAGGCGUUUUCUCGUUUAACGGUGUAAAAAUAUCCAAAUUAAUUAAUUUUUUGGUAGAAAAUUUUUUAAACUAUUUAAAAUAAGAUCUAUGCCCUUGAUCUUGAUUACAAGACUCCUAUCAUCAUUUUUUAAAGAAUAUAUAUUUUCAGCCGUUCAUUUUUGUAUCCACUUGAUGGAUAAGAGAAUAAUAUUGAAAAUGUAUGAAAUUUGAUUUCUAAACACUUCAAGUGGUAUAGAUUAUGUUUAACGGUGCCGAUCGUCGAUUUGGAGGCUCUAUCAUCGAAAACAAAUGGGUGGCAAUGGAGCCCGUUUGCUAUUGAUAGUAUUCUAGCUCAACUCUCUCUCUCUCUCUCUCUCUGUAUAUAUAUAUAUAUAUAUAUAUAUAUAACGAUUUUGAAUCACCGGAGGAUCUAAUUAUUAUAAUAUUGAUAAUUGGACUGAUUUGUAAUUAUUACGAAUUAGUGGUAUCAAGGUAUAAAUGUUACAAGCGAGGAUUUACUAAAGGUUAGUAAAUUAUGAUAUGACUUAUAUGCAAAUGUUGCAUUAUUAUUUUGGUAUGAUCAAAUUAGGAUAAAAUUCAAGUCGAAUCAAAUUUAGAUUUGAUAGAUCUAACCAAUUAAGGAAAUGAUAAAUUUAAAUCUAGAUUUGUACUUAUACUUAAUAGUUAUUAUAUUAUUAAAAAGAGCAUUAUAUCCCUCUAUAUAAUAUACGGGAGUUUUUAGAAAAUCCUAGCCGUCAUCUCUCUUCCUCUCUCUUUCCUUCUCUCUUUCCUCCAACGAGAAAGACGUUCUUUGCAAAGGAGCUAGAACCUCGGUGAGGACAUUGAUCAAAUCACCAACCUCGUGUGGAUACCUAUAGAGGCGGGGCGCGUGUGUGGCUUUAAGAGAACCUAAUUCCAUGAUAAUCAAAUUGCGGCGAAGUUCUACCCGCACAAAGGUAAAGAUUGGAUCUUCUUUUUCUCCUUUAAUCUUAAAGAACAUGAGGGAUUCUAAUUGUGCGAUUUUUGAGAUCGGAUCUUGAGUUUUAAAAUCAAAUUUGUUUGAUUUUUUUUCCUGCUGUGCUUAUUCGCAAGCAAUUUUCUAACACAACUAUUUUCGCCGCGUCAAGUUCAACUCUUUCUGUGUGAAGAGAUACUUCUAAACUUUUAUGAUCUGUGUUGUAACAUACCACAUCCCUCGUAAAUCGUGCCGAGUUCCGUCAAAACGAGCGGAACACGGAAUUGAACGAGUUAGAAUGGACCCUGAGCACAUUAGGGCUCAUAGGAGAAGCAAAAAGGGACCCGAGAGAGAGAAUCAGAAAAUCUGGUUAAGUCCCAGAUUUUGUGCUCUCGGGGACCGGUCCCUGAAGGAGAGACCGGUCCCCGUACGCGUAGCCUGCCAGGAAGUCUUGAGGCAACCGGUCCCUGGUGGUGAGACCGGUCCUCGGGAGACUGGUCCCUGAAGGGGCAGACCGGUCCCUCGCUGCGCAACAGCCGAAAUACCCGAAAAUUUGGCUAAGUCCUGGAACACCCACGUUCGGGAACCGGUCCCUGGUCGGGGAGACCGGUCCCCGAAGGNNNNNNNNNNNNNNNNNNNNNNNNNNNNNNNNNNNNNNNNNNNNNNNNNNNNNNNNNNNNNNNNNNNNNNNNNNNNNNNNNNNNNNNNNNNNNNNNNNNNNNNNNNNNNNNNNNNNNNNNNNNNNNNNNNNNNNNNNNNNNNNNNNNNNNNNNNNNNNNNNNNNNNNNNNNNNNNNNNNNNNNNNNNNNNNNNNNNNNNNNNNNNNNNNNNNNNNNNNNNNNNNNNNNNNNNNNNNNNNNNNNNNNNNNNNNNNNNNNNNNNNNNNNNNNNNNNNNNNNNNNNNNNNNNNNNNNNNNNNNNNNNNNNNNNNNNNNNNNNNNNNNNNNNNNNNNNNNNNNNNNNNNNNNNNNNNNNNNNNNNNNNNNNNNNNNNNNNNNNNNNNNNNNNNNNNNNNNNNNNNNNNNNNNNNNNNNNNNNNNNNNNNNNNNNNNNNNNNNNNNNNNNNNNNNNNNNNNNNNNNNNNNNNNNNNNNNNNNNNNNNNNNNNNNNNNNNNNNNNNNNNNNNNNNNNNNNNNNNNNNNNNNNNNNNNNNNNNNNNNNNNNNNNNNNNNNNNNNNNNNNNNNNNNNNNNNNNNNNNNNNNNNNNNNNNNNNNNNNNNNNNNNNNNNNNNNNNNNNNNNNNNNNNNNNNNNNNNNNNNNNNNNNNNNNNNNNNNNNNNNNNNNNNNNNNNNNNNNNNNNNNNNNNNNNNNNNNNNNNNNNNNNNNNNNNNNNNNNNNNNNNNNNNNNNNNNNNNNNNNNNNNNNNNNNNNNNNNNNNNNNNNNNNNNNNNNNNNNNNNNNNNNNNNNNNNNNNNNNNNNNNNNNNNNNNNNNNNNNNNNNNNNNNNNNNNNNNNNNNNNNNNNNNNNNNNNNNNNNNNNNNNNNNNNNNNNNNNNNNNNNNNNNNNNNNNNNNNNNNNNNNNNNNNNNNNNNNNNNNNNNNNNNNNNNNNNNNNNNNNNNNNNNNNNNNNNNNNNNNNNNNNNNNNNNNNNNNNNNNNNNNNNNNNNNNNNNNNNNNNNNNNNNNNNNNNNNNNNNNNNNNNNNNNNNNNNNNNNNNNNNNNNNNNNNNNNNNNNNNNNNNNNNNNNNNNNNNNNNNNNNNNNNNNNNNNNNNNNNNNNNNNNNNNNNNNNNNNNNNNNNNNNNNNNNNNNNNNNNNNNNNNNNNNNNNNNNNNNNNNNNNNNNNNNNNNNNNNNNNNNNNNNNNNNNNNNNNNNNNNNNNNNNNNNNNNNNNNNNNNNNNNNNNNNNNNNNNNNNNNNNNNNNNNNNNNNNNNNNNNNNNNNNNNNNNNNNNNNNNNNNNNNNNNNNNNNNNNNNNNNNNNNNNNNNNNNNNNNNNNNNNNNNNNNNNNNNNNNNNNNNNNNNNNNNNNNNNNNNNNNNNNNNNNNNNNNNNNNNNNNNNNNNNNNNNNNNNNNNNNNNNNNNNNNNNNNNNNNNNNNNNNNNNNNNNNNNNNNNNNNNNNNNNNNNNNNNNNNNNNNNNNNNNNNNNNNNNNNNNNNNNNNNNNNNNNNNNNNNNNNNNNNNNNNNNNNNNNNNNNNNNNNNNNNNNNNNNNNNNNNNNNNNNNNNNNNNNNNNNNNNNNNNNNNNNNNNNNNNNNNNNNNNNNCGUUCGGGAACCGGUCCCUGGUCGGGGAGACCGGUCCCCGAAGGUGAAAAACGCCCAGUCUGGGCAGAUCAAGGGGAAACAAGUUGAGGGGUUUAAAUGCAAUUGUCAUAACACUAUAUGUGGACACCCCUCUCUCUCCCACAGCCAUUUUCACCCUUCUCUCCCAUUUCCUCUCUUCCUCUCUCUAGAACUCUUGCUCUAGGGCUUGGAGAAGAAGAAGAAGGAGCAAGGGAAGGUGGAUUUGGAGGCUUUGGUUUGUUCUACAAGCUCUCCUACAAGAAAGACUUGGAGGGGCUUGGGCUAAGGUGAGUUUUUGGUAGAAAUGAGUCUAGUGCUUGGUUUUAAUCCCUAUGUUUUGGAGCUUUGGGUUGUUUUUGGCCAUGGGAGCCUUCUAUAUGCCUUGAACUCCAUGGAACCCAUGAGAGCUCAAGUGCUCUCAUGGUGGUUGGGUAGGGUUUGUCAUGGAAGCCCUAGGGAUUGAUUCCAAGGGUCUAGAGACCUUACUAGCAUGCUUCUUAGAUGAUCCUAAGUUAUUGUUUGCUUAAGGUUGGGAUCGAUUCAUGGGAAAACCCUAAAUGACAAUAUUAGGCCUUGAAUUUGGGGCUUUUGCCCUAGGAUUGUUCGGGAACAAAUUGACCCCGUGGAAACCUAAUUGGGGAUGCCCUAAACACGUUGGACAACUCCGUUUAACAUUACGAAAACGAUAGAGUAUAGUCCAUGUACAAAAGGCCUAAUAUGGCACCGUUUUGAUUAUAGGGCGCGGAAGCGGCUUUCGUAAAAUCCGGGAGUCGUCAUAUACUUCACCCAAACGAUUACUAGAGGUGGGGGGUGCACGCCGGAAUCGUUGGAUUCCCUUCUAUGUCUGUUUUCUCUACUCUUGAGCAUAUAUGUAUAGAUAUACCCAUUCAUGCAUAGUAGGAUAGAUACAUGUGGAACUUGGUUUGACUUCAUUUAUAUGUUUCUAACGUAGUUGAACAUAGUGGACGAUAGAACCAAGACGACAUGUGUGAUUGGACCCUCCAGUUGUGUGAAUGUGAGAUUGGACUUGGACAAUAGAAAAUAAGGGUGACAUUGACAUAGAAAUAAGAUUGGCAUUAAUAAAUAAACCGUUAAAUCUAGUUUAACCAAAUUAUGGCAUCAUCACGGAUAUGGCCUUGAGAGUGGCAAGAAUGAAUAGGUAGAGACCUACCAUGACAUUGACAUUGUGACCAGUGGCUAGGAAUCCUCAAGUUGGGGAUUAGAUCGAUACUCACAUUACGUCUUGGCUUGAGGGAGGUCGCUCCCCCUCGAGCAGUGCACUCCGGAGUUGGUCACCACUGGGCGAGGUAAAGUCCCACCAGUUGACGGUCCCUAGGGAGGUUCGAGUCCCCCGUUAUUAAGGGAUUUUGGGUUGUGAGUUAUUGGGGUUAACAGAGUUAACCGGUAAGAUUGGGUAAGAGCCAAAGCUUGAUUAUGAUUGGAGCAUGCAUGCAUUUCCAUUAUCGCAUUGAAAUUAUAUAUCUACUAACUUCUUUCUUGCAGGCAUAGUAUUAGUUGCAUUAGUAGUGGUUACUUUUUCUCCUUUGAAAUACUUAUGCCUGGAUGGACCUAGUGGGUAAGUCGGCGAGGUCGGAUGUCGAGCCCACUGGGAACUUCGUUGUAAUUCUCACACCACUAACCCUACAGGUCCUAGCACGAGCGGGGCGGCGGAGGACCGAGGCAAGGGUUUAGCGCCGUAGGUAGCGGCCACCGGAGUAGCAUUACAUUUUGUAGUCAUUUCCCUUUUGGUGUACAUGUAGCAGCUUUAUUUUGUUGAAUUAGAGAUGUAAAGUAGUAAACAAUCAUGUAUUUGGUGGAUGACUAAAUGUAAAAAGAUAUGAUGGUUGAAUGGAAUGUAAUAGUUUUGUUUACUUGAAUUUGGUUUAAAUGAAAUCAAAUAUCAUGUGUGGUGUAUAUUUUGCUUAGAGCUUUCGCUUCCGUUGUGGCUUGCCCUCGCGCAAGCCUUAUAUUAUAUAUGCAAUUCUCUUGUUGAUUGCCUAUUUAUACAUAUUGUUAGAGCCUUGGGCGGACAGGGGAGGCUCUGUCCGUUCGGCGUCUGUUGACGUGACCCGAACCCGACCAAAUUGGCGGGGAUUGGGGCGUGACAUGUGUAGACUUCACACCGCUCACCAUAAAGAUAAUGACGCCAAAACUUUAAAGCAAAAACUACGGCCACCAACUCUAAAUAAUGUGUCAGAUAAUUCUUUUCAUAAUGACGCUAUUACCUUUUCAUCCUACAUCAAACACACCCCAACCCGUUAAGUGAAGCAUCAUUGUAAAAUACAUACUCUACUCCUACCACAGGUAAUGCAAAGAUUGGGGCGGUUGUCAAUUACUACUUUAAUUCCAAGAAACUAUUCUCACACAUAUCAUUCCAAAUAAACUUAGUUUCUUUAUGUGCGAGUUGCGUGAGGGGAACAGACAACUUAGCAAAUCCUUCAACAAAUCUCUGGUAAUACACGGCUAGACCGAGAAAACUCCGAACCUCGGUGACAUUGGUCGGUCUAGGUCAAUCCUUUAUUGCCUCGAUUUUCUUAGGAUCCACCGCUGUACCUGCUCCCGAUACUACAUGUCCCAAGAAUGCCACUUCGCGGAGCCAAAAUUCACAUUUCUUUAACUUAGCAAAAAGCUUCCUCUCUCGAAGUACCUACAAUACUUGUCUCAAAGGAGCUUUAUGAUCCUCAUCACUUCGAGAAUACACCAAAAUAUCGUUGAUGAACACCACGACGAAUCUGUCUAAAUAGAGCUUAAAGACACGGUUCAUUAGAUCUAUAAAAGCUGCUGGGGCAUUAGUAAGCCCAAAUGGCAUAACUGUGAACUCAUAAUGUCCAUACUAUAUUCCGAAAGCCGUUUUGAAACAUCUUCUGGCUUGAUCUUGAGUUAAUGGUAACCAGAUUACAGAUCAAUCUUUGAAUACACCUUGGAUCCUUGAAGUUGAUCAAAUAAGUCAUCAUUUAUCGGCAAUGGAUACUUAUUCUUAAUCUGGACUUUAUUAAGCUUAUGAUAAUCUACACACAAACAAAGUGAUCCAUCAUUCUUCCUAACAAAUAGGACUGGUGCUCCCCAAGGCGAAACACUUGGCUUAAUGAAACCUUUCUCAAACAAAUCUUGCAACUGCGCCUUCAAUUCCUGAAGCUCAGCUGGUGCCAUUCUAUAGGGUGCCUUUGAGAUCAGGGUAGUUCCAGGAACAAGAUCUAACACAAACUCAAUCUCCCUAUCAGGAGGCACACCAGGUAACUCUGCCGAAAACACAUCCACAAACUCCCGUAUAGAAGAAUAUCCUCAAUCUUAGAGACAUCUCCAAUACUCUCAAUGAUGCUAGCCAAGAAGGCUACACAUCCACUCUUAAUCAACUGCUUAUCCCGAGUAGAAGAGAUAGUAAUCCCAAACAGCGAACUCUUACACCCUCUGAACACCGCCUCGUCAUGUCCAGGCUCUCGAAACAUCACAGUCCGGUUCACACAGUCGAUGGUGGCGUAAUACCUCGUGAGCCAAUCCAUGUCUAACACUACAUCAAACUCUCCAAGCUUGUGUAGGGCUAACAAAUCAAUCGGCAUAAUUCAAUCCCCUACUCUAAUAGGGCAACUAGGGCACUACUCUUGAAUGUCCAAAGUAUGAUCGAGAAUAACAACUCGUUCCGGAUGCAAAGUAGGUAUAAGCUCAAUGCCAUCCAACUAAGGAAAUAGCCGAUCGAUGAAAGAAUGUGAUGCACCGGUAUCAGAUAAUGCUCUAACUCUUAUGCUAUUAAUUAAAAUGAUACCUGCAACGAGCUCCUCUGCUGUUGUUGCCUCCUCGGUCUGGGCCGCAUACAUGUGCCCGUUAGGUGCUUGUCGCAACCCUCGAACUGUUAUGCUACAAGUGGUCGCCCGGCCUGGUAGUGGGUAGGUGGAGUCCCCUGACUUUGACCCAGUGAAGCUAGUGCCGAUGCAGACGACGGUGCUGGGGAAGAACCUUUCGGGCACUCUGAUCGAAAGUGACCCUCCUGGCCACACUGAAAACACUUGCCCCCACGCUGCGGGCACUGUGGUAGGAAAUGAGGACCACCAUAGAUUAUGCAACGCGGUGGCCGACAAUGGUCAGGCGCUCCACGUGAGGAAGAAGAACCACAUCCUCGUGAUUCACUCGGAUGCUUCGGCGGCCUCCUAGAGUUAUGUAACAUACCGAAACUUCGGUUAAGUAAUCCAGACUUUAGCCAAAUUGACUAAAGCGACCGAAGGAAAAGUUAGACAAAAAUCAAAUUAACAUUCCAACAAUAUUGGGAAGGUUAAAAAUGAGUUCUAAAAGAGUUAGAAAGGUUUUAGCAUUGAUCGGAGUGAAAUGGAAUUGAAAAGAUGCAAAACUAGAAUUCUGGAGAUCUUGUACUGGUACAACAUCAGAAGUGUACCGGUACCGCAUAGUAAACCGAGGGGAAGCUGCUCUCGGGUUUUGGAAAAAAAUCGGCUGUGGAACCGGUAACACCCCUGGUGUGUACCGGUACACAUGCAUGAUUACCCGAGAAGCUGCUCUCGAGUUUGCCUCUGCGUAAUCGUGUUACUGGUGACACCCAGCCUGUACCGGUACACAAUGGACCCGACAGCAAAAAUAGGUCUGUUGUAAAUUAGAGAAAAGGGAGGGUUUUAUUGCAAUUGUUACAACAUAAUAACAACUUAACACACCGUCCACUCUCUCUUCACAGCCAAACACAACCCUACCCUCAUUUCUCUCUUUCUCUCUCUAGAGAUCUCUCCAAGGAGCAAGGAGAAGGAUUUAGAGGAGAUUUCUUGGGUUUUGAAGGCUUGGGGACUCUCCUACAAAGUGGACCUUGGAGAGCUUUGGGCUAAGGUGAGGUUUUCUUGUAAGAGUAAGGUUAGGGCUUAGAUUUCAUGCCCUAAAUCCUUGGAUUUGAGCUUCUUACAAGUGUGGGAACCCUCUAAUGGCUAUAAAACACAUGAAAUCAAGUUUUUCUCAUGUGCUCCCAUGGUAGAAACCUAGGGUUUAGUUUUUAUGCCCUAGAAAUGGUUUGAAAGGCUUAGAAAAGAUUCUAAAAGAGUUCCUAGAGGUUCAACAAGCUUUCUUUUGCUUGCUCUAGAGAUCAAAUUCAAAGAUUUUGCAAAUGGCAUUGUUAGGGCACCGAAAUUGGAGCUUUUGCCCUAGAGUGGUUUAAAGGCAAAUUGACCUUGUAGAAAUCUAAUUAGGGGUAUUUCUAGCAAGAAUAUGAACUCGAUUCGGUGAUCCGCCGAGUGUACACAAAGAUAUUGACAAAAACGUUAUUUUUUGUACAGAUAGCCGCAGCACGUGGAAUAGGCCCCCAAAAAUUUCAAGAUUUGAACCGUAGUGCCCUUGUAACCAUAUAAGGUGGGUGGUGCCUUCCGAAAUCAUUGAAUUUUCUUUUAUGUCUAAAGUGUCAUUUUUGAGCAUAAGUGUAUAUUGAAUAUUGUGCAUGAUAGGGUUAAUUGAGAGCUUCUAUUUGCAUGAUUGUCAGUAUAAGUGCAUGAGAAAAUGAUUAUAAAAGAGUAAAAACUUGUAUAACCCUAUGCAUGCAUGAAUGAUGAUAAGAACCCAGAAAAUGACAUUAUGACAUGUGGAUUUUGUGACAUUGGUGAACACAAUGAAUACUAGAGUUGGACUCGUAGUAGAGUGGCAUAAGUGAAUGCAUUGAAUGCUAGAGAUAAUGAUAUUGAGAACAAGAAUGCUAGAGUUGAACACUUAGAGAAUAAGUGUGGCAUUAGUAAAUGAGUACAAAGAACCAAGUAGUGUAUAUGACACUAGUGUGAGUUAAAGAAUGCAAGUAAAGAGAAAUAGUGACAUUGUGACAUAGAAACCUUAAAGUUAAGGGUCACAUGAGCAUUGGAAUCCUUAAAGCUAAGAAUUGAUCAUACUCACCUAUAGUUUUGGCUUGAGGGAGGUUGCUCCCCCUCGAGCGAUGAGCUCCGAAGUUGUCACCACUGGGAUGUGGAACCCCCAGAGGACGGUCCUAGUGGGAGGAAGCUUAGGACCCGCGAUUAGGGACUUGUGUUGGUGAGUUAUGGAACCCGGCGGGAGGAGGCUUAGGGCCCGACGGGUUAGCCACGAGAUUGAACAGUGUAAAGCAAACUUGCAUUCCUCAUGAGCAUUCUAUUUGAGCAUAGCAUUCUAUAUAUUGUUCAGGCAUAUUAGCUGCAUUUGUUAGUUGGCUACUAUCUAUUUUUUCUUCUAUUAUGCCUGAUUUAGACAUAGUGGGAAAGUCGGCGAGGUCGGCGGCUGAACCCACUGGAAACUUUGUUGUAGUUCUCACCCCACUAUUUCCACAGAGCCUGGGCCGAGCGAGCCGGCGGAUGAUCGCGGUAAAGGUGUCACACCAUAGCUAGAGACCACCCGAGUUGGUUUCGCAUUUUGGUUUAGUUGCGUACCUUAUACAUCAUCUUUUGUAUUUUGAUGAUUUUAGUUGUAUCAAAAUGUCUAAAUGAACGAUGUAAAAGAAUUUCAUAGUUAAUUGCAAAUGGUUAUAUUUUGAGGAAUGUGUGAUGUACAAAAGAAAUGAUGCAAAGAAUGUAAUGAAAGUUUAUUAAAGUUGAAUGCAUGUAUGUAAUUUAAAUUUAAUCAUAUUACUUGUAUGUUAAUUAGACAGUACUUUCACUUUGGCUACUGCUUGCCCUCGUGCAAGCCAUUAUGUUUGCUUUCGCAUGUGCAAAUUUUGUACUCAAUUUGUACUUGUUGUUGAGCCUUGGGCGGACAGGGGAGGUGCUGUCCGUUCGGCGUCUGUUCGACGUAUCCGAACUGACCAAAUAGGACCGGGUUUGGGACGUGACAAGUUAGAUUUACUGUUUCUCUCAGUCGCUUGCCUCUUGCCCUUCGCCUGUCAAAAGCUUCUCUUUUUUUCUUAGCAAUCUCUACACCCUUCUCCAUGACUAGGGCGUGAUCCACAACCUCACGGUAGGUCUUCAGAUUUGCCGACUGGACCAACCUGAAGAUCGACGGUCAUAGGUCCACCUUAAAAAUACGAGUCUUAUCUUUAUUAUCCCUUGCCACAAAAGGCACGCAAUGUAGCAAAUGAGAAAACUCUCGCUCGAAUUCUGCCACCGUCUUGUCUCCUUGGUGCAAGUUGCACAAAUCCUGUUCCAUAUGUCGCUUGACACUCUGAGGAAAGUAUGUCAACAACAGUAGCUCCUUGAACUUCUUCCAAGUAAUAGCCACCAGGUCAGUGUUGGGAUCAUCACGAAUGUCGGCCCACUAUUGGUAUGCCUCGCCAUCCAAAUGGUGUGUAGCCAACCACACCUUAUCCUACUCCUCCAUGAAAGUUUCAUGAAAUAACUUCUCUAUGUGAGGAACCCACUUCUCCACAAUACAACGAUGCGCUUUCUCGCUAUCACUCUGGGAUUAUGCCUUUGGAAUUCACUUAAACGGUCCAUGAGCUACUCCCGCUCCAUUCUUUUCGCUAUCAUAGGUAAAACCAUCCCUGUCGAUGGUGUAUGAAUCGGCGGUGUUGCCACCACUUCCUCACUACGCUUAGUGCUCGGGGCUGUAUGAGUGCCUGGCACCUGAGGUUGAGCCUCUACAGUAACUCCUCCAGCUGGCGCUGGUGGGGAAGGGUUCUAGCUCACGCAGAAGCCUAUUGAAGUAGCAAGUCCUCCAACCGCUUCAUCCUCACCUCCUGUCGGCAUGCUGCAUCCGCUUGCUGCUAAGCUGCAGUUGACUGUUGCUCCACCAAAUCCGUCAACAAAGCCAACUAGUCUCUCAACUCACGAACCUCGUUAGAUCUGGAGGUAGUAGCGGAGGUCUCCACCUCCUUAGCAUCAGUUGCCGCCUCGGGUGACGUGGAGCGAGUCCUCAGCAUCUCAAGUUACAACAAACAUAACAUGCGCAAGUUAGAACAUCCAAUGCCAUCGCAACCCCACUCAUGAAAAUAGAACCCCAAUCAUGUGAAAGUAGUAAAGUGAGUCUCAACUAUCCCCUGAGGUCAUGUUGUCGGCUGCCAACGUGACCUUCCAAGGAGUUAGAAGUUGCACACUUCGAUCAAACUCCAACCAUUCAGAGUUAAAGACACAACACAAUCGUGUUACUUUCGCCAAAAGUCAUAUAUGACCCCAUCUCUCACGUUCCUAAUUCUUAUAGUCCAUUCGGCUUAAGAUUUGUUAGGUCCACUAAGGCUCAACUCUAGGCUCUGAUACUAACAUAAUCUGUCACGCUCGAACCCCAGUGGAAGCCUACCCAGCACAUGCAUAGACUCGCCGUAUGCACAAGGCACCCCCGGUGCACACAAGGCGUCUAUCAGAAAAACUAGCAAUAAAGAAAGUAGAGGAAAUAAUCAGAGCAUGUGUAAUAAACUAUACAAUAAGUCAUCAGUUUACUACAAUAAAUACAAAUCUCUCACAAGAUAUACAAUGAUCAUAAACAAAAGUACAUCUCAUGAAUCCAUGGUAAACUCCACACAGAAUGAAUUUGCUAUAUUAUAUCCUAAUCGUAAUUUUUCUGAUGAGACCCCGAGUGCUAGCAAGCAGGUGGAGGUAGAGACCGAUGGUAUAGUUCACUCACAGGAUUCUUCUCAGUCAGAACAAGUUCAGUCGGCAGACACCUCAGUAACUGAAACCCCACAAGUGUAGAGGCAGAGCAUUAUUACAUGCAGAGCGAAGAGACAGAUCAAACCACCGCAGAGAUACGGUUAUGAAGAUAUGGUUGCUUACGCUCUUUCAGUGGCACAAGAUACAGAAGAAGAAGGUGAACCUUCCACAUAUAAUCAAGCUAUUUCCGGUGCCAGUUCUGUAGAGUGGUUGAUGGCGAUGAAUGAGGAGAUGUAGUCGCUCCAUAAGAAUCGCACAUGGGAGUUGGUAAAACCGCCUACAGGCAAGAAAAUUGUCGGCUGCAAGUGGGUCUUCAAGAAAAAGGACGGAAUCCCCGGGGUGGAAGAUAUAAGGUAUAAAGCUCGUUUAGUUGCUAAGGGCUACAGUCAGGUAGAAGGUGUUGACUUUAAUGAUAUUUUCUCACCCAUUGUGAAGCAUACUUCUAUUUGUGUUCUUUUAUCGUUAGUAGCCAUGAAUGACCUGUAUCUUGAGCAGCUUGAUGUUAAGACAGCUUUUUUUGCAUGGAGAACUUGAGGAGCAAAUUCAUAUGAAACAACCGGAGGGAUUCAUUGCUGAAGGAAAGGAGGACCAUGUUUGCCUGUUAAAGAAAUCGCUUUAUGGCUUAAAGCAGUCUCCUCGAUAAUGGUACAAGCAGUUUGACUCCUUCAUGACAGGUCACGGAUACUCCAGAAGCAAGCGUGACAGUUGCGUGUAUUUCAAAAAGUUUGAUAAGGGAUCUUUCAUAUAUUUGUUGCUCUAUGUCGAUGAUAUGUUAAUUGCUUCCAGUGACAUAGUUGAAAUAAAUAAAUUGAAGGCUUUAUUUAAGGGUGAGUUUGAGAUGAAAGAUCUAGGUACUGCUAAGAAAAUUCUUGGUAUGAAAAUUAAGAGGGACAACAAGUCAGGACUACUGCAUUUGACACAAGAGAAAUAUAUAGAGAAGAUUUUAAAACGUUUCGGGAUGACAGACGCAAAAUCGGUGAGCACUUCUUUUGAGGCGCAUUUCAAACUUUCCGCCGAGUUAUCACCGCAGUUUGAUGAUGAGAGGGAGUACAUGUCUCAUGUUUCCUAUUCUAGUGCUGUCGGGAGCAUCAUGUACGCCAUAGUUUGCACACGGCCGGACAUCUCCUACGCAGUGAGCAUGGUUAGCAGAUAUAUGACCAAUCCUGGUAAGGCUCAUUGGCAGGCUGUUAAGUGGAUUUUGAGAUACUUACGAGGUACCACUAACACUUGUUUGGAGUUUGGGAGAUGUAAGGAUGGUGUGGUUGGAUAUGUUGAUUCGGAUUUUGCAGGUGAUUUGGAUAGGAGGAGAUCACUUUCAGGUUAUAUAUUCUCUAUUGGCGGAUAUGCAGUUAGUUGGAAAGCUUCACUACAACCUAUUGUCGCCUUGUCUACGACAGAGGCGGAAUAUAUUGUUAUGACAGAGGGUGUGAUGGAAGCUAUGUGGUUAAGAGGUUUAUUUGGAGAGCUUAUUUCUUGUUGGGAUCCUACGAUUGUUUAUUCGGACAGUCAAAGUGCUAUUCAUUUGUCUAAAGAUCAGAUGUUUCAUGAGAGGACAAAGCGCAUCGAUAUAAAGUUUCACUUUGUUCGAGAUGUGAUUGGGAAACGCACGGUGACUGUUAAGAAAAUUAGUACUGAAGAUAAUCUGGCGGAUAUGCUUACUAAGUCUCUUACUAUUGCCAAGUUCAAGCAUUGUUUGGCUUUGGUGGCAGUUAGCAGCACUUGAGGCCCUAUGGGGCGUUUGGAGGAGACGGAGCACGGAACGUUAAGGAGCAUUGAGGCGAAUUAAAUUCAAGGUGGAGUUUUGUGGCGACCUCGACAUAACGGCAGCUAAACUACAAUUUAAACCAAGGUACAGAUUGUUAUAUUUGGUUUAGAUUUGUAGUUAUCUAAAUUUGGAGUUAAAUCCUAAUCUAAAUAGGAUUGAAUUUAAUUUGGCAUAUAUGGAUUAUAAUUAGGAGUGUAAUUCUAAUUGAAUUAGAAUUAGACUCUAGUUAGGAGACAUGUAUUAUAUAUACAUGCUACGGCCAAGUUAAUGACGCCGCGACUCAAAUUAAGGCCAUGCAAAUUUAUUAUGUUGUGGGUGGUCAUGUUGCGGCGACAAAAAUUAAGAAGCCCCCUAUGCCUAUUCCGGCUCAAUUAAGUGUUGCAUAUUUGGAGAGAGCCAAGCCGCGGCAAUCCUAAUUAGACCCGUGCUAAUUCCGUACGGUCUGGGGUCUUGAGAGGAGCCGUGUGCGCGCUAAUUAGCCGUGUGCUAAUUAAGGCUCAUUUUGUGGUUCGUACAUAUUAGAGAGAAGUCAUCUUGGAGUUUCUUGUACGGACGAGGGUUGCGGUGUUUCCGAUCUAUUUAGAGUUCGGGUUCUUUUGAGAGAUUUUCUUUGUACUUCGCCUUUUCGACAUUAAUAAAGUAUUUGCUCCGUCUUCGCCCGUGGACGUAGGCCGUUGGCCGAACCACGUAAAUAUCGGUGUGCUAUUUUCUUUUCUUUUUAUUUCCUGCAUUAAAUUAUUUUCUGAAUCUAUUUUUCGCCGUUCCGAUUUUAACAAAAACAAGCAUCCUUUCACUGAAGGACACAACCCUAAACUUAAACAAAGAGACAGCCUUAUGAAGGGACAAAACCUUUCAUAAAGUACAAAACCCUUCAUCAAAAGAAGUAAAUAAAAAACUAAUAAACAAACUUAUAAUCUAAUAUUUCCCCUUACGUUUGUUUAUGCAUAACUAUCGCCUUCUUCGAUCGGAUCUUCAUAAUCUUAGAGUCUUUUCUGUAUUGCUAUCUUGUCUGAAAUCAAACUUCUAAUUUUGGAGGCCUGCUCGUCGAUUGCACUCUCUAGGGAUUUGUUCUCCGGAUUCAGUGCCAUAUUUUCUUUUUCUAAGGAGAUAUUUACUUUCUCCAAUUUUUUGUAAGUUUCUCUAAAUAAAUAUUUCUUUGAUCAAGAGAAACCAUACCUUUAGUACUCAUAAAAGCAAAAUGUGCCACAUCUUGUUCCGCUUCCUUCUUUGACUUUUUCAUAUCACCCAUAUAAGUUGAAUUUUUGAAUUCGACAAAUGAAUAAAAUUCCGGAACAUGCAUGAAUAGGUCAUUCCUCAUAAGUGCGAUAUUAUGGUAGCGGCAUUUUCAUCUUCUGACAGUAUUCUUGAAGUAAAUUUUUGUAGAAUAUCCUCACUAUCACUUUAUUCUCCAUAUUUCUCUUUUUUUCUUUGUUUAAAUAUCAACUUGUUUAAAAGAAAUAAACUCUUCAUUCAAUAUUUAUGGGCAUGAAGAGACUCCCAAAAUCAAGUAACACACCCUUUCAAAUGUAAAGUGUCCCAAUUUAAAAGUCACACACCCUUUCAAAUUUUAAAGUGUCCCAAUAUAAGAGACACACACUCUUUCAAAUUUUAAAACUUUUAACUACUCUUAUAUGGGUCAAUAUGCACUGGUCGACAUUUUUAACUAUUGGUUAAUACAGUCAAAAAAUGUGUGGCUCCAAACCACCCCUUUAAAGCUUUCACUUGUACUUCUUAACCACUAGCAGCCAACAUGUCAAACUCUCCAAUUACAACAGGAUGCAUUAACUACCUUCCUAGCACAUAUAACUUGCACCAAUUAACACUUGAUUGCACUAGUCAAUAACCACAGAUAAUUAAUUCAUUUUUUAUUGUUAUAUAUAUUUUUUUGAAUUGGUUUAAAUUUUUUACCAUUUUCGAAUUCUAAGUUUUUUCUCUAAAUUUUUGAAAAUUUGUUUAUUGUAGUAAAAAUAUCUGCUAUAUGAUCCUCAGAGUUGUAAUGAAUUAAUUCAACUCGUCCUUUUUUACUUCUUUACUAAGAAAAUGAUAUAUUGUGUCUAUAUGUUUACUUCUCCCAUGAUGCACUAGAUUUUUAGAUAACUCGAUAGUUGAUAUUAUCAAUAAAUAUUGGGGUAGGAGAAUUUUGAGUAUAACCCAAUUCUUGUAGUACGUUUCUUAACCAUAUUGCUCCACAAGCUCUAGAUGCCGCAGCAACAUAUUCUGCCUCACACGUUGAUAAGGCUAUAAUUUGCUGUUUCUUAGAACUCCAUGUGAAAGCUGUAGAACCCAGAAAGAAGACGUAUCCCAUAGUGCCGUCUUGAUCUCUAGCCCAAUCACUAUCUGUGUAUCCAAAUAAUUUUAACUCUUUUGAUUUUGUAUAGUAUAAUCCAUGAUUAAUGGUAUCUUUUAUAUAUAUCUCAAAAUCCGUUUUACAACUUGCCAGUGCGAUUCCAUUGGAUUUUCCAUAUAUCGGUUGAUUAAUCCGACUUACAUAAUAUCUGGUCUACUUACUGCUAAAUAGCGAAAACAUUCUAUAGGCUUUUGAAUAGAGUAGAAUUAAUUUUCUUUCCUGUAUCAUUUUUCCUGAGUUUGGUUUCACGUAUAAUUAGUGUGUUAAUUUCUUUACUAUUUUUCAUUUUGAAUUUUCUUCAAAAUAUUUUCUGUAUAUCUCUUCUGAGUGAUAAAAAUUUCAUUUUCAUCUUGUUUCACCUCAAUACCAAGAAAAUAUGACAUAAGUUCAGAACUUGGCAUUUCAAACUCUUUUGUCAUGAUAUUUUAUCAUAUCUUUGCUGUAUCCUGUGAUUAGUAGGUCAUCCACAUAUACACAUAUGAUCAAAAUAUCUUCUUUUUUAUUUUUAUUUUUCUUGAUGUAUGUCGCAUACUCAUAGGGGCAUUUAUAAAAUCCAAUCUUCAGGAGAUAAUUAUUGAGACGAGUAUCCCAAUCUCGCGUGGAGCCUAUUUUAAACUAUACAAAGCUUUGUUCAAACGAUAAACUUUAUCUUCCGCAUCUUUUAUUUUGUAGCCAGGAAGUUGUUCUAUAUAAAUUUCUUCCUCAAUAAAACUAUUUAGAAACGCCGAUUUUACAUCCAUUUGAUGUACUUCCAACCAUGAAAAGUAGCUAUUGCAAGAAUAAGCACGGUAUCAAGUCGGAUUACCGGUGCAAAUACUUCUUCACAGUCUACACCUUUUUCUUGUUUAUAUCCCUUUGCGAUUGGCCGUGCCUUAUAUUGUAUUAUUUGCCCAUCAGCAUCAUGCUUGAUCUUAUAUAUCCAUCUUACUCCAAUAGCUUUGUAACACUGCAAUAUUCCCACAUCGGAUGGGAUACUGAUUUCGAUCAGUUUAUAUGAGGCCUACACACUAGUAAUAAUAACUGGGCUUAAGAAUUUUGGGCCGAUGGUUUGGGCACAACGAGUUAUUAUUGCUAGCGGGUCGGGUCGUUACAUUUGGUAUCAGAGCCGAAUACCAGCCGGAAGUGUAAGAGCUAAGUGCUAUGCGGGACAAAGUGCUACACCAAUGGAUUUGGUGGGAGCCACCUCUUGAACCCGUAGGAGCCACUUCUAGAAUCUCAUAUCGCCCGGUAAUUCUGGUCCUGGUAUGUCUGUCUAUGAUCUGGUUUGGACCCGACGAGGACGCCAUGGUCUAAGCAGGGGGAGUUUGUAACGCCCCAAUAGUCCCAUAUCGGAUGGGAUACUGAUUCCGAUCAGUUAAUAUGAGGCCUACAUGCUAGUAAUAAUAACUGGGUUUAAGCAUUUUGGGCCGAGGUUUGGGCCCAACGAGUUAUUGUUGCUAGCGGGUCGGGUCGUUACAAGCUUUAUGUCCUAUAGGAAGUGAAGUCAGUUCCCAUAUUUUAUUUUUCUCUAUUGCUUUGAUUUCUUCAUUCAUUGUGGUGCGCCAAACAUCCUUUUGUAGGGCAUCUUCAUCAGAUAAUGGUUCUUCAUUAAGAUGUAAACAAAAUAAGUUCUCAUUAUCAAUCACAUCCGUCCCAUUGUAUAUAUCUUCCAGUCUUCUUGAUGACUUGAAGAACUUGUAGGAGUGGUUGAUGAAGGAGCUGGUAAUGGUAAUGGCGGAGUCAUUAGUGAUGGAGUGUCAUUAUUAUUUGGCACAUUGUAAGUUUCUUCAAUUUCCCGAUCUAUUAAUUCUUUUCCUUUUUCUUCAAUACUCCAAUUCUACGUGGCAUUUUCAUCAAAUAUGACAUCUCUACUUAUAAUUACUUUAUUAGUAAUUGGAUUAUAGAGUUUAUAAGCUUUAGAAUGCUCACUAUGACUAGUAAAGAUACAUUUUUUGCCUCGAUCAUCUAACUUUUUUUUUCUCCGUGGGAAUUUGUGCAUAAGCAAUGCAUCCGAAUAUCUUGAGAUGUUUAACUCUAGGUUCAUAUCCACUCCGCCCUUUUUCUGGUGUCAUAUUCUUUAUACUCUUAGUUGGACUCCUAUUUAUUAGAUAUACUGUGCAUGCACCUGCUUCUGCCCAAAAUGACUUAGGAAAAGCCUUCUGUUUAAGUAUGCUUCUUGUCAUAUCUAAAGUAGUUCUAUUUUUUCGCUGGCUAUAUCAUUUUGUUGUGGACUAUAUGCUGUAGUGAAUUGCUGUUGAAUAUCUUCUUUACUGCAACAAUCUUUAAAUUAAUUUGAAGUGUAUUCUUCUCCUCUGUCGGAUCUCAGUAUCUUUAUUUUGUUUCCACUUUCCUUUUCUACCAAAGCUUUAUAAUUUUUGAAAGUAGAAAUGGUGCAGAUUUCUCUUUGAUAAAAUAAAUUCAUAUUUUUCUAGUGCAAUCAUCAAUAAAAAUAAUAAAAUACUUAUUUCCUCUAUUAGACUCAGGAAGAGGACCAUAUAUAUCAAUAUGGACUAAAUUUAGAGGUUUCGUUGCAAACUUUAUUUGCUACUAAUAAAAGGAAGUCUUGUUUGUUUUCCAAUUAUACAACCUUCACAUACUACUUUUGAAUGUUUGAUAACGGAAAGGCCAAGAACCAUUCUUUUGGAUGAUAACAAUAUUAAACUAUUGUAAUUUAAAUGCAUGUACCUCAAAUGCCAUAAUUCUGAUUCUUCUUUAAAUUCAGAAUGGUAGCACCUCUCAAUUUUUGACUCUAUAUUUAUAAGAAACAUUCAAUUCUUCGACAUAUGCACUUUUGCAAUCAUUUUGCCAUUCUUAUCCUUCAGAUUCAGAGUAAAGCCUUCCAUACAAAUGACAUAUCCUUUCUCCAUUAGUUGUCCGAUACUCAGUAUGUUGCUCUUUAAUUCUGGCAAAUAAUAUAUAUUAGAGAUGAAUUCUUCUUCACCACUCUCCGGUUUGAACAUAAUUUUUUUUCUUCCUUUAAUAGGUGAACAUAAUUUUUUCUCUUCCUUUAAUAGAUACUUUGGAUGAAUCACCAAAUUUUAUAUUGCCAUCAACAUUCUCAUCUAUUUUAACAAAUAUUUCUUUCAUUCUACACAUAUGAUUUGAAGCACCGAAAUCUAGAAACCAUACAUAAUGUGAAUUUUUAACUUUGUCUUGACAUGCAGGUAGUAGUGAAGUUUCUGCAACUUUAUCUUCUAAAGUACUAUCGAUGUAAUGAUUCACUGCUUUAGUAUCUUUAUACCAGCAAUUUUUGCUGUAGUGACCAUACUUUUUACAAUUAUAAUAUUGGAUGUUCUAUCUUUCACCACCAUAAGAUCCUGGGCGAUUGUUAUUACGUCCGCCUCUUUUUGGUUCAUAUCCAUGUCGUGAAUUGUGACUACUAUUGUUGCUACUCUGUCAAUCAUUGUUAUAUCUCUUUUGAUUCUUAUAUUUAUUAAAAUUAUUUUCUCCAAAAUUUUACCUUUUCUAUUAUCAAGUUUCAAUUUUGACUCGAGAGCCUACUCAGUCGACUCAUUUUUAGAUACCUUUUGUAGUCUUUGUCCAUGUACUUGGAGGGAUCCUGUCAAUUGGUCAAUAGCAAGAGUACUGAUAUGUUUUGACUCUUCUAUGGCGACAACUAUAUGCUCGAUGUGAGGGAAUGAAGAACCUUUUCUAUAACUCGUUCAUUAUCAAGUUCUUCUCCAUUUCGCUUCAUUUGGUUUGCAAUUACCAAAAUGUGAGAAACAUAGUCCGCGACACUUUUGGACUCCUUCAUUCGGAUUGUUUCAAAUUCCGCUUGAACCUUUUGGAGACGAAUCUGCUUCACUUUGUCAUCCCCUUUAAAGAUGGCGGCAAGAAUAUCCUAUGUUGCUUUGCUUGAAGUUGCUUCGGCAAUUUCUCAAACGUCGACUCGUCUACUGCUUGGUAGAUAGAAGAGGGCCUGUUUAUCCUCCUUUCUGGCUUCCUUCAAAUCAUUUUGUUGGGCUAUAAUUAAUGCAGUUUCUUCUUACUCUGUGUAUUUUUGGUACCCAGUUUUGACUAAUUUCCAAAGAUCUUGAGAACCAAGUAGUGCUUUCAUUUGAAUGCACAAAUUCUCAUAAUUAUCUUUUAGUAAUUUUGGGAUUUAGGUUUCGAGAAGUUAUGUGACCAUUUUUCAAUAAAGUUCCUUUCUUGCUCCGAUCCAAAUGUUGGUGACCUAUUCUAUUAAUGGAACUACAAAAGUAUUUAAAACUAGAACAACUAAAUUUAUUAAAUAUAAUUGAACUUCGGUACGCAAGAACUUAUUAAUACAAUUUGAUCCACACUAAACAGAACAAGUAACAUGCUCUCUAUUUAUAGAGCCCGAAACGACGCAACAUAUCAUGAAAAUAAGCAUCCUUUCACUAAAGGACACAACCCUAAAUAAGAAGAAGCAACCUUAAAUAAAAAGACACAACCUUACGAAGGGACAAAACCUUUCACAAAGUACACAACCCUUCAUCAAAAGAAGUAAAUUAAAAACUAAUAAACAAACUUGUAAUCUAACAUGAUUGUUGUCUGUAGUGUUCGGUUGAGGCUAUUACGUCUGCUACUAUCUCUUUUUCUUGUUCAUUCACUCUCAUUUUCUACAUCUUUCCCUCUUGCUUUCUACCUCUUCCUCUAUCAUGACUGUUGUCUGUAUUUCUACUCAUCAUGAUCAUAACAAUUAACAGUUAUCAUCUUAUUGUCCAAACUAUUAGGGUCCAUUUGGUUCACGGUUUAUAAUAUUUCAGUAAUCUUCCAUUUUUUUUUUUUUAUUGAGAAUAUUCAAAUCAUUGUUAUUCAACUCAUGCAUGUUAGAUAGUUAUAUAUGUUGAAGAUAAGAUCAAAUUGUUAGUUAGUUAGAUUUGUUAUUAAGAUUUCUUAGUUGGUUAGAUUUGUUACGAGGGAUUUUGUUAGUCAGUUUAGAUUUUGUUUUUUUUGUUAUCCAUAUGCACCAUAAAAGGCUAAGACUGUGUAGAACAAGUGCACCGCGAAUCUAUUGAUUAUUCUCCACAUUAAUAAAAUUAUUCGCUUCAUUGUUUUAUUGAUUACCGCCAUAACAAGUGGUAUCAGAGCGUCAGGAUUAAGAAAGCUAGGUUCAGUGAGAGGAGACUACGUCGAUGGUGAUCAACGGGGUCGGCGGAUCCCAAACUGCUCUUCCCAUUUUCAAAGGGGAGAACUAUGAUUUCUGGUCCAUCAAGAUGAAGACGAUGCUAAGAUCGCAAGAUCUAUGGGAUCUUGUGGAGAAGGGGUACACGGAUGCUACCCCAGAGAAUAUGAAGAAGGACUCAAAGGCUCUUUUCUUCAUCCAGUAGGCCGUCGAUGAAUUGAUUUUUUCGCACAUUGCUGCUGCGACAAAAUCGAAGGAAGCAUGGGAUACGCUACAGAAGGAGUAUCAGGGCAGUUCAAAGGUACUCAGAGUCAAACUUCAAACUUUACGACGUAAAUUUGAGACUACUUUCAUGCAAGAAAAUGAAAAUGUUCAUUCUUUUUUCUCAAAAGUUAUGGAACUAGUAACCACCAUGCGUUCAUAUGGUGAAGAUUUGUCGGAUCAAAAGGUUGUUGAAAAAAUUUUACGAAGUUUGAUUUCUAAAUAUAAUCAUGUUGUGGCUGCUAUUGAAAAGUCGAAAGAUUUUACUAAUAUUCUUGUACCGAACUUUUGGGCUCUCUUUUGUCACAUGAGGAUCGCAUUGACAAACCUCAUGAAAAUUCUGUGGAAAAUUCUUUUUUGAAUAUAUCAAAAGAUAGGGAUAAAGGAGUAGCAGAUUACAGUCGGCAAGCUUCAUCACGUGGUCGUGGAAGAGGUCGCGGUGGUCAUGGUCAAGGAAAUAGAGGAAGAGGUAGAUAUGGAGGGCCAGAUCAACGAAACAGCAACAAAUCCUAUGGAUCAGAACGAGGUAACACCUUUAAGAAUAUCCAAUGCUUUUAUUGUAAGAAAUAUGGCCAUAUAGAAAGAUUUUGUCGUUUGAAAAAGGAGAAUAAUUCUCAAGUUGAUGCUAACUAUGUUGAAUCUGAUGUUCUUUUUGCUUGCUACACCGUAAAUACAAAUUUGGAAAAUAUUUGGUAUUUGGAUAGUGGUUGCAGUGCUCACAUGACAGGAAGAGACGAUAUAUUUAUCGAGUUGGACAGAUCGAUUCGAAGGCCCGUAAAAAUGGGAGAUGGUCGUAUUCGUGAAGCACAAGGUAAGGGAGUUGUAAAGGUAAACUUUAAUGGUAUCACAGAAAUAUCGGAUGUUCUUUAUGUUCCUGGUUUGGAUGCAAAUUUAUUCAGUGUUCGCCAAUUUCUUACUUUUGGAUAUUCUUUGGUGUUUGAAAAUUGUAAACGCCUCAUUUUUAAAGAUAGCCAAAAAACAGAAUUGCUUGCUGAAGUUGCCAUGGCGAAAAAUAAAAUUUUUCCUUUAUAUAAUGAUUUUCGAAAUCUGGCUAUGAGAGUAUCUACUAAUGAAAAUUGGUUGUGGCAUGAAAAGUUUGGACAUUUAAGUUUUGAUAGAUUAGAGUUUUUGUAUAAGGAGAUGGUUGAUGGAUUGCCGCAUAUUGCACCAAGUGACUCGAUUUGUGAAAGCUGCGUACGAGGGAAGCAUCAUCGAUCUCCGUUUCCAAAGAAAAGCACGUGGAGAGCAAAGAAACCUCUGGCCCUCGUACAUGCGGAUGUUUGUGGGCCAAUGCAAACACCGUCUUUGAAUAAUAAUUUUUAUUUUGUUGUUUUUGUUGACGAUUUUAGCCGUAUGACAUGGGUUGAUUUUGUGAAACAUAAGUCAGAUACUUUUGCAUGCUUUAAAAAGUUCAAAAAUAUGGUUGAGAAGGAAUCGGGCUAUCAAAUUAAAACUCUCCGUACAGACAGAGGUGGUGAAUUUAUUUCUAAUGAAUUUGAAGCUUUUUGUGAAGCACAUGGUAUUUUUAGGCAGUUGAUGACAAGUUACACCCCGCAACAAAAUGGGGUCGCGGAGAGAAAAAAUAGAACCCUCGUCGAGAUGGCAAAGAGCAUGUUGAAGGCUAAGGGAUUACCGAAUAAGUUUUGGGCGGAGGCGGUCUCCACAGCAACACACAUUUUAAAUCGGAGUCCUACAUCAUCUUUGGAGAGUAUUACUCCGUAUGAAGCCUGGACCGAAAGAAAGCCGAAGGUAAAUUAUUUUAGAAUUUUUGGGUGUGUGGGUUUUGUUCAUAUUCCAUCUCAAAAGCGACAAAAGUUAGAUGACAAUUCCCAAAAGUGUAUUUUCAUGGGGUACAGUGAUAGAAGUAAAGUAUAUAGAUUUUUUAAUCAUAAUACGAAUUCUUUAAUUAUCAGUCGAGAUGCAAUUUUUGAUGAACAAAAAAGUUGGGAGUGGAAUAAAGUUUUGCAGGAUCGCCCUAUUAGAUUGGCUGAAGAAGAAGUUCAGAGUACCCCACAAAACACACCCUGUUCUUCGGCAAGUUCUUCGACAACUACUUCACCAGAAACAACGCCGUCCAAGGUGAGGUCACUUCAGGAGAUAUAUGCAAGUACGGAAAGAUGUCAAUUUGGCUUGAUGCUUGAGCCUGAAGGAUUUGAAGAUGUGGCUAAAUCGUCGGAGUGGUGCAAAGCAAGGAAUGAGGAGAUGGAUGCAUUGGAGCGCAAUCAAACUUGGGAACUUGUAGAACUACCCCCGAACAAAGAAGCACUUGGUCUAAAGUGGGUCUACAAGACCAAGUUCAGACCUGAUGGAUCGGUUCAGAAAUUAAAGGCGCGAAUCGUAGUGAAAGGGUAUCUACAAUGUGAAGGUAUUGAUUUUUCCGAAACUUUUGCCCCAGUUGCACGUUUUGAUACUAUUAGAACUGUUUUGGUUCUAGCGGCACAAUUUGGUUGGAAGGUUUUCCAGUUUGAUGUUAAAUCUGCUUGUGCAUGAUGAAGUUUAUGUUAAGCAACCUCAGGGGUAUGAAGUUAAAGGACAAGAAGAGAAGGUGUACAGGCUUAAGAAAGCACUCUAUGGCCUCAAGCAAGCACCCCGAGCUUGGUAUAGUCGAAUUGAUACUCAUUUUAUGCAGGGCGGUUUUAGUCGAAGUGAAAGUGAUCCCACACUUUAUGUGAAGACCCAAGGUACAGAAAUUUUGAUCGUGUGUCUUUAUGUAGAUGACCUAAUAUAUGUUGGUAAUUCUCAAAAGUUGAUUGAUGAGUUUAGAAGUCAUAUGGUACAAGAAUUUGAAAUGACUGAUUUAGAUUUGAUGAAUUAUUUUUUGGGGCUUGAAAUAACACAAGGGGAGAAAGGAAUUUUUGUGUCACAAAAGAAAUAUAUAUCUAACUUGCUUGACAGAUUUGGACUGAAGGAUUGUAAUCCAGUGACAAAUCCAUUGGGAACCAAUAUGAAGUUUUCAGUUGAAGACGGUGCAGAAAAAGUUGACCCUAAUGUGUAUAGGAGUUUGAUUGGGAGCUUGUUAUAUGUGGUUCAUACUAGACCGGACAUUUCAUUUGCAACGAGCCUUCUGUCAAGAUUUAUGGAAUAUUCUAGCAAGAUUCACAUGGGCGCAGGGAAGCGGAUAUUGAGAUAUUUGAAGGGGACUAGCGAUCAUGGAUUGUGGUUCACUAAAGCUAACAAUUUUUCUUUAUUUGGUUUUUCUGAUAGUGACUGGGCAUGUUCUAUUGAUGAUCGGAGAAGUACAAGCAGAUUCGCAUUCAAGCUCGGUUCAAGUACAGUGUGUUGGUCCUCAAAGAAGCAGCACACAACGGCGUUGUCAUCUUCCGAGGCUGAGUAUGUUGCACUCACUGGUGCAGCAUGUCAAGCAAUCUGGUUGCGGCGGAUUCUAUGUGAUUUGCAUCUGAAGCAAUUAGAUCCGACGAUCAUUUAUUGUGACAACCAAUCGACGAUUGCAAUGGCAAAAAAUCCGGUGCACCACAGCCGCACCAAGCACAUUGAGAUCCGUCACCACUUCAUUCGCGAUCAAGUGGCAAACGGCAAUAUUCAGAUGGUACAUGUUUCCACUCAAAACCAGCUAGCAGAUAUUUUCACCAAACCAUUACCAUUGGAGAAAUUCAUUUGGUGUCGUGAAGAACUUGGCGUUACAAGAUUUGAUCUUACGGGGGCGUGUUGAAGAUAAGAUCAAAUUGUUAGUUAGUUAGAUUUGUUAUUAAGAUUUCUUAGUUGGUUAGAUUUGUUACGAGAGAUUUUGUUAGUCAGUUUAGAUUUUGUUUUUUUUUGUUAUCCAUAUGCACCAUAAAAGGCUAAGACUGUGUAGAACAAGUGCACCACGAAUCUAUUGAUUAUUCUCCACAUUAAUAAAAUUAUUCGCUUCAUUUUAUUGUUUUACUGAUUACCGCCAUAACAAUAUAAAGUGUUAGUGAAGUAUUAGGAUAAUUGUAGAUUUUGAGAUAGUAGGAAUACCAGAUUACCAUGGAGGUAUUUUCAUAUUCAUACUUGAUGAGAAUCAUUAAUUAGUACAUAACCUAUUAAUAAGAAUAAAUUAGUUUUUAACAUUCUCUCAAUCCAAGUGGCUUGGUAAAUUAGCAACAAGUUUGCCACUCCGAAUUUAAAAUUAUAUAAUAUUAAACCAAAUGGUCUCCUACCGGUCUAAUUUUCUAGUCAGUAAGUAGUUCCUUCUUUAGUAAACGACAGUCUUUCAUGAAUAAUAAUAAUAUAUCCCUUUGUUGGAAUUAUAAUAUUAUUUGCCGCUUUUACACUUGAUAUAGGGGUUUUGGUGGUUUGACGGCGACUGUUGUGUCCGGCCGUUGGACUGCUGAGAAUCACUCUGGUGCAUGGUCGUUUCUUCUUUUCCUCUUAAUUUUGUGAUGAAGAGCGAGCGAUUUUAGUUUCUUGAACGGACGCAUCUUGGUCCGGCAGUCACACAUCAUUGCCCAUUAGCUGUCAUGCUUGAAAACCGAAGACAGUACUACUCUAGAUGGACGCUCUUGAGUCAGAUCAAUCUGCGAGCUAAAACUUGCUUAGGCCCUAGGGACGGCUUUCGAAUGAGUUAAAUAUUUAAUAUGCUUUACAGCUAAGAUGAUUACGUUCGUACCUAGGUGGAUGUGUAGCACACAAUGGAUCUAACCACUUGAAAGAUAAAAAUAAAAAAUAAAAUGACGAACAAAUUGAAAUAUGUAGGCCAAUAGGGCAAGGGAUAAUGGUUCGAGGGAGUGCGGCGUCACAGUAAGUAGGGGCCCAUAUGCGUGCGUGUUAAUUAGAAUCUAUCAGAAGGUCAGCUUCAUUUCGUGUGGUGAUCCUUAAAUUAUUCGUAAGGCAACUGCUAUUCUUGUACUUACUAUGUUCACGUCACCAGAAAAGAAGAAAAAUAAUAGAAUUAUGUAUUUAAAGUUGUUUAAGUGCUUAGUUGGGUUCAACUAGCUAGAACAAAGCCAACACAUCAAGGUGACGAAAUGGGGCCGCAUUUGGGGUUAUAAUUAGUAGUGUUAAUUUCAUACAGAUCGAUCCCUAUAAAUAUAGUAAAUUACAAAUAUAAUUUUAUAAAGUUUUAAUUUUUAUAUGUUGUUCCUAUAAAAGUUCUGAUGUUUUAAAAUAUUUUCUUGUCGUUAGGAUUCGUUGAAAAAAGUUAGUUGAUCAUAUGUAAAAUUCUUAAUCUUAGUUAGUUAAUUAAUAAGGUGAAUUAAUCAUUUUACUCCUCUUUAAUUAAUAGUUAGAGUUUUUGAAGAACAUAUUUGUAGUGACGAAAAGGUCAUUGCAGUUAUAAAAUAAAUAAUAUUUUAACGGUAACAAACUAGAGGAACAUAUUUAAAAAUAUUAGAACUUUUCUAAAAAUAAUAUAUGAAAGUUGACCUUUGUAGAUAUAUAUUUGUAAUACACUAUAUUUGCAGGAAUCUUUAUAAAAUUAACUCUUAUAAUUAAUAUGAGCUCUGUGGUGGCUUAAUUUUGUGGGUAUAUAUAUGGACCCUUGCUCUCUCUUCUGCACCUCUUUGUUAAUUUAUUGUAAUUAAUACGGCAUAUGUAUAAGUCCCUUUGUGUCGUUUCUUAUAUAUAUAUAUAUAUAUAUAUAUAUAUAUAUAUAUGAAUAAAUUUGCUUUCCUUCUGUCACCAGUCAACGCUUGAAACAAAAGAUCACUUCGAAAAAUCCAAUAGGAUAUAUUAUAUAUAUAUAUAUGUAGUGAACUGUCAUAUGCGAAGUCGGUAAAACUAGGAAAAUCCAUAUUAUAUCAAGAGAAGCACUAAUAAGUGAAUUAUAAUCUCAUCUCUCGUUGUCAGAAGCAUAGCCGAAAUGAUCCAUCUAGAAAGAAACAAACCUCAUAAUUGUCGCUGCCGCUCACAUUUUAGUGCAUGGCGGAUAUUAGCUAGGCAAAGUACGUAACGCUAUGGGCGUUAACAUAGUAUAUAUAUAUAUAUAGGUAGCUUAAAACGUAAAAAAAAGUAUUUAAUUGAUUAAAAGGGAUGUGGGAAAUGAAAUCCAUAAUUUGAAGAAUUAAUGUAACCUAAAAAUCAAUGUGCGUGAUAGGAAACAGUUGAGAAAUAAGUUUAAUAGAUAUUAAAAUAAACUAUAAUAUUUGAAGGGACUUUAUACUAAUCCGAGUAUACGUGAGCAAAGAGAGCACGCAGCUAGAAUACAACGAAACAAAAACUGCACAACGAAACUAAAUUGUAUUUUGAAGUCAACGAUAAUGUAUAAGAAUAAUUUGAUUAGUUGUUGAUGCAAAUGAAGACAAGAUGAUUUGGACAGGCAACUGCAUUUUGAUAAUCCUGAGUGUGGUCGAUCGAUGAGGACGGAUGACAACGUCGCGCUCAACAGUAAGAUGUCAAUUAAUUAAUUAAUGAAUGACUCGCAUACUUAUCUUAAAUAAGUAAUUAAUGAUUCAACUGUUGUAAUAUAGAUAGCAUCCUAAUUAGCAGUCGUUAGUUUACUGGCAAAAUGGUUCGAAUACACUUCACUUGUUGAAUGAGUGAAUAAACAAUAUGCAUGUUACCUUACAUGCAUUACACCUAGACAUUGUCGUUGCCACAUUUAUUCAACAGACUACAAAUACAAAUACACGACAGGCUAAUUUAGAAAAAAAAAAAAAAAAAGACUUAAUCCCUUUAAAGAAACAUUCGUGCACUAAUUUACUCGACUAUAUAUGUUUGGCUUCGAAAUAAAUUGGGGAUGACAAAAGCUACUUCUGCUGUUCGACCAAACAAUGAAAUAAAACAAUCAGAAUAAUAACUCUAUUCCGGUCAAACAGAAUUAUUCUCGAUAAUCCAAAAAUAUUCUAGGAAUAGCUCAUGUUAAUUUCAUCUUUUUAGAGAAAUGAGACUAUUUUCAUGUUUAUGCUUAGAUUAUUAAAGAUAAUCAGGGUAAUAUAAAAGUAUAGUUAUAUUAUGUAUAUACUAAAUGUAUAUUUCAUAUUUAUAUAUAUUUAAGUAUCAUGCAAUAUAAUAUAAUAAUAAUUUGUUAUCAUUAUUACUAAUGCUACAACAACGUACUACUGGCAUUAUUAUAUUAUAAUUGUAUUGUAUUAUAAUAUAUUAUAUUAUAUUUAUUAUUCUAUAAUUUUAAUAUUAUAUGUUAUCCUAUAAUAUGCCAUAAUAUAGCAUGAAAUAUUAUAUAAGAUAUAAAUUAAUAUGCUAAAUUUAUAAUAUGCCGGAUUAUAUUGUCUUCAAUUGUUUAGUAACUGUGUAUAUCUUUUUAAUGGCCAAUUUGCAUAAAAAAUCUAUACGGUUUGAGCUUUUGUAAAACUGGGCCGCUUUUUCCAAUUUUACAGAUUCGGAUCGGAUUUUCAACAAACUGAUCAAAAUAUAUACCCUUAUUCCUUUCUCUCUCUUCUUUUCUUUUUCUUCGUUCUUUUUUUCUCUCCAACCCUUAUCACCUCCUCCACUGCCUCCGCGGCCCUCGGAGACGGUAACGAGGGCGGCGGCGCAUCCUCUUCCUCCAUCUUCUCCUUCGCUAGCGCUUGUGGCUCUCGACGACAGUAACGAGGAGCGCGCCACCUCCUUCACCUCUGCUGGUGCCGGAGAAGGAGAAUGAGAACUCGAAGCGGGCUCGGGUGCGGGCGGAGCGGACGGAGACGAUGAGGUCGUUGUCAAAGAGUUGCUCGCCGCCCACGAGGGUGAGGAAAAAAGACGCACUCAUCUCCAAGAAGCGAACAAAGAUGCAAAGGAUAGAAAAAAUAAAAAUAAAAAGUAAUAUAUAUAUAUAUAUAUAUAUAUAUAUAUAUAUCAUUAUAUAUCGAUGUUGCUACCGAAAAGUUUAAAAAUCAGAGAAAAAGGAAGAAGAAGAUGAAUGUUGCACUGUUAAAAAAAGUGCACUAUUUUACAAGAAAAUUGCACUAUUUAAUAUGAACGUUGCAUUCUUUGAGAUGAAAAUUUUACUCUUUAAAAUAAAAGUUACACUCUUUUGACAAAAAUUAGACUAUUUCAGAAAAAUUGCAUUAUUCUCCGACCCUCAUCUCCUCCUCCUCUUUUUCUUCUUCUUCUUCGUCUUUCUUUGACACUUUCCUCUCCCUCCUCCUCUGAUCCCUAUACUCACCAACGCGAGACUGUCUACCUCGUGCGUCACAUCGGACUGCCGAAACACGAAAACGACCUACUGCUCUUUUCUUUUUUUUUUCUUCAUUUUUAUUCUCUCCGACCCUCUUCGCCUCCUCUACCGCUUCCACGGCCCUCGGCGACGGUAACAAGAGCGGCGCCACCUCCUCUUCCUCCGUCUCCUCCUCUGCUGGCACCGGUGGCCCUCGGCGACGGAAACGAGGGCGGCGCUGUCACGCCCCGAACUUGGUCCAAUUUGGCCGGUUCGGACCCGUCGAACAGACGCCGAACGGACAACACCUUCCCUGUCCGCCCAAGGCUCAAUAUCAAGUACAAAUAGAGUAUAAAAUUUGUACAUGCGGAAGCAAACAUAAUGGCUUGCACGAGGGCAAGCAAUAGCCAAACUGAAAGUACUAAACUAAACUUCAACAAGUAAUAUGAUUAACUUUAAAUCACAUACAUGUAUACUACUUUAGUCAAGUUCCUUUACGUGCUCUUUCAUUAUUUCUUUUUACAUCACAAUGCUCCAAAAUAUAACUUUUGAUAUUUAAAGUAAAUAUCUUUUACAUCAUACUCGUAAGCAUCUAGAAUCAUCAAAUAUAAAAGAUGAUAGUAAAGGAAAUGCAACUACAAAAUAUGAAAUCAUCUCGGGUGGUCUCUAUCUAGGGCGCGAUGCCCUUACCGCGGUCGUCUGCCGGCUCGCUCGGUUCCGGCUCUGUGGAAAUAGUGGGGUGAUAACUACAACAAAGUUCCCAGUGGGUUCGGCAACCAACCACGCCGACUUUCCCACUAGGUCUAAAUCAGGCAUAAUAGAAGAAGGAAUAGAUAGUAACCAACUAACAAAUGCAGCUAAUAUGCCUGAACAAUAAACAAUACUAUGCUCGAUAGAAUGCUUAUGAUGAAUGCAAGAUUACCAUCUCAGUGCCCAAUCUCGUGGCUAGCCCGUAGGUUUCGCCCUCAACAAACUCACCAACCUAAAUCCCUACUAUCGGGGAGGUACCCGCUACAAUCCGACAGGACCGUCCUCUGGGGAGAUACUCGCUACGACCCAGUGAUGACAAUUCCGGAGCAUAUCGCCCGAGGGGGAGCUACCACCCUCGAGCAAGGACUAUGGGUGAGUACGAUCAAUCCUUAACUUUAAGGAUUCUAAGUUCAAUCCAUUUCCUAGCUUUAAGGAAAACCAUGCUCAUAUCACACAUUUACUUACAUUCUUUACUUUCACUAGUGUCAUAUACACUACUUGUUCAUGUACCCACAGACUCAUGUCACACUUAUUUUCUAAGUUUUGAACUCUAGUGUUCUUGACUCAUCCAUAUCACUUACUAUCUUUAUGUCAAUCAUGUCACAUUUGUUCUCUAAGUCCACUAAGUUCUUGUCAUGUAUCAUGCAUACAUAGGGUUUGUUAAUUCUCACUUUCAUACUAGUAUUUUACAUGCAUUUGAACUUACAACAUGCAAGGAAGCUCACAAGUAAUCCCUACUAUGCAAUUAUGCUCAAUACAUAUAUAUACUCAAAUAUGACACUUUAGACAUAAAAGAAAGUUCAAGGUUGUCGGAAUGCACCACCCACCUUAGAUGGUUGAGAGGAUGCUACGGUUCAAUUUUUGGAAUUUUAGGGCGCCUAUAUUUUCGCCUGUGGCAAAACGAAGCCAAAUUAGGCUUUUUCUCAAUAACUUUAUUUAGAUCUUUUCGUAUCGUCGAACCGAGUUGCCAAACGUGUCGGGAAUACCCCCAAUUAGGUUUCCGCAAGGUCAAUUUGUCUAGAAAAUAUUCGGAGGUAAAAGUCCCAAAUUGGGUGCCCUAAUGUUGCCAUUUGUGAAAUCCUAGGUUUUGAUCUUUAAAACAAGUAAAAGAGAGCUUGUCCAAUACCUACAAGUUCUUCUAGAAUCAUCUAAACCAAUUCUAGGGCUUAGAAUGUAAACCCUAAAAAUUCACUAUUAGAGCACUUGAAGAAAAUAUGAGUUUUCAUGUUUCCAUGGCCACUAGAGGUUUCUACACUUGUAGAAGCUCCAGAACCUAGCUUCCUAGGGUACAAAACCCAAACCCUAGACUCAACUUUCUAUAAAACCUCACCUUGGUCACAAGCUCACCAAAGUCCACCUUGUAGGAGAGAACCCUAUCCUCCUAAUCCUCCAAAUCCACCUUCAACACCUUCUCCAACUCCUUCUCCUUACCCUUGGAGGAGAUUUCUAGAGAGAGAAAGAGGAAAAUAAGAGAGGGAGGUGAAAUGACUGUGAAAGGGAGAGGGGAUUGGUGUUAGGGUGUUAUUAUGUUGUAACAAUUACCAAAAAACCCUCCACUUCUUUCUAUUUGCAGCAGAUCUCAUUGUUGCUGCCAGACCAACGUGUACCGGUACACUUUGUUCUGUCACCGGUUACACGAUCACGCAGAGGCAAACCCGAGAGUAGCCUCCUCGGAUUUUACCAAAGUGUACCGGUACACACUAGGGGUGUACUGGUACACUUCUACGCAGAGAUCAAACCCGAGAGCUAUUCUUCUCGGGUAGUGAUGGUUGUACUGGUACAGCGUGAUGGUUGUACCGGUACACUUCGCCCAGACCGCAAUUUUUGCGUUGUUUCGAUUCUAUUUCGCACCGGUCGAUACUAAAACCUUUCUUACUCUUCUUUAACUCACUUUUAACCCUUCCAACAUUAUUGGAACACUGAAUGGAACUUGCCCAACCAUUUCUUUCUCACACUUUAGUCAAUUUGGCUAAAAUUCGAUAUUUUCUACUAAGUUUCGGUUCUUUAUAUUCUCCACCUUUUAAAAUUAGUUUCGUCCGCGAAACUAACUUAACUAAGAUCUAGAUUCAUACCUUAAUCCAGAUUCUCGAAGAGAUGGGGAUAAUGUUCCCGCAUUGCGCUCUCGAGCUCCGAAGUGGCUUUCCGGUCAUCGUGGUUGCACCAACGGAUCUUGACAUACGGAAUCUCACGGUUCCGUAGUUUUCUCACUUCGCGAUCGAUGAUGUACACCGGGAACUCUUCAUAGGUCAUAUGAUACAUGAAACACGUCGUGUACUCCCGCAAGCCUCGAUGGUAAUGCUAUAUUGUAGGCUACCGCACCAACGUGUUCCAAUAUUUCGAACGGUCCAAGGUAUCGGGGACUUAGUUUCCUACGGACUCCAAACCGUUUAACUCCUCGCAUUGGCAAUAUCUUUAAUUAGGAAUACGUGGUCACCAACCGCAAACUCGAUAUUCUUUCUUCGCUUGUCGGCAUAGCUCUUUUGCCGAGAUUGCGCCUAGCAAGUCGUUGGCGGGCGAGGCGGACUUUCUCCUCCGCCUCCCGCACUACAUCCGGGCUAAGAGCCACUCUCUCGCCCACAUAGCUCCAAUGAAUUGGAGAGCGAGAUUUCCUUCCAUAAAGGGCUUCGAAUGGCGCCAUCGCGAUACUCUCUUAGUAACUGUUAUUGUACGCGAACUCCGUCAUUGGUAGAUGAUUAUGCCAACUGCCCUUGUAGUCAAGUACACACGCUUGAAGGAUAUCCUCAAGUAUUUGUAUCGUCCUCUCCGAUUGACCAUCACUCUGAGGAUGAAAUGCUGUGCUAAAGUCGAGCCGUGUGCCCAAUGCCUCCUGUAGGCUCCUCCAAAAGUGAGAUGUGAACCUCGGGUCCCGAUCCGAUACAAUUGAUACCGGAACACCAUGAACUCUCACAACCUCGUCAAUGUAUACUUGAGCCAACUUGUCCCCCGACCAUGUAAUAUGAAUCGGUAGGAAAUGCGCCGACUUCGUCAACCGGUCUACUAUCAACCAAAUUGCAUCGUGUCCACCUUUAGAUCGAGGCAACCCGGUCACGAAAUCUAUUGCGAUAUUUUUUCAUUUCCAAACGGGUAUAGAUAAGCUCUGCAACUUUUCUGCCGGAAAUCGACGCUCUUUCUUUACUUGUUGGCACGUGAGACAUUGCGCCACAAAUUCUCCAAUGUCUUUCUUUAUGCCCAGCCACCAAUAAUGGGCUUUCAAAUCUUGGUACAUUUUGGUGUCGCCCGGGUGAAUACUAUAAGGAGAUUGGUGUGCUUCUUGCAUAAUUGCCUUGCGAAUAUCCUCGUUUUUGGGCACACAUGAACGAUUUCGAAAUCGAAGUGCGCCAUCGGUCCCAAUAUCAAAAUCAUCGGCAUUACCACUCUCAACUUCACCGCGCACCUUUUGGAGAUACUCGUCGGAAGCUUGCGACUUUUUUAUCCUCUCCAACAAGGUCGGUUGCACCACUAAGGUAGCAAGUGUAGCCGGAACUCCCGGCGCUACUACUUCUAAUCCAAGCCGUUGCAUCUCUUUUUGCAAUAACGGUUGGGGUGUAAUUGUCGAAGCCAAGUUUCUCUCCGAUUUUCUGCUAAGUGCAUCGGCCACGACAUUUGCGUUACCGGGGUGGUAUAGGAUAGUGACAUCAUAGUCUUUCAAUAAUUUUAACCACCACCGUUGUCGCAUAUUCAGCUUCUUUUGGAUGAACAAGUAUUUAUGACUUUUGUGAUCCGUGUAGAUCUCACAAUGUUCGCCAUACAAGUAAUGCCCCCAAAGCUUUAGCGCGAAAAUCACCGCCGCUAGCUCAAGAUCGUGAAUCGGGUAGUUCUUUUCAUAAGUCUUCAAUUGGCGCGAGGUAUAAACUAUAACCCGCCCAUUUUGCAUCAAGACACACCUGAGACCAAUGUAUGAAGCAUCACUGUAUACCACAAAGGUCUCCCCCGGCGUCAGUAGAGCAAGCACCGGGGUUGUCGUUAACCUUUCCUUUAAUUCCUCAAAGCUUCGAUCGUAAUCGUCGUUCCAAACAUACUUCACUUCCUUGUGUGUGAGGCGCGUUAGCGGAGUGGUUAUUUUAGCAAACCCCUCCACGAUCCGCCGGUAGUAGCCCGCUAGUCCAAGAAAACUGCGGACCUCCGCUACACUCGUCGGGCGAGGCCAAUCUUUAAUUGCCUCUACUUUCUUCGGGUCCACCGAGAUGCCAUCACCCGAAAUCACGUGGCCUAAGAAAGUGACCUCCGAUAGCCAAAAGUCACAUUUCUUCAACUUGGCAUAUAACUUCUCCUUCCGAAGUAUUUCCAACAUGGUCCUCAAGUGCUCCUCGUGUUCUUUCUCACUCCAUGAAUAGACCAACACGUUGUCAAUGAACACUACGAUGCACUGGUCCAACAACGGUCGGAAGACCCUAUUCAUCAAGUCCAUGAAUGCCGCCGGGGUAUUAGUAAGCCCAAACGGCAUAACUGUGAACUCGUAGUGGCCAUGCCGUGUAUGAUACGCCGUCUUGCGCACGUCCUGGGACUGUAUCUUCAAUUGAUGAUGCCCCGAUUGAAGGUCUAUCUUUGAAUACACCCUCGACCCUUGCAAUUGAUCGAAUAGAUCAUCAAUCCUCGGCAAUGGGUACUUGUUGUUAACUGUCAAUUUAUUCAACUCGCACAGAGUCGAAGUGUGCCAUCUUUCUUUUUAACAAAUAGCACCGGAGCUCUCCACGGUGACACGCUCGGCCUCACGAAGCCUUUAUCGAGCAAGUUUUGCAACUGUGCCUUUAGCUCAUACCUAGCGACCUCACAUAUAGCAACACUUUUUAAAAGUGUCGGUAAUUUAGCCAGCAGCACUUUUUUUGAGCUAUACCGACAUUUAAAAGUGUCGCUAUAGACCGUUUUUGUUGUAGUGUAGUUCUCAUGCCUACUUUGUUAUUUUUGGUUUCAGAGUCCUCAACUCCUACUUCUAAUUGGGUAAGGAGAUAGCGAGCUAGAUAGCAUCUCCUACCCAUAUAUAUGGAUUAGAGGACCUGAGUUGGAGUUGUAUAUAGCAUAAUGUACAUUUUGAGACCGGCUGUAUUAGAGAUGUACUAUAUAUUAUGUUCUUUUGGAUUGUAUGGAUAUUGAAUGUAUAUGUAUAGUAUAACUAUAUUUAUAUAGUUUAUUUUACAGGCUCUAAUAUUUGUGAUGUAUAGUUGUAGACUCCUAAAGUCUUUGUUAGUUGUGGACUCUGAUGACUGAUUUCAUUGAGACAGGUGAUUAGUGACGUUUCGUAUGUGCAAGGAAUUCUUGUACAUACGGCGGAUCUGUUGACAUCUCCGAAAGCUUUUGCUGUAAUCUGGGAUAUUAGUUAAUGAUUAUGCUAGCUCUUACUACAACAAUCUUAUAAUUCAGUAAUAUACUAUUAGAAGCAUGCACAUAACUAACACUAAAAAUAAUUUUUAGUAAUAUAAUUUUAUAAAUAUUAUUGAAUAUAUUUAUUUAUCAAUAUUUGGACCAUAAUAAUACUAAAUAUAAAAAAUUAAUAGGCUUUGUUUUUAAAUGUAGCAAUAAUUUAAUAAUAUAACAUAAGAAAUGUUAGUAUACAAAUUAAUUUUUACCCUAUAUACUACUCGCCUAAAAUAUUUUGCCCGGCCACGUCUCAAUUCCUCCUUCUUAUGCAACAUCCAAGGAAGGUGAUUAACUCGUCACCUCUUCACCUUCUUUCUUUACAAAUCAAUUGAAGAAACUGCUGCCGCUCUCUCGUUUCAAUUUUAGUAUAUAUUCUGAUCAUUUUGAUUGCUAUCAUCUAUAAUACAGUUUUUGGGACUGCCACAUGAUUUAAAAAGUUGCGACGAUUGUUCAUUUCGAACAUAAAAUUUAAUAAGAAUGAAUUGAAGGUGCUUAUAAUUAAUCAAGAGAAAUCAGAUAAAUUUAUUGAGUAAACAAUUAAUUUUUCUAUCUUUAUUAGAAAAAAGGGCAUCAUAUUAAUUUAUUUAAUUUUAGUUUUGUUGUAGAACAAAGUUACAGAUAAGAUAUAGAACCAACUGUCAUAUCUCAUACUUUUCUAUAAAACGUUUGUUACAAAAUUAUACAAUAAAUCAAAACUAUAUAUGAGAACUAUUUUAAAUUAUGGUAAAUUAUAGAAUUGACACUACUAUAAAUUAUAAUGCAAAAAUAACUAGGACACGGGCUAAACUGCGCGCACGAAGGUUUUUCAUGAUGGGAUUUGUAGAAUGAAAUGAAAUGGAUGGUCAGUAAGCGGCCGGGUCACCUGUGCUGUUAUUGUCGUUCUAAUAAUAUUUUUUUCCUCUCCCUAGCUAUCAUUUUCCUGUCUUUUCCUUAGGCCCUUGCACCCGAUAAACUCCCCCAUAAUAACUGUAUGCUAAUUAAGGCUUGCUUUAGUAUUGUGGAUGAAAUGCGUUGGCGCAAUGAAAAAAUGUAUCAAAAACAUAUUUCAUUGGGUGUCGUAAAUAUAUAAUAAAAUAUUAUUAUAUAUGUACGGAUCACACUCAUUCGGUUAAGAAAUAAUUUUGACGAUAUUGAUCCUACCUAAAAAUAGAGAGUUACAAUUUCUCUUCAUCCAGCAUUACUAGAUGAUGCGCAAUACAAAACGGAUUGGAAUCUCAUAUUCUGCUAUGAUUAGUAUGGAUGGAUAGUUGAUAGGAUGCAGCGGGCCACCGGAAGUAAUAAGUCGCAACUUUAUUCCUCCCAGCAAAGAGAUAGAGAAUUUCCACAGCUGGAGCCAUGAAAGAAGUGAUCGUCGCUGCUUUCUUUUCAGAAAGAAACACACGUAGUCAACCUGAAAGUUUAAUUCCUUUAGAACAUGAUUCAUCUCUUUUUAUCUGAAAGUCGCUGUUCUUCCGCACCCUUCAUUUUUCAGUUGGCCCACUACUUUGUCACCGAAUGGUUAAGCGAUCAGCGAUGUACCUUAUUUUAUCGGGAUUCAAAAGGCACUUUCGCCUUUUUUAUCUGUGUUUGACUUGGCUUUUAGAACAUUUCUCUUUAUUUGAGAAGCUUCCAUAAGUAAAAAGUUUAGAAUAUCUCAAAAGACGACUAGAAAUUAAAACUAAACUAUUAUUUGGCAAAGUUUAGUCAGUAGAUUUCUAAUGAAAAAAGCUUUCGGUAGUUACUAGUAGGGGACUUGUUGUGCUGUUAGGAGCACGGGGAUGUUUCUAAGCGUUUUCGAUAAUUAAACUAUCGAAUCGACGAUCAGCUCAGGUAAAUUUAAUCUCACGUAUAAAAUAUCUGGAAAAUAAAUUUUACAUUUUUUUGAAAUUAUCUAAUGAUCGAAAGGGUUAAAAAUCAAUAUUUUUUAAUGAUUGAUGUAUGAUAUUUGUAAAUUUAAUGAUGUAGAAAUAUUCAAAUCAGAUAAAAAUUUUGAUAGAUUUUUUUUUUUACUAUCUACAGCAAGAUUAAUAUCUCUGAUCGAAAAGUUUAGUAUUAUAUAAUAAUUUUGUAUGAGAUGUUUAUUUCUAACAGCUGAUUUUGAAUUAUUUAUAUCACUAGAUAAAUGAUGUUAAAAAACCACAAUAUUUAUUUUCUAGAUAAUUUAAAUACGCUAAAGCCGAUUCUUGAUUCAAAAGUUUCAUUAUUGAAAACGACAAUAACACACGUGUUCUCUGAUAGCUACGGAAUGUUCUUGAAAAUUACAUAUUUAAUUUGUAGAAAAAGCACAAAAAGUUAGGCAAGAAAAAGUAAAUUUCAUUGAUGGUCCCAAGAAGAUGAAAUAAUAAUGACAUGGAAUCCUUGCUAUUGCCACAUCUAGAAAUGUCAGCACCAUAUCACUGCCAUGUCACUAGCAGGAAAUAUAUUAAACGCUUCUAGAAGUUUUAAAUUAUACAUUGAAGAUAAUUUAUAAUAGAAAAAAGAAAAAAAAAACUACAUACAAAAAAUUGUAAUUUUUAGAAAUCUAUAUCUUGAGCCUUCAAUGGGCUUUAUUAAAAAUUCUAAAUCAUUAUUUUUAACAUGGCGUGGAGGUUGUUUGAUUCUACAUAAAACUAUGAAAAAAUAAUUUAAAAACAAAUUUGUGAAAAAAAAAAUAUAGCGAUUUGCACUUGUUUGACUGAAAAAAGAAAAUAAUUUUUCCAAGCCUAUUUGUUUAUUUUAUAGUAAUAGAAAAGGAAAAUUGUGCUUAGGGUUUUCUACUUUAUAUAUUGCUUGGUUACUUGGAAAUAUUGGAAUAUUGAUCCCUUCCAUAGAAGAAUGGUAAAGAUUACCAUCCUAUAGUAUAUAUAUUUCAUACUUAGAUUUCUUUUUUCAUAUAGAUUUUAGAUAGGAUAUUAUUCAAAAUAGGCACUAAAAUUACUUAAGUUAUUAUGUAAUUAUAGUAUUUAUGUUAUAUGUAGUUACUGUCAGAUUGUUGGCGCUAACAAUUAUUUUCAAAAAUUCGAACUGCUAGAAAGAUAUAAUCAAUUCAUUUAAAACAUAUAGACACAACUGUCACACCCCGAAACCGCUACCAAUUCGGCCCGGUUCGGGCGCGUCGAACAGACGCCGAACGGACAGUACCUCUCCUGUCCGCCCAAGGCUAAGCAACCAGAUCAUGUACAAUUAAGUACCCAGGAAUUUGCUUAAAUAACAUACAUGAUCAAACACGAUGCACACAAGUGCAAUACAUCUAAGAGCAAGAAACACAAGUAAUAUACAAGUAUAUAAAGAGAGAUAGUCUAACUAUCACAAUCAUUCAACAUUUACAUCAUUUGAAUAUAUUACNUAUUCUAUCUGCCCCGUUUCACACAGAAAAUUCUAAAUCUUCUGUUUUCGCUCCGAUUUCAACACGGGCCAUUCCAGACUUAUAUUUUAUGUCUAUAAGUCCAAUAAAAUAGUAUUUCACACAAUUUUUAUUUAUAUGUAUUUUUAUAUUAAAAUUUCAGCAUAUUACACCCCACCGCAACUUCAUAAUUUAAGAAGUUCGGUACCUUACAACAACGUUCAUGGAUUUUGAUUGUGUCUCGACCCAACUAGCUUCUCAUCACUUCGAAAAUGGCUCAAUUUAACCUAACCUUUGGUCAUUUCGAAUAGAAUAUUACUCGGCCCAACCUGGCCUCGGCCAUAGGACAGGAUAUUGGCACCUCUACGCCAACAAUUCCUGCCCCCUCUCCCUCUCUCCCUCCCCGCCCUUCGCACCUGCACAAAUUUGCAGAAUGCGGGAAUCAGAUCUGCGAUCUUGGACUCCGAUAAUAAUUCUCAGAGUUGCCUCUAUCUUUCUUAUUAGAGUUGAGGGCUAUAUUUUUUGUUUCGAUAUUGAUAAUGGAAAUUGAAGGUUUCGUCUUCAAUCGUAACUCAUAAGUUAUGAUAGAUCCUAUGAGUUUCUCCAAUAAAAAUUUGUCGGGGUCACGCGCUCUUGAAUGGCAGCCAAUUGUUGUUCCAAAAAAUUUUGAGAAAAAAAAUUGAGUAUUUUUCUUACUAGAUCUACAUCAGAAAAAGCCUGUUCCCAAACCUUUAGACAACUAAUAAUAUUAAUAAAUCUAGAAUACAUAUUAGCAAUACUUUUAUUUACUUGCACACAAAAUAUUUUAUAAUAAGGAAUAAGCAUACUUAUUUUGGACUCUUUUAAUUGAUUUGCCCCCUCUUAAACAAUGACUAAUUAUUUUCAAUUUUUUUUUUUUAUAAUUUUGCACAUAGAGAUCUAGUUUAACUUGUUUGAAUCAAGAACACAAUAAGAGAAUAUUCAUUGCUUUAGAGUUCAAAUUAAAUUUAACCUUACCCUAAGCCUUUCAUGUGCUAGUUGCCAUGGUUUGUUUGAUGUAGCCAUUUCUUAUAAUGUCCCAAAAAUCAAAAUUUAAGAAUUGUAGAAAAAUUUGCGUCCACACCUUUUAAUAGAUGUGGUUACUUAUGGUAAAGAAGAGAAGAUGGAAAAUGGAUUGUCCUUCUAUGUUUUUUUUUUUGUGAGAAAGAUAGCAUACUACCUGCUUCGUUUAUUUCAUUUAGAAAUAAACUUAGCUAGAAAUGUGAAUCAACUAGGAUUCGAACUUGGGUCUCGGGUACCAACCACCAAGCCCUUUGCCACUUGCGCUAGGGUGGUCGGUGAUUAUCCUUCAAUGUUAGCAUGAAAAGCUGUCAUCUUAUAAGACAAUUUGUCUGCAAUAGUGAGACCUAGACUCUGAUAGCAAAUGUCAGAUUUUUGGUGCUAACUAUUAAUUUCAAAAACUCGAGCAGUUAGAAAGAUGUAACCAAUUCACUUAAAACAUAUAGACACAGCGUAUGCAGGUCUCGAUUGUGAUUCGAAGCAACCAGCAUCCUGCCACUUCAAACAUAACUUUGCCCAAUCUGACUUCCGGCCUUCUACCGUACGGUAGGAUGCUAGCCUCGCCUAAGUCAAUAGUUAUGUGUUCACUACUUAGGCGGCCAGAGUAGAUAAAAGAAAUUGUUCUCUACACCUGGAGUAUCCUAAAAUCUAUGCAACAUGUAUGCUUUAUUUUAUCUAUUUUUUCUCAAUCAAACUGUGAAUCCCUUGCAUACAUAGCGGGUGUUUGAUCUAGAUUCUGGAAAGUCAUUUUAGGCUAAAACUGAAUUUUUCUUUAAUAGAGCGUUUAAUAAUCACAUUUUCAAAUCUAAUUUUGACUUUUAAAAUUAAUUUUUUAAUUUUAGAUGCUCAAGAUCAGAAGUUAAAAUUUUCUAUCUUCUUGACAUCUGAUUCUGAUUUAAGAUUUUAAUUUUAAAUUUUGAUUUCAAUUUAAAUUCAUAUUUUAAAUUUAAACUUAAAUUUUAACUUUUCAAAUUUUAAUUCAAAUUUUCAAAAUUUAAAAUUUUAUUUAACAUAUUAAACUUUAAAUUUCAAACUUCCAAUCAAAUAUCAAAUUUCAGAAUUUGAAAUUCAAAACUGUAAAUUUCAAUUUUAGAUAAAAUUUAAAAUUGAAAAUUGAAAAUAUAAAUUUGAAUCUUAAAAUUUAAUAUCCAAAUGUAAAAUUUCAAAUUUCAAAUUCUAAUGUUGGGAAAUAGAAAUAAAAUUUAAAAUUUAAAAUUUAAAUUUCAAACAUUAAAUUAUGAAAUUAUAAAUAAUAAAUUUUAAUUUAAUAUUUCAAAGUUUAAAUUUUAAAUUGUGAAAUUAUAAAUUUUAAUUUUUAAUUUAAAAUUUCAGAUUUAGAUUUUAAUAUUUGAUUUAAAAUUUUAAUUUUGAAUUUAGAUUUUAUAUAUAUUUAAUUUUUAAAUUUAUAUUUUGAUUUUAAAUUAAAAUUUUUAUAUUUUGAAAAUUCAAAAUUUAAAAUUUUCUAGUUAUUAUUUUUAAAUUGAAAAUUUUAGGAUUUAAAAGUUAAACUUUUUAUUUUUAAAUUUUAUAUUUUAAAUUUCAAUUUCAAAUUUCAAAGUUUUAAUUUAGAAAAUUUCAAAUUUAAAUUAAGAAAUUAGAUUUAAAUUUUAAAUUUUAAAUUUUAGACAACAUAUUUUAAAAUUUAAAAUUAUCAAAAUUUUAUAUUUACAUUUUAAAAUUUUAUAUUUACAUUUUAAAUGCAAAUAUCAAGUUUUAAAUUUUGGAUGAGAUUUUAAAUUUAAAUUCAAAUUUUAUAUUUGCAGAUCGUAAAAUGUUUUGCUCAAGAACUUUAUAAAAUCACUUCAAAAAAAUUAUUUUAUUUAGAUUCUGCUAAAUGCUCUACUGCUUGAAACUAAAAUUACUUUCUCCAAGUCAAAAUUACUUCUCCAAAAAUCUCUUCCCCAACAGUUACAGUGCAGAGGCCCAUAAAUAUAUAUACGUAUAUAAAUUAUUAUAUGAUAAAUAUUUAAAUUAUAAUAUAAAAUAUAAAUUAAUUAGCAUUGUGGUGCUUAAAUAUGUGAUGCACCUGGUCCAACUAUAUUUUACAUUUGGGGCAUAUUUGUUUCACGGUAAGUGGGAGGGGCAGAAGUGAUUUUCGGCGAAAACUGAUCACUUUUUGCUAUUUGGUUCACCGUAAUAUUAUUACGAUCCGAAGUCCAGUUCAUCCAAAAUACCGAAAUUGACUUUGCUAUGGUGAUGUAGAAGUAAUUAAUUUUUUAUUGAGAUUAUAUGUCUAAAAUAUAAUGAAAUUUGGUUAUUUAAGUUUCAGUAUGUCUUUUAUUUAAUUUGUUAAAUGUUAAUAAUUCUUUAAAUUUAGAAUUUUAUUUGUUGCAUUAUAUAAUUUAUAUGCAAAAAAUUUAAUAUAAUUAUUUUAAAUUUUAUUUAUAAUUAUAUAUACAUAUAAUUAUAUUAUUUUUUAUUUAUUAUAAUUUAUUAUCUAUUAGGUUGCAAAAUAGACAAUAAUAUCACUUAGGAUGUAAGUUUAUUGGGGGUAUGAAGAUUAAAUAAUUUUCGGUGAAACAAAUAAAGAAAGUGAAGAACUACACACUUUAUAUUCUCUACUUCCUGCCAAACAAACAGCAGAACUUCACUUCCACAGUUAGAAACAAACAGCGGAUGUGAAGUAAUUUUCACUUGAAUUCUAUUUCAAUCCAAAAUCCAUUUUAACCCAAAAUCUACUUAGAGUGAAACAAACAAGACCUUGGAGAGCAUGGUGGUGAAGAGAUCACGAGGCAAAAGAUUUUUCCGGCUCACAGUACAGGAAAAACACUAGCCGGUGAAAAUUAUUUUUCAUUUUCCAUAGUUUCUUCCCAAAAAACGAAAAGCUUAUUUUCUAUCAAAAUCUGAAAAAAUAUUUUACACAUGUUAGCAAGAGAAAAAUAGUGUCGGCGAGUAGAUGACUUAGUAUAAGAGUUUGUCCUACGUGGACGAAUUAAAAGAUGACACAUGAUACAUCAAGUUCCGCUGUAAACGCGAAGCCCCUAGUCAGGAAUAGAAGAGAACAUGGUGCGGCCAAUAAAAAUGCGACUGGAGCAUUUCCGGCAGUGCGAAUCAUCUAAUAAUUGCAAGCAAAUUUCAACAGGUUUUGAUUUCUUCUUUUCUACAUCAAAACCAAAUUUCAAAAAAACAAUAGCAAUCAAAAUAAAAUAAAAUUAGCAGAGAAAAAAAUAGAGGAAUUUUUUUAAAUUUCAUUGAAAUAUAAAAUCUCACCUGAAGAAGGCUUCGGAUUCUUAACUCUUUGAUUCAUCAUCACUUGCUUCUAUUCUACACUAAAUCAAAUCAAAAUUGUAAAAAUUAGUAUUAGAAAUUAUUAAUAAUGAUUUGGAACGUAUAAAUGCUACUUUAAUUCUCAAAGAUAAUGCAUCGAACGGCUGGCGUGCAUUGUAAACAAUCCUGAUGUCGCAAUAUCCAAACAAAUGUAGUCUUGCAUACCUCUUCCUAAAUCUAAAGAAACGAAUUCAUAUUAAAAAGAUUGAUUAAAAAGGAAAAAAAAAUCAUAGAAAGAUAAAGAGAGGAUUUUAGAAUACCGACGAUGAAGAAGUCGAAUUGGACGUCAAAGGCGACAGAGGAGGAGGUUUGAGAGGAGAUAGGGAAGCGAGCGCUGCAAUCACAGCCCAUGGACAUGAGGCCAUGGCGAGGGGCAACGUAGAGGUUGCAGUGAAGCUUCUUGGCAUAGCAGCGAAUGCUCUAGCAACCUAUAUCACAUCCACCAAAAAUUACACGAUCAUCAACUUCUCUAUUAAUGGGGAGAGAGAGAGAGAGAGAGAGAGAGGAUGAAGAGAAGAAGAAAACGAAGAGUUUAAGGUAGAAAAAGAGUAAUUAGGAUUUUGGAAAGAGAUGAGGGUAGGUGAGGGGGUGUAUGAUGAGUAGAAGAUGAUGGGAGAUGAGAAGGUGUAUGUUUUAAAAAAGUAUGAAGGUUUUGAAAAAGUAUGAAAGGUUGGGAGAUGAGAUGGUGUACGUUAUGAAAAAGUAUGAAGGGUAGGGAAAUGAGAGAGUGUACAUUUUGAAAAAGCAUGAAGGAUGGGAAAAUGAGAGAGUAUACGUUAAAAAAAAAAUAUGAAGAAAGGUGAAGGGGUGUACGUUUUGAAAAAAGAUGAGAGGAUGUGAAGGGAGGUAAAAGGGGUGUACAUUUUGAAAGAGAUGAUAGAAAAGGUGGAGCCUACAACCCAAACAACUCAAGUGAAGUAAAUAUAGCCACAAGAAACAUUUUAUCAGGGAUUAAUAUAAUAGUAUAGAUUUUUGCCUCUUAUGGACCUAGUGGUGUAGACCGUCAGCAUUGACAAUCGUACUUGCUGGAAACUAUUGAUUAUAGUUCUCAUACCUUCUUUAUUAGUAUUUUAUGUCAGAGCCUUUAGCACCAGCGACUAAUCAAGAUAAGAGGAUUGCGGAUAGUUAGCAUCUCUUAUACUUUUUGUGUGUGAAGUUGGACCACCUAUCAGUGUAUAUAGCAUCCUGUACAGUGCUUUAAGGUUUGGACACUACAACAGAAUUAGGUUAUAGCGACACAUGUUUGGGACACUUUUGUAUAAAUGUCACAUUUAUGCCAAAAUUUAAAAAAAUUCUACUAAUGCCUAAAUAUAAAGUCCAAUCCAACUAAAAAUAAAAGGGUACUCUCCUCAACCCACUCCACUUAGCCCAUUCGGUCUGAUUACAAACAAAAAAGAAAAAGAAAAGAAAAAUCGAUUAUCAUUUUCCCUUCUCCCCUCACUCAAUCGACUGAAAUCCUAGACGAAGAUCAUUUCCUCUCGUCCUCCUCCGCCACCGCAGCCAACGAGGUAGAGUUCCGGCGGUUGCUAGAUACUUAAAUAAAUAUUGGUAAAUUAGCAGCACUCUUUUAGAUUAUAGCAACACUCUUUAACUGUCACUAUAUACCUAGCGACCCCACAUAUAGCAACACUUUUCAAAACUGUCGGUAAAUUUAGCCAGCAGUACUUUUUUGACCUAUACCGACAUUUAAAAGUGUCGCUAUAGACCGUUUUUGUUGUAGUGGGAGUGGUCAGAGAUGUUGUACCAUUUUGAGGACAUGUGUGGUGAUGAUUGUAUAUCUUUACAGUGUUGCUAUAGUAUAUAGUUUUAUUUUUCUCCGAUACCUACUGUUGUUAGAUUUUAGUUAAUUUUGUUGGACAGAUUUUAUUGAUGCUUCAUAUGUAUAAGGUGUAUUCCUGUGCAUGCGUCGAAUCUGUUGACAUAACCCGGACUUCUGCUGUAUUCCAAUGCGUGACAUAUAUGAAUUUCAAAUUUCAUGAAAGGAAAAUAUUUUUCCCAUCUACAAAUUUUACAGCAUUAUAUAAUGUACAUGAAUCUUCCUCAUCAAUUAAAAUGCGUCAUAUUAUCAUUUAUGGAGAGAAGCGAAUAGUCUAGGCACUCUACCCAUGAAUUGAAUAUAGCGAAUUGUAAAUGUAACCUAAUUAAAAUGCUUCAUGUUAUCAUGUAGGUAGAAUGGUGUAAAACAUAUAAUUAAGGGGCCAUUUGGAGUAAGUGGAGGAAUAGAAUCAAAUUUUAUUAUUUUCGCUAUUUGUUUUGAUGUAAAUCAAAAAAAAAAAAAACAUGUUUCAUUAAAUCUCCAGUUCAUCUACUCUUGGCUUCCCUGUCUAGAGUACCAAGCUCAAAUUCCACACCACUCAGCCUUCUCUAAAAAGUUAAAUAAAUAUUAGAACCUAAAGUCUACUUCUUUCACAACGGAUUAGAAUUAUCAUGUAACACACUGAACUUUAGCAAAUUGCAAGGUUCAAGUGUUGAUCUGUGUUCUGAGCUUUUUCAGGUUUUCUGGAGGGUCGUUCACAGUGAUCCGACCCAUUACUCACGUCUCGAGGAGCGAGGAUGUGUACUUAGCACCAAAACCUUCAAACUGUAGGUUUUGGGGUGCUGGGUACCGGUACCAGAGAUGAGGUACUGGAACUGCGUCGCGCACCCGAGAAGAGUGCUCUCGGUUUUGAGCUCUGCGAGACAGAGUACUGGUACCGCAUUGCCCGAGUACCGGUAUUGGACGUGGUACAGGUACUGCAUCACGCGGGUACCGGUACGCAGUGCAUUUUCUCGCCAAUCCGAGGCUCGGGUUUGCGCAGACUGCUGCUUGGUACCGGUACUCUUUGCCGCGUACCGGUAUGCAGUGCAGUUCGCAGACUGCUAUUUUUGAGAGUUCUCUUUGCAAUUGUUGCAACACUUUAUAUACCCCACACCCUUUGGCUGGGGCUUAUUGUGCUGCAACCAGAGAGGAGAAGAGGUAGGGCUCCUCUUCUUUUUUCCUUGGUUUUUCCCCUCUCCUUUGCUUUGCAUUUGAGGUUUGAUCUCUCCACUUGCUUUCUUUUUGCUUUUUGGUGACCUUUCCACCAUGGGAGAAACUUUGGAGCUUGGAUAGGAGCUUGUUGGAGGAGAGAUCUUCAACCCUAACUUGUUUUUAGCUUGGUUUGGGGCUUCUAAAAAGGUCAGUAACACAUUUCCUUCAUUUGAUUCAUAUUUUGGUGGAUUUCUUGAGAUAAAACCCUAGAAAUGAGAAAUCUAGGGUUUAUUUCGGGAUUUUUGAUUUGUAACUUUUGGAGCUCAAUUGAUUGGUUUAGAACCUUCAUUUAGGUUGGAAUAGAAGGGUUCUAUCUCUCAUUUGGAGAUUGAGAGAGACUUUCACUAUACAAGGUGAGCUUUGCCUUUUUCUUGGAUUGGUUAAUGUUUGAUUUUAGAGGUGUUCGUUCAUUGCGUUUAACUCUCUUAGAAUUACCUUAAGGGAGCUAGGAGGCUAGUGGACACCUCCUUUGCGUAAACGAAGGGUUGCGAGGAGUUCUUGGUGGGUUUAACCUCACCGAAAUUGGUGAACUCCCCCUAUAUUAUUUUACUUGUUGUAAAAUAAAAAAUCAUGUAUAUUCAUACUAGAUAGAGCAUAUGUGAAUUUUAGAAUGCUUAAAAUACAUAUGUUAGAUAUCAUGAAAAUUUGACCUCUAUAUAGUAGAGAGCUAUGUAUAUAGAAAUCAUGCAAGUGAAUGACAUUCUCUUAUGUAACUUGGAAUCAUGUUUCAUACAAUGAAAAUGACUAGAAUAGUAUGCUCUUGAACAUAAAACUCAUAUUUGAUAUAGUGGACAAAAAUGCCAUAAAGAGAUAUUCAACCUAGUGAAUGGUUAAACUUCUACAUGAUGACAUAGUAAUAGGCCUUUGGAUCACUAGCUUUUAUACCAUGUUUUAGACAUGAUGACAUUGGACUUGAGACGGAUGAUUACGCUUGCUUGUCAUUGUGCUCAUUCGUACAUUCUUGUGAGGGUCGCUCCCCACAAGCCAGUACUCCGGAGAUAGCUAUCGCUACAUAAGCUCGCCCGUGCGGGAUUAGGCGCUGAAAUGGAAUGCCGUGGGUGAGGCUCAUUCCUAGGGUGGGAAUGUUGACUACCACGGGGCCAUUAGGCACGGCGCAAGCCGGACUACCUUGUGUAGGUCCUAUAUGAUUGGAACAAUGUUGAACUAAAAUGCAAAAUGGACAUUAGACUAUUUGUAAUGUUGACAUUCUACUAGUUGCAUUGUGGACAUCAUGCUACUUAUAUAUGUGUAUGCUCAUUCAUAUUAGAACAGCAAUUAUACUUGUGCAAAUUCAUGCUAAGUAGUGGCAUAGUAGUUUAGCAAGUUUUACUCAUGCUUAUUAUACAUGUUGUUCAUUUCUUUUAAAUGUUAGAACUUACUACUUAUGCCUCCUUCGCUUAGUGGUGUAUUUCACUGAGAUCAGCGGUUUGCAAACUGGAAACUAUUGAUUAAUAGUUCUCACGCCCUCUGUUUGUUGUUUUUAUUUUAGAGCCAUCAGAACCGGGAGAGGCUCGGGAUCGCGGAAAGGGAAUCGCAUCUAGCUAGAUAGCGAGGAGUAUUUUCUUUAGGUGGUCCAUCUCUCUAUUUUUAUAUCUAUUGUAAGGAGUGAGAGUUUUGUAUCCAUGUGUAGAGACCACCAUAUUUGUAUACCCAGCACUUAUAGUUGGAUCCUAUUGAUAUACUACUUUAUGCUUUAUUUUAGUGGAUUAGUUCUUUGAUACUCUACUUGACAUUAGAAUUUAGUUGUUGUAUUCAUGCUCUGAUAUCCCUAAUUGCUUGUUUAUUAUUACUUUAAUUAUCCCAUUGCUGUAGACGUCUUAUAUGUUGUAGGGAUAUGGCGAGUCUGGACACGCACCAGGCGGGCAUCCGCUGGGUUCCGGGGUGUGACAUACCUCCUUCAAAAUAAGUUAGAAUUACCUUUGAAUAAUAAUGGAGAAUUUUAUUAUUUAAUAUGUUGAAUUUUGUGGGGAUAAGCUUACCACUUUAUUUAGGAGAUAACUGAAUUUAUUUAUUUACAUCAAAACGAACAACGAAACUCAAACAAUUAGUUACACUAGUAUCAAAUUACACCACAAUAAACAUAACAAGUGCUUAAAUUUAAUUUGUAGGCUAGGAUAUAUGAGUUAUGUCAAAACAAACAAUGAAAAAAAAAUAAUACUCCAGAAAAACUCCAAUACUUCUGCACAUGAGUUAUGUUGGAUCUAAGGAUUCGUCAAUCCAAACGCCUCCCAAUUGGAAAAAAUAAUAUCGUCUCCACUCUCAGUACAGCCACUUGAAACAAAAAUUACAUAUGCCUUUCAGUUUAUCGUACGAGAUGCAUAAAAUUUUAAAACAGUGAUGCGCGUAUGUACAGUGAUGCGCGUAUGUACAGUUAACUUGAUAGUUUUAUGCUAUCCACAUUAUUUUUCUUUUUUCCUUUUUGUUUUUUCCUUCCAGUUAAGCACCCCCUCGUGUUAUCCGCGGAGCUUGCAUGCAUGGUCACGUCACCUUUAUUUGUUGGCUCUCGCAUUUUAUGCUUCCUUUGCGCAUGCACCUACGAAUGUUCACCAGAAGCACGCAAAUUAAAGGGGCUGUUGCUGUGUCAAGCUACUACUUGUCUUGUGGUGGCUAAGCAACGAGGCGAAUGUGUGCUAGCUCACGUUGCUCGUGAUUCGGUAAGCUUGUUCCCUUAUCCCUUCAACAAGUAAUUAAUUAUUCCACUAUCCUUUAAGCUUUUCCUUUUUUUUUUCUUUUUUUUUUUGGUUUCUUUCCUUUUAAGGAUUCGUGAACGCAAUGGCAUGGCCAUUUCCAUGCAGGUUAGCUUAUAAUACUUGCCUGAGACCAUAGUGGAUAAUCAUGUACUGCUUGCACCUAAAUUGUUUGAAGUAGUAAUCCAAACAAAUCUGAAAAUGUAGUGUUAAAGUUUAUUCAAAUAAGAGUUUGUUUUUAUUUGUCUAUAUAGGUAAAAUAGAAUUAAAGUAUUUCUGCUUAUCUAAUAUUAGUAGCAAGAUUCAAAUUAGCUUCAAAAUGCAUACUUGUACGGCCGAAGUGUUUUUUUUUAGAGAGAGAGAGAUAAUUAAUGGGCAACAUUCUAACGCAGUGUUCUUUAUUUUUAGAGAGAAUGGAUAACAUGCUACUGCUUCGUUCAUCUUUUAAGAUAUUGUUGCUGUAGAAAAAUAUGGUUCUAACUAGUGGUUGGCUCAGCACAUGUGGUCAAAUAGGAGGGUGACACAUGAUACACCAAGAGCUGAGAAAAAGGAGCCCAAAGAUAAAUAGAUUUUGGGCGGAAACGGUUGAGAGGCGAGGAAGUGAUUUUGUAAAGCGACAAUUGCCCAAUAACUAUAGGACAACUAAAAAUAGAUAACAAGCCUAUAAACAGCCAAAAGUUGCCUGCGAUGGAGGUCUUUUCCCGGAUUGAAGACCAUUAUUUUUAAACCUUUUUUUUUUUUUUCAUCCCAGUAUUUACAACAUUUUAUAGGAGAAGCUUUAGCCUUAAACUUUAGUUCUUAGUUUUUAGCCAAGAACUCUGUAACUCGAGCCCUCGCGCUUUUUUCCUUAGUUUAGCUCUGGCUUCAGCCGACUCUGUUUGAAAGUCUUGAGUUUGACUUGUCUCUAAAAAGCUUUUAUGUAUUUGUGAAACGGUUGAGUAGGUCCCUUCUCAACCUAUUGCUUAAUUUUACCAAUCGAGAGUCAUUCUUGAGCCGAUUCAACUUUUGGCAUGGUGGGACACUCAGAUAAAAGUUUUCAAACUUUUCUACAUUUUCUAGAAAACCCGAGCUUAGAAAAAUAUAGCUGAAGAUAUCGAUUACGGAAUGCAUCUCCAUAAUUUAAUCAUCCCUAAGCCAUCAAGCAGUGAACAAGCACGACAACAGAAUUAAGUUACAGGGAUACAUUUUUGAAACACUUUUGUGUAAGUGUCCAUUUAUGCCAAAACUUUUUUUAAAAAAAUUUAUUAAGGCUUAAAUAUAAAGUCCAAUCCAAUAAAAAAUAAAAGGUUAAUUUACUCAACCCACCCCACCCAGCCCAUUUGACCUGAUUACAAACAAAAAAGGAAAAAAAAAAAAAUCGAUCACCAUCUCUCAUUCUCCCCACACUCAAUCCACUGAAAUCCUAGACGAAGAGCCCCUCGCUCUCCUCCUCCUCCGCCACCGCAGCCGACGAGGUAGUGUUCUGGUAGUUACUAAAUGCUUAAAUAAGUGUUCGUAAAUUAGCAGCAUUCUUUUUAGGUUGUACCGACACUCUUAAACUGUUACUAUAUACCUAGUGACCCCACAUAUAGCAACACGUUUUAAAAGUGUGGAUAAUUUAGCCAGCAAUACUUUUUUUUGAUCUGUACCGACAUUUAAAAGUGUCGGUAUACACCGUUUUUGUUGUAGUGUAGGCGAGUAAUGCCAAAAAUGCAAAUGAGCAACAGUCAAAACUACUUGUAGGAUUAGUGAGUGUUGGACAUUCAGCUCAAUGGAAGUCAAGUCUUCUCAAUGCACUCGGACAAAUGACUUGAGUGCUCCAAAAUCUAGAUCAAAAUAGCUAACAUAAUACUACUUGCUUAGACGUGAUGUUAGCUACAAUAAAAUCUACGAGCGAGGGGAUAGCACACAUUGGGAAUAUAUUAGCCCGCAAUGAACAACACAAGGAGGACCCCAAUAUCCAGCAGGGCUGAAUCAACGUGAAGGACAAAAUGUUCUUCAAGUGAACCCCUCAUGUAUAGCAAAAUCCUAUUGUUCUGGCAAUAGAGUUUGCACAGCUCCAGAUAGCAUCUCUUAGGCUAUCUAUAGGUUGGUAAAUUCAAGCUUAGGUCCUCAACCAGUGGUUACCUAGGGUUUACCUCCUCCACCUUCUUUCCUAGUCUAUCGACCUCAAAAUAUAUGCACGAAGGCUGGGAGGUAGGGCCCUAAUUUAGGGUAGUUCCAAAAUUCGUUGGUCGAGAAUCUUUAGUUUCCCGUAAAACCAAAUGGAAAUUAGGUGCAAGCACCACAAGUUGGAAACAAUAAGCUUUACACUCAGAUUGAUAAAGCAAUUAGAAACAUUUUUGGUGUUCGUGCAUGACCGGCUAUGUGGCCAGUUUUUAGCUCCUUGCAUCCAGUUAUUGAUACAGAGCAUCCUUAUCUAGAAAACUAAAAAAUGCUAAAAUUUGAUUUCUCUGGCAAGGAGUCUAAAAAAAUUGUAGAACACAUAGCUCAGUUCAUAGCCUAAUGCAGAGGAGAGGUCGUUGAUCCAUUUUUAAAAUUAAAAAGAUUCAACACAUCAUUGACUAAAACUGUGUUCACUUUGUAUACAAGCUUGCCUAUCAAUCUAUCCGAGAUUGGGAUGAAUUGGAAUGCAGGUUUCAUGAACAAUUCUUUAGGUCAAAGAUAGAAAUAUCAGUGGUUGACUUGGCAUUAUAAAAGCAAAGGCUGAAAGAAACAAUUGAAGAAUAUUUGAACCAUUUCAAAGUUGAAAGAAAUUGGUAUUUUGUAAGAAUGCCAUAAUCAGAAUUUGCUAAGAUGACUUUCAUUGGUCUUCCUUUCAAAAUAGAAGAUCAUUUUCAGGAUAAGUACUUUCUGAACCUUUUUGACUUACGUAUUUGUGGCGAUCAAUGUGAGCAAUUCUAAAAGGGAAGCUAGGAAGAUCAACCAACGCUUACAUAGAAGACAGAUCUACUCAAGAAGAGCCAAGCCAAUAAGCGAAAGCGAGAGUUUGGCUGAUGAAGCCAAAAUUUAUGCAAUUGAGAUAGUGAAAACCGUCAGCCGUAUAAGUGUUUUUUUCUGAAGCCGGCUAAAGCCAAUGAGGCUAAAGCCCAAUGCCAGCUUUCACCUAUCCCUUUGAUAUAGUUAGAACAAAUUAGAUUUUGAGCAGUUGUUUAAGGAUACCAACAUUAAGUUACAAGCAGGGCAGGUCUUGCUCCAGAGUGAUAAAUUAAAAAGACAAUAAGUAUUGUAAAUGGCACAAACUCAUGGAGCCAUGAAAUUAAUAAUUGUACAAGUUUUAAAAGGCAAUUUGGAAAAUAAAUUAAUAAAGAUUGGUUGAUUUUGUCGAUCAAGAAAAUAAAAAUGAAAUACAAAUUGAUAAGAAGUCUUUCCUGCGUAGGUUAAUAUGGUAGACUUCAAAAGAAAGAAACCAAUGUAGGGAGAAGAAUUUCAGAGAGCAGUAGGAGUGGCAAGAAGACAUAUUUGACUUUAUGUACGAUGAAAGGCCGAAAUGAAGAGAAAAAUCUAGGAGGCUAUCAUCAAUGAAAAGAAAACGACUGAAGAAUGGCAGAGUGAAAUAGCAUUCCUCAAAGAGUAGGGAGAUCUUCUAGUUGUAGAAGAUGAUUUGAGUAGAUAUUCGAAGGAAAGGUUUAACGAAAGUAUGGACUCUGAGGAAGACUUGCCGAUUGAAAAGUCUAUAGAGGAGUUUUACACCUCCUACAACCAAAACGACUGGGAAGCAAGUUAUUGGUAGUCCAUGUAAGAACCAAGGCUAUCAGCUAUUGGGAUAUUGAGAAUGAGGUCAAGGACUGAUCUUGAGUUCGAAAGAGUGUCAGAGAAUGAGGUGGAAAUGCUCGGAUAGAAGAUUGUGAAUGGGCUAGGGAUUCACCUCUGCCCGAUCCUAUGGCAGAGAAGGGUCCACACUGGUAUGGCAUUUAUUUCUUGGGCUUGGCAUUUAUUUUUAGAGGCUUGGUAUGAUUUAGUUAAGGCAAUCAUACGCUUCUGGGUAUGAUUUAGUUAAGGCAAUCAUACGCUUCUGGGUCCGCAGGUUGCAAAUCUUUAAUCCUUUCCAACAAGGUCGGUUGGACAACGAGCGCCAUCAACUGGGCUGGAAUCUCGAGAGCAACCACCUCAAGGUUCAUCCGCUCCAUGUCUAACCACAAGGGUGACUGAUUUGUAACCCACAUCGAGAGGUUCUCCGUCGACUUUCUCCUCAAUGCAUCAGUGACCACAUUAGCUUUUCCGGGGUGGUAGAGGAUAUCAACGUCAUAGUCUUUUAACAAUUCUAACCACCGCCAUUGUCUCAUGUUGAGCUCUUUCUGUGUGAACAGAUAUUUCAAACUCUUGUGGUCGGUAUAAAUCUCACAAUGGGCACCGUACAAGUAGUGCUGCCACAGCUUCAAGGCAAAAAUUACCGCCGCAAGCUCCAAGUCAUGGAUGGGGUAGUUCUUUUCAUAGCUCUUCAGCUGACGGGAUGCAUAAGCAAUCACCUUCCCGUUUUGCAUCAAAACACACCCCAAUCCUAGAUAGGAAGCAUCGCUGUAGACUACAAAGUCUUCGCCUUGCAACGGUAGAGCGAGCAUGGGAGUCGAAGUUAAUCUCUGCUUCAGUUCUUUGAAACUCCGGUCGCACUCUUCGCUCCACACGAACUUGGUGCCUUUCUGAGUCAGGCGGGUAAGUGGAAUCACUAUCUUGGAAAAGCCUUCCACAAACCGCCUAUAAUAGCCCGCCAAGCCCACGAAGCUUCGGACCUCCGUGACAUUAGUCGGGCGCGGCCAAUCCUUGAUUGCCUCAACCUUCCUCAAGUCUACAGAAACUCCACCGGCGGAAAUCAUGUGCCCUAGAAAUGCGACUUCUCGGAGCCAGAAGUCACACUUCUUCAACUUAGCAUACAACUCCUCCCGAAGGGUUUGAAACCCUAUCCUCAAAUGCUCGGUAUGUUCCUCAUCACUACGAGAAUAGACCAAUAUGUCGUCUAAGAAGACCACGACAAAUCGGUCCAAAAACUUCCUGAAGACACGGUUCAUCAAGUCCAUGAACGCUGCUAGAGCAUUCGUGAGUCCAAAUGGCAUAACCGUGAAUUCGUAGUGCCCGUACCGGGUACGAAACGCAAUUUUCUACACAUCCUCCGGCUUAAUUUUCAACUGGUGAUAGCUGUACUACAAAUCUAUCUUCGAGUACACACACAACCCCUGCAACUAAUCGAACAAGUCAUCGAUUCGGGGUAGUGGGUACUUAUUCUUAAUCGUGACUCUGUUCAAUUCUCGAUAGUCCACACAGAGUCGGAAUGAUUCGUCCUUCUUCCGUACAAACAAUAUCGGGGCUCCCCACAGUGAUACACUUGGCCAGAUAAAUUGCUUGUCGAGAAGGUCUUGCAAUUGACUCCUCAACUCCUUCAGUUCUGCCGGCGCCAUUCGGUACGGAGCCUUCGAGAUCGGUGCGGUACUGGGAACCAAGUCUAUGACGAACUCGAUCUCCCGAUCCGGUGGUAUCCCAGGCAACUCUGCGGGAAAUACAUCCGGGAACUCCCGCACCACCGAUAACUCCCGCACCACCGAUAACUCCUCCAACGUUGGAGCUAUUCGUUCCACUUCCACAACAGUCGCUAAGAAUGCCGUGCAAUCGCUGUUGACCAACUUUCUUGCUCUUGUCGCCGAUAUCGUCGCGAUGAAGAACGAGCUCUGGCAAGCCCGAUAUGAGAACUCCUUUUGUCCUGACUCACGAAACGUAAUUACUCUGCUCAUGCAGUCGAUCGUUGCAUGAUAUUUCAAGAGCCAGUCCAUGCCCAAGAUGAUGUCAUAAGGCUCGAGCUUCUUGAGUUCUAGCGUCCGAAUAGGCAUUAUCCAGUCGCCUACUUGUACCGGACACGAUGCACACUCCGAGUAGGUAUUAAACGUCGACCCAGGGCCCUCAACUCACCACUCGUCACUCGCCUCUAUGAGUAUGCCAUGCAUGCGUGCGAAUGAUCUACUUAUGAAUGAAUGCGUGGCUCCUGUAUCAAAUAAAGCCUUGGAGCGAACUCCGUUAAUUAAAACCAUAUCUGCCACAAGGCGAUGCUCUUCCGCGUCCGCAGGCUCCUCGGCUUGAACCUGAGCAGCGAAUACCCGACCGCUCGGAGCUGAUCGUGUCACCUCGGGUUGACGCGACAUCAUCGCGCGUCCCAUCGAUGCGGCCGCCGGUGGAGCUCCUCCAUAGUGAGCCGGAAUCGCAGGCGCCGAUGCAGUCGAUGGGGCAGGUGAGGCUCCUCCUCCCGGGCAGUCCCGAAUGAAGUGUCCCGGUUGCCCACACUUGUAGCACUUGCCUCGGCCCUGCUCACAUCGCGAGACCGGGUGGUCUCCGCCGCAUAUGAUGCACCGUCGCACUCCACCGCCCUUUGGCUGAGUCCGCGGAUACUUCGGGGGCUUAUUGGAACGUGCUUGUCCCCCCGAACCGCCGCCGCCUUGGCGUUUCUUGCCUUUGUCCUUGAACUCGGCCAGCAUCUCACGCUUCUCCCGAACGUGGGCAUCUCCGUGCUCCGCCCAAAGUGCUCGGUCGAAGACCUCCGCAAAGGUCGUGAGCUUGAGUAUCUGCACGGCCUUAUAAAUCUCCGGCCGAAGUCCUCGCAAGAACCAAUCGGCCCGGUCCCGGUCAUCGUUCACUACGUCCGGGACACAAUCAAUGAUGUGGGAGAACUCUUGUUCAUACUCCGCCACUGAGUGGUCCCCUUGCUCUAACUUGCGGAACUUCUCCUUGAGCUUCCGCUUCAACGUAUCGGGGAAGUAGUUGGCGAACAUCUCUCGCUUGAAUUCCUCCCACAACAUCGGCGGGAGAUCGGAAGGCCGAUCUCGCUUCACGCGCUUCCACCAUACCUUUGCCGCUUUCUCCAGACAGUGGGUGGCAAGGUACACCUUAUCCCUCUCCAAGGUACGUAGGUCCUUAAAGAGAGUCUCCAUCGAGUCGAUCCAAGACUCGACCAUUGCCGUCUCCACCUUCUCGCCCUCAAAGGUAGGCAGAUGAAAUUUGUUGAACUUGAUAAGAGCCGCCAAUGCGCGCUCUCCUUCCACAUCUUCGGCCGUCACAUCGGGUGUAGCCGAUCCCGACGCCGCCUGUGGUACGAUCGCUUGUGGUGGGCGUGCCGUCACCGGAACCGCCGCUAUACCCUCACCCUCUGCCGCUUCGGGUACAUGAGUCGAGGGUGCGAGCGGACCACCGCCCUCGUUCACCGUCGCAGCCGCCGCUGCAACCUGCCGCUCCAAAAGAUCCUGGAGCCGCUCGAAUCGGGUCUCCUGGCACUGCAUCACAUCGGUCAAUGCAGUCACCUGUGCCCGCAACUGGUCCAUCUCGCUCGAUUUAGCCUGCUCGGGCACCUCGGGAAGCGGUGCCGGAGUGGACCUCGUGCUCGGGCGUCCUCUUGGUGCCAUUGGCUCCUGAAACGCAAGUACUUGGUUAAUUAUCUUAACCCGUUCGCCUCGUCGAAAUUACAACACAUAACGACUCAACAACGAAAUCGGGCGGAAGCACACAAGUGUAGUCGUUCUAGACUCUUGGUAUCAUGUCGUCGGCCACCGACACAACCACCUCAAGCCAAGAACUAGUACCACUUGAAUCCGUCUCUAAUCACAACUAGAGACAUAUUACUAACUUCGACCCAAUCGAAUUAACUUCCGCCACCGUUACAGGUUCACGUUCCGCUCACGCACCUAUAAUCUUAGGGCUCACCAACCUAGGGUCUCCUAGGUUAUCAUAGACUUUCUCUCUUUACUUGCUCUUAUUGCUCUGAUACCAUAUGGCUGUCACGCCCCGCCUCGAAACCACUACCAAUUUGGCACGAUUCGGGCGUUGCGGGCGGACCGCCGAACGGACAGCACCUCCCCUGUCCGCAUAAGGCUCAACAACAGGAAUGUGUACAAGAAUUUACCCAGGAAUUCAAAUUCUAAACAUACACAUUCAACGGGACACAAACAGUGCCAACAACUAAGAGCAAGUAAUCCACGAGAUAUGCAAGUGAAAUAAAGAGAGUACUUUACUAACUAUUACAAUAGUUUUGCAUUCUUUUACUUUACAUCAUUACUCAAAAUAAAUACAGUUGAUCAUCCAAAAUACAUAGCUCUCCAAUCCUCACCUACAAGAAACUCUCAAAUACAUAGGUGUGCUAAUGCAAAAUGGAAAGCUACUAUACUACCACGGUCUCACUGGUCGGGCGCGAUGCUCUUGCCGCGGUCCUCGCUCGGUAAACCUGUACCUACCACUGGAAAUAGAGUGGGGUGAGAACUAUCUUCCAUAGUUCCCAGUGGGCUCGGUCGCCGACUCCGCCGGUCUCCCCACUAGGUCCAAGUGGGCACAAGUAACAACAAGUAGAUAGAUAGAUAGAUAUCUCAAAGCUAUAAAUGACAUAAUAGGAAAUCUAUACUACUAUGCCCAUAAUCAUGUAUAAUGAAUGCAUGCAUCAUAUAGUAAAGGUUUACUACUUUCACGACCCGCGACCACCUGCCUAUUUGGCCGAGGUCGCAGCGCCGCCGACAGACCGCCGAACGGACAGAGUCUCCCCUGUACGUUCUAGGCGUCGCAAUCAAUACAAGUCCAAGAAGUUCCAACCAGGAACAGUAUUCAAGCAAGAUUGCAUAAGGAAGGUAUCAAACAACAUAACACAUCCUAUGUUAUUACAAGCAUUCCCAUUAGAUUAAUUUUUACAUCACAUUUGCAUUAUUACAUUACAUUUUCUUCCAAAUACAAUCAAUGAUCGCAAUAUUAUUACAAGUUUGCUCUUUUUCUUUCCCUCUACCCCUAGGCUAUGCCGACUCGGGGUACCUCUAUCUCUGGUCUCUGGGGUAGGGCGCUAUCUAUGGAGCUACGCCAUCGCCUCGCGCCGUCGCGCCGCUCACGUGCGAACCUGUAACACCCCAAAACAACGUGGGGUGAGAACCAACUCCAUGGUUCCCAGUGGGUACGGCCACCCAAGGGAAAAGCUCGACCAAUAGGUCUAAGGAGGCCCUGCAACAUGUUAGUCCAACAGAUAUCCAACAGAUAUAUAUAUUCAAGUAUUGAAAUACAUGUUGUGCCUCACAAAAUGCAAUAUGAAAUUCAUGCAGUUUAUGCAACCAUGCAACCAACUAGUAGUUCAAUCGAUACUACUUUUAUUCCUGUUAUUCACAGUUCAACCAAUUGACUUCUAAGUUUUCCUCUAUCUUAGAUUCUUGUCAAUUACAAUUCUGCUCAUAGGGUUUAACCUGCUUUUAUAAGCUAUCCACUCGACUCGGUCUUGAGUCAAUCACACGCGGAAUACCGCACAAAGCCAGGCUCAAGGUGAAGGAUGUCUCACAUGCACCUCAGCCCUAAAUCCACUCAACUGGGAUGCAACUAAAACUCAUACCAUGCAUCAAAUAGUAAAGGUUUACUAUCAUGCUAACGAAUUCGAUCCAUGUUCGAAUAAUAAUGUUCAAUGGCAUUGUUCACUGUUCUUUUACCCAAUCUGUAGCGAAGCCCUAGGGUUCGCCAAUAACUCACCUUUCAAUCCCAAAGUGGGGAGGGAGCUCCAAGUGCACCCAAGCCCGGGACCGUCUGCGGACCUCCAUGUGGUCCGGACCUCCAAGUGGUCCUAGUCGCACGACACUCCGGAGUACUCGACGACAAUCCCCUCCAUGUGGGGAUUGGAUGGCUAUACCAUCCCAAACGCAGACUGUGAGCUAGAUCUAUCCUCUCCAAGUGAGGAUACACUGUAACUAGGGUCAACACCCAAUCCAAUCCUCUCUAAGUGAGGAGGCUCUACAACUAGAGUCAAUAACCCAAUCGAAUCCUCUCCAAGUGAGGAUGCUCUACAACUAGAGUCAAUAUCGCAAUAACUCAUCGACAACCUCUCCAUGUGAGGGUACUUAGAUUUACUAAGUUCUUUAUCCACAAGGCACUUUCUAAGGGAUUCACCUAUCCCUAGGUUCCCAAACCUCUAGUGUCAAAUACACUACAUUAAUGCCACUCGAUAUGUUCUCGUUUUCCAAAGUCAAUUUCUCUAAUCGACAAAGUUCAACAUGCAUAAUUCAUCUACUAUGUUUCAUAAUAUGGCAACAUGCAUAAUUCUUCUAUCAUAUGCAAUAUAUGUCAUCAUGUAUAUGUUUCUAUUUAACAUAAUCCACAAUAUGUUAACUCACAAUAUGUCAUCAUGCACAUAUAUUACUAGCAUCACAUAAUAUGUCAAUAUACAUAUAAUCAUCAUCCAAAGUAGUAUAUACUUAGCAUCUCAUGCACUCUUUUAGCAUUUAAUUCAUUAUGCAUUACUACUAGCAUGUUCUCUACUUUACGUUAACAUGCAAAUGCCAUUUACCUCAUGCAUUUAACUGGCAUCAUUUAUAUCACAUCAUCAUGCAUUCUACUUAGCAUUUUGCAUCAUAUUGUCCACAUGCAUUAGCUAUGUCAUUUUAUUAACAUGCAUCAAUAUGAACUUGUAUGUUUCUUAGACAUAAAGGGCGACCUAGUCGCUUCGGUAAGCACAACCCACCUCGAAUCGCUUUCCGAUUGCUUGUCGACACUUGCAAUCGGCCUCCCGCGGCGCCCGUAACCCGGUUUGGCCCGAUCUCGCGCGCGACCACCCGAACGGCCUCCAAUUCACGAUCUGAAAAUUAAGGGUCUUCGGUUAUGUGCCACGGUGCUUCAAAUCCGUUUUCAUGGGCUUACGAUGUCGCCUCGACCCUCCAGGCGGAAACGAAGCCUAAACGUCCGUUUCUUUAAUAACUUUACAACGGCUCGACGAAUCGCCAAACCGACUUCGCCAACGCGUUCGUUUACCUAGCAAUUAGGUUUGCGAAGGGUCAAAUUAGAUCAAACCCCCAUAUUUUACAAAACCCCAUUCGGAGCCCUAACAUGUAAUUAACAUCUAAAUAAUCCAAAUCAAAUGAAGCAAACAUGUUUAGAAUGCUCAUUAGAGGCUAUUAGAACACUUAAAACUAAGGAUUAAGCCAAAUCCUAAAAGCUUACCUCAAUAUGAACGCCACGACGAAAAUACGCCGCUCCAACGGGCGCACAAAAGCUCGAUCCGUCGCCUCCAACGCGUUCGCAAGCAUCUUCUCCACCAACCCUCCAAUUUUUAGAGAGAGAUUUAGAGAGAUGAGAGAGAUCUCUAGAGAGAGAAGGGAGGGUUUCCCUCCCCCUCCAUGCGCGCGCGUGUGUGUGUGGUGUGUGUGCGGCUGAAGGAGAAGAAGAGGAGUCAACACUCCUCUUUAGUCAACACCACAACACUAUUCACUCCCGGGCAGUUCGAAAUCUGAUAUCUUUCGCCGGAACUCCCUGAACAUCCGUUUGAGCUCAAACUUCACAGUCAUGUUCGGUUUUAUGUACUGAGUAAGAAUAUAUUUUAAGUUUUCAGUUUCGACCCUGUUUGGUCACUAAAAACUGUACCGAAUUGUAAUCUUUAUCAGAUAGCUGUCGGAUUUUAUUUCUCACUCUACGGGUGUCAGAAAAAUAUGAAACUUUAAAUCUAGUCUCAUAAAAAUAUUUCUGACUUAUCCUCCAAUUUUCAUAAUUUUCUGAGACUGCAUUUUCUGCCUAUUUAUCUGUCCCGUUUCCAACAGAAAAUUCUAGAUCUUCUGUUUUCAUUCCGAUUUCAGCACAAGUCACUUCUGACUUAUGUUUUACUCCUCUAAAUCCAAUAAAAAUAGUAUCUCACACUAUUUUUAUUUAUUUUUAUUUUUAUUUUUAUAUUUAAAAUCCGGUAUAUUACAUUCCAUCGCAACCUUACCGGAACCAUGCAAAUGGCUUUCCAACUAAAUGUACACCGUAAUUUCAUAAUUUAGAAGUCCGGUACCUUACAACUACCAUGCUAAUAAGUUCGAUCCAUGUUCGAAUAAUAUGUUCAAUGACAUUGCUAACUGUUCAUUUACCCAAUCUGUGGCGAAACCCUUGGGUUCGCCCUUAACUCACCUUUUUCCCAUCCCAUUGGAUGGGAAGCUCCAUGUGCCCCCAGACCUGGGACCGUCUGCGGACCUCCAUGUGGUCCUAAUCGCCUGACACUUCGGAGUACUCGACGACAAUCCUCUCUAUGUGAGGAUAUGGAUGGCUAUACCACCCCGAAUAACAGACUGUGAGCUAGAUCUAUCAUCUCCAAGUGAGGACACCCUAAGAGCUAUGGUCAACAUCUCACGGAACUCAUCUAUUCCGACCAUCAUGCAUAGCUAUUAGCUUUACUAAGUUCGAUGUUCACGCGUCAUUUGCUAGGGAGUCCAUCUAUCCCUAAGUUCACAAAGAACCUCUAGUGUCAAGUACACUACAUUAAUGCCACACGUUUGUUCUUUAAACAUUAGAUGCCACUCGUUUGUUCUUUAAACAUUAAAUGCCACUCGUUUGUUCUUUAAACAUUAGAUGUUACUUUCUAUGUCACCAAACACCCAUCGUGUUCAUCUCUUUUCUCUAGCACUAUAGGAUCCACGUUCCGACCCAAUCCUCACCUAUCUAUGUCACCAAGCAUUCCAUGUACACUAGAUUACCAAUUAGAAAGCAUAAGAAAUGGCACUACUAUGCAAUCCUACAAUGCAACAUGCAAGAGAUGCAAUCAUAUGAAAUUCUAAGACAUAGAAAGGAGUUUGAUGGCUUCGAGAUGGCACCCCCCACCUUUUCUCGUUGUAGAGGCUCUAGAAAUGCCUCUCGCCGAACAUUACGACGAGGUCUCGGCUUCCUUGGUCCAAAACAAUGCUCAAUCGGCCUUAUUUUGCCGAUAGCUUUUCUCUCGCUCGAUGAAUCGAAAUUCCGACUUCGCCUCCGCGUUUAGACACCUAUAAAUUAGGUUUACAAGGCCUCAAAUGAGAUCAAUCUCAUACUUUACCAAAAGCCCCAUUUUGGAGCCCUAGGGUUCCAUCUUGCCAUUUGCACUUUGGAACCCUAGCUCUAGCUCUAAUCCACCAACAAUGGUGCUAGGGGUUCAUUUGACCCCAAUCCAAAAGCUCAAAAUCCAAAACCCUAAGUUUCCAAAAGCUAGGGUUGGGGCUUACCUCUUGUGCUAGCUCCAAAGAGAAGAGGAGAGGGAGAGGGAGAUGUCCAAAGCUCCUCUUUGAUCUCCUUCUUCUUUUCCUUCCUUGUCUUCUUCUCCUUCUUCUUCUUCUCCUCCUUCUUCUUCUUCUCUUUCUUUUUUCUUUCUAGAGAGAGAGAGGGAGCAAGAGAGAGAGAGAGAGUGAGAGAGAAAGAGAGAGAGAUGAGAGGCUGAGGGAGAGAGAGGGCCCAUAUGCCCCUCUAAUGUAACAAAAUUCAUUUUAGCCCCUCAACUUUUCAUCCAUUACACUACCCUCACUGGACAUUUUUUGCCCAGAGGGACCGGUCUCCCCGACCUGGGAGCGGUCCCCGAGAGCCUUCCCCAGACAUCACGCGUUCGGGAACCGGUCUCUCCCUGAGAGACCGGUCCUCGGGAGACCGGUUCCUAUCUGAGAAACCAGUUCCCGAGAGCUGGAUUUUCGGGACAUAGCCAAAUUUUGGUUUCUCUCGUUGGUGUCGCACACGGGGAUCGGUCUCCUCAGCUUGGGACCGGUUGCAUCAAAGUUCCCAGCAACCACCAGCCUCGGGGACCGGUCUCUCCCUGCCAGGGACCGGUCCCCGAGAGCAACUUCAGCCCAGUGCAGGUUUUUCACUACAUGCUCUCGCGGACACGUUUCCAAUGCACUUUUUGUGUUUUGGACAUCUUUAGCUUUUCCGAAGGAUUCUCACUCGACAAAUAGUCGAUCCUGGACGAAGUACAACUCUCAGAUUUUGAGAAUUCACUUCUUUACAAAACUGUCCCCCAGAGCUACCACCAGGCUGUUUCUUUCCCUUGUCCUUCUCGAACGCCUCGCGCUCCUCUCGGACACAAGCGUUCCCGUGCUCGACCCAUAGAGCACGAUCUAACACCUCCGCGAUAGUGCGAAACUUGAAGGCAUGCACCAUUCAAAAAAUAUCGGAGCGGAGUUCCCGUACGAAGCACUCUGCCCGGUCUUGCUCGCCCUUUGCCACAUCCAGAACGCAAUUCAGGAGAUGAGUGAACUCCCGCUCGUACUCCCGAAGUGUAUGGUUGCCUUGCUUAAAUUUUCGAAAAUCCUUGUGCAUCUUCCUUUUAUCACUGUCGGGAAAAUAUUCCACGAACAUCAACUCCCGAAACUCCGCCCAAUCAAUCGGGAGAAAGUCCGGAGAUCGAUCCUCCUUCACACUCCUCCACCAUACUCGGGCCCUCUUAUCAAAACAGUGAGCGGCCAAGUGUACUUUGUCUUGUUCUUGGGUGUAGAUAUCCUAGAACAAGGUUUCUAUCGCGGCUAACCAAGUCUGCACUGUCCAAGGGUCAAUCACCUCGCUAUCAAAACUGGAGGAUGAAACUUCAUGAACCUUGUGAGAGCCGUGUAGCCACGCUCUCGCUCUGCCUCCUCAGCCGUCGCAUCGGGCGUAGGAGAUUUAGACGCCGCAGGAGGAAUAUCCACCGAUGGGGGUUGCGCCGCCACCAGAACCGGCGCAUCACCCACACCCUUAGCCGCAUUUGGAGCGCGAACCGAAGGAGCAGGCGGNCCCGCCCGGUGCGUGUCCAGACCCGCCAUAUGCCUACACAUAUAAGGCGUCUACAAUAAUAGCGAAUAAAUGAAGAAUAAAUAGAGUGUAUGUAAAGAUAUCAGAGCAAGUAUACAGCUAGAUUCUAACAACAGGUAGAAACAAGGGAAACUAAACCACUAAGGUAAAACGUAAAAUAAUACAUCAUAAGUCUCAAGCUACAUAUAGGGGGUGGUCUCUAUAAAAAUGGUACAAGUCUCUCAACCUCUCCAAACAAAACUCAGAAGAGAGGUAGACCACCUAUCGUCGAAUUCCUCGCUAGCUAACUCGAGGCGAUUCCUUUCCCGCGAUCUCGAGCCUCUCCCGGGGUGGAAGGCUCUGAAAGAAAACAUAAAACAGGGGGGCGUGAGAACUAUAAUUUAUAGUUCCCAGUGGACAAUUACUGACCAUAGCCGAAUGCACCACUAGGCCUAAAAUAUGAGCAGAUAAGAGAGUAACGAAAAGUAACUGCGGAAAGUAAAAAGCAUAUAAUGAAAUGCUAUUCUACUAUGCCACAAGCAUACAUGAUGUCAACAUGGUGUACAUCUACUCCAUCCUGAUCCAAUAUGCCAAUACGUACAUACUAUGUUCUAUCAUGGCUAUCAAGUAUAUUAUGAUGCAACAAGUAAUACUAUCACGUAUACUAUCUGUCCAAAUGUCCAAUACUAUGCUAAAAGCAUGUCCAAGUAAACCAACUACUAAGCCUAUUUAGUAGUGAUUGUUAUACACUGGUUUAAUGUCAUUAUUCAAUCUUGUUUUAGGACCUACACAAGUGUAGUCCGUCUUGUGCCGCCUAAGUGCCAGUGGUAGCUCUAACAUUCCUCCUCGAGGAAUGAGUCUAACCCUCCAGGCCCCCGUAAGCUUCUCAAUAGCGCACGAGCGAGCAUAAGUAGUGUAGGCUAACUCCGGAGUGCCGGCUUGUGUCGCCUAAGUGCCAGUGGUAGUUCCAACAUUCCCCCUCGAGGAAUGAGUCUAACCCUCCAGGCCCCCGUAGGCUUCGCAAAACAGCACGAGCGAGCAAGCAUAGUCAUGGUCACGACGAUCCGGUCAUCAUGGCUCAACCAUAGAAAUGAUCGCUAGCAACUCAUAGGUCUAGUUUAAUAUCCCCAAGUGAAGUUCCAACAUUCACUAAGUCUAGUGCCUCUUUAGGGCACUAGAACAUUACUAUAUCCAAGCAUGUUCCCAUUUCCAUGCCUUUUUAUGGCAUUAAUUAGUAGGUUUAUACAUGUCCCAAGCUCAAUGUCGCUUUAUGACAUUAGUUUAAUAUACCAAUUCCAAGCCCAAUGCCUCUUUAUGACAUUAGAUUAUCCUAUCAAUAAUAGGUUAAUACGCAUGCUCUAUAGCAUGAUCUCACAUUGCUAAUAUGUACCUAGCAUGUAUUCCAUAAUACAUAUAAAUAUUAACAUGCAUCUAUUCACUAGCAUAUGGUUUCAAUGCGUUCGUAUGCAACUAUCAACUUAGCAUAGUUCUCAUAAUACUACAUGCAUACACUUUCCAAUGCAACUACCAACUUAGCAUAAUUCUCAUAAUAUUAACAUGCACAUACAAUUCACAUAUCAUUCAAGUCUAAUGCCGCUCUAUGGCAUUACUUUGCUAGGCUCAUUCAUAGCUCAAGCCCGAUGUCGCAUUACGACAUUAGCUCCCUAAUUCACAAGUUAAUCAAGUCCAAAGCCACUUUAUGGCCUAAAGUAUUCUCCUAUGUCCAAAUGAGAUUUAUGUCCAAGGCAUAUUACAUUUGUCAUGUCUACUAUAUGGAGCAUGACUCCAAGUCCCAAUUAGAAUGCUAAACCCAUGCAUAAGUCUCACUUGCAAGCUCUCUACUACAUAGAGGUCCGAAAAUGCAUUGUAUAUAACAUAAGCAUUUCAAGCAUUCUAAAAAUUCACAAAUAAUGCAUCUAUCAUGAAAAUGCGUGAUUUUCUAUUUUACGAUACUUAAAUCCACAUAAAUGAGAUUUUCUCAUUUGUAGCGAGGUCAAACCCACCGAGAACUCCACGCGAUCCUUCGUGCCCCCGACUCUCUUAGCUCCAAGACUUUAGGUGAUAUCACGAUGCUACGAUUCGGGUUUCGUGAUUUUUGGAAGCUUACGUCGCGAGCAGCAACAAUCUGUACCGAAAUCGGCCUUUUCUUCAAUAUCUUCGCGUAGCCUCGUCGUAUCGCCGAACCGACUUCACCAACUCAUCAGAAAACCUAGCAAUUAGGUUUAUACAUGCUCAAUUUAGAUCAAACCUCUAUAUAUAGCAAAACCCCAAUUUGAGCCUUAACAUGCUACUAUUGCAAGAAAUCACCAAAUUGGAACUUGAUUCAUGCAAUUAACAUGUUAUUAGCAUCUAGGGAGUUCUCUAAACCCAUUCUUAGAGCAUACGAAUCAUUCCUUAGCAAUCUACUAUAGUUACUACCAAAGCUUACCUCCAAAGCUUUCUCUAAUAGAGAGGAAGAAGAUGAAAGCUUGAGCUCCAAGCUACUCUCCAACAUUCAAGGAUUCUACUCCAACUUCUUCUCCAAUUAAUCCUCUUUUGUGGAGAGAUUAGAAGAGAAAAGGAGUGAGGGGUGAGAGCUAGAGAGAAAGAGAGAAAAGGAGAAAAGAAACUUGCUCUCCAAGUCUCUCUCGGGUUGGGCACAAAGGAGAAAAGAGUGCAAGUUCACAUAUAUAUAUAGGCCCCCAAAAUACUUCAUCUAGCAGUUAAGCAGUUCGGAACAGUCGGAGCCCUUCUGGAUAUCCAAUGGUGCUCAAAUUUUACAGUCAGUCUCGGUUUUCCUUACUAAGAAAGAGUAUAUCUUAAGUUUUCAGUUUCGACCACGUUUGGUCACCGAAAGCUCUACCGAACUGUAAUCUUUAGCAGAUAGCAGUCGGAUUUAAUUUCCUACCUUCCGGGUGUCAGAAUGUCAUGAAACUUUAAAUCUAGCCUCAUAAAAAUAAUCCUAACAUAUUCCCAGAUUUUUGAAAUUUUUUGACACUAUGCAUUUUCUGCUAAAUAACAGUCUCGAUUCACACAGAAAAUUCAAAAUCUUCUAUUCUCGCUCCGAUUUCCGCACGAGUCGAUCCCGACUUAUAUUUUACUUCUAUAAGUCCAAUAAAAAUAGUAUCUCACACUAUUUUUAUUUAUACCCUAUUUUAAAAUCCGGUAUGCUACAUUCUACACCCCUUAAAAGAGUUUCGUCCUCGAAACUUCAAUCACACCUCAACUCGACCUAUCGAGCCAUUGAGGACAUUAGCAUACUUCUCCCUAGGGAACACACUUCGAUUCGAUCACCGGCAUUGCUUAGAAGCAAUAUCACAGGUGCAUCGCUCCAUCGUGAGCGCUCUAAUUCCACAUGGCUAUCCAAGAUCCAACACGUGGCAUUCUAUGCUCCCGGGUCUAAGCUCGAACUACCGUCCUGACCAAAAUCUCUUCCCUACCCGUAGGUAUCGAGCUGCUGUCACUCACAGCUGAUUGCACCUGCCUCAAGGGCCCAGGCUCCACAGUCCCCAAAUGGUCCAGGCACGGGUCGUCCCCUAAGCAACACCCGACGUCGUUGUCCUACACGACAUGCUCUAACGAGCCACAAAUACUAUCCUCCCCAGUAAUUAUCCGAUUUUAGGUAAGUGGAUAGUCAACACAACCAGUGAAAAUUAAUCCUCAAAACGCACUAUUUCGUGCUCAAAUUUCCAAGGCGAGUCAAGUUAGCUCGCAAGAUCAAAGGUACAAGGUACCCCAUAACUACUCCACACCAAGUAAGGCCAAUCCAUUUGUUGGCGCACAAAAUCAUCUCACAAGGUAGGGUGUUCAAGACGACACACCCGAUCAAAUGAUCAUGCAUCGAAAAAGGAUCAAUGCUAAAUAAUUCGGCGAACAGCCGCUCCAGGUAUGCAAAUGAUGCAAACAUCUCAAUCAUAGAAUGCAUAAACUCGAAUGCCAUAAUAAUAUAACGGUACCUGCAGCCACAAACUCGGCUACUGCCGCCUUCUCAGUCUGGGCCGCAUACAUGCGCCGGCUCGGGGCCAGUCGUGACCCCUCCGUCUGUCUCUGGACAGGUAGCCGCCCGGCCUGGUAGUGAGCAGAAGUCGUCCCCCGACUGGGAUCCGGUGAAGCUGGUGCCGAUGCUGAUGACGGCGCUAGAACUGGACCCCUCGGGCAGUCCGACUGGAAGUGACCCUCCUGGCCACACAGGUAGCACCUGCCCCGACUCUGCGAGCACUGCCGCGGGUAAUGACGACCACCGCAGAUCACGCAGCUCAGAGCCUGGCGACGAUCAGAUCCUCCAUGCAGUGCAGAUGAGCCACAUCCUCGCGAUUGGCUCCGGCUCCUGGGAUGUCUUGGCGGCCUUCUCCCGGCGAAAGAACUGCGUCCUCGAAAUCGGUUCUUCUUUACCUUCCUCGACGACUUGCCGACAUGCAAUAUAUCGCUCUUGGUGGUCUCCUUUGCCACUCCGGUAACCUUCAUGCCUUUCCCCGCGGGUAAGGCUUGAUCCAAACCCUCCUGGGGCCUUCCAAAGUCAGCCGUCUGUUUGUUCAACAGGCUCUCCAAACGCUUGAUUCCCUCGUCCUGUCGGCGUAAAGCUUCGGCCUGAAGUAGCACCACACUCAUCUGUCGCUCCACCACGCCAACUAAAGUGGCAAUCUGUUCCCUCAACUCCCGAAUCUCGCCGGAUCGGGGGGAUGCAGGCUUCCCCGGCUCGGUUGCCUCGGCUGCCAUCGUGAGUGUCGCCGACGUCACAAGCUGCAGCAAACAUAACAAGCAUGGGUGAAAACAACCCAUGCUAACGCAGCCCCGCUCAACUAACCAAUACCCAAAUCAUGCGAAAGUAAGGAAGUGUCCUUUACUACUAACUCACAAUGUUACGUUGUCAACCGCCAACGUAACCCUCCGCGAAAUUAGAAGCUAUACACUCCGAUCAAACUCUAACUUUUUAGAGUUAUAUCAAUACCCAAUCACAAUACUUUCGCUCAUCAAAUAGACCUCGUCUCUCAUGAGCCUAUUUCCUAUAGUCCAACCGGCCUAAGGUUUGCUAGGUCCACUAAGAUUCAACCCUAGGCUCUGAUACCAAAUUAAUCUGUCACGCCCCGGGACCCGGCCUAGGCCCGCCCGGUGCGUGUCCAGACCCGCCAUAUGCCUACACAUAUAAGGCGUCUACAACAAUAGCGAAUAAAUGAAUAAUAAAUAGAGUGUAUCUAAAGAUAUCAGAGCAAGUAUACAGCUAGGUUCUACCAAC
rnacentral:lncRNA from 1 species